rnacentral:lncRNA from 1 species
CAAGCUAUCUGCUGCUAAUGAAUGUCUAUGCUUUCCAAUUUGAAAUCUUGCUGCACUAAAAGCACCUUCCGAAGCUACUGAAGAUGCUUGAAUAGCUAACACAUCUCGAGCAACCAAUUGAAGUUUUGGAAAUCCCUGGCUGCGAUUACUCCACCAUUCUAGAAGAUCAAUAGUAGUAGGUUCUGUAUUUUGAUUAAUAUAUGCAUCAAAAUCAUUUCUAUCAUUAUGAGAAAGUUCAAGAUAAUAAUCUAUCAUAUCAUCAAUAUCAUCUUCAUUAUUAUAUCUACUCCUAGAACUUUGAGGCUCUUCAUUACGUACUACAUUCAUUAUAUUAGAAUUAUACAAAGUCAUACAAUUUUCUAGCUUUAAUUUUUAUACUAUCUUUAACAUCUUGACAACUAGGUAUUUCAUCAUCUUCACUAUCAAUACCCAAAUUAAAAUAUAUGUUAUCAACCAUUUGUGAUGCAUCUUCAUCUUUGUAAUGUGGUUUAACAAACAAGCGGUUAAAUAAAUUUGAGGAAUAGGAAUAAAAUAUUUUUAAAAUUUUUCAAUCAUUUUCUUAACAGAUUCUUCAAAUCUUAGUUUAUUUUUGAAUUUACAAAAUUUACUAGAAAUAGCACAAAUAUCAGGUUAAACAGAGCAAAUAGUUGGAUAAUAUAGUGCAGAUAUUUUUUUGUGGUUAGAUAAAAACUUUUAAGAAUUCUAUAUGUUCUUUUAUGUCAUUCCAAUCAUUAUCAUCAAUCCUAUAUGUCAUAUUUGAAUUAUGAGCAUUCCAAACCAUUUGUAAAGGUUUCCUAUAUUCAUAAGCAACUUCAAGCAUUUCAAAUAAAGAAUUCCAUCUAGUACACACUGAUUUUGGAUUUUUUCUAGGUGGAAGAUUAAAUUCACGACAACGAUUUUCAAAAUCUCUACGUCUAGACUUAACUUGACAUUUAAAAAUAAAAUGACAUGCAGUUUCAACUCUUAUGCAACCAUCAUUAUACAUUGUUAUACAUGCUCUCCAAUUUGAAAUCUUGCUGCACUAAAAGCGCCUUCCGAAGCUACUGAAGAUGCUUGAAUAGCUAACACAUCUCGAGCGACCGGUUGUAGUUUUGGAAAUCCUUUGCCGCGAUUGCUCCACCAUUCUAGAAGAUCAAUAGUAGUAGGUUCUGUAUUUUGAUUAAUAUAUGCAUCAAAAUCAUUUCUAUCAUUAUGAGAAAGUUCAAUAAUACCAUCUAUCAUAUCAUCAAUAUCAUCUUCAUUAUUAUAUCUACUCCUAGAACUUUGAGGUUGUUUGUUAUGUACUACAUUCCUUAUAUUAGAAUUAUACAAGUCGUACAAUUUUCUAGCUUCAAUUUUUAUACUAUCUUUAACAUCUUGACAACUAGGUGUUUCAUCAUCUUCACUAUCAAUGCCCAAAUUAAAAUAUAUUUUAUCAACCAUUCGUGAUGCACCUUCAUCUUUGUAAUGUGGGUUUAACAAACAAGCAGUUAAAUAAAUUUGAGGAAUAGGAAUAAAAUAUUUUUUAAAUUUUUCAAUCAUUUUCUUAACAGAUGCUUCAAAUCUUGGUUUAUUUUUGAAUUUAUAAAAUUUAUUAGAAAUAGCACAAAUAUUAGGUAAAACAGAGCAAAUAGUUGGAUAAUAAAGUGCAGAUAUUUUUUUUGUAGUUAAAUAAAAAACUUUUAAGAAUUCUAUAAGUUCUUUUAUGUCAUUCCAAUCAUUAUCAUCAAGCCUAUAUGUCAUAUUUGAAUUAUGAGCAUUCCAAACCAUUUGUAAAGGUUUCCUAUAUUCAUAAGCAACUUCAAGCAUUUCAAAUAAAGAAUUCCAUCUAGUACACACUGAUUUUGGAAUUUUUCUAGGUGGAAGAUUAAAUUCACGACAACGAUUUUCAAAAUUUCUACGUCUAGACUUAACUUGACAUUUAAAAAUAAAAUGACAUGCAGUUUCAACUUUUAUGCAACCAUCAUUAUACAUUGCUAUACCAUCUCUAACAAUCAAAUUAUAUAUGUGUGCAUCACACCUAAUAUGAAAGCCAUCAAUAUAAAUAUGGCAAAGAGACGAUUUUAGUAUUUCAACAACAGUUCUAUAAUUAGAAGCAUUAUCUAAGGUGACACUGCUUAUUUUAUCACAAAUUCCAUAGUUUUGUAAAACAUCUAUCAUUGUUUGAGCUAUAUAACUACCAGUUUUAUGCAUUUCACAACAUUUAUAACCUCAAAUUCUUUUUGCAAUGUCCAAUUUUCAUCAAUCCAAUGUGUAGUAAUAGUGAAAUAAUCAUUAUCAUUUACACUACGGCCCAUCUCAGAAGUAAUAGCUAUUUUACAAUUAUUAUAAUAAAUAAUUAUCAUUUACACUACGGCUCAUAUCAAAAGUAAUAGCUAUUUUACAAUUAUAUUAAUAAAAUAAACAACGAAGAUAUUGAAAAUGUUGAGCUUGAUAAUCAAAGAUAGCCUUUUUAAUUGUAUUUCUAGUAAAACCUUUAAAAUGUGGAUUAUACACAAUUUGAAUAUAAUGAAUAAAACCGGGAUUUUCAGCAAAACUAAAUGGCAAACCCAUAACAACAAUCAUUUUAGCUAAUUCUUUAAGAUCUUUUUCUCUACUAUAUGACCGUUGUAUACUAGAACCAGAAACAUUAGAAGGAUUUAAUUGUGUUUGGACCAUAUUAGAGCCCUCUACUCCUACAUUUUCAGGAAGAGUGGUAUCACUCUUUUUAGCUUCGGCUACAGCUUUAGCAUGCAAAUAUUUAUUUUUUACAACAUGACAUUAAAUGAUUACUCAAAUGUCCCGUCCCACCCUGUUUUCCUACAGUUUUAUGAUUCAUUUUAUGUUUACAUUUAUUACAAAUAGAUUGUGUUUUAUCUUCAUUCUGAGUCAUAAAUUGCCACACAAACUGAUUUUUUAGCGCGUUCUACUUUAGUCCUAGGAUGCACAGGGAGAACGGGAGCAGGACAACGAAAGGGAGUGGGAGGGGAAGAGGGAUUGGAAGUGGGAGUAGCUGGCUGAGUUUCAUCAUCAUCAUAUUCAUCAACAUUAUUAUCAAAACUAUCAAUAUAAUCAUUAACAUCAUCAUGUUCAUCAUUUUCAGGUAAUUCCUCAUCAAAAUUACCAAACCUUCUUUGUAAAUGUUCAUGAUAAGGAUCUAAUCCACUAUUACUAUCAAUAUUAAAAACAGUUUCAUCAACAUGCGAAUAAUCAUCCGUAUUUAUUCUUAAUUGAGAAUUUUUUUUAGUUUUAGAUUUAGAAGUACUACCGAUUUUUUUAUUUUUCUUGGAUUUUGAGCUCCAUAAAUUAGUUAUCGAAUCAACUAUGGUUGUUUUACCCUUUUCAACAUUGUUUUACCAAAAUCCAUAUUCAAAUAUAAAAAGUAGUAAAUUAUAUAUAAUACGAAAAUGUAAUGCAAAGUUUUAAACAAAUAAAUAACUAAAUAAGUAGAGACUAGAGACUAAUUACUCACAAAAUAAAUAAUUAAAUGCAAACAAAUAAAUAACUAAAAGAUAAGUGAGUUGGAACGAAUGUACCAAACGUCUAUUUAAAAAAGUAAACGUGUAUGACCGAAAGCCGAAAAUUGAAAGUUGAAUUUUGAAGCUCCAAUUUCCAAAGAACAAAAUCCAAAUUCAUAAUUUUAACAAGAAUAAGAGAUUAGAGAGUAGAAUAUAAUAUUUUUGUGAAUUGUGAGUGAAAAGAAUGAAAGAUUGGGGGUAUUUAUAGUUUAAAAGAAGGAUGAACAUGUAGUUUUUUGAAGGUUGGGGUAUUAAAUUUUUUUUGGGGGAUAGGGAGGUGUAAAUGGGAGUUAUAGGGGUGAAAGAGCCAUUGGUGGGGCCCAAAACCCGUUGCCCAACGGCUCUCAACGGCUAUAAAUUAAUAAUUAAGAUUUAAAUAAAAUAAAUUUAACCGGACCGGACCGGAACCGAGACUAGCCGAACCAGGACUAACCGGUAAAUCCCAAUUUUCGUCCCGUUACCCCUCCCGGACCCGCUACUAUCAGGACCUAACCGGUACAGGCCGGAAUUGAGACGGAAUCGGUAACGGACCGAGACGGACCGGAACCGGAAUCGAGACGGAAUCGGUAACGGACUAGGACGGACCGGAACCGGAACUAGCAGCUCCCGGUUCCGUUGCCACGCUUAAUCACAAUCACAAGUAUAUCAUCAAGAUCAUACAUUAAGUCAUGAUUUCAUGGCAAUCAUCAUUCAUCUAUCUCAUUUACAACAAGUGUGAUCAACAUUACAACAUUCAUAUAUAUACAAGUAUCAUAAUGAAGCAAGAACAAUCAUACAUCACACAAUCAUAGAAUCACAACCAUCACCUACCUUGAAACAAUCUUGAAACCCUAAGAAACUUGAUCCUUCCCUUUCCAAAUUCGUUCCGCUUGUUCUUGGUCUACAAAUAAUUAAUAUAAUACGGGAAUCAAUAAUCAAUCACUAAUUACUUGAAUUACUAACAAUUCUAUUAACCCUAGAUCAUACCCAUGAUCCCAAUUAUCCAAUUUAGGGUUGUUUCCACCAUAGAAUCUAUAACAAAACCUUCACCCAUCAAUAUUCACCAUUCUAUUACGUUCUACGAAUCGAAAAACAGAUUCGGGUAGUGAAAAGCUUACCUUUAGCCUCAAGAAUGGUGAAAAAUGAGUAGGAGACGCCUGGGUUUCGUUCCUUAGCUCUAAAAGUCAAAAAGUGCAUAAUGAGGUUUAGGGGUUUAUGAACAACUUUAAUUCACGUCGAGCCCUCCACAACGGCCGUCACCCCGUUGUGCGGCAAAAAGUGGCGCCAAUGCGGGCUACGCGAGACAGAGAGCUAAUUCAAGAUUUCCAAGAUUCUCAUUUCGCAACACACCUCUAACCAACGAUGCUAAGAAAAUACCCUUUACGCCAAUAUCGAUUUUGGGAGUUCUACUCACCCGAAUUCAAUUCUGUAAAGUCGUAUGGAUUCUUUAACGAGUUAUUUAACUACUCAUGUAAUCAAAAUCAUAAUUAAAUUACCCGAUUGUUAUCAGAUUUUCCUACACCUCAGAUACUCUGAUUUCGUUCAAAUCUGGACAAGGUUGGGAAAAUCCAAAUAUUACGAAAAAGUUUUCCGGCCCCAAAUUUUCCCCCAUUGGCAUUUCUAUAACGACGGGAACAAGUCGUUACAAGCACUAAUUUGAUCUCUCUUGCCAAUCCAUUAUCAUUUUUGAUAAAACAAUUAGUAUAGCAGAGAGUUUUUUAAAGUCAAAUUCGACGACUCUGAUUGUGUUCAAGUCGCUAUUUCCUUCAUUAUGUGAGUGUAAUUGUCAUGAUUCUAGUCUACACCCUUGCUAAGACACCGUGCUUAGAAUAAGUGAUCCAAAGCUAAUAUUUGACAUAACAUAUCUAAGCAUAUCAGAUGUAAACUGAAGUAGAAUACGUAAAUAAAGAAUCGUAACUGAAAUAAAUAUAUUACAAUUGAAUAUUAAUGCCCGAAAAUCUUUAAACUGAAUGAGAUAAUUUGUCGGGACAAUACCCCGGACUGCUUGAAAGCUAACACAACUGAAGUGAAUAACAUCUACUGACUCAAAACUGAAGUCCUCGAAAUGCGAGGAAGACUCACCACAAUGCUAAAAGUAGAGAAACUUAGUGGAAUGCCUGUCCACGAAUUUAAAUCAUGGUGCUGAAAUCUACAUCAUAAAAUGAUGUAUCACAAAGUAGUGUCAAUACAUGAAAUGUACUGGUAUGCAAUGCAAGGGAUGAUAUCAACAAUUAUACAAACAACUGAAAAAAUAUAAAUCUGAGCAUGAGUAAUACACAAGAUAACUCAAGGAUUGAGAGUCAAAUAUGUGACAUGUGACAAAUAUUUCAGAAACAAAAAUAUAUAUUUAAAACCAUACUUUUUUGAAAUCAUAUCUGAAAGGAUGCAUAUAUGAAAAUGAUGUUAUCUGAAAUUUUAUAAUGAUAAUAUCAAGAAAUAUAUAAAAUAAAUAGAGUAAAUCUUUUAGGUGGAAGUUUCUCUUAACUGACAUACACCAUAUGAGCUCAUGAUGCACCAAUGAAUACCCUAGUUUGGAGGGUGCCUUAUACCUUGUCAGGGUCAACUCAAAAAAUGGCGAAACAUAUUCAUAUGGUGACAUGUAGUUUUGAAACUUGUGCUAUCUAGAAUUUUCAUUCGCUCAGCGCUAAAACUAUUCCCAAACAUACUAUCUAUAUAGCUCAUAAAAAAUAUUUAUUAAUCUUAUCUAGAAGCUUAUCACGAGUCUUGCUCAAAAUCUCUUUCUAAAACACAUCUUGCAGUGAGACUAUGCUCAAAUCGAUGAGACGAAACUCAAAUCUUUUCUAAAACAUAUGUCAAAAUUUAUUUCUAAAACAUAGCUUUUAAAUCAUGAGAUUUUCUUUUUAGAAAUUGCAUAACUUGUAAUUUCUCAAAAUAUCUUUCAUAAUAAGAUAAAAGACUCUAAAAUUAUUCUUUGAAAUAUAAGAUUUAUGAAUCAUAAAUAAUAACAUGACAAAGCUAAUAAGGACGACAAUGAGAAAGCUUACCAAGUAUAAAAAGGAAGUACAUUAGUCAAGAAUUCAUCAUCAUGAAUAAAAAGUUGAAAAAUCAUAAAAUUCAGGUAAUAAAUAUGGUGAAUUUGAAAGUUUUUUAUAAAUCCUAACUACAACAUUAAAUUUAUGUAAACUGAGGAAUCUUGGAAAUGAGGUUGAAAAGAAUUCCUCAUUGGAGUUCUACAUAUCUAAAUUUUAGGAAUUCUUGAAGAAAAACUUUAAACUUGAAAUUGUAUAGCUUUAACUUGAAAAUCCUUCUAUGGAGUUCUUGGAGAUGAAGUUUGAGAAUUUUUUUUGAUUAAAAACCUCAAAAUUCUUGAAGAGAAUCUUGAAGCUGGAACCAAAGAUCUUGCAAAAUUGGAGAAAUCCCUUUCUUGAAGUACUUGAUAAGAAUUAGGGAUUUCGAGAGUUGCUAUACUUAUAAGGAUAUUAUUAGGUUAUAAGAUGGACUUAAGAAAGUUAAUUGAAGGUAAAAGGGUAAGAAUACCCCUCUAAAAACGUAUGAGACCAAAAAAUCAAAGAAAACGACCUUUUAAUGAAUUCUAUUAGUCAAAUCAGUGAUUUAGAGGCAUUGUCACUAUAAUAUUCGGCAGAGCCAAUUUUGAUCGCCAAAAUUAAUUAUUAUUUUUGAAGGUUUUCGGAUCAUUUCAGUAACGUCAAACUAUUCAAUGAUUCACUGAAUGAUAAGUGUCAUCACCGGAUUUUCUAGUCCGUACAUAUUUCAGUAAAACUGUCAUAACUUUCUACUCUGAACUCCGAUUGUAUUGAAAAGAAGACUCAUAGAUCUUUAACUUAUUAGGUUAUGAGCCAUCAAACUCUUAAUAUUCUAAGAUAUAUGACCGUCUGAAAUUGAACCUCGGGUGAACUCAUGCGAAAAUUAAGCCGAUAAAAUUCUUUAAACUUGAUUUGAUGUUUGAGGUAACUUACGACCCUAAGACAUAUUCAAUACACUUACUACACUUAGUAAAGGACCUUAACAUACACGUAAAACUUAGAAAAAUAGAGUUUGUACCCAUACACAUAAGGAAGAUGGUUUCAAUAUUUGCUUAGAAGUUACAAGGCGUUGCAAUCAUGAUGAGACUUUUCAUGCUAUUUUUUACUUGAUUUUUUGUUGUGGCUAGAUCAACCUUUUUGGUCGUGGAGUUGUUCAAGACAAGGUUGACGUUGAUGUUGAUAUGAUCGUUAUUUCCAGUACCAGCCAUUGAACCUUCUAAUUAUCUUGCUACACAAGAACAUAAUUUUCUAGCAAGAAUUUAGAAAAAGCAAAUCAGUACCAUGUAGGAAAUAUAGAAGGAGAAUACUUUCUUUAGAAAAUGCUCAAGUUUUAUUUAGCUACUUAAGGUCACUUUAGAUGAUUAGAAUCAUCAAUUAUAUCUCUAUUUAUACUAACAAAAAUAUAAAACCAAAGGUCUUGCACAAAUAACUAGAUACAUGUAUCACAAUUUACUAGAUACAUGUAUACAAAAUCCUAAAAGACUUCUAGAAAAAACUAAGAGACAAUAUUGAUUGACUAAACAUCAAGGUGUGAAUGCAUUAAUUUCAACACUACCCCUUAAUGCAUUUGCUUGACAACUCCAAUGCCUUCUCGAAGAUAGCAAAACUUUUCUCUUGGAAGUGCUUUGGUGAAGAUGUCAGCAAGUUGUUCUCUUGAAUAUCUCCUUCUUGAUUGAGUUUGGUUUUGUAAAUCCAUUUUAGAUUUACAACUUUUCUUUCUUUGGGUAUAGUCACACACUCCCAAGUAUUAAUUUUCUCAAUCAUCCGAAUUUCUUCAGCCAUGGCUUUGUUCCAAACAUCGUGCUUUAUUGUCUUCUCAUAAUUUUCUUGCUCAACACUGGUAAAGUAGAAUCUUUGAUAAAUUUCACUCAAUAUUUUUGUUCCUCUUGGAGGUGGUUCUUCAUCAUCUGAAUCUGAGAUUUCUGCCCCUUGAGGGACAUCUUCCUCUUCCUCAUCCUCUUCUUGAUUUGACAGUUUAGAUAUGAUAGAAGUAUUCUCCACCUUUUUAUCUUUCCAAUCUCAUGUUGUUUUUUCAUCAAAAAUGACAUCUCUACUAGCAACAAGUUUGUUAGUUUUGACAUCGAAAAGCCUAUAGCCUUUUGUCAUAUCACUAAAAAAAUAGAAUGAUCAUUUAGAGAUAUAAAUUUAUAUGCAGCAUUUCAUAACUAAUAAAGACACUAACGAAGUCUUAGAACCAACAUUUACUCGUUUAAAAUCAGGUAGAUCAACCUUAGCCAAACACCCACACACUUUCAGAAAUUUCAAGUUAGGAGCAAACCCUUUCCACAACUCAUAUGAGGUCUUGUCUAAAUUCUUAUGAUGGACUCUAUUAAGAAUAUAGCAUGCAGACAAGACUGCUUCUCCCCACAUAUUCUCAGAUAGACCAGAGCUUAAAAACAUAGAAUUCAUCAUUUCUUCAAGGGUUCUAUUUUUUCGUUUGGCUACACCAUUUUGUUGGGGAGUAUAUGGAGCACUAACCUCAUGUAUAAUAUCAUUUUUCUCACAAAAAUCUUCUAGAGUCUUAGUACUAUAUUCACUGCCCCUAUCAGAUCUAAAUCUCUUGAUUUUUCUGUCUAAUUGAUUUUCCACUUCUGCAUUGAUUUAAUUUCAAAAACAUGCUUUCAGCUUCAUCUUUAGACUUAAGAAGAUAUACCUUAGUGUAUCUAGAAAAGUCAUCAACAAAAGUAAUAUAAUACUUUUUCCCACCUUUUCUAAUAGUGUUCUUGAAAUCUGCUAAAUCUGAAUGUAUUAGUUCAAGUAAUUCGGUCUUUCUACUAAUAACAGAUUUGAAAGGUUUCUUGGCAUAUUUUGCUCCUACACACAGGACAUUUAGAAAAAUCAUCAGUUUUUAUCAUAAGAAUUAAUUCUAUUUUCCUAAGUCUUUUAAUAGAAGCAAUAUUAACAUGACCUAGUCUACCAUGCCACAAAUUGAUAGACUCAACAAUAUAAGCAGAAUUUGAAAUGCUUCUAUUAUUGACAACCUCUUGAACAAUGUUCAGUACAAAUAAUCAUCCACUAAGAUAUUCCUUCCUAACAAAGUCUUCUCCACGAGAAAUAAUUAUUUUAUCAGCUUCAAAAAUAAGUUUAAGGCCUACUUUGUUGAGAAGUGCUCCGGAAACUAAGUUUUUACGGAGGGAGGGAACAUACAAAACAUUGUUCAAGGAUAAUGUCUUUCCAGAAGUUAAUUUAAGUAAAACUUUUCCUUUACCCAUUACUACAGCAGUAGUGGAGUUACCCAUAUAUACACACUCGCCUUCAGUGGACUCCUCAAAGUCAUGAAAUAAAUUCUUAUUAGAACAAAAAUGCGUUGAAGCGCAUGUUUCCAACACCCAGUCAGUUUUGUUAGCCACCAGAUUUGCCUCAACGACUACAACAACAAUCAUUUCAUUACCCUCAGCAAGAUGAGCUUGGACAUCACUUUGUCCUUCCUGCUUGCCAUUUUCUUUGAUAGCACUUGGCAGCCCUGUGACCAACUUUUCCACAAACAAAACAAGGACCCUUAAAUUUUUGAAUUUGACUCUCCGGCUUGUUGAAUUGAUUUUUCUUCUUCAUAUGUUCCUUUUUCGAGACUUUCUUCUGUUUGCCUUUGAACCUGUCUUUCACAACAGUACCAGAAAAUUCAACAAGAUUAGCUUUAGAAGAUUUAAGAGAAAGCUCUUCCAUCUUAUCUUUGAGACGGUUCGCCUCUUCAGUCCUCAUAUGACUAAUAAGUUCUUGGAGAGUUAAUUUUUUUUCUUAUUAUGUUUAAAUUGAUUUUUAUAAUCACUCCAAGAUUGUGGGAAUUUUUCAAGCAAAAUAUUAGCCUAAAAUAUCUCACACAUCUUCAUGUCCUCGUUGAGAACAUCAGCAAUCAAGUUCUCAUAUUCGUGAAAAUGUUUCAUUAUUGGCUUAUUAUCAACCAUUUAGAAUUUAAUCCACUGACCGACAACAUAUUUUUUCUUUCCUGCAUCAUCAACAUCAUAUUUCUUUUCCAAACUAUCCCAUAUUUCUUUGACAGAUUUAUAAGUAACAAAUAAAUCAAAUAAAAGACUAGUCAUAUGAUUUAGAAAGUGUCCUCUCUUAUGGUUCUGUUAUCCUUUUCAAACUUCUUUUUAGCAACAUCAUCAACAACCAUGACAUUGCUAGAAUCAAUAGUAGUAUUAGAACCAUUCAUAGAAGGUUCGUUAAAUAAAAUAUAAUCAACUUCUAAUUGUUCAAAGAAAAUCAAAAGUUUUUGUGACCAUCAUUUAAAAUUACUUCCAUCCAAAGGCUCAAGUUUUGACAAAUCAGAAAAAAAUUUGUUCAAAGAAAUAGCCAUUUAUCAAUAUUGUAUGUUAGUAAAUCGCUUUCAAAUUGUUGGGAAAAAUACUACAAUAUUGAUAAUAGAUUGGAAUUAUAAAGUAGUAAAUAACUUAUCACAAACAUUGUGUCGUGGCAAGCCACUGCCUUGAAAGCAAUUUCGGCUUGACUCCGAUGCAAAUCGUUGUAGCAGGUUGCUUCCCAAGAUUCCACAGUUACUCUCAAACACGUGCACUCGUGGCUGAGAGUUUGGAGGUUGCUCAAAACCAAUUGCCCAAAAAUAUUCUAAGAAUAAGAAGAAAGGAGGAAAAAGUUUUUUCUCUUGUUUUUGUUUAGGUUGGUUGAGUGGUCUUAUGCUCACUCAAGAUACAUCUUUAUAUAGGAUUUGCAAAAUAGGAGUUUCAAAGAGAAGAAGUAAUUUCUAAGAAACGUAUGUGAAAUGUUAAUGAUAUUAAAAGUCAUUACAUCACACUUAACAAAAUGUAUUUUGGAACGGAUAGGUAAUUCAUCCCUUUUGUAACGUAAUAUUUUAUAUACUUUGCAUUACUCUUAAUUAAUAAAGGUAAAAUUACUAUUACAAAACCAAAGGUCUUGCACAAAUAACUAGAUACAUAUAUCACAAUUUAAUGUAUUACAAAAUUCUAAAAGACUUCUAAAAAACUAAGAGACAAUAUUGAAAGACUAAACAUCAAGGUGUGAAUGCGUUAAUUCCAACAGAAAUAUCCUUAGCCCCACAAUGAAUGUCAAACUGUUUACCCUAAAAAAAUAUUUGAAUUUGCAAGUGAGGUUUAAAGGAUAUAUGAAUCAAAUUGUUAAUCAAAUAAAAUAAGUAAUGUUGUAAGAGAACUAAACUAAUUGAAAUAUAAAACAAAUGUAGCAUGAGCCUGAUUAAUCUGCGACGAGCUAUAUCAGACAGAGGUAGAUGAACACUGAUAGACUAUUCUUACUCCAUAUAUAUCCCAACAUGGCAUUCCCAUCCCUUAAAACAUAAAAGAAAAAAGAAGAAUGAAACUCUAUUAUAAUUUUACAUAAUUGAUUAAUACAUCUUGAAAUGCCAUUGGAAAACCACCAAAGAAUUUUAUUUAGAAAGUAAUUAAUUAGUGAGGAAUAUAUGAGUCCUAGCAGUGGGGUUAGGCAUGUAUUGAUGGAGGAUGCUUUCUUAAGUGGAUGAAAUGAUUAGCUAGAUUCUUAAUUAGGAGGACGUUUAAGUAUAGAUAUGUUUGGUCUUCUUGAUUUUUUAACGUAAUUAGUAAUUACUACUCUAUUUAUUUGUUCUUAUAAUUACUUGGUAGGUGCAUGUAUGUUGUUAUUUAUUUUUCGUUUUUCCUGCUUUAAUCUCUCUUCUUCUUCUUUUUGGCAAGAACAUUGAUUGAGCACAUUCAUAUAUUGUGAAAAAUAUUGAUCUGAGAUAUAUAUAUUUAGGAUUAAAAAUGUCCCUUAUAUAUGAACACUGAUGUAAUACUUAAAUUUCAUUUCAAGUGAUCGAAUAUCGAUCUUUUAAACCUGUGAGAAGGAUUCAUUAUAUAGAGACGUAUUGAAAACACUUCUAAGCUCGGCGUGAUUUAUUAGUUUCAUCCUAAACUAUAUAUUGACAACUUUAAAGACAUUCCUUUAUUUGAAUAACUGAACUUACUUACAGUACCCCUUAUCUUGUAACAUGAGUGAAAUACACCCCUAAAUUCUCACCAAGUUUACGGGUAUUUUCAACACUUUUCUCGACUUUUUAUUAAGAGCCCUCCUACAAGAGUUUGAGAUCAUUUGCUAUGUCAUGUGAUAGAUCAUGAGUGUAUCUAAGUUUAGUUAGUCAAGUAACUAGAGGGUUGUUUUUAAGGCUGUCAGUAGUUCAAGAACGAAACUAAUAAUUUGUGUCAAGUUCAGGAAUAAUUUCAAUAUUUUUCUCUAUUAUAUAUUAAUAUUUUUUAAUAUAAAGUGAAAAUGUUUUACUAUAUGGUAGUACCGCAUCUAGUAUCACUAUAAUAAUGUUUUUGAUAUGUAUGUUUUCUUUUACAUACUCCCAACUGUUUUGUCAUGACUAUGCACUUAAUUAAGUGUUGGGGCAAAGCUUACAACUUCAUUUACAAAUGUUUUUUUGUAUGAUUUGUGUUGUUUAUGCAUCAGUUAAUAACAAAACAUAUAUACUUCACCUUUUUUCAAAAGUGAAGGAUACUGAAGUGGACAUAACAAUUAUACUAAUGAAUAUUGUCUCUAGCUAUGUUUAUAUCAUGAAUACUCAUGAACAAUAAUCUCUAUGUAUUGUACUUUUGGGUUGUUUUCAUCUAUAAAAAUAUGGUCACUCGAUCUACUAAUAAUUUUUUGUUGUCAUUUAUAAUAAAGAAAUAACGACGUGAUGCAAAAAAAAAAAGAAACAACUUUCGUUUUGCUUUAAUUAUGACGUGUAUGAACCUAACAAAAAAAAGGACCCAAUUUAGGGUAAAAAGUUAAUUUUAUAACUAUAUAAAUUUCUAAUUCAAUUGUGCCUUUUUAAAUAUUUCUAUUUCAAGUUUUAUUAUCACAAUUCACAACUAGGGGUGUUCAUGAUUUGGUUUUGAUUGGUUAUUGUUUAAAACCAAAACCAAAUCAAUUUAGUUGGUUUUUAAAUGUCUAAAUCAAACCACACCAAAUAAAAAAAAAUAACUGCCCGGUUUAAUUGUUGUCGAUUUGGUUUGGGUUUUUUGGUUUUUUCAAUUUGAAAGUAAUAAAUUAAAUUUGUUGAGAAUACACACAUUUCGGUAGACACAGACACCUAAUACAUGAACAAUCCACAAGAAAGUUAUUGUAGAUUCAAUUAAGCAAUACUAAAGUUAUUAUUACACGAAUAAAGUGAUUCGAUUAAGAGAAAGUGUGACUGUAUAAUGUGACGUAGGAUAGGUAAAGAUUAAAGUAAUGGAUUAUGAUGGACUUGGUCUUAGGAGUUUAAUAGUUUGUCUAAAAUUUAAGUAUUGAACUUGAGAAAAUGGUAAAGUUGACACUUAAGUUAAUUAAAUCUAACAUAAUAUUUAUAUUUUUAUUUAUGAAUAAUAUAUAAAUAAUUAUAAAUUUUUUAUAUAUAAUUUCUCGGUUCGGUUUUUUUUUUUUUUUUUUGCAGUUUUUAGUAAAAUCAAAACCAAAUCAAAUAGUAUCGAUUUUCAAAAUUUAAAACCAAACCUAUCCAAACUACACCAAAUAUCAGAUUUUUAAUUGGUUUGAUUUGGAUUGUGGUUCGAUUUGAAUUUUUACCAUAACCAUGAACAACCCUAUUCACAACUGUGAUAUUAAGAUCGACUUGACUAUAAAGUCACUCAAACAAUGAUUAGAAGAAAAUAGUUUUAAAAAAUUAUAGUAUUUUAUGUUACGUAAUUAUUUAACUUGUUGUCUUAUUUAUAUCCUAACGAUUGACAUGAACUCAUAUUACGAGUCCUUACCUUUUUCAUUCUCAUUUCGUUAUUUUCAUUAUUUUAUUAUUAAUUAUUCUAAAGUCUCCCAAACGGUCAAACUUUUUGUAUUAUGCAAAAUCUAUUGUCUAUUUAAAAAAGAUCAAAUUUACCUUUUGAAGUUGUUUGCAACAAAUUUUAAAGUGGCAGAAAAGAAAUUGCAAUCACAAAUAAAAUAUGAAGAAACAUAACUUUAUUGAUAAAUAGUGAGGGUACAAUUCUGUUGAUCCCUUGAUUCUCCUCUCAUAAGAUUUAUCCAUGAUUCGAGGGUUGUUAGUGGCGUAUAUCUCGAACUAGGAUGAUUUAGAUUUGACCUCUAUAUGAAUAUUCCAUGACUUUUGUGGAAUAUAUCGAGAUCGUAAUCUUUAAUAAUACCCAAGAAUUUAUGGGAUAUUUUGAGAUGUCUUUUAAGGGAAUUUAGUACCCUUUAUAUAGGCAUGAACUGGGUUUAGGGUUUUAGCCUCCAAGAAUCAUAAUUGGAAUUGAACACAUAUUGUAGAAUCCCAACUAAAAUUGAACACGUCUUGUCUCGUAGAGUCCAACAAAAUUCCAGUGUCUACAUGAGUCUUUUUAAAUUUCUAGCACGGGAUGUAGUCACUACUACUCCCUUUGUCCCUAUUUACUUGUCCAUUUUUGACUUGGCAUGCCUAUUAAGAAAAUAGUAAUUGACAUAAUGAGUUUACCAUUUUACCCCUAUUAAUUGAUAGAAUUCCAAAAUCAAUUUACCCAUUAAAGAGGUUUUACCUUUUUCAAAAACAUUAACUCUCUAAAUAAAUUAAGGGUAUAGUAUGUAAAAAAUAUUGUCUUUUCUUGAUUUGUCAAAAAUGAAAAGUAAAAAUGGACAAGUAAAAAGUCGAAAUUUGACAAGUAAAAAGGGACAGAGGGAGUAAAUCCCUAUCAUUCUAUGAAUUUAUUAAAUUCAAUGCAACACUAUUUCUUUGUGAUCAUAUUAACUUCAUAAAAUAGUGUUUUGCAAAAAUCAAACCGAUCAAUAAAUCAACUCGGAAAAAUGUUAUUGGGUUAUUGUUGUUGGAUUAUUUGAUCAACGGAUUUUUAAUGAUUUUAUAAAAAAAGUAUUGAUUUAUCGGUUCGGUUUCAAUUUUUAUUAUUGUAUUAUUGGAUAAAUCGAUAACCCAUUAAGACGAUGGUAAUUUACUCCUUUACUCUUCAUAAAUAUUACUCCCUUUGUCUCAUUUUAUGUGAGGUAGUUUGACUCGGCAUGGAGUUUAAGAAAGAAAGGAAGACUUUUAAAACUUGUGGUCCAAAAUGAAUGAUAGAAAUUUGUGUGGCUGUAAAUCAUUCCAUUAAGGGUAAAAUAGACAUUUUAUAGUUAAAUUGUUACUUUUUAUAGAAAUGUGUCAUUCUUUUUUGGACUGACUAAAAAUAAAAGUAAGUCACAUAAAUUGGGACAGAGGGAGUACUAAUAAUUGAACUCUGCGCUACACUCUACACACUUCACAGUACUUCUACUUCAUCAUAAAUUCCAUAUUAUAUUUUAGUUGUAACAUGUAAUUGCAGCCUUCAUACUAUAUCUAUUUUUAUUGAUGCAAUUUUUCAUUAUCUUUCUUGUUUUACUAUAUCAAAGCAUUUAUAGUUGACUUGCUUGUUUCAUUGUAUUGUGCCAAAUUUUUAGAGAAGAGAACUCAUAUAUAUAUAUUUAUAUAUAUAACAUUUUCUUAUUUGGUAAAUUGAAACUAAAUUGUUAAUUAUAAAAAUUGAUAAAUCAAAAAUCGAUAAAAAAAAAAUCUUAUUAAUUUAUUAUUGAUUUAUCGUAUUUCAAAAUUGAAAAUAGAUCCUGUUUUGUGUUUCAUAUUCCAAGAAGCAUUCCCCAAUAACACUAAUUCUGAUAAUACGCAUUGGAAAAUAUGAAUUAAUCGUCCCUUGCUACACUGCUUACUGCAGCAUGUGACAAACUCCUUUUUUCAAUAAAGCGACAACUUCUGUUCACAAAGAUUGUUCAUCAUAUCAUUAAAUCUUUUUAUUACUAUAAAAUAAACUAAAUUUAAAAAAGGUUACCUUUACACUUCUCUUAAAAAAUUAAAAGACACUACAUAUCAUUAAUUAUUUGACUAACCGGAACCAAAAUCUUAAUACAAUAAUUAUGUUUUUACUCAUGAGUAGUGGUGGGUAUAAUAGUAAGGUAAUUAUAUAUAUUAGUGAAAUAUUUUUAGCAAAUAAUGAUAGUUUUGUGAGACUUAAGAUUUAAUAAAUGUGAUGUAACCAAAGUUGGUGAGAGGAAGAUGUAGGUGGUGGAACUUAAAUGAGACAAGAUUGAUUAGGGAACAUGGACACCUGUCUAUGAAUUUAUCUUGUGUGGACCUAUGCUUUACUAUUUGGGUGGCAAUGGUUUAGUUGCCUAAGCUAUUGGGAAUUCAUCAAACCAAUCUUUUAUUCACACGUAAUUCCUUCAACUUAUUUCUCAAAAGUGUGAGAGAAUAGUUCGAGAUUGUUUUAUUCAUAGAUAUAAAUUUCGAUUUCAAAUUUAGCAGAGAGUAGUAUUGAAAAUAUUCUUGAACUUGAUAUAAAUUAUUAGUUAUAUUUUUGAACUAUUGAUAGUCUUAAAAACAUUUUUUAACUUGACUAAAUAAACCUAGAUACACUCUUAAAGUGCAACAUGACAUAGCAAGCGGUCUCAAACUUUUGUGGUAAAAUGAUACUCUUAAUAAAAAAUCGAGAGAAGUGUUGAAAACAACCCUAAAAUUGGUGAGCAUUUAAGUGUGUAUUUGACGCAUGUUGCAAGAUGGGAGUGUAUUUAAAUUCAGUUAGUCAAGUAAAAAUAUGUUUUUAAGACUGUCAAUAGUUCGUAGAUGAAAUGAUAAUUCACGCCGAAUUUAUUAGUAGGGAAUGCUUUUUUUUUUUAAUUCCUACCCAGUGUUCGAAGCCCUUAUUAGUAGGGAAUGUUUUUUUUUUUUAAUUUUCCACUCUGUGUCCGAAAUCAGCAUUGGAGCCCCGAUUAAAUCCAAAUCGCUCCCUUCAAAUCUCAUUAGGGAUGACGCUCCUAAUAAAAUUUUCUUUGUAUCUAGGACUCAAAUCCAAAAUCUCUGAUCAAAGAUGAAGCCGUCUCACCACAAUACCACAAUUGAUGGCAGGGAAUGCUCUCAUCCUUCAGUGGAUCUAUAAAUUGGAUAAAUAAAUUUUCAAUUUAAAUAUAUUGGUCCACGUUAAUAUCUUCUCAUUUAAGAUCUUCUAAAAUAUCCUUGUCAAAGUUUUAAAGAAGAUUAACAUGAAAAGCCAUUGAUAUGUGCUCAAGACAACAAGAGGGUGUCCCAUUUUGUACCACUAGCAGCCUAACAAACAAGACAAAUCAAACGUUAUGUUUUAAUUUACUUGGACAAGUAAAACUGCUUAUUAAUUCAUUCAACUAAGGCCAACCGUAUUCUUUUUUCUUAAGAAUAAAGAAGACACUUUUAAAAAAUAAUAAAAUCUGAAUAUAGAUAAAAAGAAGGCACACUUGUCAAUCCAUUGUGUUGUGUACCUUAUGUCAUUCAACAUAUAUUUUUUUUUUAUUUUCAUCCGAUAUCUGAUAUUCAUAUUGAAAGUCCAACUAUUUCAGAUUUACAUAGGGUUCAUUCGGAGGGAAGCACUCUCUGUCAAGAAUUUUUCUAUCUCAUGAAUUUAAAUUCAUGACCUCUAAUUAAAAAAAAAAAAACUCCAUCCGCUGAAGGAUAUAUUUUGUGGCAUGUCAUUCAACAUAUUAAUGAGGUGGAAGUCAAUUUAACUUUGAAAUAUUGAUUUACCAAGUCAAGAAAGAAGCAUCUUUAAAGUAUUUUCCUUUGUUAUCAAGCAUUUUUUUAAAAAAAAUUAGCACUAAUUUGGUUGUAGACUAGUUUGCAUUUCUUUUAUUUUUAUUGUUAGAAAGGGGAAUUGGCCAUCACUAUUUUAAAUGAGGAUAAAAAGUUUUUUUCUUUUUAACUUUCCUGAUAUUGGGAAAAAAUGGGAAAAGGAGAAAAAGACAGAUAAUGAGGUAAAAAAAAUUAUUUUAUUUUUUUCCCUUGGUUUUGACCUGUAUAUCUAAAAACAAAUUGGGAAGUCGAUUAAAAUGAUAAAAGUAAGGGUGAAUUGCAGAUACUAUGAAUUUUAAAGUAGGAUUUGGUGCUGAGAAUAAGCAUUUUAAACAUAUUUUAUCGUGUGUGAAGCAAAUAGUGCUUAGAAAGGAUCAGGUACCAUAAUCCACAUUAACAGCCCCUGCCCCACUUUCACCUUUGCCCCUCUACUUUUCCUUAAUUAAAAGUCUUAAAGUAAUAAAUAUGAACACUUUAAAAAAAAAUUGCAAAAUUAAUAUAGAAAAGAUUUAAUCAAUAUUUUUUUAGUAAAAUGAAUAACUAAUAUGAGACAUUUAUUUAUAGUAUAAUGAUUAAUUAAAUUGGGCUGAGUAAAUAGUCAUAGAGAAAUUAAGACAAGAGGGUUGGCAACCUCACCUCCAAACACUACACCAAAAAACAUAUAUAUUUAUAUAUAUAUAUAUAUAUAUUGUAAUUGUGAUUUUAUUGAGACAUUUCUUAAUAUUAAUAUUUGCCAAUAAGGUGUGUCAUUAAUGAUAUUAUAAGAUCCAAAUUUUAGGUAGUUUUAAUGAUCAUUGUUAUUGACCCUAAAUCGAUGCCAUGAAAAAAAUGGGAUUUUUUUUAGGGAGAAAUCUUUUUGGUUAGAAAAUUUAAUCAGAAUAAUAUUUUAUCUAUGUUAUUUUAUUUUUUAAAAUAUUUUUAUCCUUUUAACUUUAACAUCUUUUAAAUAAAAAAUGGAAAAAAGAUCAGUUUAUUUUAAAAUAAAAAAAUAUUAUAAUUUUUAAAAUUUUCUGACCAAAUUUUCUGGCAAUUUAACACUUCCCUUUUUUUUUUUUUAGCAUAGUUGAUAACUUUACCAGCACUCUUUAUAGUUACCUAAAAUUCAAGCGACUCGGAAUUUAAUGACAAGUAACUAAUUUUCUGUGAAAAUUUGAAUGGAAGGCUUUAUUGUUACAGUGAAAUUUAAGAUUGUGUGAGAAGUCGAAGGAAGGGAUAAAAAAAUGAAGAUAUUAGAAGUUGUAUUUAAUUUGAAUGGACAUGAAACGGGUAAAAGAAAGAUUUGUCUCUAUUGAACUUUAUUUAUUGUAUAUUAUUACUAUAUACUAUACUAGUUGAAACAGGUCUAAUUAUACUGUCUUUUCUCAGUUAAUUAAGGAUGCUUUUGCUUUCCAAAAAAGAAAAAACUGUUUCUGAAUUAGAAUUCCUAAUUUUUCAGGUGACAAUUAAAUAUCACCUUUAAAUCUCUAUUUAUCAUCACAUCUCUUCUUUACUUUACUACUCUUAUAAAGAAACCAAAGAUAAACAAACACAUAGCUCCCCACCACUUGUUCUUUAUAUUUUCUUUUAUUCACUAGCAUUUUUAAUUCGUGAAUUUACAAUGAUAAUAGGAUCUUUUAAUAUUCUAUGUUUUUUCUCGUAAGUGUGUUAAUUGUGGAGUUGAGUAUCUUCUAUAAGACUCUACAUGAUUUAAACUUGAAUUGGCUUAGUCCAGUUCCAAUUUUUGCGAAGAAUUGUGUAUAAUCUUCUUCUUCUUCUUCUUCUAGUGCAAAAAUCCAAGAUUAAGAAUUUGAAGAUCAUGGAGGUUUAUCAUCGUCCUUAUAGGCUACUUCUUGAUCCACAUCCUGUAAUUCCACCUAGUAGUACAAUAAGCAAACCUCACCAUGGUUACUCAAACGAAGCGAAUUUCGAUACAAACAUGGUGAUCAUUUUAGCUGCUCUGCUUUGUGCAUUAAUAUGUGCUCUUGGAUUGAAUUCAAUUGUGAGAUGUGCGUUACGUUGCAGCAGGAGAUUUGCUUUCGAGUCAGAAACUGCACGAUUAGCUGCAACAGGGCUGAAAAAGAGCACACUGAGGAAACUUCCCCUCUCUGUUUAUGGAUCAGGAGUUAAUAUUCCGGCUACUGAUUGUCCCAUUUGCCUGGGAGAAUUCGUUGAUGGUGAAAAAGUGAGAGUUUUGCCGAAAUGUCACCAUGGAUUUCAUGUGAAGUGUAUAGAUAUUUGGUUGGCUUUACAUUCUUCAUGUCCAACAUGCCGGCAAUCGUUGCUCGAACAGAACACAACGGCAGCAGCAGCAGGGGAUCUUGAAACUGGAUUGAGGCAAUCUCCUCCUCCUCCUGCUGCUCCUGCUAUUGCUGCUGAGGAGGUUGGUUAAUUUGCAGUAUCUUUUUGUUUUAAAAGGGAAAAAUAUGUAGGUGUUUCAGUCUUCAGAUCAUUUGUUUGUUUGGCAACGUAGUCAGAACCAACCAGUUCUUUUUUUUUUAUCAUAUACACAAGAUUGAUAUAGCCUUCAAUUGCACAAAGAUGUGCUAGUAAGAAUUGAUGUCAUUCUUCAUUUGAAAAUUUUGAGUUUGUUUUCUUUUCCAUCCAAACCUGUAUUUGGAAACUGUUUGAUUUAUUCCAAUCUUUGAAUUUGUUUUGAACUUGUCUUCUUAAGAAAAUUGCUCAAACUUGCAUAUUCUAGGCUAAAUGGUGGAGUUGAGGUAUUAACUUUUUUGGUUAGGUGCCAAUUGGUUAUAAAAGAAAGUUGAUUGAUUUUACAUGAAAAGAACCAUUAGUUGAGUUGACUUUGAGGUUAUAAAAAAACAGUUGAGUGACUUUCUAUGAAAAGAACUAUUAGUUGACUGACAUAUGAGAUAUUAACUCUUUGGAUGAGUAAAGCAGAGUUCAUACUUAUUCCACAUGGCAUGUUUUUUUGUGAUUAUAAGCUAUUCGUAACAAUUUACGGUUGCGUUGUCAGAUGUCAAUGGUAAGAUGGAGGUCUUGUUACUAUGGCCAGCUAGUCAUGUAGAUCAAAUAUCAAACCAUGAUCUUGAACUGCCAGCAACACUGCUACUACUUGAUUAAUCAUCAUCAGCACUCUGGAAACUGCAAAUUUGUUCAUAGAAAGCCUAAAGUUUGAAUAUUUGUUAUGCUUUUUUUUUCUGUUUGUCUCUGUUUGAUUUGAUAAGGCACAUUCAUAUAUUGAUUGUUAGCCAUAAGGAACAAAAGGAAUCAUUAGCAUGUGCUAAAAGAACAGAAUCUCUCUGCACAACUUUUCAUCAUAUAGCUCUUUUCUCCCCUUUUAUAGGUCAAUUUGGUCCACAGCAUAGUUAUUUGCAAUUUGCAAAGUAAGGUAUCAACUGGACAUUUAGGCAACAGACCCUCUCUGCUACCUCCUUUGACGUUUGAUUGAUCAGCAUUAUCUUCUACUUGAUUAGGUUCAAGUAGAAAAGAAUGCUCGUAAAUACUACCAUAGUGCGCAAAGGAACAAUGUAGAAUGAUGAUUGAGUUGAAAGAAGUCAAUUCUAGAAUUAAGAUUGAAUACCCUUUCCACUACUUGCUUGCAAUUGCGAUCUGUCACCGCGUUCUAGUCAUCAAUGAAAUGGGUGAAAAUCGUAUGAGAUUACGCUCAAGUUCAGUACAAACAAAGAAAGGCAAGAAAUUUCCCAUUUGCAUAAAUGUUGGUAGACAGAAUUAACAAAUACCUAUGCUAGUGGGAGGUAGUAGGUACAUAAUAAAAUUAUCGUUGGCAAACUAAUGUGGCCUUUAUAUAAAACAAAAGAAAAACAGUAAGUGCAGUGCUAGGAGACAGCAUGUGUGCUCAUUCAAAGCAACCCAAGUGCCCAAAGUACCGCAUCUGUACGAAGGCAUACAGCAGUGUACCUUUUGGAGCCAUUUCUUGAUAUUCUUCUGAUAAUUGAAAGUAGAGUGCUAAUAGUACUAUGAUACUGCUUUAUUCAAGCUGCUUUCCAUGUAGCAAAAAGUAUUGAUUGAAAUAUUUUUUUUCGCAAAAUGAAGUUGCGGAUGCUCUUGCAAAAUGUUUUGCAGGCACUUGACUCACAGUUGCUAGAAAAAGCUCUCCUCACUGUAUUAUACAUGCUGUUAUCAAAUUAGAUGCACAUAGCUACUCAAAACACAGCACAUAGGCGUUUGUUUCUACUUACUUCGAUAAUGAUGAGGUCUAUGCAAUCGCAUCCUUCAAUCUCUUCGACUUCUUUCUUGAUUUUGAAUCCUUCACAAAUCCAGUGCACUUGGUAGUCCUGCAACGAAAGACAUCGUGCUUUCUAUAUGAGUCCCCGUAUGUACCAACUUCUUUAUAUUUGAAGGCAAGUGUAACUCGGAUACAAUGGUGGACCACUCAAAGGUAAGGUGUAGUAUUUGAAGCUGGGUAGCACUCUCCAAUAAAUCAAAUAUCGUUCUAACAUAAUGAAUGUGCUAACAAUAUAUUACUUCAGGGGUUGUCUAAACCUGUCAUAAGAUUUGUGUGGCUAUACCAUAUACUAUCAACAUUGUCGUUAACUAAUUAUACUCAUUAAUUUCAGGGACUGCCAUUGUCCUCCUGGAAAGCUGAUUAGGGGUUUGACAGGUGAUAUCGAUAUAUCUGGCUUCCUAUGAUGUUCAAAAACAAAAAUGAAACAAUGAUUUGACAGAAGGCAACAAGAAAUCACAGUAAAAGACCAUCUGAUAUAUAUUUGUCUCCAAUCAUACAGAAAAAGAGUUGAUCAAUUAAGACAAACUUAGCAAUCAGUAGUAGUGUUACAAUACCAUGGUUGUGGUUACGGGUACAUACUUGAUUCACGGCCUCCUUAUAUUCCUUCCCCCCAAAUUCUGUAUUGCGCAUAUUGUUUGCACAUUAGAUGCACAUACAUACUCAAAAACAGCACAUAGGAGUAUGUUUCUACUUACUUGGGUAGUGAUGUCAACACAGUCACAUCUUUCAAUCGCUUCGACUUCUUCCUUAAUUCUCACAGCUGAAGCCUCCAGAGAUUUGUUGUUGCACAAAAUCAACUUAAUUUAUUUCAGUGGUGGAAUAUCUACAAAGCUAAGGGGGAUCUCCUUGAGAUUGUCGCAUGCUCUUAUAACAAGUGUUUCGAGCAGGGAAAGGAUUCCUCCAAGGCAUCCCACCUUGAGAUACUUAAGCACGACAGUUUCAAGAACUUCAGUUUAUGGAACGUGAUAUCUCGAAGGCACCACUCUUUUGAUUGAGAAAAACUCGGUUCAGAAUCUAUAAGAUACAGAUCUUGUAACUGGAGAUACUCCAGGCUUGGUAAUCCCGCAAUGAAGGAAAUUGCUCUUUCUAUAUCAGUCCCGAAUAGUACCAACUUCUUUAAAUUUGAAGGUACUUGUAACCCGGACACAAUUUGGGGCCACAAAAAGGCGUAAGAGAUACCACAUAGUGAGGCUUCAGAGGAGGAGUAAAUUUUAAGGGUAAAAACUAACAUAGUACCACCAAGUAGAAAAGAUUGGUGGUAAAAACUAAUAUAAUACGCCAAAGGAACAAAGUAGAUUGAUGAUUGAGUUAGAAGAAGUCAAUUCUAGAAUUAAGAUUGGAUCCCCUUCCCACUACUUGAUUGCAAUUGCGAUCUGCCACCGCUUUCUAGUGAUCAAUGAAAUGAAUGAGAUUACCGCUCAAGUUCCAGCACAAACAAAAAAGGCUAGAAAUUUCCAUCUGCCUAGGCAGAAUAACAAAUACCUACGCCAGUGGGAGGUAGUAGGUACACGAUAAAAUUAUCAAACUAAUACGGCCUUUAUAUAAACUUCACUAAACUUCAACGAUGUAAAAGACCUACAGUGGUGUAGGUUUUUUAGCAACGUUCACUAAACUUCAAAGACUGAUUUUAGAUUACAACUCAAUAAUCAAAUGAACUAACUCCAAUACCUCGAACAAAUCUGUUUACUCCGACUAAUAAACUCAACAAAAACUUAUAACUCUAAGUCUCUAGCAUUCUACAAACCAACAUUCAACACACAUAGUGACUCUUGCUUAACAAACAAAACUUCAAUAAACAAACAAUUACAAACUCGAUCACACCUAACAACUACUAGACCAGUUCUCAGAAUAUGCAGUAGGUGCGGCUAGCAGUAAGCUUCAACGCCCUAUAGCAGUUUUUUCAAUACACCCAUUGUGCACCAACUGCUCUUGUAUUAUCUUCUUCUUAAGCUGUGAUCUCGUCCUGAGGAGUCUUGAUGUCAACCUUCAGCUGAGCAUUCUCAGUUUAAAGGGAGUCGGUGCAGUUGAUAUAUGUGAACAGAGCCUUUACUUUCUACAAGUCAACAUGCCUAAUAUGGCCAAAAUAUUCAUAUGCUCUUCUUACUUGAAAUUUCUUGUCUUCGUACUUCGUACGUCUAUUGGUUGAAGUGACAAUAUUCAUAGAUCUCCUUUGAGUUAAGUAUGUUGGAAAUCUUAUGGAAAAUACCUUUGUCAUGAACAUUUGUAGGAAAUUUUCAUAGCUUGAGGCGUGUUGAAAAACCCUGUCCUUAAAGAUAUUUCACCCGGUAUAGAUAUAUUCCCAAAUUCAACAAGCUCUUCUAAUAUAAAAUUAGGAGCCAGAAACUAACAAAAUUCUUUAAUAUAAAACCAGCACAAGAAUUUUGGAGAAAGAAUAUUUGUAUACUUCACUUCGUCUCUCCCAAAAAAACAAGAGGUGAUGACACUUUAUAUAAGAAGAGGAUUCGGCCAGAAAAUGGGUAUUGAAAGACCCUUUAGGACAAGAAUAAUACUUCUUCUCUCCUUAAUUACUUGUCCACUUUUUCUUUUUUAGUUGUUCCUUAUUACUUGUCCAUUUUGACAAAUCAACAAAGAACAUAAAAUAAUAUUUUCUUUCAAGUAUAAUAGGUAAAAUAAUUCCUUUUGAGAUAUUACAAAGUAUUCAUAUAAUAUUUCACAUCAUUAUAGGUAUCUUUACUUGAAAUAUAAAUGAAAACAGACAGCCAUAAUAUGGUCGCGCUUGUAUAUAUGAACACAUAGGCAAUUAGUCAUAAGAUAAAACAAGAAUUAGCACUUGAUGACUUGAAUAACUAGAUAUCAUGUUUAUUGAAAUUUAAGUGCUAUAUAGAGAUUCUACUUGAGUAGCUAAAUGAUCUUUGUCGUAAUUUACUUAUUAUAGAUCGUUAAAUUAGGUCUUAGGCCUAACUCACACCUCAAAAGUUAGCUCAAAGGGAGGAGGAUUGCCCAAGCCUUAUAAGGAGUCUACCCAUCUCAUUAACCACCAAUGUGAGACUUUAGUUAUUCUUUAACACUCACCUCACGCCUAGUGCUUAACAUUUGGUGCGUGGGCAAUUUUGACUUUGGGCCCCAACAUUGGGUGAGACGGACCCUGCUUUGAUACCAUAUUAAAUUAGGUCUUAGGUCUAACUUACACCCCAAAAACUAGCUCAAAUGGAGGAAGAUUGUCUAAGCCUUACAAAGAGUUCACCCAUCUCAUUAACCACUAAUGUAAGACUUUAGUUAUACUUUAACAUAGGCCUUUAAGGCAGUACUUGAAUAAAAGCUACCUUUAACGAUGGGAGGGUAUUCAUAGGUUUUAUUUAAGAUAUAUGUGCGACACUUUUCACAAGGUUGAUACCGGACCAUUCAUAGUGAGCUCAACGAUUGUGGUGUACCCGUCUUUGUGGCAUCAUUUGCAUUUGGUAGUCAGCUGGAAUGUCACGCACUAGUUCCCCUGAUUUGAGCCAAGAUAUGGCACAUAUGGCCUGCGGGCAAGACCCUCGUAGCAGGCUCACAGAGGCCCAAGAUAUAGCACAUACCAGUACAUGUUAUAUGUACCCUAUGUUGGGGGUGAUGGUGGUGCUGCAUUUAUACAAAUGCAGGAUCAAGUAUACAGAUAGGCAAACCUCCACAUUAGGCAGUUGUGGUGUUUAUAGACUUGGACUGGGCCUUUGGGUAAUGCCGCAGUGAACUUCACUGCGUUAGGCAUUGCACCACAACGCCUUUUGUUUUUUUUUAUACUUGGGUCAAUUUUCUCUAAACUCUCAUUCCCCAUGACUUUUAGGGCAUCUCUAACACAUUCUUUAUUUUACUCUCUAAAUAUAGAAAUUACUGAUAUAGAGAAUCUUUAUAUUAGGAGACAACUAACUCUAACUCAAUUUUCUAUUUUUUCACUUUAAAAAAAAUCUUAUUUUCUGUCCUCAAUAUUAUAUUAUUAUUUUUUAUUUUCUUAUUUCAUAAAAUAAAUCUUUUUUUUUUUAAAUAAUCACCCUAUAUAAUUAUUACUAAAAUGUUGUCGUAACUUUUAAAAUUAUUAUAUUACAUAUUCUAUUGGAGGAGUUCCCCUUUAAGCGUGAGGCCGAGGCAAAAUACCGCGCUCUAUGAUGGUGAUUUGGGCACUCAGUAGGAUUCCUUCCUCCCCUGAUACUUGUGAUACUGGUUUAUGGUUUGCCUUGUUUGGGCAAAAGACAUCUUUUAUGCUUUCUUGUUUUGGCAGCACAUGAAUGCUUGUUUUGGAAUGUCCUGUUAUCUAUUGUAUCUUUAAAUUAACAAUUUCUUCUUAUAUUCAAGUGUUUUGUGUACUAUAUUUAAAUUUAUAUUUUUUGACUUAUUUUAAAUUUUAUAUAGUCUUCAUAGUGAAAACAAUUAUAUUUUUAAAGUGACGAAUAUUUUUUUUUUAAAAAAAACUAAAAAUAGAAAGACUGUUAAUUCAGGAUGAAAGUAGUAUACUAUUCAAUAAUAGAUUAGAUGUUUUUCAUUUAAUUACUCAUUUACACAUGCAUUUUUCAUUUUUGUGAUGAUUGUUAUUUUAAGAAAAUUAAAAAAUUAUAGUAAAAAUAAGGGGAACUUACAUAAAUCUCACUAGUUUAAGAGCUAAUUAUUUAUAUACUCUUUAGUUUGCAAUAUUUUUACCAGAAUUUGGUGCCUCCAGAUACGUCAAAUACAUGUAUCUUGAAUAAAUGGGGGUCAAUUUUAUGUGUAAGUUGUUCUAGAUAUAUUGCAUCCAAGUGCCUUCACACGUAUCUGGGGUACAUAGCAAAUCUCGCUUGCCUCCCUCGCCUCUCUCCCAUCUCAUUCGCCACUCUCUCAUGUAUUUGGUAUCCAGAUACAUACGAAUCACUCCAGAUGCAUACAUAUACAUGUAUCUAAUGUGAUUCACAUGUCUCUGAGAUACAUACGAAUCUCGCUCGCCUCCCUCCUCAAUCUCGCUCGCAUCUCUCCCUAAUUUGGUGUAUCUAGUAGCAAAUACAUGUAUUUAAGUGUAAAAUAUGCAUGAAACUCUUAAUUAUUGAUAAGAUACGUAAUAUUUUAAAAGUAUAGAUAAUAACAAUAUAUAUGUUAGUGAAGUAUAUCUACUUAUGUAGUUUUUCCUAAUAACUUAUAUCUUAAAUAAUUUUUUAGUGGAAAUAUAAAUUUAAAAUUAAUAUAAUACAUUAGAAAAUAAUUACAAAUAUCAGAGACUUAAUUAAUGAUCUUAUAUGAUUUAUAAUAUAUUAAUUACAAAUGUUAUAUAAUAUAAAUUUAAUUAAAAUAUUCAAUAAUUGAAAUAGAGAGCAUGAAUAAAGAGUAAAAUAGAUGGGAGUUGAAGAUGAUCUUAGUGUAGUGUUGUUCCCCAUCACAACGAACAUUGUAUAACUUCUUCUAUCAAAUUCGAACUAAGAGUGGUUAGAUGUGUUGGAAUUAAAAUAUCAACACGCGGUUGAGCAUAACCAUACAUCCUUAUUAGUUAUUAACAUCACACCACUCAUCCAAAUUAAUUGUGCUCUAAUAGUUCAAUAUAUAGUGUGGAGUUGCCAGAUGUUAUAGAUAUGUACAAAAUUUUAGAACUAUACGUAUUAUAGUCUAAAUUAAUAAUCAUCCAAAUAAUAUUUUCUAGUGGUUAAAUUUUAAAUUGAAUAAAAUUUGGUAAGAAUUAGUGAUUAUUUGCCCCUUUUUGAAAAAUAAAUAAAUAUUUGGGAUCGUAAAUUAAGAGGCUCAAAAAGAAGAAAAAAACUUUAAUUAUGAUCUUAUGUGUAACGUCAUAAAAAUUUAUUAAGGUACAAAACGUCAGCGUCGCCAUGUCAGCACAAUAUUCACGCAAAAGGCGUGUGUCAUCUUAGACCAAUCCAUUCCCAAGCUUGUGCCGUUGCUCGAACUGCGCGUGCCACCUCUUCUUUCCACGCAUCCUACUUAUGUCUAUGCCCCUCCCCAUUUUUAACCAAUCACAAAAACUUACAAAUAUUACAUACUGUAACAUAAUAUUAAUUAUUUCUUUUAAUUUUGUUACCCAAUUAAUUUAAAAGCAAAACUAUAGAAUAGUCAAUUUUCCAUAUUUUAAACGCGUCAAAAAAUACAUUCAAUUUAUAUUUGACUCAUGGGAAAAUAGAGGUAUUUUUGACCAAUAGUGGUCCGCACCUACUAUUUGCUUGUUCGUGGCAAUUUCUUACUCUUAUCAAUUUAGUUUGGCGUGUACUCACUCCUAAAUACAUUAGGACACGCCCCUUUAAAAUGGGUGACGCUUUUUCUUGUUAAUAUAACCGCCCAAAACCCGAGCUUAAUCCCUUCUUAUUCGGAACAUCAAAUCUGACUCCAUUCUUACUCAGCCCCUAAAAUCCCCUUUUUCUUAUUUAAUUCUGGUUUACAGAUUCAUCAUAUCCUUUAAAGGGGAAUUGUUUUUUCCUGCUCAAAGAUGGCAUCGUUAAAGAUUCAUCCUAGAACCCAUUCAUUGAUUCAAUUUAACAAACCCAAUACGGUUUCUGAUUUGAAAUUGAACUCUUCUCUCUCAGUUUCUGAGCAGAUUAAGAAAAGGGUGUGUUCUCAUCGUGUUUCGUCUUCUCUAUCUUUAUCAAAUUCAUGCGGAGGAGGAGGAGGAGUUAUGAAAGAGGAUCAGAAAACGGAAGGUGUAUUAUCAGGGAAGAUUGAUGAAUGGAUGAAUGAAUCAGUGGUGGAUAUUGUGAAGAACUUGAAACAAGCGCCGUUGUUGGUUCAGAUAUACUCUGACGAUGGAAAAGGACAAGUGAAGAUCAAGACGGAGAGAGCGGUGGAGGAAGAUUGGCCGAUGAAGAAAAGUGAAUGGGAGAAGAGAUCACCAGAUGGGCUUAUCUUCGUUGGAGAACUUGGAAGUGAGGAUGAGAAACUUGUAGAGGAAGAAGGAGAAGGAAUAACAAAGGCAUGGGGAGUAGUUGUACAGGGGAAAGGGAUGGAAUGUUCACCAGCUUGUUAUUUGUUGAAAACCAGUAGAGUUGGUGCUGGAUUUGGGAUGGGAUUGUUUUGCACACAUUUCUGUUUAGCAAAAGUACAGAAUUUUAGGGACAGUGCUCUUAUGCAGUUUCAAAAUUCUUGGUUGUUGCAAUGACUAUUCAUCAAAUCAUUAAUUCUUGUGAUUCACCAAAUGUAUAAACAAGGUUUUACUCAUAAUCAUACUGCUUUGAUUUGGUUGUUAUUUGUUGAGUAAUGUACGAAUGACACUCAUCCUAAACGUGUAUUGCAAGGCUUGAAUAUAUUGUUUGCCAUCUUUAUGACAUAGAGAAACUGUGAAUCUAAUAAUAUUAGUACAAACAUAUUUUGCUCGAAAUAGGCUAGUUAUCUCUCAAGGAGAAGGAAUGGGACCUGCAAUAAAUUACGUAGGUUUUUUAAAGGAUUUUUAUGUCUAUAUAUUGAUUUUGAACCUCCUAAAUGUAAGAUUAGAGGUUGACUCAAUGGUUGAGGGGUUUGAACCUUACCAUGAGAUUCCAAAAUAAAAUCUUAAGCACUAUUUUUUUUUUUCCGAACCCCCUUAAUAGAAAUCUUGAAUCCAUCACUGCUAACAUAUUUUGCUUUCUUAUUUUGCCCAUCUUAUUGUUUAGCAAAUAACGAAUAUCAAGGAUUAUUUGUAAUAACUCACAUAGUAGAGUUAUUUUCGAAAGACCCUCAGCUCAACCCAUCAAACUCUAGUAAUAAAAGAAGAAACAAUGAAGAAAACAUAACAAUAAACACGAAAAAUAGAGUAGUUCCUACGAGAAAGGAACAAUACCAAAAGAGCGAGCAACAUCAAACAUUAAUAUGAAUUGGAUUUUCUGUUUCUUGAGGAAGCUCAAAAUCUUGAGGGAAAUGUAUGCACACUAUUAAAGAAGGUUGAGAACCUGUGGAGGAGUUUAAUGUAGUGCACAAAUUAAAAAACCUAUCAGAUGCAACUAAACUUGAAAUGUUGGUGGAAAUAUAAUUAUUUUUUAAUUGAAAUAGCACAUAAAUUAGAGUGUGAGUUCAGUUUAAAAGCAUAAGUUAUUUUACUAUGUUGGAGGAUUCAUAAAAAGUUGUAUUUACCUAUAACAUGCUUGCUCACAUGGGUGCAUUAAAAAAAUAGGAGUUAAUGUAAAGCGUCAUCAAGCAUCUCAUUAGUGUAUAAAAUAUAAAUGUGAAACUUUAAAUGAUGAGUAUAUGCUGAAAAUGGUAAGGUACAAAAAUCAAGAUACAUAUGUGCUCUUCUUUAUUUACUAAGAAAGAUCCUUGGGCAAUUUUCACUUAAUUCUUUCCUCAAAUGUGAUUAGAAUUUUUAAUGAAAUGUUGUUACAUAUAUGAUUGAAACAAAAGAAAUAGAGUUUGAUGAACCUAACUCUCAGAUAGAGAGAAGAGUAGAGGCGAAAACUUUAGUAUGUGAGCGCGAACUCGAUUGGCAUAACUCUAACCAUGCAAUAGGAGCAUUAUAUUCAGGGAAUAAGAAAAAUUUAACUAUGCAAUAGGAGCAUUAUAUUCAUAGAAAAUUGUCUUUACCUAUAACAUGCUUGCUCACAAGUGUGCAUUAAAAAAUACGAGGAGUUCAUGUAAAACGUCAUCAAGCGUCUCAGCAGUGUAUAAUAUAUAAAUGUGAAAUUUUAAAUGAUCAGUAUAUGCUGAAAAUGGUAAGAUACAAAAAAUAAGAUAUAGAUGUGCUCUUUUUUAUUUACUCAGAAAGAUCCUUGGGCAAUUUUCACUUAAUUUUUUCCUCAAAUGUGAUUAGAAUUUUCAAUUAAAUGUUGUUACAUAUAUGAUUGAAACAAAAUAAAUAGAGUUUGAUGAACCUAACUCUCAGAUAGAGAGAAGAGUAGAGGCAAAAAUUUUAGUCUAUGCGAAUUCUAUUGGCAUAACUCUCACUAUGCAAUAAGAGCAUUCAUGGAGUAAGAAAAAUUUAAAUAGGAAUUCUCCUCUUUUCUCCUUAAAACACACAACCUUGCAUGGUAUGGGACUUUCACUUGAGUACUUAUCUGAUAAAGUCGAACCUAAUACUCAGAUAGAGAGAAGAGUAGAGGCAAAAAUUUUAGUCUAUGCGAAUUCUAUUGGCAUAACUCUCACUAUGCAAUAAGAGCAUUCAUGGAGUAAGAAAAAUUUAAAUAGGAAUUCUCCUCUUUUCUCCUUAAAACACACAACCUUGCAUGGUAUGGGACUUUCACUUGAGUACUUAUCUGAUAAAGACAAAAUAAAUAUGAUGAAUGUUGAUGUAGAGAAGCCAACUUAGCAUUUUAUCUUUAUUCUCUAAUAAUGAGAAACAAUGUUACCUAUUAAGUCGUCUAUUAAUUUAGCAAAUGCAAAUUAACACAUGUAUGCUUGAAAAUAAAAGUAAACGUUGAAAAAUUAUCUAUUUCCCUGCUUUCCUAUAGCGGAAGCUAAAAAGUCUAGAUAAAACCCAAAUAGAAGACCAUACAUGAAUCUUGAGAACCUGCUUAGAAAAGUAUAUUACAACCUGGAUUUAUCUCUACAAGUGCAUCAACAGUUCUAAAGCUGAUGUUGGGACAUUGCUGUAUGUUCAAGCCCUGAAGGUUCUGAACCAAAUCGAGCAAGAGGGGUAAGCUAUUGUCUGACACCAAAGGGCAACCAGACAGUGAGAGGAUCUGCAAAUGAAGUUGUAUAGCACUGGACAAAGUUGUAAUCUCUGAAUCGGUGAUUCCACACUUGGAAACAUCGAGUACAUUAAGCAUCCAGCAAGAGUUCCAAAUUUUUACUAAUGUUGCAUCAGUAUCAUGUCUGCAACCAUCUACGAGUAGAGACUUCAGAGAUCUCCCAUUGAAUUUAACUAUGGCUGAAACUGCUUUGUCUGUAAUAUUGACACACCCGCUUAGAUUCACCGCCACCAAAUUAGCUGCACAGUUAUUAACUAGAGGGAAGAGCCCCUCGUCAGUUAUACAAAGAAGCCCACUCAGCUCUAUAUGAGUUAGUUUGUGACAUAGACUACCUACUACAACAAUGGUAGCAUUGCCUACUCCAAGACAUUUGUGAAUAGUCAAUGAUACCAGUGAGUUACAACAAAGAGCCUUCGAAGGAGCUACAUUAAUUAAGUCCAUCACACCCAAGCACUUCACCAAGGAAAGAGUCUUCAGUUUCUUACCACAGUUCAGAAGUAUACCAAAAAAUCCAGCCUGGGUAAUCAAGUGGCAUUCCUCUAACUGAAGGUUCUGAAGUGAGACUGAAGCUUUGACACAAGCAACCAAUCCAUUAUCUGAUAGGAUGACACUUUUUCGGACACAAAACAACUUUAAAUUUGGGCAAGCUUUACAGAUAACGUGAAGACCCAAAUCAUUGACUCCAUUGGAAGAGCUUAUUGAAAGGGCCUUCAGCUUAUGCAGACAUUGACCAAUGCCCAUGACCCAAAAAUCCCUCGCUAUUAUUCUUCGAAGUUCACCAACAACUAGACUUGUCAGUACAGUUCCAUAAUGUGAAAUAAUUUUUAGAGAAAUGUCGCUAAUGUGUAGUGCCUGGAGCUCUACUUCUGUUAAAACAGUACCGGCUGAAUAAAAGAGAUCUUCAAUUCCUUUAUCCCCAAUGAGUGGACAAUUUUUUAGUAUGACGAGCUUCAGGUUCAGACAGUAUUGACCCACAACUUUGGGAGACUUAUUCCCAAUCUUUGAACAAGAAUCUAUGAUCAAGGAGGUCAGGUGAUUACAUUUCUUUGCAACGGCCAACAAAGAAUUGUCGGUAAUUGUUGGACAUUGGAAAAUAUCAAGCUUCUAUAAUAGAUGGCAUUCAUGAGCAAUCUUAGAUAAGCCUUCAUCACCAACAAAAGACACAUUCCACAAGGAAAGAUCUCUCAGAGUAGGGCAACAUCGAGCGAUAGCCUUGAGACCAGCAUCUGUCACAUCACGACACGGAUUGUCUCCCCGAAUAGAUAGCUUUGCUAAACCUCCACGAUUUGCGAUUCCAACAGCAAUAGCAGCAAGUCUAACAUCUGUGGCUUCCCUACCAACAAGGGACCUUAAAAGAGAUCCCUCACCUUCUAUACCAUUAAACUCUGCAAUCUCAUCCUUGUGAAUGCUGCUUAAAAGUGUAAGCCAGCGCUUGGAAACACAAGCACAUACACUUCUCUUUUGGCCACUCGGAAGACGUUUGAAUACCUCAAAGAGGCAUUUAUCAAGAAGGAUUUCAAUGGAAGGAUGAUUCCUCUGCUCAAAAUUUUUAGAAGCGGUAGUGACACAAAUCCUCUUCCUAGGAGAAAAAUUUACAUUCCUAUUUUGCCCAUGUGAUAAAAGCAAAGAUGAUUAUCUUGAACUUAGAUAUGAAGCUUUGAAAAAAGCACCAUUUUCUGAAAAUCAGAAGAUAUAAAACAUCAGACAAAGAUCAAAAUAGAAACUUAUAUACAUAAUAUACCCAUCAUGUUUUCUUAUCACCAACCUAUAUAAACUAUGAUUUGAAAGGGGGAGAAAAAAAAGAAGAUAAAGACACAAGUUUUGUGUUUAGUUCGAAGGAAAAUAUUUUCUGGAAAAUGAUUUCAAAUUUUUCAUGUUUGGUUGACUUAAAUGUUUUCCAAAUAAAUUUAAUUUCUUCAAAAUCAAGGAAAAUGACUUACCCCAAAAAAUAAUAAGGAAAACAUUUUCGAAAACUCUUUUUCAACCUCACACCUAAACUUUCCACCCUAAAUCAAAUUUCGGUUAUCGAUUCCCGAUACUAAUUGGAAUCCGACUAAUAAUUCUCAAUUCGCCACCAAACUCACAACUUUGAUGGGAGACCCAACUCUCGAGUUCUGAAUCAGCUCAGGGUCAAUUUUCGAUUUGGAUGUCAAAUCCUGGGUAAGCAUUCGAGGUCAAAUUUUUGGGUUGGGUGUUUGGGUAGUGAUUUGAGUCGGGUGUUAGAAUAGGGUUUUUGGUCAAGAGUCGACGUCAGAUCCCAAGUAAUGUGCCAUGUUUGUAUUAUGAAUCGGUCUUUGAGGUCAGUAUCGGGGUCAGAUUCCGAUUCAGAAACUAGACAUCGGGUCCCGAAUAGGUGUUGGAGUCAGGUCAUGGUUUGAAAUUCAUAUCCCAAUUCAUAUAUCGGGUCUUGAUUUGGGUCUCGGGUUAUAGUGUAGGGGUGGGAUUCGAGGCCAGGUCAUGAUUCGGAAUUCGGGCGUAAUUCAGGAGUUGGGGUUGGAUCUCAAAUCAGUCGUCAAUGUCUGGUGUUUAGGGUCAUAUUCCAAUUCAAAAGACGGGUCCCAAUUCGGGUGUCGAUGUAGUAUUCUGAUUCAAAAGUUUGGUCCUAAGUCUGAUGUCAGGGUUUGGUCCAAAUUUGGAAGUUAGGUUUUUGGUCAAGAGUUGGGGUUGAGUCCCGAUUAAAAAAAUAUUCACAUAUAUAAUAUCUUACCUUAAAAAUUUAUUGUGAACAUAAACUUAAUGCAAGUUAGGAUUUGAAACAAGAUGAUUUAUAGAGAGACGUUAUAGAAACAUACCUGAAGACAUUAUCACAGUACCUCUUUGUUCUAACCUUAUGUUAUCACAAUUGUCAGCGGCCGAAAAGUUUCUAGAGAACUACAUGAUAACCCUAGUGAGUGGAGUGGGAUGACCAAUUAAUAGAGGCUGAGAUUUAGUCUUGACCGUCCAUCAAAUAACCAAUCUAACAUAUGGAAAAAAAUAAUCAUCAGAUAUUUGUUACCAACUUUACAUUAAAUGGGUCACAUAUAAAAUAAAUAAAUUCAAACAUUUAUCAUAAACAAGCAAAUAAUUAUCCUAGCAUUCAAACUUUGUCUCAAUAUGGGUUUAGUUAUUGACUUAAAAUACUAUUUUUAUAAUAUUAUUUAAUGUUAUUUAUAAUUUAACAUUUAAUAUUUUAAAUUUUCAUUUAUUUAUUAAAUGUAAAGUUUAAUUCUUUUGUUUUCUCUUUUAAUUUUAUGUCGUACAUACUGACAAAUAUAAGUAUUAAUAAAAAUUUCACUUACGAUAAGAUUAAAUUUAAAAUUCAAAAAAAUAUACAAUGAACUUAUAGUAUUGUUAAAUACUUUAAAAAGGUGUCAAAAAUGUAAAUUUUAUUCUUCCAUCUCAAUUGAAAAAGUGAGUUUCAAAAUCUGAUAGUUAAUUAAUUUAAUUUUAUAUGCAUGCACUAUUUACAUAUAUAUAUAUAUAAAUAUAUAUAAAUAUAUAUAUAUAUACACACACUAAAUUAUAUAUUUAAUAAGUUCUGAAAAGGCUAAAGUUGCCAAAUCGAUUGAAAGAAUUGAAAGGAAUGCUGGAAAAUGAGCUUCAAAGCUUGAAAAUUCACUUUCAAUAGUCAGAAGAAGCGUGGAUGACACCAGUCCUGAUUGAUUGUUUUGAAGUGAAGGACUUUUUCCUACUAAUGAGUACAAAUAUGCGGCAUUUGUAUUGUAUUAGAAAAAGAAUUAACAAGGGUACGUGCGAAGUCUUCGAUGAAUACUGGGAAAUUGAACAAGUAUUACCUUACUUCCUCUUAGUUCAAGUUAUUCCUUAGCGAUUGUUCAUCUUCAACUGUCUAAGGCCUCCAGAAAGAAGGUUUUCUUUUGCAUUGCACUUCUUCAUGACUUGGUUCACUGUCGUUCUGAAUAAGUCAGAUAGUUGACCGAGAAAGCACCGCCCAAAGGUGCUCAUUGAGCUGGUCCUCGGUGGCUAAAAUCAUAUCAAAGCUGAAAUGAAGAAAAAGGCCAAGUUAUUGCAAAACUGUGGAAUUUCAUUCUAUAAGGUAGUGCUUUAGUUUUUCACUAGAAGCUCAGCCUAGAGUUGAUCGACAGGUUAACCCCGAAAUGAGUUGCUCGACAGGUUAACCUCGAAAUGAGUUGAUUGACAGGUUGACCCCGAAAUGAGUUGAUCGACAGGUUAACCCCGAAAUGAGUUGAUCGACAUUUUAACCCUGAAAUGAGUUGAUUGACCGAUUACCCCCCAUAAUUGACCCCUAAGCUCGGGGGAAUAGGAAACUAUUGUAUCUUUUUAAAAACAGGCACUCUCCCUUGAUUUCCACAAUAAUGUUUGCUGAUGAAACCUUUUUUUCACGUGGUUCUGGUCUCUUUUCGAUUGCUUUACAAAGGGGAACAAAAAAAGAAAAGCCCUAGGACAAGUCAUCGAAUUUCUUAGCCUAGAGAAAGCUACCAGAAAGCAAACCAAUGAGAUAAUGAUGACUAGCCUUUGAUUGAAGGCCUGGUCAGUAUAAAGGAUAGGCUAGCCCAACUAGAUUCUAUAAAGCUAAAAGUUUAGUUUACCCGCAUUGGCAUUUGUAUGAAAAAAAAAUACUUUGAAAGAAGGCUUGUCUAACCCCUUAGAAGAGUAAGGGUCGUAGAGAUAUGACUAGUAAAGUAAAGCCUUACCUUUGUCUUGUGCAUGUCUGCUUUUUUGUUCUCAGAUGCUAUAUAAUGGCUCUUUCACGCAUUCCUAAGCUAAAUAACGUAUCUUAGAACAGAGUCCAGGGUAAAGAAAGAAAGGUAGAGUGGGCACACUUUUACUGUGCUUGGAUUGGCAUGGUUUUCCCCCUCUGCUGGUUGAGGCUCGGCCUGUGACCCCGCUUGCCUCUACUUUUCAUGUCAAGCAUAGAAAUCUAGUUUAGUGGGAUUUACUUCUAAAGAUAAGAAUUCUUUUUCAUCUCCCCUGUCAAAGUCGACGUCUUAACUUUGACUUCUUGAGCUCAGUUGAUUCUUGAAGCAGUAGAUCUAGAUCGAGGGCUGGAUGCUUACCUUAUUAUUAUGAAAUGAAAAUGAGAAAGAGCUUCUUUUUUUAUAGAUGUUGAGGUGAGUAGGGGGGGUUUUCUGGCUUGCUAGCUAGCUCGUCCAAUCAAGGAAAAAUCAAUUCGCCUUCUUUUUUCAAAAUGAAAAAGUAAACUACCUUAGUAAGCUAGCUUUGAAUUCUAAGUAAGUUGGGCACUACGCUAGCACGUGGAUCGAUCAUGAAGAGAAUGGACUUCUCCGUAGUGUAAUGUAAAUGUACUAGAAGAGGCAGAGUCCAAUUUCCCUCCAUUCUUGACAAGAUGGAGGAGAUAUGGAUUCCAUUUAGGUGAGUCAAGGCUUGGCUUGACCCUGUGUUCUCUGGGUCGGAGGUGAGAACUUGAAAGUGAAUCAUUCAGUAGUGGGGUGUUCAUAGAACAGAAGGCCUCGCCCAAGGAGUGGAAGAUUUAUAUGGAGUCUCGCUCAUAGAGGAAGAGUACGCGCACUAGAACUCUAUGACUUACGUAGUUGAUCGAAUCAGAUAUCCCUUCCUUCGGGCAAGCAACCAAACCCAGCACAUCCAAUUCCAUUUCGAUCAACAACUUGGAGGUAUGGCUGUGAUCUGAAACAAGAAGAUGAAAAUAAAAUAGAAUUAAAAAAAGAUAGAUAAAAGAGAUAGAUACAAUUAAAUUCAAGCAACUAAAAGAUGUAAUGGUGAAACUAACCAAAACACCACUUAAUUGAGAAAUAGAAGCACCUAAUCUAUUAGAAUCCUCAAGAAAGUAACAACCUUACUUGCAAAUUCUAGGACAAAAUGUUGAAGUUCAACAAAGGGCUUCCAAACUCUCACAAGAGGCAUAACAUAUUCAAAAACUCCUUAUGAAACCCUAAUAUCUACUAUUUAUACUAAAAACUAAAAAUAGUAAAGAAAGACUCAAUUUCCCCUCAUUAAAAUUACAAGGUAAUUAAAAUGGUAGAGCACUUAAUAUAUUACAUAUCGAGUCUUUCAUGUUGGAGCCUUCCAAAGGUUCCAUUUUCAUUCAUAUAGCUUGCAAUGCUUGAAUAUCCUUAGCUUGAAUCCUUGUGAAAGGCCUCCUUGAAGUAGUGUCACUUUUAUCUACAUCACUCUCCCCUUCUUCAAAAGAAUUUGUCCUCGAAUUCACCACACCUACAUAAAAAAGAGAUAAAUCACUAACAUUGAAAACAUUAUGGACCAAAUACUCACUUGGUAAGUCUACUUUGUAAGCAUUAUCCCCAAUCUUCUCAAGCACUUGAAAAGGUCCAUCUCCUCUUGGCAUACAUUUAUUCUUCCUUUUGCUUGAAAAUCUUUCCUUCCUAAAACGAACCCAUACCCAAUCACCGGGUGCAAAGGUGACUAGCUUUCGUCCCUUGUUGGCUCUUUUGGUUGCAUCAUUGUUGGCCUUCUCAAUUCACAUUAGUUUCUCAUGGAUGUUCUUCAUAGCUUUUGCCUUAGCUUUUGCAUCUAUACUCACAAUAACAUCUUUGGGUAAAGGAGUUAAAUCUAAUGGAGUCAAGGGAUUAAAGUCAUAAACACACUCAAAAGAGGUUAUGCCAAUAGAUUUAUGAAUAGUUCUAUUCUAUGCAAACUCAAUUAAUGGCAAUUGAUCUUCCCAAGAAGUUAACUUCCCUUUAACCAUAUCCCUAAGCAUAUUACCUAAGGUUCUAUUAACCACCUCGGUUUGACCAUCCAUUUGAGGAUGACAAGAAGUAGAAAAUAGUAACUUAGUUCCCAAAUUUCCCCACAAACACCUCCAAAAAUGGCUUAGAAACUUUGAAUCUCUAUCACUAACAAUUGUUUGGGGAAUACCAUGCAAUUUCAUCACAUUAUGAACAAAUAAGGUAGAAACAUGAGAUGCAUCAUCACUUUUAUGACAAGCAAAUAAGGUAGAAACAUGAGAUGCAUCAUCACUUUUAUCACAAGCAAUAAAGUGAGUCAUUUUAGAAAAUCUAUCCACAACAACAAAGAUGCUAUCCUUACCCUUCCUAGUCCUCGGUAGACCAACAACAAAGUCCAUGAAAAUAUCUAGCCAAGAGACGCUAGGAAUAGGCAAAGGGGUAUACAACCCAUGGGGUUGAGUACCAGAUUUAUCAUGCUUACAAUCCAAAUGCCUUGUAACGACCCUAAAAACAAACUAGAGUAACUAGAGCCUAACGUGGGUUCGUUUGUGAUCGUCUUGAGUGUUGAUGGUAUUUCGUGUGGUCAAGAUACAUGGUUAAGGUAUUUUUUUAAAAAGGUAUUAAAACAUUUAAAAUGGUAUUUUAGAAUUCAUUCUUCAUAUUUCUCCAAAACAAACCAUUCUCUCCUAAAAGUUCUCUCUAGAACUCCAUUAAAGGUCAAGGUCCAAAAUCAAGCUAGGGUUGAAGGUUUCAAGUGUUUUCUUCUCAAAAUUUGUGGGAUUCAUGAAGGUUAAGGUAUGGGAAUCCUUUAUCCUUGAUUAUUCUUCCUUUCAAGGAGCUCAAUCCAAAUGAUUUCAAAGUUCUUCCAAAAACACAAAAACCCAAAUUUCGAUUCUAAGCAUGAGUUCUUGCAUUAAAUGAUUUUUAAUGAUGAUUUAUGUUAUUAUUGAUGUUUUUUUGAUGGUUUUUAAGAAAUAAAAUUCCAUGAACUCAUGUCUUUCCAAGUUUCCUAAAUUUCACCAUAAAGUGGGUAUAUUGAUUUUGAUUCGAUGAUAAUAAAAUUAUGUUUAUAUUGUUGUGGGCUGUUGAUUUAUGCCAUUAACUAUAUCUAAUUGUGUGAAAUUGUUAGUGAAUUGAGUAAUUGGGUUCAUAGCCUUGAAUGGGCAUUUUGUGAAUUAAUCUUCAUGAUGAUUAUUGAAUUAUGUUUAGAUUGAAUUGUUUUAUUGGUUUCUAUUGUUAUCUACACCUAUCUUAUGGUGAAUUGUGGUAGAAUUUAGUAAAGGUGAUUAUGGCUUUGGAGAAUGGUAAGUUGACCUAACUUCAUUGUUAAUGUAAAGUUCAUUUAGGAUUCUGAUAGAUUGAUAUGUGAUCCACUUAUGGUGAAAGUGUUUACUUAUUGAAUGUAUUAGGAUCAUGGCCUUAAAGGCAUUAUAUGAAUAAUUGAGUAUUACCAUGAUAUUGUGUUGUGAAUGUGAUGUGAAGGAGUUGAAUGAGAAUCUAAUAAAGUAAAGGUAAUUAUGUUGUAAAUGCAAGGGUGUUGUGAUUGAAAGCAUGUUCUCUCUUAACACUUAUGAAUGAAGAGUGAUUGAAAGUGUGUCCUCUAUUAUUGUUCAUAUGUGAUGAUGAUGGAAUGUGAAGGAUCUUUAUAAUGUGAUGUGUGUCUUGACUUGGUAGACUUAGGUGCCUCUUCUUGAUACAUUAGAAGCUUUGUUGAAUAUGAAUCGAUAGGAUAUGGCAUUCCUUUCGGAUGUAAGUGACGAAACCUGUUUUUGAGCUGGAUAGUGUUUGGUAUUUUAGGCAUAUCUCUUGCUCUAGAACUUAGUUUGUAGUGAAUAAAUAUGAUUUGGAAAGCUAACUUGGAUACCUAUAACUCUUAUGUUUAUGUAAAACUCUAAUUUAACUGUUAUGGAUACGAAAUAUGGGACGCAACAUAGGGCAAGUUCUGCCCAGAUUUCGGAAAUUGAAAUCCUGUAUGAUCAGCUGUUAGUGUUUUGAAUAUAUCUUUUUGUACAAAAUGUAUUUUGUGGUGAUUUUUAUUUUUUUGCAACCUUAAGAGAUGUAGUUACAUCUUUCAUGAAGGUUAUAAAGUCUAGUUUUUGCCGUUUUCCUUUUCAAAUCUAACUUGCGACUUGAGGUACUAGGCUGGACAGAUUCACUGUUUUGGGAGCAUAGUUGUAUUUGUACAUGCUAGGCUUACUUGUGAUGAUGAUCCUGUUUUACGUCAAUAUUACUGUGCUAAUAGAAGUUAAAGAAGUUAUGUAAUUGUAUUUUUAAGGUUGUAUAUACUCAUGAACAAGUUGAGGACCUUGAAACGUUGGUUGGUCUACAGUCUGAACUCGCAAAGUUGUGUUGGACUGUUCUUUGUUAAAGUACUGAGAUUUAUGUAUAAACUUGUACUUGCACUCUUUUAACUGCUGGAAUAUUUGAAAGUUGAUCUUGGUACCUUGGUUACCUCUUGUCACUUUGCAUUGUCGUGUUGGUAUCCUUUAAGACGUUAAAGACGCUUGUGUAACUCGCCCACUUGUACGGAUUGCUUGAUCCCUUGGCACUCUUGUUGGGACCUUUUCCUUCUUGUGGUUGUGACUUUGUCACUAUUGGCAUGCCUCUUGAUUCAGAUCAUUUGCCAUCUUGACUCUGAAUUUUUAGUCCGUCUUAAGAAUGGAAGCUAUCCAUUUUUAAGUAUGAUCUAGAAAGCCAUUUUUAAUAUUGUUCUUGGUUCUCUUGAUUAUUGGGCUUGACCCCUCUUGAUACAGGGCGUCAGCCCUUCUCGAUACCUACUUGUGUUUGGUGUGACGACAUGAUGUAUAAUUUGGGCGAGCCCUGUUAUUGAAUCUCUUGGAAGAUGGUGCUAUAAGCGUCCUUGACAUGUGGAUCUUUAAAUAUCGAACUUGACACUCUUUAUAUAUGGUUUACUUGAUUUAUUUAUUAUGUCCAAUUGUGCUGCCCAUGACUUGAGAAAAGGUAGCUUUGUGAAUCUGAGGGCUUCGAACCUAUAGUUUUUGCACCACUAAGCUAUAUGCUUAGCGAUAGUUGUUUCUAUCGUAGGAAAUGUUCGAGAAUGACUUAUUGUCUAAAUGAUUUUUUGAAUGAAUAGCUUAUGUUAAUGAAGUGAGUUACUUAGUAUGUUACCUUGAAGUGUGAUGGUUCUUGUCUAUAGUAGCCUUGAGGAACACUUAGGUGUGUAUGAAGAGGUUGUAUGGGCGGCCACUUCAUGUCUCACUCAAGUGUGUCUUAGGGUAAUUUUAGAUAAGGGUCCUUGGAUGAUGAAAUGAGUUACUUGGUGAAAGUGUUGAGUAUGUCUAUAAUGUGUGUAUAUGGACAUAUGUUGAGUAUAUGUAUGGUUGGCUAUGGUCUUAUAUGUUAAUGUUGACUUGUAUUAUGUCUCUUAUACUUGUAAAGGAAAGGUUUUAUCAAAUUGAUAUGAAAGCAUUUAUUCUUUGAAAAUGUCCUUUUUGGCAUGUUUUUGCAUGGUCUCCAUACUUAGUACUUAAUUGUGCUAACCCCUUUAUUUCCCUUUUGACUAAAGUGUAGGGAUUUUUGGAGAUGUUGAUAUUCCAUGGUUGAUGGAUAGGUUUCUAAGGUGUUUGAAGAUGAAGACUUAGUGAGUCCUCAUAGAUUCGAGGACAAUACCCAAUAUGUUCUUUUAUGUCUUUUUAGUAUUGUUUAGGUUGUGUACGGGAUUAGUCCCGAAUUUUGUACUCUAAAGUAUUAGAUGGUUUGAGACGUCAUGUAUAAAGUCUAGAAAGUCUUCCGCUUGUUGUUUGAUGAAAGUUUAUUCGUGUGUGAAGAAAGUUUUUUUAUUCCUUGUGGGUUUUAGUGUCUAUGCGAUGAAUGAAUGCUAAGAGGCUUGUAUUAGACCUCCGAGAGGUCGAGUACGCCGGUUACGACUAGGAGGUACUCUCGGGUCGUGACAUGCCUAGCAUAAAUUCUUUCCACAUCUCUUAUCAUCUUAGGCCAAAAGAAAUGUUCACUAAGAAUAGCUAAGGUUUUUGACACUCCAAAAUGACCCAUCAAACUUCCAUUGUGUGCCUCUUUCACUAACAACUCUCUCCAUGAGAACAUAGGUACACAAACCUUUCCAUUCCUAAACAAAUAGCCCUCCUUCAACUCAAAUCUAGGAGUUCUAGCUUCAUUACCCUUCUUAAAAACUUGUACACACCUAUUCAAGCUCACUUGACACUCCCCAAAGACUUUUUCAAAAUCAUCAUCAUUAGAAUAUAACUCCUUCAAACUCUCAAAACCCAUCAAUCUAGAAGUCAAGUUAUUCAUCAAAGCAUAUAGUCUAGAUAAAGCAUCUAUUUUCUCUUUGUCUUGCUUAUAUUUAAUCACAUAAGGAAAAGACUCAAUAAAUUCUAUCCAUUUGGCAUGCCUUCUAUUAAGCUUAUUUUGAACCCUAAUAUGCUUCAAAGCCUCAUGAUCGGUUCUAAUCACAAACUCCUUAUGACACAAAUAAUGUUCCAAUUCGCUAAGGCUCUCACUAGGGCAUAGAGAUCCUUAUCAUAGGUAGAAUAUUGCAAUGGAGCUCCUCUUAACUUCUCACUAAAGUAAGCUAUAGGUUUCCCUUCUUGCAUCAAGACCGCACCAAUGCCUACUCCACUAGCAUUCCACUCAAUUUCAAACAUCUUCUCAAAAUUGAGAAGUUGAAGUAAAGGAAUUUUGAUUUUUUUGUUGGCGUUAAUACCUUUGUAAAUAUGGAUGCUUCUAUGUAGCCUAGCCUUCUUUUCUCUUAAUGGUGAUACCACUUGCAUUUCAGUAUCAAUAGCAUGUUUAUGUUUGCCAAAUUAUGUGCUUGAAUUUCUCUCUCUUAAUGGUGAUACUAUUUGCAUGUACACAUAAUUGACAUAUGUUGCAACAAAUUAAAAAACAUAGCUUUAUAAAAGUCAUGGGCAAGUCCAACAUAAAACUUGCCCAAUCGGCUCAUUAUUUUAUUUCUAGAAUGGAUAUAAAUAAGUUGUUCAAGAUAAGAUAGAGUUUUCAUUUUCUUCCUCACCACUUCGGUUUCUCUCUCUUCUCUUUCUCUCUCUCUCUCUCUCUCUCAUUUUUCUCUUUUCAUUUAUUUUAUGUGAAGAAGUGCAAGGAUCUCUGGAGUGCAUGGGAUAUAAUGAAGUUAUUUAUUUCAUUAGCUUGUUCUGUUCUUUGCUUUUUAACACGCAACUAAUUAGUGGUUAAACCAAAUCAAUAAAUAAGAGAUUCGUCUGUCAUGUACUGUCAAAUCAAUGAAAUCAUUAAUUUUGUAAUAUAUUGGUUGGAUAAGAAUGAAUUUCUUUAAAUAUAGCUCAGUACUAGAGUUCUCGUGAAUGAGUUUUGUUCGUUUUUGUUAGUUUUGAUAUAGGGUGUGUUUGGUAUGAAGGAAAACAUUUUCCGGAAAAUGUUUUCCAAUUUUCUCAUGUUUGGUUGGGUAAAAUAUUUUGGAAAAUGUUUUAUAAAUCAACUCAUUUUCCUCAAAUUUAAGGAAAAUUACNNNNNNNNNNNNNNNNNNNNNNNNNNNNNNNNNNNNNNNNNNNNNNNNNNNNNNNNNNNNNNNNNNNNNNNNNNNNNNNNNNNNNNNNNNNNNNNNNNNNNNNNNNNNNNNNNNNNNNNNNNNNNNNNNNNNNNNNNNNNNNNNNNNNNNNNNNNNNNNNNNNNNNNNNNNNNNNNNNNNNNNNNNNNNNNNNNNNNNNNNNNNNNNNNNNNNNNNNNNNNNNNNNNNNNNNNNNNNNNNNNNNNNNNNNNNNNNNNNNNNCCCCCCUGCGCCAGCCCCACCAUCCCACCCUCCCCAAAUAAAAUUAAGUUUAUUUUUUUAAAAAUAUUUUCAAUUUCAAUUCAAAAAUCAUCUCUGUAGUAAAAUUAAAAGAUAUUUUCUCAAAAAUAUUUUUCAUUCAUAAAUUAAACACUAAAAAAUCUUUUUCAAAAAAUAUUUUCUAUUCACCAACCAAACAUGAGAAAAUAAGUCAAAAAUCUACUUGUUUUCCAGGAAAACAUUUUCUAAGAAAACUAUUUCCUUCAUACCAAACACACCCAUAAUGUCAAAUGCAAUAUUGAAUCAAAUUUGUAAUGAUGAGAAUGAUUCCAUGCUGAGUUUGAAAAUCUGUUGCAAAUAUGAAGACUUACUUUCAAUGCAAACUUCAUGGUCAGAGGACAAUCCAUGUCGAAGAUUUUGGUCUUGUCCACGCUAUCGUGUAUGUACAUUUCUACAUAUUGGUCUGGAGAUCUGUUGUUUGUCUUUUUUUUUUUUUUUUAAUUUAAAUUUCUUUGUGGUGCAUUUUAGGAGAAUGUAUGCAACUUUUUUAGAUGGAGGGAUCAUGAAGAUGUUGAUAUACGAUCCAAGUUCGUUAUUCUGAAAUUGGCGAAGAGAAUUAAUGAGUUGCAAAUUGAUGAUGAAAGUCAUAUUAAAAGAAGUAACAAAUGGGUAAUGAAGGAGAAGAAGAAGAGAAAAUGGUGUAACAACUGGAAGCUAAUCUUUGUGUUGAUUGUUGUUGUCUUUUUUCUAUUUUUAAGCAUUACCAAGAAUACUGCAAAUGAUGGAAAAUUCUUAUGUAGUUAUGUGCAACCAUUAAAAUUAUCAUAGUUGUCAAAAUAAAUAAACAUAGUUUUGCACUUCUGUUGCAACAUACUUAUUCUUAACAUAACAUAACAUCAAUAAGUUAUUGUUGCUACAUAUGACUCCUAUGUUGCUACAUAUGCUCCAUAUGUUGUAACAUAUCACCCAUUUGUAGCAACAUGUGACUCAAAUGUUGCUACAAAUGACCCAUGUGUUGCUACAUAUGAGUCAAAUGUUGCUACAUAUGAGGCAUAUGUUGCUACAAAUGACUUAUUUGUUGCUACAGAUGAAUAAUAUGUUGCUACAAAUGACUAAUCUGUAGCUACAAAUGAAUCAUAUAUUGCUACAGAUGAAUCAAAUGUUGCUAAAGAUGUCCCAAAUGGUACAACAUAUCACCCAGUGGUAGAAACAUGUGACUCAAAUAGUGGAUAAAGUUAAUAGGGAAAUGGUUGGAGCAACAUAACAUCACAUAGUGUGUACUUGUUCUCAAUAUAACAUAAAAUAACAUCAUAUGUAGCAACAGAUAAAAUAAAUCAUUGUCAUUAAUUACAAACACAUUGUCAAGGCUCCAAGUUCCUAGAUACUAUCCCAGCAGCCCAAAUCCAUUGCAUCUGACCAAUUGUAUUGUCAUACAAAUCGGUGUUGGGAGGUUGAAUUGGUGUACCGGUUAUCAAAUGCUCAAUAAAUGAAAUCGAGUAUGCCCCGCACGCGAAAUUAGUGUUAUUUUUUUUACCAUGGCUUCCAAUUGACCUUUAAAUUCUCAUGGUUCAUUGAGGAACUUUUCUGGCAAAUAUUUCAUUAUUCCACUUUGCCUCAACAAGUUCGGCAGCAACUCGAACACAUGUUGUAUGAAUGUAAAAAAAAAUUCAUGUUCCAUACUCAUCAGGUUGCAGUCAUAAACAUUCAUGCGACCCUCAUGCAAGAGGAUCUCAAGAGUCACAAACUGAGUAUUGUUCAUGUUCAUGACUGCAAUAAUACUUUUUCCCAAUCCAAUCCAUGCCUCAGGAUAUGGUCUUGCCCCUGACGUAGUCAAUCAUAUCGUCAUCUCAUAUAAACUCAUUAAGUAACUACUUUAAGCUUCUGCCACCAGUUGUUGUUGCCUCCUCACUAAUACUGUCGUCCCUUUUUUUGAAGUUGGUGUAGAAGUUGAGAUCCAUGAUUCUUUCCGUGAAAUCAUAGUGCUCAUGGAAUCUCAAAUGUCUCUCCCUCAUGAGACUAAAAAUUUCAUCAAUAUAUUGAAAUAACAAUAUUAAAGAGUAAAGAAAAGUAAUGAUUGAAAAGAUAAAACAAACAAAUAUUAUAAAUUGAAGGUUAGUAGAGAAAAAUUAACCAGUCUUCCCACCAAAUGUCCAUACUUGUCAUGGCCCUGAAAUCAUUUCCACUAAAAUGAUACAUGCGUAUCGUGCGCGCAAAUCCUUUACUUUCAUCAGUUCCAACAAAAUGACCAUUUUAGCUACAGACACCAUCUUAUAAAUAUUCACUUGCCUGAGCUCCAUCUUCUCUCCUAUGGCCAUUGACAAUUCUCCAAAAAAUAAUUUCUUCAAAUUGUGUAUUGCCUUGAUAAAAGAUUUUUUUUCUCCUCUUGGCCUGUGGUGUAUAUGGAUCCCAAACCUUGUUUGAUGGAAUGACCCUAACCCCCCUCUUGUAUUUAAAUCCAUUCACAACCUCACUCAAUUUUUGAAGAUAAAUGAUAGAAUCGUCAUCGCGUUUCUAGAACUUCUCACAUAGAAAGCCAGAGCAUCUACUACAAGAGGUAUCCCCAACACUUUGUCCACCAAUACCAGCACCAACACAAAUACCACCACCAACAUCAACACCAACACCAAUAUUAACACCAACUCUUACAGUUGUAUCAACCAUAUUCUCAUUAAAAACAACUAAGUCAUCAUCAACUCUUGCCCUUUGGAUGGUUGUUGCUCCAACCAAAUUCCUUUUAACUCUAUCCACUAUAGGAUCAAAUAAUGUUUCAACCAACACUAGACUAAUCAGAAAUAACAUUUGCAAUUCCUUUUCUGUUGGGACAAGCCAUGGAUGCACAACCUAAAAUUAUAAAAAUGAGUCAUUUGUAGGAAUAUUUGGGUCACAUGUUGUAACAGAUGGUUCAUAUGUUGCUAUAGAUGAUUCAUCUGUAGCAACAUAUGCCUCAUCUGUAACAACAUUUGACCCAUAUGACAUAAUUUGUAAUUUGUAAUAUAACAACUUACUGCAUUAUCAAGAGGAUUAAAAGGGUUUGGAGGAUUUUUGACAUUUUUUGUUGUCAACCAUCUCAAUAUCCUUGGAGAUGACACAUCUUCUUUUGCAGUUACUUGAUGCCUCAAAUGAGGAAUGGCUUCAAAUGCUCAAGCCUAUAAAAAAGGAAAACAUGUCAAAAAUCAAAUGUUGAAUUAUUCAAUAAAAUAUAAUAAUAUUAAGAACAUUUAUGUUUACCAUGAAAGCACAUGGAAAACCAAAUAAGUUAUUGGUCUUUGGAGAUAAAGGAGCCAACAAGUAUUUGACAGUUAAUUCGUAGCUGUCAUGACCUCAAAAAUAGUUGUUGAAAGUCUCAAUAUCAUCAGAUAACUUCACCUAAUUAAGGGGUAUGUUGUUGUUGACAUCUUUUGACACAAGUACAUUAUGUACAACCCAAAGUAAGCACAAUGACUCUUUGUGCUUCUUUGAUGUAUCCUUGUCAUUCAACAAAGCUAUCAAUUUGGAAUUUUUUAAGCUUGGGCCAACAAGGGACACCAAGUCCUGCUCCUCAGUUGAUUGUUCCUUACUUGUUUGUGCUUCUCAUUUCUUUCGUCUCCGUGAUUAUUUUUUUGCUGUGAAAACAGGGAUUAGCUUAGAAGGAGAAUGACAUUUUAACCCUGUAACUAUGACAAACUCAUUUUUGCCAAAGAACAGUGGCAUGCCACAAUAAUUAAUCAACACCUCAUCCUUCUUUUCAUUAUUCUAAAAAAUGAACCUUUUUUUCAGAAGUUCAUAGACAAUGCUCAUUUGAAAACGUGCAUUAUUAUUCAUAUGCAAAUCAAGAUAUUGCCCCAAACAACUAUUCCUAAAAAAAUCUUCCAAAUCAUUCUCCCGGAGUAUGUUCCUAAAGGAAUCGAAAGAUUUUUUCAUGGUUGAACUUAUAAUGCUAUCACCAGUAGCAUUAGGUUGUAAAUGCACAGAGAAGUGUGCAUUGACAAUUUUGAUCCCAUCAUCCUCACUUCAUUUUUUCUUCUUCAUCAUCAACUUCUUUUUUUUUGUCUUCUUCCUCAACUUCUUUUUUUUCCUUCUUGUUCCUCAAUCUCUUCUUUUUUUCGUUCUUCUUCCGCAACUUCAUUUUUUAUUCUUCUCUUUCUUCAUCAUCAACAACUUCAUUUUUAUCUUUUUUAUCAUCAUCAUCAUCAUCCUCAUUUUUUUAACUUCAUGGAGAAUAUCAAGAUCUUCUUGAGAAACUCUUGGAUCUACUUGAGAAGAAGAAAAUCCUGAUUUUACUUGAGAAGAAGAAACUACUUUAGAUGCAAGUUCUUCUAAAAGAGUGGAACAUGAAUUUUCCUUCUUCUUCCUACCAGUUUUAGUCCUAGGAUUCUUCUUGAUCUUUGUGUCAGUUGUUUCAGUUGUUACUAUAAUUUUUCUUUUGAUAGAAGGCAUUAUAUUUGUAUCUGCAACCACAAAAUCAAAUAUUUUAAACAAAAAAAGCAACCAAACACAACAACACAAACAACCACUCGAAAAACCCCAAAUACGAUUCAAUACCACACAUGAACCAACCAACAAACCACAAAACUCUUCCUAAACCCUAACCAACCAACUACAAAUUGAAUCUUUUUGAAACCAGAUAAUAUUUCAAAAGGAAUAACAAUCAAUCAAACCAACCAACCUAUAAACAAAGAAACGAUUAACCACUACAAACGUCCUAGUUUAAUAUCAGCGAGUAUUUCAAAACCCUAAUUAAAUUUUACCUGAGAGGAUAUCGACGAUAGGAAUGAUGAGGGCAACGACGACACGCUAGAACUAUUAUUGUAAAAAAUAUCGCAAUAGAUUACACUUAUAUUGUGGAAAAUAUUGCAAUAACAACUGGAUUUGUGAAGAAUAAUAAUGGAGAAAUAAGAUAGAUGAGAGGAAAUAAGGAAACAAAAUGGAAAUUAGUAAUUGUAAAUUAAAUUUGGAAUAUGAAACGACCUCUUAUAGAGAAGAGAGGGAAAAUGACAGUUGUUUUCAACCUUUUUAAUUUUUUUUGAAUUUUGACAAUAUAAUGUUGCAACAUAUGACAAUUCAAAGUGACAUAUGUUGCCACACAUCUCCUUUUUGUUGGGGCACAUACAUAUAAUUUUGUGGUUUUUUUCACAACAGAGGUUAUAUAUGUUGCCACAUAUCACCUUUCUGUUGGGACACUUGCAGAUAAUUAUGUGAUUUUUUACAACAAAGGCUAUAUGUGUUGCCACAGAUAUCACAUUUCAUCCUUUCCUAUAUAAUUGACAUUUGUUCCAACAAAAUAAAUAUAAUAAUAAUCAUUAAUAUUAUCAGCAAAAAUGAUCACUUCACCAAAAAAAUUUGACAACUUAUCAACAAAAAGGUAAUUCAAAAUGGUAUACAUAACCAUAAAAACUAAAUCUAAUCAAUGGUGGUAACCAUAACAUUUUUAUCAAGACGUAUGAACUUUAUUUUUUUAGGUCUAGGCCUCUGUGGGUCUUCAUUGUUACUAACAUAGCCACUCUGAGCCUUUAAAAUUCCAUAAUUCCAUAGGAUUGAAGCAUAUCUCAUGCGAAGGGAUUGAGAAAUAAUUCCAUAAGAUGGUACUUGUAGUCCAUCACUCAAAAUCUCAGCGUAUGUAGCAACAAAAAGUCCACAAACUCUGCAUGGUGUAUCAUAAAUUAGAAAAUAUAAUAAGCUUAAUAAUAUCACAUUUCGAUAGUGGUAAGACAAAAAAAUAAUGUGAUACUUACAGACUAUUGCUCGUUUGUUGGGCAAUACUAGUAACAUGUAUAACUUCGAAUAGGUGAGAUCUGUUCUUGACCUGGUAAGAUUCAAGAACUGACCAGUUGGUUCGAUCUUUUUGCUCAAACAAUCCGCUGGAUUCAAGAUACUUUAGCAAUAUUGUAGACAAUUUUUGAAUCUCAACGGAUAAUAUUUUGUUAAUUAGUACUAGAUGAAGACAUCGAAUCAUACACCUUUAUGCACCGUUCCUUCAAUACAACGACAACCAAGACCCAGUGAAACUUUCCAUUACAAUUUACAGGGACAUAAACCUCAUCUGUGAGGUGCCAAGGCAGUCCAGCAGGUAUACUAAACCCUUUGAUAAUGUUAACAAUUUUAUUCUCAUUUUCAGGAACAACACGGCAUUGUCAAUGUAUGUUUCGAAAAAAUAAUUAGUAGUGGCAUAUCGAUAUUUAGAAUGACUUGGUUGCUUCGACUUCUUCCGCAAAUAGUACAAAAUGACAUGCACAUGCUGCACAGAUGCAUCAACAAGUGCAUUUUUGUAUCAAUUAUUUGUAUGUAUUCAUGUCUUAAUCAAAACAUAAGUUGGCAUGGAUUUACCUCAUCAGUCCAACACCGAUUGGGUUGAGACAUUACAUAGAUGCAACUACAAAAUCAAGUUGUUUGAAUUCAAGUUUCGAGCAAUUGACUAAGUAGUGAUCAUCCUUGUCUCUUCUGUAAUUGUGUAAACAUUAAAAAUAAUUAUUUACUGGAUAUCAACAAAUACUAAUAAUAAUUAAAUGACUUUACUUUUUUGCAUGAUGCUUGUAAAGACCCUCAUUUAUCCAUUGCGAGAAGGUUGACAUUAGUUCAGUUGGACCCUCGCCGACAAUGUUAAAAACUUCAAAUUAAUAUUGUUGCUUCACAUCACAACUGACAACUUUCUUCUCUUUCUCUUUAUCUUCCUCUUUCUCUUUUUUUCUUUUUCUCUUUCUCUUUCUCCUUGCCUUUUGCGAUUGAGGAAGAUACUGGAGUAGUAGUCAUUGAUUUUUUUCUUUUACUAAUUAUAGAUAGUGAUCAAAAAAUUGACUUUUUCAACCUCAUAUACUUCAAAGGCUGUGAAAUCUUCUUGGAUGUAUCGACAUCAAUAUUAUAUGUCAUUUACUUAAAAAUAUUAGUGAGUUCUUUAACACGACUAAUAAAAUAAUCAUGUUAUUACUCACACCUUUCGCAUCGACAAAAAGAGCAUUUGAUGUUAGAAGAGGAAGCAGCACCAGCAAAAGAUUGAGUUGUUACCACAGAUAAAGCUCUUUGUGACAUUUUAUCUAAAAGAUAAAUAAAAAAGGUUGAGAGUUUACAAUUGAUUAUAAAAUAAUAUGGCGGCAACAAUUUAUACUUAUGUUGACACAGAGGAACAUUCUGUUCCACAAAUGUACCUUUUGUUGACACAAAUGAAUCUUCUGUAGCCACAGAUGAAUCUUCUGUUUCAAUAUAUGGGUAACCUGUUACUGCAGAUGAUCAUUUUGUUGCUCUAACACAUAGGUGACAUGUUCCAACAUAUGACAACUAUGUUGGAAUAUGUACCAACAUAUCACUAUAUAUUGCAACAUACGAUACAUCUUUCAACAAAUGAAAUAUAUGUUGGACAACUGAAUAAGAUUAUAUUUCUACAAUAAUAUGAACAAAAUGGUCACAAAAAGAAGAACAAAAGCAACAAAAAUGCCUUUUCACUGAACAACAACAAUACAUAUAUAUUUCCUCAAAAUUAAGGUUUUUUUGGGUUUGUCGAUUUUCUUCCAAAAAUAAUAUAUAAUAGGUACCAUUACACCAUUAUUCAAUUUUCACAUCUAUAGAAUGAUUUUUUGUUCAUUAACCCAAGAAAAGAACUUAGUAUUAAGAGUGUGUUGUUCGAAAAUUGUAAAAUCAUAUAUUAUUAAAAGUAAGAACAAUCUAAGUCAAAAAUUGGAUUACGAAAAUACCCAUUACCUAUUAAUUUAUUUUCUUAAAAUCAUUUAAACAAAUAUUUUUCCAUUUAAAAUCAACUUCAUAACUACAACUCUUCAUUUUCCUAACUUAUCAUCAUGUUAUCAUAAAUAAAUAAUAAAAAGAAAAAAUUAUUAAAAGUGGAAAGCUUCAAAAUUUAAAAUUAGAUUGUCAUUUUACCCAUGUAUUAAAUAAAAAAGUUAUAAAAUAUUUUAUUAAUUAAAUAUUAAAUAAUAAUCAUAAAUUAAUUUGUCAUUUUUCCUUCACAUAAAAAAGAGAAAUAAAACUUCUAUUAAAUUAGUAAAUAGUAAGUAUAUAUAUAUAUAAGUGGAACCAAAAUAUUUUAAAAUUCAAUUAUCAAAGUGUCCAUAAAAUAUUGAAUGACAUUAAUAUCCUUCAGUCAAAUAUUAUUCCUACAAUAAUAUUGUACAAGAAUAUAAAUAUACACUUAAUUCAAUGCAUUAUGCUAUUAAAUAUAAAUACACGAAAACAUCCAUUAAUAUUUUGUCAUUUAUUUAACUCCUAUUUAUGUUUUUUUUUUUGGCUAAAAAGUAAGUCUAUCUUCUAAUAAAUAUAAAUAAUAAUAUAGCAAAUGAAUGAACUAUAUAAAUCAAAAGAUAUGGAGUUAUGUGUAUUUAAUUUAUGUUAAUGCUUUAUCUUCCAAUUUCUAAUGCAAAAAGUAAAACAUCUAUUUGUUUAUAACAUAUGGAGAACUUCAAAAGUUGCUUGGCAUAUUCAAUGUGGAGUAAAUUCUUUUGAUUAAUUCAAUACAAUAUAUUCAUUUACUAAAUGCUAUAUAUUGUGUAUAAAUGUAACACCCCAGAAAAUUUUGAGCUGACUCAAACAAUCCUUCGUUGUGAGUAGGAUUUGCCGAGGAAUUUAAAAUUUCUUGAGUGUUGAGUUCACUAGAUGUAGCACCUUGAGUUCCAAGAAGAACUAAAGAGAAUUCAUUCCUAAGUUCUUCUAAAUUUUGGAUCAACUUUAAACAACCAUAACUCUCAGUACAACAUGAUUUAGGUGGGCUAUAAUAUAUUAAAUGAAAGGUCUUUGAAUUAUCUUUCUAACGGCACUGAUUUUGCUAAGUUUCGAGUUCGUAUGAGUGAGAUAUGCCCUUUUGAAGUCAGGCUGUCCAAAUCAGGAAAGUUACCUGAAAAUAGUAAGGGGUAUUUUGGUCUUUUCCUUACCCAAUCAGAUUUAAUUCAUUUUUAUUAAGGUUUUAGGGAUCUAAUAUGAUUAUGUUCAGUUUUAUAAUCCUAAUAUACGCCUAGGAUUUUAGUUGAGAGUUCAAGAAGAGAAAAGAAGAGAAAAGAGGAGAGGAUCAAAGCGUUCGUCGAGGUUCUUGAGUUUUAUUGCGGAUUUUCGCCAUGAGUUUGAUUCCUAAGAGGUAUGUAACCUUCCAUAGUGUUGGGUUCGUUCACCCGCACGCCAAACAUGAUUUUCAUAUUUGAAUUCUUCCUUAAAGAUUGAAAGUUUUAAGUUAUUGAUGGGUGUUCUUGAAGUUUCAUUCUAAAUCUUGUUUUGUUGGGGUUUUGAUGAUUUAUUGAGAUUAAAGUGAAUGUUUUGAGGGCUGUAUUGAGUAUAUUAGUGUGUACUUAUGUUGAGUAAUCGAAUCCAAGUGAUUGAGGAAGAAACCAUUCAAAUCUAGGCGAAUUAGGGUGAGAAAAAGAGCAAAGAAAGUCGUCAGGGUUUUCAGGGUUGAGGCCUGGCACCCCGCACCAGCCAGUGCGCCCCAACCAGAACUCUGUAGGUAGAGGGAUGGCACCCCGCACCACUCAGUGAGCUAGGGUCGCUUGCCCUCACCCCUUCUCCGUCAUUUCACCCUUUUGAGUCCUUUAAAAGGGUACCUUCAAGCCCUAUCGAUUCUUAACACUCUAAGCUACUUCUAAUCACCUAGAAAUAAUUCCUAACAUGAUCAUAACCUUGAAUUCAUAAUUCAAAUUUAAGGUAGAGUUAAGGGUUAAGUUUUGAGAGUUCUUCCGAACAUUUUGAGAAAGUCCCUUUGAGUCUGAUUGAGAAGUCUUUUACAAUUUUCAAUAACUUGUUUCAAGACUCAAGUAAGUGAGCAUGAGAGUGAGGAAAAUGUAUUCAUGAGUCUACUCUAUAAUCGAUAUCCUUCAUAUCAUGAACCAUAACUCUUGAAUUCAUAAUUCAUAAUUCACAUUCAAGAGAGAGUUAAAAGUAGAGUUCAAGAAAGCUUUUGAGUUCAAUUGUGAAUCAUUUGAGAUCAACUAUGGAUUUGAGCUAAGUUUUGAGGAAGUAAGUAUGAGAAUGAGAAGAGUCGUAUACAUGAGUUCCAUAUUGUUAUUUAGACCCUCGAAUUGAGUCGUUCAUGCCCAUAAAUUUCGCAUGACCUUCAUAAAUUGAGCAUCUUUGAGAAGAGUAGUAUCUUCAAGUUCUAAGUCUUGAGUCUUGAGUAUUGAGUUCCUAAUCCCUUUUGAGAUUUUAUUCCUAAUCAUGGGAUUAUUACAUAUUACCCAUGGAGUCCUUGAGUUGAGAUGUUCAUGCCCAUAAUUCCGCAUGAACCCUCUGAGUUGAGUAUUCUUGAAACGAGUAUUACCAUUGAAGUUCUUAAGUUCUGAGUUGUUGAGUCUCGAGUAUUGAGUUCUAUGUAUGAUUAUUGAUAAUCUAGAAUUGAGUCAUUCACGUCCAUAAUUCGGCAUGAACUUUUAUUUUGAGAAGUCUUUUACAAAUUUUUUUCUAAACUUGUUUUAAGACUUGAGCACUUGAGUUGAGAAAGAGUAGAAUUGGGUUCAUUUUCCUUAAAAUGAUAUAUGGGAACUAAGUAUUCCCAAGAGUAAAUGUUUUCACAUAUAAAAGAGGAGGAAACUGAGAUUUCCAAAAGAGUUUUGAGCAAUUUGAGUAACAUCUCUUUUUAGAGAAAGAUUUUGAGUAAUAAUCUCAAACCAUAUAAAGAGUUAUGUUUUUAAACAUAUGAGCUGAGUAUAUUUUUGGGAGUAGUAUUGAGCACCAAUAUGGGGACGAGUUCAGAUAACUCAAGUCUCCAUAAACCAUGUAGCCAACGUGGGUAGUAAGGAUCAUAAUUAUUAGAUGAUUCCUUAUUGAUUUUUAGCAUAGACUAGUGGAUCCACUUAGUUGAGAGCUUAUAUACCUCGAUAAAGUAUAGGGCAGUUCUGGCAGCGUGGGCGAGACAUUGUAUAGUCACAUAACUCAUAGUGAUGAUUGUUGGUUAGAGAAUAUCCCACAGAGUUAUAUUAUGUUUUAUUAUAUACAAAUUGAGUUGUUAUUGUAUUCUUCUAUACAUUGAGUUACUAUCUACUGUUUUAAAAGCUUUCCAUAUAUUGCAUCUUUUAUUGUUGCUUUAUUCUUGAGUAUCUUGAGUUGAACUGUGUUUCAUUGAAUCGAGUACCUUAUUGUUGAGUUGAGCCCCAUUUCACUGAGUUGAGUAUCUUAUCCUUGAGUACUUAUGAGUUGAGUAAGUUUGAGUAUCCAUGAAUAUUCCUUGAGUUGAGUAAGUUUGAGAAGAUGUAAGUAUGUUUCUUUGCUACUAGUUCAAGCUUAUGUUCAUGCUUUAGAUUUCCCCUUACAUACUCCUACAUUCCAUGUACUGAGCCAUUUGGCCUGCAUCAUUUCAUGAUGCAGAUACAAGUAUUCAGGGUCAUCAACAGGAGCUUCAUUGAUACCACAUGGAGUUCGAGUUAGCUAUGGUGAGCCUCCUUUCUUCCAGAGGAUUUCAUUUACUUUUCAAUUUUGUCAGGAUGUCGUGGGUCUUGUCCCGACUUCCAUCUUUGUCAUUUAGAGGCUUCAUAGAUAGACAAUAGAGUUUGAGAAGUCUGUUUCAUUUAUUUUGGUUAAAUGUUUUAAAGACUUGAAUUGCCUAAUUCUAGCGAGUUGAAUAUACUAUUUUAUUCAGAGUUUAUCAUUUGAGUUAAAGCUUUGUAAUUGAGUUCAAUGAACUUUAUUCAGUUUUAAUCUUUGUAUGCUUGAGUUAGUCUUCUGCUUGUAGUCAACCAAGAUGAGGGUUCGCUUGGGGGCCAUCAUUAGUUCUCUAGUGCCGGCCACGUCCAAGGCUCGGGUCAUGACAAUAUAUAUAGUGAAAAAUCACAAGACAACUAUCUCAAUUCAUCAAAUUAUUAGAUUAUCAAUCAUACUUUGUGUAAGCGACAUUUUCUCAUAUUUAUUUUGUGUUUGUGUCUCUCUUUUCUACUUCUAUUUAUGUUCUCUAUUUUUUCUAUUCACAUUAUAAGUUAUUGUCUUUAAUUCGACUUAUUCAUAUACGUUUUCUUAUUAGUUGAAAGUUCAUCUUACUUCGGUAGGUAAACAUGUGUAUCAUAGUUAUUUCAUCUCUUGCAGGAUAGAAAUUUGUCAUGCAAAUAUCAAAUCAGGUAAGAUUACUUUCUUUUUAAUUAUAACUUCUUGGAGUAUCAUGAAACUGUAUAUUCUUAUUUGUGUAAAUUUUGGUUAGGAAUCAAUUUCCAUAAUUUAACUAAUAUUUUUUAUUAUUAAAUUUACAGAUGAUAGAACUAAUAAUUUUGAAUUAGGCAAAGGGUACACAUACCUAAUAAUAACUAUUUCUUUGUAGGUGUACAUCACAAAAUUGACAAUGAUCCACUAGCUAUCAUAAGAAAGGUGUAUCUUGAUCGAAUUUAUGUGCAAUUUUUACAAAACACAAUUCACAUUCGACAACAACUUCUUGAUCUGUAUGUGAUUAUAAAAAGGUGGAGGCGAUAGUUUCUUAGAAGACAAAAAAUUUAGAACAUGAAAUAUUUUCAACCAAUAAGAGACAUUUAAAUUAUGUGUUGUGACAUAUUAAUUUUUUUUAUCAAGUUGAAUACUUGAUAUAUUAAAAAAACUACAUAAUUAAAUUGUUUGAAUAUUACUUUUGAAAUUCAUUUGAUAUCAAUAUUUCAGCAUGAUGUACCUUGUACUAAUAAUAAUCUUAAUCGAAUAGGCUCACCAUUCAUUGUUUUGAGCUUGUAUAUUUUCUCUUCAAUUACUAUGCAAGUUAUCGCACAAUGAUCAUCUACUAGCCAUUGAUCAAAUUUAUUUAUAGCUUUUGCAAAACACUACUCUCAUUCGACAACAACUUCUUAAUACGUAUGCAAAUGUUAAAAGAUGGAGACUAGAAAGGUGGAAAAAAAUAGGAAAAACAUAAGACAAGAAAUAUUUUAAAAUCACACUUGACAUUUAAAUUAUGAGUUAUGACAUAUUAAACAAAAGAAACUUUUAUCAAAUUGAAUACUUGAUAUAUUAUAAGAAUUGCAUAAUUGAAGUUAUUGGUUUCAGCUUGUAUAUUUCUCUUCAAUUUUUGUGCAACUUAUCACACAUUUAUUAUAAUAUUUUCAAAGUUCUUGUACUUAAUUAGCAUGGGAUACACGAGCAACAUACAUGUCUGAGUAUAUAUACAUCGUUAUAGCAACUCCACACAACUUAGCAUGGAAAAUACGUGCAACGCACGUGCCCAGGACUAGUCUUUCAAAAAAAUGACUUACCCAUUUUAAGUCGAACACGACCUUCAGUUCAGAAAGAGAGAGUGACGGUCGGAUAUGAGGAGGAAGAUAAUGGGGAGAAUGAUAGUCAAAUUUUCUAAGGAAGAAGAAGAAGAGAAGAACGUUGGCGAGAAGAAGCAGAAGAGAUAAAAUUCUAUUUUCCUUUACUAUUUUUUUAAAAUAGUUUGAAUAGAAUUAAAUUAGUUGAAAAAUGUAGUGUUUUUUUUAAAUAUUUUAUAAAAGAUUAAAAAGUUUUGAAAAUGUUAAUUUGAUCCAAGAUUAACUUAAUUAUAUUUUUAAGUGGGUUUGACCCUUCUUGGUCAAAAGUGUCACCAAACAAAAAUUAAGAAUUAAUUGACAACUUUCAUUCAAUUUUCUCAAAUAACCCACCCUCCCCCAUAACAAACAUUCAUUACUCUUUCAAAUUUCCCUCUGCCAUAUUCCUUGCAAACAAAAUUUCUUCUUCUUCAUUUUCUUUUCUCUCUGGUUUUCUCCAUUAUCGUCGUCCUAUUCUUCGUCCGAGUCAUCUUGCUCCUCUCACUAUUGGGGUUUCAACACUUUUAAGGUAAAAUUCUUUUUCUUUCUUUUAUAAUUAGGGUUUUACUCUUUCUUGUGAAGAUGAUGAAUCAAGUUAAAAAAAGAUGAAAAAGUAAAUAACUAGCAAUAGGAGGAUACUAUUAAAUUUCAUACUUUCAGGAAGCUUAAUAAAAAAGGUGGUAAUGCCCCACAGAGCUGUUUCCCUCUGCCAUUUCCCUUGCAAAACAAAGUUUCUUCUUCUUCAUUCUUUUUCUCUCUGGUUUUCUCCAUUGUCGUCGUCCUAUUCUUCGUCCGAGUUAUCUUGCUCCUCUCACUAUUACGGUUUCAACACUUUUAAGGUAAAAUUAUUUUUUCUUUCUUUCAUAAUUAGGGUUUUACUCUUUCUUGUGAAGAUGAUGAAUCAAGUAAAAAAAAGAUGAAUAAGUAAAUAACUAGCAAUCAACAUAUUCUAUUAAAUUUCAUACUUUCAGGAAGCUUAAUCAAGAAGGUGGUAAUGCCCUCUCCCCCCCCCUCCCCCGAGCUGUUUCCUUGGAUGAUGUGGAUCUUGAUCAAGUUAGCGUUGAUUUUGUCCUCAAUUGUGCAAGAAAAGGUAGGGAAUGUCCACCACAAAAUAUAGUCUCUACAUAUUUGGUCUAAAAUGGAUUGCAAUCAUCAAGUCAGGAUUGAUUUUUUUUUUUGGGUAAGCGGACUUCUUGAACUAUCUGAAGCUAUUAGAGAUUAUCAUGACAACACUAUGUUCUCUCAUAUGGUAAAUCCGGACUUGCACUGACAUUAUUUUUUGUUCAAUGGUUACUAUUUAUGAAUGUUCUUGUUCGGGAUUGCACAUGCAUUCAUUUCUGUUGAAUAGUUACUAUUUGUGAAUGUUUUUAUCUAUUGCAUCAAAGAAUUAUUCCAUAUGGGCUUGUUGUGCAACACUUUUUACCUAUCCCAAAAUAUUAUUUCGUGUGUUCUAUGCACAUCAAUGUUUAUUUUCAUUCUUCAACGGUUUCCCUUUUGGUAUUAAGAGUAAUGCAGGUUCAAAUGAUGAAUUCUUUCCAACUACGAAUCCUAAACUCGGGUUUGCCUCCAAGAAGAUUACCCCAGCCUGUCCCAAUUUCCACACCAUCACCAAAUUUUCAACACUCUCAAUGUCAGAAUCAAUUGAUACUGAACCAUUUGAAGAGCUGUCCAGUUUAUCCAAAUCUCAAUCUCUCAGUUCCAACAACAACAAGAGUUAACAGUUGACGACAUUGAGGAUUUUGAUGACGAUGAUGAUCUAGAUGAAGUUGACAGUCGAAGGUAUUCAAGAAGAGUUCUCGAUGAUGCUGUUGAUCUUGUGCUUGGAUUGUCGUCAUUUGCUACUGGUAAGCAUGCUUAUUAUAGGUGUAUAUGUGUAUGGUGGACCUGUAACUUCUGCUAUCAUAAGUUUGACCAUUUCAUUUUGGCACUAUUAGGUUGUAAUUUGUUUGCUUUUUAGCUCUAAGGUGUUAUAUAUAUAUAGAGUACUGGUUAUACAAGAAAAAUAAAAGAUAGGGAGAUUAAUGGUUACCAUUUUAAAAAAAAGACUGAGAGAGUAAAAGUACUUCGAGAUUUUUCUCUGGUUCUAUAUUUGUACUACUGGUUACUUUCUGCUUAGGAUGCUGACACAUGACUAGGAAACUAUUAGCAACAUUGAUGCAAAUGUAUCGUAUAAUUGUUCUAGUUUCUGUGCAAUUUUCACUCAAUGAUAAAUGGAUUUUUUUUAAUAAGGGAAUUCAACCACUAUACUAUCAAGAGUUGUAUACUAAAUGAUAAAUAGAUUUCAAUUCUCAUCCAUGUUAAUUGCAGUUCGAGCAAUGCACCAAGGCCGUGAACAUAACAUACUUCUAUAGUAACUUGAUAUUGGGAGAAUGUCUCUUUUUAUUAGGAGCAUAAGAAUCCACCUUAAUCUCCAGGAUACUUGUGCGAUUUUUGAAUUUUCCAACUUCUUCCGGCCGAUAGGCAUUAUUUAAUUUUUUAAAAUUGUAAUCCUAUAUGUUUUUUCUUUUCUUUUUGUAGAUUAGAAAGAGUUAGCACUAUCUUGAUGCUUGUUUAAUGUUUUUCUGACCUUUGACUAUCAUAAACAAAACUAGUUGUCAGAUUAUUAAUUCUCAGAUAUUCUGAUGCAACUCUCUUUAGUGCUUAAAUUUUUAUUUUAUUUUGUUAUAGCUCUUUGUUAUUUUCUCCUCUAUUCACUAUUCACUUGAUUAUGUUUAUAAAAAGAAAAACUUAGAUAGUUAUAUAAGUUUUAUUCCUGAUCUUUAACGACCCUUAUUCUUUCAUUUGUUGCUUUUUAAGCAUAAAGAGUUCCCACUAAUGUUUUCUUCAACGAACAUUCAAGUAUUUCUUACUCUUCUCUGAUGACUUCUCUCGUACUUAGUAGCAAUAGUAUUCAAUUUGUUAUGAAGCUUAUUCCAUCUUUCAUAAACCCCAAUCAAAUGAUAGGUUAAGUUUUGUGCUUGUGCACAAAAAUCAGUGAUACGUUGAUGUCAUUUGAUCCUCACUAAUUUCUGGCACCUCCUUGGUUUUUGAAGUCUGUUUGGGGAAUAUAUCAAUAAAUGUUAAAUGUGAACUUGAACGAAGUGAGGUCAUCAUAUCUAUUUAACUAGUUUAUUUUACCUCUACUUUGUAAACAACCUAUGAUGGGGUGCCAGAGUUUAUUUUGGAACUUCAUAUUAAAUACAUACUUCUUUUUGCGUUUUGAUGUUUGAAAUCUUUGGUUUUAUACAAUGUUUGAAGCCUUGAAUACAUGUGUUGGCACGUAAUAGGCACUUCCAGAUUGAUAUUGAUUACUGGAGCAAGUAUUUGAUGAGCAAACAGCUUAAUGUAAUAUUAUAUUCCAGUAUUUCCUGGUCGGUUACACUACUUCACUAUCACUUGUAGAUUCCAAUAUCUUUUUUCAAAAUGUAUUCUUUUCUUGCUUUUACAUGAAUGGAUGGGAGAUACCUAUACUUCAGGUUGUAUUUAUUCCUAGCUAUUGGCGAUGAUGAUCUCCGUGAAACAACAUAUGAGAUCCUUCUGGCUACUAUUGGAGCUUCAAGGUAUUUCCGCCUUUUCUGUUUCUUGGCUUGCAACAUCUCCCAUCCGAUUAAUUAAACACAUUUAAUAUGCAUUCUGUAUGCACAUGGGCUUCAUUGUACCAUCAAAGGACAAAAAGAAGGAGAAGAAAUUUAGAUUAAUAAGGAAGUUGGGCCAUAGUAAGAGUGAAAAUGUAAUGACCUAGUCACAUAAUUUAUUUGGACUGGUCAGUUUGUUGGAGACAAUGCGUGUCCAGAUGGAGGUAGGAAAAUGAAUGACCUUGUUACGUUCUGUCAGAUGUCAGAUUGCUUCUAGCUUCUGUUGUUCGAUUCACACCAGUAAUGGGAUAGAUAUCUUAUUAGUUUCUUGCCCUUAACUCAACAAGUUGGGAUAGCUUACCUGUUGUUUCAUUGCAAAUCAUGGACUUUAGGACAAGACUUGGUCUCCUUAAUGCGAUGGUUGGAAAAGUGGGUAAAAAGGAUGGAUACAAUCUUGAUCCCACUGGAAUUGUUAUGUUGUAUUUCACACACCGAGUUUUCCGAUAAAAAGUCAUAUAUUAAGUGACAAAAGAGACAAGUGCGUGCUGUCUUUCCCACUUAAUAUGAUGAUUCAAUUUUUUCCUCCCCUCCUCUUUGUAAUUGCUGUAACAAGCUUUGCAAAGUUGUUUAUUUAUGAAACUAAAUUCAUAUGAUAAUGUAUUUAGCAUUUCUGUUGCAUAUUUUUUUUCUGUCAGUUCACUUAAACAUGUUGGAGGAGGGACUCAUAAAUCAUCAUGUUGUAGGGUUUGGGGAAUCUGAGGUGUGUACAUUUCUCUCUGUCCCACUUUUGCUGAAGAGAAAUUUCUGAUUUAUUACUAAUACUUAAGUAUUUGCAAUUCUAGUUUGGUCAUGCAUCCUUGCAAAUAGCCAAAUACUGAACUUUAUAAUAUUUUAACUUCUUUGAAAAUAGUGAAAUGCAAUAUUCACAUUUAAAGCAAUGGUCUGAUUGCAUAUUUCAAGAAAAUACUGGUUUCUACUCAUUAAUCUUCAACUUCACAAUUUUUUCCAAGUUGAACUUCAGUACUCUUUUAUUCAGCUUCAACUCGGAGUGGUGGGCUUAGGAUUUGAAGGCAGUGGGUGCACAUUCUUUAACAUACACCGCAUCUCCAACUUUGAGUAACAUUAUGCAUUCAGUUGGUUUAGUUAGUUUCUAAUUGAAUUUUUAGUUCAUAAACAAAGAAACCAUUCAAACCGAAAUGACUUGGGUUAAUUGCAUUUUUAUGCUUCAGCUUUAAUUAAGUUUAGGGAUCUCUUUUAUUUACCGAUAAUAUAAAAGGAAGAGCUUGGAAACACGUGUCCCUCUAUCAUCUAUACAAACAACAACAGAAAGCACGUGGUCCCUCUAUCAUCUAUACAAACAACGAACUAACAACAUUAUAAUUUAAUCGAUCAUUCUUUUCAGUAAGGGAAUUGCAAAUUGAAUCAUGAUUUACCAAUUUGCUUAAUGGUCGAUGCAAUGACUGUAAAUUUGUGGUAAUCCUAGUUGGAUUUCAUUUUAUUAAUUUUAUUGCCGAAAAUAAGUAGGUCAAAUAUUAAAUAGAUGGAUUAAAACUGCAAAUGCACUUCUUUCAAACAAAUUAAAUACAUUUUGAUUUACUUGAAUGUUCUGUUUUGAAGUUUGAUCAUCAUAUGUCUAAUCAUAGGAUUGCUUAGAAUUAAAGUUAGAGUUGCUAAGAGGGUUUUCAUCUUUGAGAUUGGAGGUGUUGACACCCAAUUUUGACCCUCCACAAUGUAUAUUAAUCAUCGAGCUUUUUCAAUUUCAAACGAUUUGAAAUAAUUAAUUUUACAAAAAUUCAAAAUAUUUUCAAGUUAUUUCUAAGGUAAUCUUGUCAUUUUUAAUAAUUUUAAAUAAAAAUAUGUAUAUUUUUACAAUUAUGUAUAUAAUUAUGUCAUUUUAUGAAUAUUCAAAAAUCAUCUCAAAAAAAUUUAUUUUUAGUUAAAUAAUUUAUUGAAUUAGUUUAGUUUUAAAUUAUGGUUAUAAUUUUGAGUCAUUUAAGUUUAAUUGAGUUUAUUAUUUUAUUUCGUCGAAAUUAAGAAGCUCAUUAGUUGAUUAUAUUAAUUCGUCUUAUUUAAAUUUUAGCCAAAUUCACUAGUCAAACUCAAUUUGGUUAAGUUUUAAGUUAAGUUGGCUAAUUUUGCAAUUAAUUUGGCUGAGUCUUAAAUUCAAAUCUGGUCUUUUCGUUACCUUACAUUGAAGGGAAAAUUACGCGGUUAAGCAAACUUAUACUACUUAAUUACUCAUCAUAGCUAUAGUUUGCUAUAAUUACCACUCACGACUAACAUUAUACAUUAAUUACGCGGACUGACUUCGAGUUUGUAUAAUUAGCCACGUUUGUAUAUGUAUAAUUCGCCAGAAUAUACAAAUACAUAUGUAUAAUAUACAAUUAUCUAACCGAUAUACAUAUACAAUUCACCUCUCUCCCACUCUCUGCCCUCUCUCGCUUGCCUCUCUCCUCCCUCUCCCNNNNNNNNNNNNNNNNNNNNNNNNNNNNNNNNNNNNNNNNNNNNNNNNNNNNNNNNNNNNNNNNNNNNNNNNNNNNNNNNNNNNNNNNNNNNNNNNNNNNNNNNNNNNNNNNNNNNNNNNNNNNNNNNNNNNNNNNNNNNNNNNNNNNNNNNNNNNNNNNNNNNNNNNNNNNNNNNNNNNNNNNNNNNNNNNNNNNNNNNNNNNNNNNNNNNNNNNNNNNNNNNNNNNNNNGCCUCUCUCCUCCCUCUCCCAAUCUCGCUUUCCAUAUAUACAAAUAAAUAUGUAUAAUAUACAAUUAUCUAACCUAUAUACAUAUACAAUUCACCUUUCUCCCACUCUUUGCCCCCUCUCUCUCCCAGUCUCGCUCGCCUCUCUCCUCCAUAUAACAUGUAGCUACGAAUUGUAAUUAUCAAACUAUAGCUAUGGAGAUUAAUUAGACUAUUUUUGAGUGGCUAUAUGUGAAAAUUCCCCUACAUUGAACCCAUUAAAAGACCAAAAAAUUUUGGGCCUUUUUGCCUCUUUUCAGCAGCCCAAUCUACCAAUUCCAUACCCAGUCCAGCCCAAACAAUGCAAUACAUACAACGAUCCAAACAAAACAGCAGCGCGUGAACGACCCCGACCCCGACCCCCGUGCGUUCUUCUCCUUCAACCCAGCGAGACCCAGAAACAAAAUCGCGCGGCAGCCUCGCGCGUGUUCUCUUCCUCUCUCUGUUUUAAAAGUAUAUUUCAAAUUAAAUCCAGGUGGAGCUAUUUCGCGCUUGCUUCCUCAUUUUCUCAAAAAUCAAUAUCCUCCAUUCAAAUCCGUUGAGAAUCGAGUCAGUCCUCCAAGAAAAUUUCAAAUUUCAAAUUUGAAAUUCACCCAAUUCUUCACCCGUUUCCCCCCUAAUUUCUGCCCCAAAUCCUCUCCUGGAGAUUUUUUUACACUGACUAAGGCACAAAUUUCUUAUUCCAAGAACAACAAUUUCAUCCUCUAAUACUAUAAGUUUAGAAAGGGGAAAAUCCCUAUAACAUCUUAGUUAAUUUAGAAGUAAAAGUUUACAAGUCUUGGUUGGUCGAAUUUGAAGGCAUUUCCGGCGAGAUUCCGUUGGUGGUGAGUUAGUUGCCUCAAAGUUCAUUGUCUCAGUCCGCUGCAUGCAUCCAGAAAGGUAAUCUCCAUUCCCGUUCUUAUUUUUUUUUUUUAAUUUCUUGAUGCAUCGAUUGCUUGCUCGAUCCUUAGCUGUUAAAGUGUUUAAAUGAUGAGAUUUUGGGCGUAUUUUGAUUGAUUGUUGGCUGUGAAUCAGUAGCAUAACUGGUCUGUUCAUUCAUAGCUUAUUUGUUCCGCUUUCAGCCCUUUCUGCUUGAGGUUUGAUAAUCCUAUUUGACGCUGAGUUGGCCUUUUCCGUAUUAAUUUCCCCUUGUUCCUUUCUGUUAGUUCAGUUGCUAAUUUAUGAAUCUAGCAAUAUUCUUAAGGGUCAUUUGAUUUACAGUCUUUGGUAUGUUGAGUACUUAUGUUUGUAAUUGAGGGACAUGAUGAGUGAAGGUGUUAAAAGGGCAUGAGCCACAAAAUCACAUGGAAGGAAAUUGUCUCGAAAAACCUAUGUUGGAAUUCAUGUAGACAUAGUGAAUAAUAGGUCACAAUAGAAAAGGUUUAUUUAGUUGGGACUAUGUUUUAGUCAUGUUAGUAGUAAUUUAGCUCUUGUGUUUUGUGGGAGUCCUUUAGUCUUAUAUGAGAUUUAUAUGCAUUUCGAAAAUAUAUAGAACUUCUAGAGCUUAUUAUUAUUUAAUUAUUAUAAAUAAUAUGGGUCUAAGGAGCUUAAAAUGGAACUGUAUGAAUUAUGAUCAGUGAGGAUUCAUAUUGGCGAGCCCUACUUGCUCAGGAUUGAGGUCCAGUUUUUUUAUAUGAACAAAAUAACCUAUUCUCUUUGUAUAAUAGUAAAAUCCUGAACAGUAGUGCAAUGAAUGAUGUUAUGUGAGUACAUUCCUUAGGAAAUCGAUUUAUAGGUUUGAAUGAUCAAUUAUGAACUUCAUCUUUUCCAACCAGGAUGUUAAAGAAAUUUUGGAGCUUCUUCAAGUCCAUAUGGCGUAUUUUGGGAAUCACAGAAACCAUCCACUACAUGUGCUAUGCUUGGUUAUUAUUUCGACAGGUAUAAAAUGGCAAAAAUAAAUAAAUACUGGUUUCUAGUCAGAGUUGCUUAAAACAUUACUAGCAUUUGCUUGACUAAUAACCUGCUGAUGGUAUAUCAAAUGUUUGGACUAGAUUUUACUUCUUUAUCAAUUAUUUGAGUGGUGAUGGACCACAAGCUCUUUGCAAUAUGUGGCAUAGCCUGCAAUUUCCUAUUUAGAAAAGAAACUGAAAUUUCUUGAAUCUAGUUUGAAGUACCAGGAAAAUCGUGUUUCGUUGACUGAGUUACUAAAAGAUUUGGAAGGCUUUGUUCUUUUUAUGUUAGUUAGGUUUGCUGAUGUCCUCUUGGAGUACUUUUUGGCCGAUGCUAACAUUCAAUGUCAGUUUACUUUUUUCGCAUAAAAUGAAUCUGGGGGUGAUCAAAAGUGGUCAUCACUUCAGUUUCUCAUUUGUUUGAAUGUCCUUGAGUAUUGAGUGGCCAUUUUAGAUGCUUCAUCCUUAUGUAAAACUAAUGAUGCAUCAAAUGUGAGGUUGUUCUUGCUGCUCCCUACUUAGUUGCCGAUCUGCACUCCGUUUGUGGUACUUAUAGCAACCGGAAUUUUAAUAAUUUGAUAGCAAUUUUACCAUUCACAAUUAACAAUAGGUUGUAUGGAAAAUACCAUACACUAUGUUUUCUGACUACUCAGGUAUUAUGCAUUUAUUAAUACAGAUAUCAACAAUCCUGUUGAAGCUACCAAAGAAGACCAAAUUACCCAUCAUUUUGAAAUAACCUCGGUUUAACUUAACUGAAGAGUGUGUAGCCUGCCUACUACCUAUAAGAUUGUGAUUAGUCACUUACAGUUGUAACCUAAUCUAGCUGAAUUAAGGUGAUUAUUUUAAAUGUGUUUUAUUUAAGGAAAAAUAAUGUUUUUUGUCCAGUCUUAUUCUUCAGGUCCUAUUUUUCUCUGCGUGUUGUUCAACUUAGAAAUUUGACCUUUGUCGAAUCAAAUGUGCUAUUUAUAGUCUAAUUAUAAUUUAUAACUGCCUUAACUUCACUAUGGACUGAAAAUUGGUUUUUUGGAAUACAAAACCCUCAUCCUCUCCUCGAUCCACAUUAUUUAACUUCUGCAAAUUUAAGUAAAUUCUUUUAUCCCAAUAAGCAAUUGGCUGUUAGGCAAUUGCUUCCAUCUUCUUUUGUUAACUGUUUGUAAAUAAAUUCUUGACAUGUUGCAUCAAUUUCUUUUUACUUGGUUACCUACCCUUAUUUCAAAUUUGGUUACUUGAUUGAAGCUGAUCCCCCCAUCAUUCCUCUUUGCUUAUUGUUGGUGCGUGAUUGUCCUAUUUCGAUAUAUGCCCCUUGUGUUGUUGCAGUUUGUCAUCACGGGAGAGCAAAUGAUCUUGCAAUAUGUCAUUGAACAGUUAAAAAAAAUACCAUUAAAGGAACAAAGGUGACCGCAAGAGAGAAUGCACUUGAAGAGUUUGCAUUGUAGAGUUGAAAGGGAAAGGGGAUUCCAAGAGUUGACUUUCUUGCAGUCUUUCUUGUUGCCAAUUUCAAAAUGGGCUGAUAAGUAGUUGGGAGACUACCAUCUCAAUUAUGAUGAGGUUUGUGCACAAUUAUGUUUUACUUUGAUUAGGCGAUUGCAAAUCUUGUGCGCAUGAUGAGUCAUUUGUUUUAACUUACAUUUACAUGUCUUUUCCUGUUUCAAAAUUUUGUUUGUGGUAGAUCAACUCAGAGCUUGUACUAUAAACUCUGUUUAGUAAUUUAAAACUAAGAAACUAACUUCCAAAUUUACUCUUUCCCAUGAAUAAUGGUUGCCAAUAUUUCAAAUUUUCUAAUUUUCUCUGUUUCAAAGAUAUAUUUCAAAUUUUCUGCCUUUUCUGUUGACAUUAAUUCCAUCUAGGAUAUUAUUUAGUUUAAGUUAACAGUACAGGAAAGUUGUGUCUAAAAACUAGUUGAUGUUUUUGGCUUAGGGGUUGGUGAUUAUGGAAAACACUGUGGCAGUUGCUAUGCUUGUUCUCGAAGGCUUCUUCUAGAAGAACCUGAAACGGUAUGUGAGACUACCUACCUUUUCUGGUGAACUAUUUUAAGUUUGUUCUGGGAAAUCAAAUCAUAUGUUAUAUGUGCUGUCUGUGCAUUCACUAUAAACCAUAAGAUUUACAUACGUGGCCAUUCUUUCUUGCCUCUACUUCCAACUCCUGGCCAGCUAUUCGGGACCUCCACAUUAGUCUUUGGCGUCGCCCAGCUAAUCCCCAGAAUGCACAGAAACGUAUCCACAACCUUGCAGCUGUUUGACAGUGAAUAAACAGAUGAUUGUUUACCUCAUCUUCUUGUUCACACAUAAAGCAUCUCGAACAUAUAUGUUAGCCUCUUUUCUGUAAAGCUUCAUGAGUAAGGCAUGCUUUCCUAAUCAAUAGCCAAACAAAACACGUGACUUUCAAUGGACAUUUCACCUUCCAAAUUAGUUUCCAUGGCCAUCUCUCAGUCAAUGAAAUAUUAUAGUUCAUCUUCCAAUAGCAUGACUUCAAUGUGUAGAGUUGGGGCAGUGCUUGUUCAAAAACUAGUUAAAUUAGUUUCUUCAGUUGGUAGAAGAUCCUAACUGUAAAGUGCAACUCUAUGAUCAGUUAGAUUAAUUUCUUCAGAUAUUAGAGGACCCUAACUAUGAACAACAUCCGUACGCAAAAUGUGGCUCUUUAAAAUCUGUUCUCUAUUCUUGAAUCUUCAUUUUCUAUUUCUUAGCUACAUUUCAUUGUGAAAUCUUCAUUCUAUACAGCCUAAGGACAUCUUCAACCCUCUUCUCUAUUUUACUGUCCAAAUAUAGAGUUCUCUAUUUUCAACCAACUCCAACCCAAUUCUCUAUUUUACUCUCUAAAAAAGAAUCUUCUUCUCUCUCCUCAAUAUCGCAUAUCGCAUAUCACAUAUCAUAUAUCGCGUAUCGCAUAUAGCAUAUUGCAUAUCGCAUAACGCAUAUAGCAUAUCGCAUAGCGCAUAUCGCAUGUCGCAUAUAGCAUAUCGCUAGGGGUAUACAAAACCGAACUGAAAACUGAAUCAAACCGCAACCGAGUCUAACCGAAAAAACCCAACUAAUGGUUUUGUUUGACUUGAUUUAGUAUUGGAAAAAAAUCGGACUAUACUUGGGUUGGUUUAAUUUUAACUAAAAAAAGUCAACUCGAGACCAAACCAACCCGGCAUUAUUUUUAUAGUUUUAACAUUUAUUUUAUACAUAAAAGUAUUUACUUUGAUAUAAUUUCAAAAUAUUACUUAUACUUUUUCAUGAUUUUUAUCUUUUAACAUAUUUUUUCGAGUUUUUGAGACUUGAAAUUUUGAAUGGUCCAAUAAAGGUUACCAUGAUAUUAGUAAUUCUAAUAAAGCUCAAUUUAAAAUCAAAUCAAUACUAAUGCUAACCAAAAAUAUUAAUUCAACACUAAGAAUGACAAUAAUGUUGAAUAUUUGUUCUUUAGUUUUACAUUUAUUUAGACAUUUAAAAUAGAUAACCUGAUUUUAAUUUUUUUUCUUUAGUGUUUAAUAAUGUAAUUAAUACUUAUUUGACUUAUUUUAGCAUGAUUUAGUACUUUUAAGUUAUGAUCAUUUUCAUUAUGACUUAUCAAUUUGCAAUAAUUAUUUUAUACGAUUUCAUUAUUAUUUUUUGUUGAAUAUUUUAGUGUCAUAACUAAUCUCAUAUUUUGUGUUAUUUUCUUAAGAAAUAUCUUAGAUAGUUGUAUUUUGAUUGGACUAAAGAAAAAUUUGGAGCACAAGUUAAUUAUAUGUUUGUAUGAAUAAUUAACUGAAAAUUCCAAAAACAUCCAAGGUUUAUUAGUUUAGUUUGAUUUAUAGAUUUAAAAAUUUGACACAAAUGUUUGGUUUGAUAUUUGAAAAACCCAAACCAACCCAAAAAAACUCGAGGUUGAAAAACUCGAAAAAAAACCUAGCUUUAUUAGUUGGUUUGGUUAAUAAAUUGAAAAAUUCGACACAAAUGGUUUGAUUUAAUAUUUGAAAAACUCCAAACCAACCCGAUCAUGUACACCCUUUUACUGUCAUAACUAAUCUCAUAUUUUGUGUUAUUUUCUUAAGAAAUACCUGAGAUAGUUGUAUUUUGAUUGUACUAAAGAAAUAUUUGGAGCACAAAUUAAUUAUAUGUUUGUAUGAAUACUUAACUGAAAAAUCCAAAAACAUCCAAGGUUUAUUAGUUUAGUUUGAUUUAUGAAUUUAAAAAUUUGACACAAAUGGUUUGGUUUGAUAUUUGAAAAACCCAAACCAACCCAAAAAAACUUGAGGUUGAAAAACUCGAAAAAAACCCUAGCCUUAUUAGUUGGUUUGGUUUAUAAAUUAAAAAAUUCGACACAAAUGGUUUGAUUUAAUAUUUGAAAAACCUGAACCAACAUGGUGAUGUACACCCUUUGCAUAUUGCAUGUUGCUUAUCGCGUAUUGCAUAUAGCAUAUCACAUAGCGCGUAUUGCAUAUAGCACAUCACAUAUCGUAUAUCACAUAUUGUUAUUGUCUCUCUCACAACUUGAUCUCUUUAUUUUAUUAGAAAAAUAAUUCACAAUGUGUAUUCGUUAUUGUUCGAUCAUUAUGUGAACACUAAUUAUUGAAUUCUCUGUUGAAUGAAAAUACGAAAGAAAUUAAUUAAAGAAACAAAACAAGAAAAAGAAAUGAAAAUUCCUACGCACUAUAUACAGAAUUUUUCUGUGUGAAGCAAAGUUCAUAGAUAAUUGCACAUUUCUGUGUUCUCUUCUUUUCUUCUUUAAUAGAAAGUUAAUAGCUAAAUUCCACAGCUAAGAACUUCGGUGAAACAUAUCAAUGGAUUGGGAUGAAUCAUAUAUGCAAAUUUUAAAUGAUCUCAAAUUGUCACAGAAAAGAGAUCCCCAAGAAUUUAUAAGGAGUGAAUGGUUGCGAUUUAUGACCAAAGAAACAUGAAGGUAGAAAUUGUUGUGACUAUUCGUAGGAAAUUAGUCUUUUUAAUAAAUAAAAUAUGUAGGUUAAUUAAAAGGGUAUUAAUGUUCUAAAAUGAUAUAAAUAAUAUUGAAUAUGUAUGUGAUGAAAAUUGUAAGAGGAAAAUUUGAGUGAAUUGAUGAAUGAUUUGUUACAAUUUGUUCACCAACUCUUUCUUAUGUGGUACCUCCAAUUUCGUUGAAUUUGGGACUUAAUCAACUAUUGCAAAUAACAGUUUGGAUAUUUUAAGAAGAAGAGUAGAAAACCUUAAAAAAAAUCAUAGUUUAAAAGUGAGACGAAACCCCUCUAUUUAUAGCUAACAAAUAGUAGUACAAAUAGGUAUUUAUUGCACCUUAUCAGAAAAGGUGCAACCUUUCAAAAAAGUCACUACUCAUCAGAAAAGUCAUAACCCUUUGAAAAAGUCACAACUCUUUGGUAAAGUCACAACCCUUUGAAAGUAUCACAAUCCUUUGGAAACGUCACAACUCAUCGAAAAAGUCAUAAUCCUUUAGUGUGUAAAGGUAUCUACUUUUAAUAUAAUAUAAUUAAAUAAAAUAAUUAAAAUAAAUUGAGUAUUUGUAAUUGGGGAUAUUAUAGUAAUUCAACAUUCAUGUUUGAGAGUUCAUGUUUUAUAUAUAUAUAUAGUGUCACUAGUGGUUAAGGUAUAGUUACUUAUAUACCUAACAUAUCACAUGUGUUUUGCUGAUGUGGACUUUUUAUCUUAAGAUGGGACGUCACAUACAUCCCCUCUAUGGAACCAGCGUCCUCGCUGAGGUUUUCCCUAUUGUGUGACAUUUGUCUAGACACAACACUCAUGUUUGCCCCAUCUUAUCAGAAUUAGCCUAAACUCAGUUGAACUCGGCCCAGUUGAACAUGAAUGGUCCCAAGCUAACCCUUGGCAUAACAUUUCAAAGCAAAUCAUACGAAACUAAUGUGGAAGUAUAAAUAUAUGCUUAAUAAGUCUUAAUAUGGAAAUUAAUAAAUCCAUGAUGACUGUUACAACUAAUGUCUGAAAUAAUCCUCUAACAUUCAAAUGGAAGGAAAGAAGUUUACUAGAACCGGGCCCCUAGUUACCUCGAUCCAAAUAAACAAAGAAACUAUUAAAAUAUGACUAACAACUAAUCAGGAACUACCCAAAUGAGGAGGACUCACCAAUUGCUGGUUGGAACUGUUGCAACCUCACUAUCCACGAGUUUGAGAACGGGCGUCAGAAUCUACAUCAUAAAAGGAUUCUACGUAGAAAAAAAGUAUGCGUCUGUACGUAAAAUGUAUUGAGUAAGUUAGGGGCACUAGCAUAAUCGUAAAAUGGCAUAACAAAGACAGUGAAAUAAGAUUCCCAAAAUCAUAUAUCUAAUGAUGAACUAAGCGAAAACAGUUGGAGUUCAUGUCUAAAUACCAUUCACAAUAUUCUUACAAAAACAUAUAUAGAGAUGAGUCUAUUUCUGUAGCAUUGUAUAAUCAUAGUUGUAAAUAACAUACUUAAAGUGAAUCAAAUAAAGUUACGAGCAUAUCCUAAAAAGCUACAUAAACUUGGGAGUUUCUUAUAACUAACAUAUACCAUUUGAGCUCAUGAUGUCCAACAACUAACCUAGUUUGGAGCUUUGCCCUAUACCUUGCUAGAGUAUAAGACCAUAUCAUACAUAUAUGUGGAUCCACUAAUCUAAGCCUCUCAGGGUCAAAUGAAGUUGUCUGACAAAGUUGUAUACUAAAAAACUAUGAUGACAUGCAGUUAUGGGACUUGGGUUUUCCAAACCCGCAUCCUCUCAGUACUAAAUAUUCCUUGCAAAAUAACAUACAUACAUAUUAAUGCUCAUAAGGAUAAAUAAUAUUCAUCUAUCUGAAUCAUAUAUGUGACUAAGCUCAAAAGUCAUAUCUAAAAUAACAUGUAUGGAGGUUGAAGUUUAUGUCAUGCGAAUUUUCAUAAUCGAAGGCCUAGGGGUGUAUAUGAUCAAAGAAAUCAUUCUAAAUCAGUUCAAUGUAGUUUUAAAGGCUAAAAUAAUUUAUAGAAACCUUUUACUCUAAACUCCAUACGAUGAAAACCAAGUGGCCUUAGAAAGAGCACUCGUAGAUCUUUAAUUUGAUAGGUCAUGAUCCACCUAAUUAAUUCUAUACUGAGAAAUAGAAUCGUUUGAAGUUGACCCUUGUAUGAACAAAUGCAAAAAACUUGAGAUGGUAGGAAGGUUUUGAACUAGACUUACUAGAGGUCUCUUAUGACCCUAACCACUUCUAAUACACUUCACAUUGAUAGGAAUGAACCCUAAAACAUAAGCAUAAGUAAGACAUCACCCGGUUCAAGCUUGUAUACUUACGACAAAAGAUUCGAAUUCUAAGAGUAGAGUUACGAGGUGUUACAACCAUUUUGUAUUUUAAUAUUCUGGGAGUCCUUAAAAAAUGUCAAACUGAUGUUUUAAAAAAACAAAAUUCUUUCUUUUAAAAUAUCUAAGAAUUUCUUAGUUAUUAUUGAUUUGGGCCCUAACAUAGCAUGGGCCAAAUAAAACUAAUGAAAUAAAAAUGAUUCAAUUUCUGAACUCGACACACAUACGAUAGUUUUACUUAUACAUUAAUUUUUAGAAUUGAAAAUCAUAUUUAUAUAUCUUUGAUAACAUUUUCAUAUAUAAUAGUAAGCACUAAUUGCAUUAACCUUCACAUAUAUUGGGGUGUUUGAAUUCCCUCUGUCAAUGGUAGUGCAUCCUCCUAAACAAGUUUCUACAUGAAUUGUCUUUUCAACAGAUCGGUAUUUAAUUUAUUUUCAUUUUAUUUUAAGUGUUAGUUUUUGUUUUUGUAGUUUAUUUAAUAAAAAAAUUGCGAAUGAAAUUUCUUUUGUGCACAAGUACUCAAAUGUGAUACAUGAUUUGAUUUCUAAAAACCUUGUUCCAAUGGACAUAAAAUUUUAGUUGCUAUAAAGGAAAAAAAGUUAAAAGAUCUAUAUAUUUUAAAUGAAAAUUUUACUAUUUCGUGUUUAUUAAAAAGAAGAAGAUACAUAUGCCCUAAAAACACUUUAGUUUAUAAACACUAUAAUAACUUCUAAAAUACUAUAUAAUUUAUGUCGUCAUCUCCUCCUCCUCUUCUGGACAAAUCUAUGUAGCAAAGUAUAUGUGCUGGAUAGUUGUAUAUAUGUAACAAGAAUGUAUAUGUAUCAAUGAAUACAAUUUACUAAUGAAUGCAAUUUGUAUUAAUGUUGUAUCAAGUUCAACAUUUGUAUAUGUAUAAUUGAUUGUUAUCAUUUGUAUCAAUGUUGUAUCAAUUGUAUCAACAAAUAAUACAAUUUGUAUCCAUAUACAAUUGUAUGAAUGUUGUAUCAAAUUCAUCAUUUAUAUUUAUAUAAUUAAUUCUUAUCAUUUGUAUGAAUGGUGUGUGAGUGUUGUAUUAGCGAAUACAUGUGUAUUUGUAUUUUGUAUCACUGAAGAGGAUUUGUAUAGUUGACACUUAUCAUUUGUGUUUGUAUAAUUAUUUGUUAACAUUGUUAUUUGUAUAAUUAAUUGUUAUCAUUUGUAUUGAGAAGGGGUUAGAGAAAGGUGAGAGAGAGAAGAGGAAGAAGGGAGAGGAGAGAGGCAAGGAAGACAUGAAAGAGAGAGAGGAGAGAGGAUAGAGGAAGAGAGGCGAGCGAGAGUGCUGAGAGAGAGGAGAGAGGAAGAGAGGAAAGAGAAAAUAACAACACCCUAACUAUAGCAACAUAUUGUAAUUCUUUCAAACUAUAAUGAUAUAUUAUAAAAACAUAUUACAUGUUUGCCUAGUUAUAUAUUUUCCCAUAUUUGAUAGAUAUAUAGCUCAGUUAUAUAAAACUUUGGUUUUGUAAUGAAAUCAUGCGCGAACUAUAAAGUCGAUUUUUCCGUGGUAAGCUUUGGCAGAUGUAUUGAAGUUGUUGAGACAUUUCACUAGGGGACAACUCCGACUAGCUGAAAUUAAGAAUUUUUGUAAACUUGAACUCGGUAGAAUUUAUUUUUUAACUCAAUGAAAUUUGAAAUUGAGAACAGAGUAAAAAUGGGAGAAGAGGGGGGUUCUAUUUAUAGACCCCAAAUAGCUAGGGUUCAAAAUUCAAAAUCGGUUGGAUGGAUUUCAAAUCUGGAUUUGAAAUUGAAUUUUGAGUUCCAUAAUGGGACAAAGAUUAUGAUCUUGGUUCUUCGAUUUGAAUGUAAAAAACUAACAAAAACAUAGAGUCAAAGAGAAGAAAUGUUAUCUUUCAAACAAAACUUGACAAAAUCCAUUACUUCCUUUGCUCGAAAUAGGCUAGUUAGCUCUAAAGGACAAUGAAAGAGACUUGGAAGUUUCUUUAUCUAGCGGGUAAAAACUUCUGGGUGAACUUGUUUGUCAAAGAAGACAAACUCCAUCAAUAUAUUACCCCCAAAAGAGCGAGCAACAUAUGGAGACUACGAAUAGAUGACACCCAUGACGUCAUAUUGGAACAUUUCAUGGCAAUGUCGAACAAAGACUUGUUAGUAAUUGUUGGGCAUUGGAAAAGAUCUAGCUUCUCUAAUAGAUGACACCCAUGAGCUAUCUUAGAUAAGCCUUCAUCACGAACAAAAGACACAUUCCAAAAGGAAAGAUCUCUAAGAGUAGGGCAACCUCGAGUGAUAGCCUCGAGACCAGCAUCAAACACACCACGACAAGGAUUGUUUCCCCCAAAGAUAUAGCUUUGCUAAGCCUCCACAAUUUGCAGUUCCAACGACAAUAGUAGCAAAUCUGAAAUCUGUGGCUUCCUACCAAAAAGGGACUUGACAAGAUAUCCCUCACCUUCUAUACCAUUAGAUUCUGCAAUCUCAUCCUUGCGAAUGCUGCUUAAAAGCAUAAGCCAGUGCUGGUAAACACAAGCACAAACACUUCUCUCUUGGCCACUGGGAAGAUGUUUGAAUACCUCAAAGAGACACUCAUCAAGAAGGAUUUCAAUGGAAGGAUGAUUCCUAUGCUCAAAAUUUUCAUAAGCGGUAGUGACACAAUCCUCUUUCUAGAAGGAAAAUUUGCAUUCCUAUUUUUCCCACGUGAUAAAAGCAGAGAAGAUUGUCUUGAACUUGGAUAUUAAGCUCGGAAAAAAGUACUAUUUUCUGAAAAAUAGAAAAUUAAAAACAUCAUACAAAUAUCAGAAUACAAACUUAUAUACAUGAUAUACCUAUCAUAUUUUCUUAUCACCAUCCUAUAUAAACUAUCAUUUGAACGAGGGAGAAAUAAUAAAAAAAAUAAGAUAAAGACACAAGUUUUGUGUUUAGUACGAUUUCCAUUUUUUUCAUGUAUGGUUGACUUAAAUGUUUUUCAAAUAAAGAUAUUUUCUCAAAAUUAAGGAAAAUGACUUGCCUCCAAAAAUAAUUAGGAAAAUAUUAUCCAAAAAUCAUUUUCAACUUUCAACCCUAAAUAAAAUCUCGGUUACCGAUUCCCGAUAAUUUGCAAUCUGACUCGUGAUUUUCGAUUCGGGACCCAACUCAUGACCUUGAUUCAAGACCCAACUCUUGAGUCCCAAAUGGGCUCGUGGUCGUUUCUCAGUUUGACUAUCGAAUCAUAAGUAAGCAUUCGAGGUUGAAUUUCGGGUUGGGUUUUAGGGGUGAUGAUUCGAGUCGGUUGUUAGAAUCGAGUUUUUGGUCGAGAGUCGAGGUCAGGUCCCAAUUUAGGUGUUGGGUUCGUAUUCCUAAUUGGUUAUUGAGGUCAGGUAUCAGGGUAAUAUCCCAAUUCAGAAUAUAGGUUCUUGAUCAGGUCCUGGAUAGGUGUUAGGGUAAGGUCCUGGUUCAAAAUUCAUGCCCCAUUUUAGAUGUCGGGUUUCGAUUUAGGUCUCGGGUCAUAGUGUAGGGGUGGAAUUCCAGGUCGGGUCGUGAUUUAAAAGUUGGGUCCUAAUUUAGAAGUUGGGGUUGGAUCUUGAAUCAGUAUUCCUAAUAAUAGUAACUCGAUCCUAGUGUUCACAUGCAAGGUUGAUAAGUUAGAUAUCCCUAAGUGAUUGGUCCUCUAAAUAGGGAAUUUUACCACACAACUUGGUUCGUUUACGGGUGUAUGCUUUACUAACCCUUACCUUUAACCCCGGAUUAGCCCUCACAUCAUAAUGAUUAAGGUCAGGCUAUUAGAUAGCAACUAAACUUAACUAAAUCUUUGUUGCUCAAUCCCUUUUUCAUUCAUUACCUCCUUAGUCUGGCAAGUAGGAAUGAGACGAGUUCUAACGUUGCACACCGCUAGAAAGCAUUCUAAACGAUGGAAUUAACAAUACAUGCUUACACUAUUCUCGAAUUACUUAUUUAUUAUUCAUACAUUGUUAAUUGCUCAUGGUUCCCACAACCCCAGUUGUGGAUUUAGCUACUCAUGCUUGAGAAUUCACAAUUCAUAUUAGGGUUAAUAAGAUAAAUCAUGCACUUACAAUUAGAAUAGAUGAAUACCGAAAUCUUGAAUUGAUAAUCAAAAACAAAUUGCAUAAACGAGCUUCAAGAAUUAAAUUACUAAAGUGUUUGCAAAAUAAUUCCAAAAGCUAAGAACAAUAGUCUCCAAAAAAGUCUAACCCCCAAAAAUGAAAAUUACAACUUAUAUUUAUAAUAGCUAGUCCUAAACAAAGUAGGAAAAGGAAAUAAGGAAAUAUUGGUUCAGACACGGUUUUGAUCGACAACACGACCUACGGACCGUGGAUCAACCUACGGUUCGUGGGUCAGCAGUCGGCCAAAAAUCUAGGAUCUUCAAAUGACGGUUACCACCUACGGUCCGUGGAUUGGACUACGGUCCAUCCUGUUACUCCGUGGUUCAAGUACUGAAACUCAACUCUCUGAUCAAAACGACGGCCAUUAAUCAACGGUCCGUCAAUCAAGCUACGGGGCGCCGUUUGCCUCCAUGGUUCCAUAUUUAGUCAGACUUCCUUGAACUCACAUCUACACCUCCCCACCUACGACCCGUCAACUGAACGACGGUCCGUGGUUGGGUUCCGUCAACUACUACUUUUGCCAUUUUAGCUCUUUUCUCACUCAACCGCUCCAAACCUAUUUCCUGCAAAAAUUACAUAAAAACACCAUCAUAUAUAAUAACCAAAUGCCCAAGACUCACACAAACUUCAACGGAAAUGCAUCAAAAAUAUCGUAAACUCUUGGUAUAUCAACACCCUCAACUUAAAAUUGUUGUUUGUCCUCAAGCGACACACUAGCUCUAAACAACACUCAUGUAGAAGUAAACAUACAAACUCAAGCAAUCAUAUGGCUUUCUCAAAUCAAUUCUUUCACUUAGUGCAAAUCUUUUCAUUUAGACUCAAUAAGCUAACUCAUGCAGAUCAAAACAUGACAUAGACCGACUAAUAGACAUCACGACAUACACUUUCAACAAUCACCAAGAUAUCAACUUUGCAAUAAUGCAACUAGUGCUCUUACCACAAAUAAAUCCUUUUUCUCACACAAAAUCUGAUAGAUUUAGCUUAAGGAUUCAGUAAACACUCGCGCUCAGAAGUUAAUUCAGAUACAGUUAGUGCUCAAUACCAUAGACUUUUCCUUAUUUUCGCUGCAUAGACUCUCCAGACUGGUCACUAGGAUCACUAUAGGGCUUUCUUAGCUUAUAAUGUAGGCUUAGGGUCAGGUAGGAUACAUUUGGGUAUUUUUAGUGACUUUUCUGCCCUCCUUGACAUUAAAUUGGCUAUUUACCUCUUUUCUCAACCAAUUCUGACAUCAUUUUGUUUUCUGCUUUUUUCCUUUGCUUAUUUCAGCACAGAUGUGACUUUAACUUUUUCAUUCUUCUUUUUCUCUUUUGUUUUUCUUUUACUUCUUCUCUCUUUGUUAUUCAACAUCAUUAUCACUCUUUUGUUUCUUUUGGAUACGGUCACACCUUUUACUAUCUUUUUCUUCUUCUACACACAACUCUUUUCAUACCCCUUUUAUUUCAGUUUACUUCUUCAUAGCCACCCUCAACUUAUGUAGUUUGCAUGAGUUGAGGUGCACGAUGUCCUAGGUCGGACCAAGGCCGAGAUUAAGGCAACUUCUGCAUUAGCCACCCUCAACUUAGGCUUUUAAAUUAAGGUGCACAAUGUUCAAGGAGGGACCAGGGCCAAAAUAGAUUUUUAGGGAGGGUGAAUUAGGUGUAUUGAAAGAAGUCGUAUUCAUUAGGCUCAAACAUUUGGAUCGAAGGGAGCAUUUAUAAGGGAGCAUUUAUUUCUUUUGGUUGAAUUCUUUUUAGGCUUAAGUGGACUUAUAUCAACAAGGGCCUAUGAUCAUUUCUCAAUUUCCAGCCUAGAUUAUCUUAGCAGGAACAACGAGGCAAGUUCUAGAUUGGCACCCACCGCAUGAAUAUACAAAAUCACCUCACACACACUUGACACAUUGUUUCAUUAUUGAAUCAUUAAAGCAUCUAGUUCAAGUUAUAACUUAAGCCAUGCUAUCAUACCAGUUCCUAUCAUAUCACAUAAAUAUCCAGCACAUUCGACUCAUUAAGCCUACAAAUAUAGCACCGUUCAAAAGUUUGAGCAGGUAUCAUAUUUUAUGAUCUUAUGUCAUCAUGCUUUCAUCUUUUAGUCUACUUCUACACGUAUACAAUCCUAAACAUGCUGGUUUAACAAAAAUAUAAAACAGUCUCUUGGGGAAAAUGAACAGAGGCAAGAAAACCCCAAGGGAGGGUUAUGAGUUGGGUUACUCAGACUUCACCCUAUCACUCACAACCUAUUUACCCUACGCCCAUGAAAAAAUGGUGCAAUUGCCCUCAAUGCACAAAAAAUGGAAAACAAAGGGUGAAGAAAAUCCGUGGUGGGUAAGCGCUGAAGUUCCAUCAAUAAGUGGGUGAGUUCGGUUUCCCAGAACACGCCAGAUCAACAACAAUGACGCCCUCAGUAGAACCCUCAACAACAGUGGGAACACCAUCAUUAUUGCUCCUCGAACCAGAUGGGCCAACACCUAUCUCAUGGGCCCUUCACUGCCGCAGCUCCUCCUCGAAUACAGAUUGUCUCUAGUUGUCUCCAACUAUUGACGCUCAUUUUUUCGUGCCCGUCGAGCCUCAUCAGCAUCAGAAGUAUAGUCAGAGGAGCGGGUGUGCUUCCCAGUCGCACAAGAAGGGUCAGGUGCAGGAAUCUUGUCACCAAAUAGAGCGCUCAACACCAAAUCAUCGGCCUCCACCAUAGGUGCGGUCUCGGGGACAGCCUCAACAGGAGCUAGAAGAACAUCAACAUUAAAACAGAGCCUAUCCAACUCCAUCUAGAAAGUAGUGAUAUCCACAGUGGGCCUAGGCCUCUCCAACACCCUCAACUCGAAUGCAUUUAACCCAUUGUGGACCACCUGAAUCUCCGAGUUCAUCAUCCUCUCCAUGCGCACAUCUAACUCCUCAAUGGACCUCUCCAUCCAUGGUUGCAUAAGCUGCAAUAUCGUGGCCAUCUGAGUCUCCAAUUUCUGGACUUGGGCCAGAGGUACUAGAAUAGUCUCCGAAUGGCGAGUGGCUUGUGAAGAGCUUGCAGCCUAACUAGUGGCGAUGGAAGGGGGAGCCUGUGCCUCGAUCGUAAUAGUGGGUAUAGAAGUUUCAUCAGCUUGUGCCACUGCAACCUGCUCAACAUCUCGAACUAAAUCAACACCCAGAGAAGGAAUUGCAACUAGUGUACUUCGAUGGGGGCAACGGGGUUUGUGUCAUCCUGUAUCAGCCGAACAUCAACAGUCUUGGUCACUUUGACCAACCUUUCACAAUGCCAGAUCGAAACAAUAGACUCUUUGCACAUGCGGAAAAUCAGGCAUGGAAAGGGAAAUGUAGUAGUCCUCCGAAAGGCCCUCUCAUGAAUCUCUGAAAUAAUAAUCUGGGUAAAAUCAAUUUCCAGCCGUACCAGUAGUGCAACAAGCAUCACCGCAUGAUCACAAGUGACAACAUUGUUCGUCUGUGUAGGGGACAGUCUGUGGCGGAUGAUGGACCACCAAAAUUUGGCUCCGAAACACAAAUUUGCCUUUCUGAUAAGCAACUGCAUAUUCUGCACCCACUCGGUGCUCUCUCCCUUCUCAGCUAUAUGUCGGGCCAUUCAACGAAGUAAUGACUCCCUCUGCUCGGAGUCUCAGAAUGCUCGACCCUUAAUUAUUCCCAUAUGAUAGUUGUACUCCACCGUAUUGAAAGGAUGAGCAUGUGAUGGGCCGUAAAUAAAACGGCGGAUGGUGGACUCAGUUAUAUCUACAAGGAUGCCCCGCACCAUGGUAGUCAGUAGAGGCGACUGAGCGAAAGCCUUUGCUCGUGGUGGCAAUACAUUAGUUAUCGUAGCCGCAUAGGGAGCAUAAAACUCCCGUACCAUCUCCUCGAUGUAUCUACCCAGAUUUUUGGCCAGCCAGUCACACAUGUGUUGUUGGAAUAGUGCAUGAAUGGUGGGCAAAGUCUGGAGGUUCCCUGUCAAAACCCUAUGCUCCUCAGUAAUAGGUCGAGUGACCUUCCAGUGUUCAUUAAGAGACUUCACAUCGAAGUAGAUCUAAAAUUGCCCUUCUACACACCACCUGUUUGGCUUGGUGGAGAUGUGCACCGGCUCAACUCUAGCACGGGAGGGAGGGGGGGUCAUGAGUCUCUCUCGUGCUAGUGGGCUCGAAUUCAUAACUGAAGUCGAAUUGCGACUCGGAGCCGAACUGCGACUCUACAGCAAGUAAGGCCCCCUCCUCAGACUGGGGGCAGUGACCUCGACCUCACCACUCGAUGAAAUGACCUGCCUAGUCUUGUGCCUCGUGGUCACGGGAGUAGUGGGGGAGCGUUUGGUGGUCUCCGGGACAUACUUGUCCCCACUGAACUCAUCGAGCAAGCGACGAGAUGGUGCGACAGAAUUGGACUUGCUUUUCCUUGUGUAAACGAGUGCUUGUUUUGGUGCCAUUUCACCUAUGGAAGACUAGUUAAUAAUCAAAGAACUCAAAAAGACCUAAGAAAUUUUUUUAAAAGAAGAUUAGGACGUAGACAAAAAAAAUAAAAAAAAUUAGGCUGUGUCGUUUUGGGUACCUACGAACCAUCGAUUGAACGAUGGACCGUUGAUCCCCUCUGUAGGUCAGGAGGCCAUAUUUUGGUCUCUAAAGUCGGAACCACGAUCAUGCAGAAGCGGUCGUCAAUCAAACGACGGACCGUAGUCCAUGCCGUGGAUCACCACUUGAGCCAAUGUUUUGCAAUUGUGGGACGACAGACCUCAGACCAUGGAUCGUAGGUUGAUCAACGGUCCGUGGAUCGUAGGUUGAUCAACGGUCCGUGGAUCGUAGGUUGAUCAACGGUCCGUGGAUCGUAGGUUGAUCAACUAAACAUUAUAACACUGUACAAUAUCUAGAACAUGCAUUUCAACAUAUUUAUUUGGUAUUCUAUCAUCCCUAAGGCUUCAAUCAUGCAAUCAAUUCAUUCAAACAAUUAAAACAUUGAACACCAAGUCAAGAACUCUAAUUAGACAUCUAAAUCUCACUAUGAAUUUUAAUUUAUCAACACUCGCAAUACCAUCAUUCCAAGGGAGUAUUAGUGUAACAUUCCAAAAACUAGUAGGCUAAACUAGGGCUUGACGUGAGGGUUAGAGUCGUAAAUAACUCCCGAUACUCAAUAUAAAUGUUUUUGGGUUAAAACGUCAAGGUACGACCCCCUAAGGACCGACCAUGGGUCCUGGAGGAGGACCCUUCAAAGGGAGAAAAAUAAGUGCCUAGGCAGUCCACCCACGAGGGGGAACCACGGCCAGUAAGUGGAACCACGCCUCGUGUGUGAGGGCCGUUGGUCAAGGCCCCAGGAACCAUGCCUCAGAACCCCUACCACGGCUUGCCAGCACGGGCCGUGGGUCCUCCCACGGUCCAUCAGUGGUGGGCGUGGAUGGGGCCUGGGAACUGCCAGUUCCCAUUUGGCAGUUAUACUUAAGGGUGUUUUGGGGUUUUCCUUUUUAAUUAAAUGGUAAGUGAUGUCGUUUUACACUAAAUUAAACUAACUAUAUAAGGUUUUUAAGUCCCUAAACUAACUCCUCUAAAUCAUAAUUUCCAAAUCCCAAAUCAAAAUCAACUCCCCCCCUUCCCCCCCUCCCCCCCCCAAAAAAAAAAAACUCUCUCUAGAACUCCAAGGAAGAAGAAGAAGAAGAAGGGUGAAGCUAGGGUUGAGGGAACAAGAUUUUUCACUCAAAUUCGUUGGAUUUCUUCACCAAGGUAUGGUAAUCCUUCGUCCAUGGAGUCCUUCCAAAACCCUUAAUUUCAAAGCUAGAAAUCCCAAAAGUUAAGGUUUGACUUCAAUCUCAUGGAUUCCUUUCAAAUUCAUUUUUAAUGAUUGAAUUAUAUUUUAUUAUGGAUAUAUUGAUAAUUUUAUAUGGUUUUAUGUUGAACUACCCAAGAAUCCAUGAAUUUCCCUAUUUUCCCAAUUUGAAUCUCAAAGUGUGGGUAUUGAUUGAUGCAAGUAGAACAUGAUAGAAUUAUACAUCUAGUAAUUAAAUCAUGUUAUCAUUCAUGUCUAAUGUAGUAAUUCUAUAUAUGUUGAUUGAAUAUGAUCUAUGGUCCUUGAAGGGCAAAGCAUGAGAAAUAUGCAUGUUUAUGAGGUUUAUGUAAUAUGCUUUUAGAUCACUUUGAGAGUAAAGUGAAUAUCAUUAUGAUCGAAUUUUUAUGUUGAUUCGAUGAUUAUCCUCAUGUACACACUUAUGUAUGAAUAUGAUAUGAUGAGAAAGGUUUGUCAUAUAUAGUGAUUCUAAGGUUGGAAGACUAGUCUCACCUAUUGAAUCUAUGAGCUUUAGUAUGAAUUAUAUGGAUUGAGUGUCAAGAAAUUAUUCCGUAAUUAUGAACUUAAGUCAAGACUUAACAUGAACUCAAUGGGAAUUAUGCUUAGCACCGAGUGGAUAAUGAUAUGAGAUAGAAGCCCUCACGUUAGUAGAUGCCGAGUUUCUAGGAACAAUCUCUUGGGAUGGAAGCCCUCACGUUAGUAGAGACCGGGUUUCCUAGUGGCAAUCCCCCUUAUCCUAUAAACUAUGUUCCCACAUAGGUCUUUAGCUAGUGAAUCCACCUAUGCUAAGAGUAUGGUUCUACCUUAGGCAAGUUGGACAACCCCUUUUCAGUGUGGGGUAGAUACCGGAUUCCAUGGUAAGCUCACAUGGUCUAUGUGAGUUAAGGCUAAUCUCCUUUUAUGAAAGUGUGAACAAGAAUAUGAAAUAUGAAUUAUAGUUACUCAAGAAGCUUUACUUAGUAUGAGUGGGAUUAUGGGAUCUUAUUCAUGCAUUGCACGAGUAUGCUUUGAGGGUACUUAUUGUAUGGUUCUCUUAUGAUGUAAUGACUUAUGUAAUGAACAUGCUUACGACUUAUGCCAUUUCAUUAUCUGCAAAAUGAUGCUUUAAACUAGUAAAUGGCAUGCAUUCUACUAAAUUGUCCUUUUUAGCAUGUUUUCAAGGAUUUUAUUCAUGACUAUCAUACUUGGUGCAUUUUUGUACUAACCCAUAUUUUUUCUACAUUUCUCCCAAAGUGUAGGGUCCGGUUGUUAAGGCGGUUAUCAUUUGGUUCAAGCUUGGAUUUGACUAUUCUCCUUCCUUGUUGUGAGUCCUCAUGAUUCGAGGAUGGGAGUUUCACUUGGAGUUUCAUUUUUAGUACUUUCUAUUUUAGAUUAUGUUAUUUGGGGAUGUGACCCUAUUUUGACUCAUGAAUGGUAAUAGAUGGCUAAUUGAGAUAAGUCUAGACUUUCGUUUUCCUUUAUAAAGAUUUUUUUUGGACUUAGAUGUGUUUUUAAUCUUAUUGUUCUAGUACUUUAUGUUAUGGUAUGCUAAGUGGCUUACAUGGUGUCUUUCGGGGUUUUAUGUGCCUUGUUACGUCUAGGGGGUACCCUUGGGUCGUGAAAAACUUGGUAUCAGAGCACAAUGUUUAGAAUGAUUCUAGGAUGAUGUCUCAUAAGCCACAUCUUGUAGAGUCUUGUUCAUGAAUGUGAAACACGCCUCUUUUAUGAAUGAGAGGCUAUAAGAUAUUUAGGAAAUGUCACUUCCUUCAUUGUUCUUGAGUUGUGCCUUAGAGUUUAACUCUAUAAAAGUCCCUCUCCUAAUCCUUCUUUUGUGUCUUCAGGAAAUUAAUACACGAAGGGCUAAUGCUAGAAGAAUAGAAGAGGAGAAUGUUAAUCAAAAAGCUCCUCGAGGUAAUCAAGCUCCUCAAGUUUACCAAGCUCCGAUUGAUCCUUCGGCUAUGUCAAAUGAGGAGGUUAGGUCGGCUUUCCAAAUGUUGGCCCAAGCUUUGGUGGCUUAAGCCAAUAGAGAUGUUGUGACUUAUGUGAAUCCUAAUAUGAAUUCUGCGUCUUCUAGAUUGAGGGAUUUGGCAAGAAUGGACCCUCCCAAGUUUCUUGGUUCCAAGGUGGGAGAGGAUUCUCAAGAAUUUGUGGAGGAGAUUUAUAAGAUACUUGAUGUCAUGGGGUGACUUCGGUAGAGAAAGCGAAGUGAGCCGCUUACCAAUUGAAUAGUGUGGCCCAAGUAUGGUAUACUCAAUGGAAGAACAAUAGGCCGGUAGGAGCGGGUCCAAUAGAGUGGGAAGUGUUCAAAUCGACGUUCCUUGAUAGGUUCUUUCCCUGAGAGUUGAGGGAAGCUAAGGUGGAAGAAUUCAUUAACCUUCGUCAAGGAGGUAUGAGUGUUCAAGAGUAUUCUCUAAAGUUUACUCAAUUGUCCAAGUAUGCUCCGACUUUGGUGGAAGAUUCAAGGGAUAUGAUCAGUAGGUACUUGACGGGUGCGUCUAGAUUGGUAAGAAGAGAAUGUCGUUCGGCAAUGCUUCAUGAUAAUAUGGAUAUCUCACGUCUUAUGGUGUAUGCCCAACAAAUGGAGGAUGAGAAACUUCAAGACAAGAAUAGAGAGGUGAAAAGAGCUAGAACCGGUGAUGGGAAUUUCUCCAAUGCUAAGUCCAAUGGACAAGGUCGACAAAGGUUCAAACAAAGGUUUUCCAAUCAAGGCUCCUCUAGUGCUCUAAGGGUCGACAAGGAUAGGGUUUCUAACCCUAAACCUCAAGGAGGUAAUAGUGGUGGUUCUUUUGUUGCUAGGUCUAAUUGUGCAAAAUGUGGUGGAAAACAUGAAGGCAAGUGCCUAGUUAGCUCGAAUGGGUGCUAUGGUUGUGGAAAGAGUGGCCACAAGAUGAGAGAUUGCCCGGUACUCAUGGCCAAGGGGAGAGAAAGCAAACAAGCUCCUCCAAAUGGUUCAAACUCCAAUGCUUAAAAGCAAAACCGCUUUAAUGCUCUUAAAUCUCUAGGUGACCAAGAGAGGUCCCCGAAUGUUGUGACCGGUAUGUUAAAAGUCUUUUCUAUUGAUGUAUAUGCCUUGUUAGAUCCCAAUGCCACUUUGUCCUUUGUUACACCUUUUGUGGCCAUGAAGUUUGAAAUAUUCCCCGAAGUGUUAGUAGAACCUUUUUCGGUUUCUACCCCGGUUGGUGACUCGGUGGUGGCAAAAAGAGUCUAUAGAAGUUGUCCCAUUUCCUCGUCCCAUAGAGUUACUUUGUUGGAUUUGGUAUAGUUAGACAUGUUAAACUUUGAUGUGAUUUUGGGUAUGGAUUGGUUACAUGCAUGUUAUGCCUCUAAGAUUGUAGGACUCGGGUGGUCAAUUUCCAAUUUCCAAAUGAGCCUAUUUUAGAGUGGAAGAGGGGAAAUUCUAUCCCUAGAGGUCAAUUUUUUUCUUGUCUUAAAGCUAGGAAAAUGAUCUCCAAAGGGUGUAUUUACCAUCUUGUUAGGAUGAUGGAUGUUGAGUCGAAAACCCCUUCUCUAGAGUUGGUUCCGGUAGUAAAUGAGUUUCCAGAAGUUUUCCCCGAUGAUUUACCCGGUAUUCCUCCCAGCGUCAAAUAGAUUUUGGCAUUGAUCUUUUACCGGAUACGCAACCUAUCUCCAUUCCUCCUUAUAGAAUGACUCCGACCGAGUUGAAAGAGCAAUUAAAGGAUUUGCUAGAUAAGGGUUUUAUUCGAUCGAGUAUCUCUCUAUGGGGUGCUCCGGUGUUGUUUGUUAGAAAGAAGGAUGGGUCUCAUAGAAUGUGUAUUGAUUAUCGUCAAUUGAACAAAAGUGACCAUUAAGAAUAAAAUAUCCCCUUUCGAGAAUUGAUGACUGUUUGAUCAAACUUCAAGGGGCUAGCUAUUUCUCCAAAAUUGAUCUUCGUUCGGGUUAUCACCAAUUAAGUGUGAGAGGGGUUGAUAUUCCAAAGACGACCUUUAGGACCCGGUAUGGUCACUAUGAAUUUUUGGUUAUGUCAUUUGGGUUGACAAAUGCCCCGUCUGUAUUUAUGGAUUUGAUGAAUAGGGUGUUUAGACAAUACGUUUGAUAUGUUUGUGAUUGUGUUUAUCGAUGAUAUUUUGAUCUAUUCAAGGAGAGAGAAUGAACAUAUGGACCAUUUGAGAAUUGUGUUGCAAGUUCUUAAGGACCAACAACUUUUUGCAAAGUUUAGCAAGUGUGAAUUUUGGUUAAGGUAUGUAGCUUUCCUUGGUCAUAUUGUGUCAAGCAAAGGUAUUAAGGUAGAUCCUAAAAAGACAGAUGUGAUAAAGAGUUGGCCUAGAUCUCUAACUCCUUCUGAUAUUAGAAGUUUUUUGGGUUUGACCGGUUAUUGUAGGAGGUGUGUUGAGGGGUUUUCCUCCAUUGCUUCUCCGUUGACGGCUUUGACUCAAAAGAAGGCUAAGUUUGAGUGGUCGGAGGCUUGUGAGAAAAGCUUCCAAGAGUUGAAAGAUAGACUUACAUCCGCUCCAGUGUUGACCUUACCGGAGGGUACAUAUGGUUUUGUUGUAUAUUGUGACGCCUCUAGAGUUGGGUUGGGAUGUGUCCUCGUGCAAAAUGGUAAAGUGAUUGCGUUUGCUUCAAGGCAACUCAAAGUACAUUAUAAUAAUUAUCCGACCCAUAAUCUUGAAUUAGCGGUGGUAGUAUUUGCCUUGAAAAUAUGGAGACAUUACUUGUAUGGGGUCCAUGUGGAUGUGUUCACCAAUCACAAGAGUAUUCACUAUGUGUUUAGUCAAAAAUACUUGUAUCUCUGACAAAGAAGGUGGUUAGAAAUUUUUAAGGAUUAUGAAAUGAGUGUGCUUUACCAUCCCGACAAAGCUAAUGUUGUAGCAGAUGCACUUAAUAGAUUAUCCAUGGGUAGUGUGGCUCAUGUAGAGUAUGAAAAGAAAGAAUUGGCUAGAGAGGUGCAUAGAUUGGCCCGACUAGGUGUCCAACUAGUGGAUUCCACCAAGGGUGGAGUCAUGGUCCAUAAUGAUUUCGAAUCGUCCUUUGUGAUGGAUGUGAAAUCUAAGCAAGAUUUUGAUCUCUUAUUAGUUUAGUUGAUAGAGUCGGUACUCAAGAAGUCUAUUGAGGCUUUCUCCCAAGGGGGAGAUAGGGUACUUAGGUACCAAGGUCAAUUAUGUGUUCCGGAUAUUGAUGGUUUGAAGGAGAAAAUUUUAGAUGAGGCUCAUAGUUCUCGGUAUUCUAUUCAUCCGGGAGCCACCAAGAUAUAUCGUGAUCUACGAGAAGUCUAUUGGUGGAAUGGUAUGAGGAGAGAUAUUGCGGGAUUUGUAGCCAAAUGCCCGUAUUGUCAACAAGUUAAGGUUGAGCAUCAAAGGCCGGGAGGAUUGUCGCAAAAAAAUCCUAUUCCUACUUAGAAGUGAGAAGGUGUGAAUAUGGACUUUAUUGUGGGUUUGCCUAGCACUCGAAGGCAACAUGAUUCUAUUUGGGUCAUUGUAGAUAGGAUGACAAAAUCAGCCCACUUUAUUUCCGUCAAGGUCUCUCGUUCGGCGGAAGACUAUGCCAUAUUGUACAUAAAUGAGAUAGUGAUGUUAUAUGGGGUUCCUUUAUCCAUUAUUUCGGAUCGGGGUACUCAAUUUACUUUUCACUUUGGGAAGUCAUUCCAAAAAGGGCUUGGUACUAAAGUUAAGAUUAGCACGACUUUCCACCCUCAAACGGAUGGUCAAGCGGAAUGCACCAUUCAAACUUUAGAGGACAUGUUGAGGACAUGUGUUAUAGAUUUCAAAGGUAAUUGGGAUGACCAUUUUCCAUUAAUAGAGUUUUCCUACAAUAAUAGUCACCACUCAAGUAUCGGUAUGACUCCUUUUGAAGCCCUGUAUGGUAGGAGAUGUAGGUCUCCGGUUGGUUGGUUUGAGGUAGGUGAAAUUGCUCUUAUUAGUCCCGAAUCAGUUUAUGAAGCUAUUGAGAAAGUUCGGCUCAUUAGAGAGAGGUUGAGAGCGGUUCAAAGUAGGUAAAAUUCUUAUGCCGAUGUGAGAAGAAUGGACCUAGAAUUUGAAGUUAAUAAUUGGGUCUAUUUGAAAAUCUCACCUAUGAAGGGUGUGAUGAGGUUUGGCAAGAAAGGGAAAUUUAGUCCCAGGAUGUAGGCACAUAUCAAAUUUUGAAGUGUAUUGGGAAAGUUGCCUAUUAGUUGGAUUUUCCAAAUGAGUUGGCCCCGAUUCACCCAGUAUUUCAUGUUUCUAUGCUUAAAAAGUGUAUUGGGGAUCCGGUUUCCAUUAUUCCCCUAGAAGGGUUGGGAGUUGGCGAAAGCCUUUCAUAUGAAGAAGUUCUGGUAGAAAUCUUAGACCGGCAAUUCAAGAGAUUGAGGAAAAAGGAAAUAACUUUCGUUAAGAUUUUAUGGAGGAAUUAUCUAGUUGAGAAUGCUACCUGGGAGGCCAAGGCUGAUAUGAAGUCUCGAUAUCCUCACCUUUUUCCUUCUACUCCUAUUCAAGCUUGAGGUAAUUAGUUCCUCUUGAGUUUUAGUGUUUUGAAAGUCAUGUGUGUGGUAUGAGCUUUUCCAUGAAUUUCUUAUGUUAUGCAUGUUCUUGAUGAAAUUCAUGUGUAGUAAGAAAUUGGGUUUCAUGAUUUAUGUUCCUCAUGUUGUGCAUUUAGUAUGAGUUGCCUAUUUAACUUCAUGAGAUGAGUUGAUGAACAUGCUUUAGUAUGCUUUUGAGAGUAAUUGCAUAUUGGCUCCAUGAUAUUGUGUUGAGCAUGAUUUUAGUUGGAGAAGGUAGUUCCUCCUAUGGAUAUGUGAAAUAUUGAGUUUCAUGCAUAAUGGUUUGUUAGAUGUAGUUCCUACUCCCUUGUAUUGCAUUGACUAUGUUUUAGCUCGAGUUGAAGUUUCCUCCUUUUGAGUUGUGCAUUAUUUUGAUGUUUCAUGCAUGUUGGGCUGCUAGUUUUGAGUCUUUCAUCCCGUAAGGCGUCUAGAUCGUCAUUCGAGGACGAAUGUACCCAAGGGGGAGAUAAUGUAACAUUUCAGAAACUAGUAGGCUAAACUAGGGCUUGACGUGAGGGUUAGAGUCGUAAAUAACUCCCGAUACUAAAUAUAUAUGUUUUUGGGUUAAAACGUCAAGGUACGACCCCCCAAGGACCAACCAUGGGUCCUUAAGGAGGACCUUUCAAAGGGUGAAAAAAUAGUGCCUAGGCAAUCCACACACGAAGGGGAACCACGACCAUUAGGUGGACCCAUUCCUCAAGGGUGAGGGCCGUUGGUCAAGGCCCCAGGAACCAUGCCUCAGAACCCCUACCACAGCUUGCCAGCACGGGCUGUGGGUCCUCCCACGGUCCGUCAGUGGUGGGCGUGGAUGGGGCCUGGGGACUGCCAUUUGGCAGUUAUACUUAUGGGUGUUUUGGGGUUUUUCUUUUUAAUUAAAUGUUAAGUGAUGUCGUUUUACACUAAAUUAAACUAACUAUAUAAGGUUUUUAAGUCCCUAAACUAACUUCUCUAAAUCAUAAUUUCUAAAUCCCAAAUCAAAAUCAACUUUCCCCCCAAAAACUCUCUCUAGAACUCCAAGGAAGAAGAAGAAGAAGAAUGGUGAAGCUAGGGUUGAUGGAACAAGCUUUUUCACUCAAAUUCGUUGGAUUUAUUCACGAAGGUAUGGUAGUCCUUCAUCCUUGGAUAGUUUUCAUCCAUGGAGUCCCUCCAAAACCCUCAAUUUCAUAGAUAGAAAUCCCAAAAGUUAGGGUUUGACUUCAAUCUCAUGGAUUCCUUUCAAAUUCGUUUUUAAUGAUUGAAUUAUGUUUUAUUAUGGAUAUAUUGAUGAAUUUAUAUGGUUUUAUGUUGAAAUCCUCAAGAAUUCAUGAAUUUCCCUAUUUUCCUAAUUUGGAUCUCAAAGUGUGGGUAUUGAAUGAUGCGAGUAGAACAUGAUAGAAUUAUGCAUCUAGUAAUUAAAUCAUGUUAUCAUUCAUGUCUAAUGUAGUAAUUCUAGAUAUGUUGAUUGAAUGUGAUCUAUGGUCCUUGAAGGGCAAAGCAUGAUAAUUAUGCAUGUUUAAGAGGUUUAUGUAUAUGCUUUUAGAUCACUUUGAAAGUAAAGUGAAUAUGAUUAUGAUAUAAUUGUUGUGUUGAUUGGAUGGUUAUCCUCAUGUACACACUUAUGUAUGAAUAUGAUAUGAUGUGAAAGGUUUGUCACAUAUAGUGAUUCUAAGGUUGGAAGACUAGUCUCACCUAUUGAAUCUAUGAGCUUUAGUAUGAGUUAUAUGGAUUGAGUGUCAAGACAUUCUUCCGUAAUUAUGAACUUAAGUCUAGACUUAACAUGAAAUCAAUGGGAAUUAUGCUUAGAAGCGAGUGAAUAGUGAUAUGAGAUGGAAGCACUUACGUUAGUAGAGGCCGAGUUUCUAGGAACAAUCUCUUGGGAUGGAAGCCCUCACGUUAGUAAAGGCCGAGUAUUGUAGUAGCAAACCCCCUUAUCCCAUAAACUAUGUUCCCACAUAGGUCUUUAGCUAGUGGAUCCACCUAAGCUAAAAGUUUGGUUCUACCUAAGGCAAGUUGGACAACUCCUUUUCGGUGUGGGGUAGACACCGGAUUCCAUGGUAAGCUCACAUGGUCUAUGUCGGUUAAGGCUAAUCUCCAUUUAUGAAAGUGUGUACAAGAAUAUGUAAUAUGAACCAUAGUUACUCAAGAAGCUUUACUUCGUAUGGGUGGGAUUAUGGGAUCUUAUUCAUGCAUUGCACAAGUAUUCUUUGGGGGGUACUUAUGGUAUGGUUCUCUUAUGAUGUAAUGACUUAUGCAAUGAACAUGCUUAUGACUUAUGCCUUUUCAUUAUCUUCAAAAUGAUGAUUUAAACUAGUAAAUGUCAUGCAUUCUACUAAAAUGUCCUUUUUAGUAUGUUUUCAAGGAUUUUAUGCAUGACUAUCACACUUAGUGCAUUUUUGUACUUACUCAUAUUUUUUUUACAUUUUCCCCAAAGUGUAGGGUCUGGUUUUUAGGGCGGUUAUCAUUUGGUUCAAGCUUGGAUUUGGCUAUUCUCCUUGCUUGUGGUGAGUCCUCAUGAUUCGAGAACCGGAGUUUCAUUUGGAGUUUCAUUUUUAGUACUUUCUAUUUUGGAUUAUGCUGUUUAGGGCUAUGACCCUAUUUUGACUCAUGAAUUGUAAUAGAUGGCUAAUUGAGACAAGUCUAGACUUUCGAUUUCCUUUAUAAAGAUUUUUUUGGACUUAAUUGUUUUUUUACUCUUAUUGUUCUAAUACUUUAUGUUAUGGUAUGCUAGGUGGAUUACAUGGUGCCUUUCGGGGUUCUAUGUGCCUUGUUACAUCUAGGGGGUACCUUUGGGUCAUGACAAUUAGGGCUAAGUUUACAGAUUUUAAACAAGCGAUUCAUACCCAAGGUCAAGUUCAACUCUGUUAUUUCAAUAUAAAACAAUGACAAGUUCAAAGUUCUAGAAAUGCUUACCCUACAAGUAAACAAAGUUGGUGAGUGUGUUUUGCAAUGAUUUAUUAGUCUGUAAAUCAGACCUUGACACCGAACCAGACCGUGCAAUUUGUGGGAGAGAAGGACUAUGCAUAAAAGAGAGAUUUGGGAGAGAAUAGGAAGAAGGAAUUGGAAGAGAAACUGGUAGAUUGAAUUCAAGGAUUUUGAGGGAGGAAGAUAUGUAGUAAUUAGAGGGGUGAUUUGAUAAAAUUGUGGGGAAUAUGUAAGGGUGGUUUUGUGGAGAGUUGUAAGGGUUGGGGAAGAAAAAGGGAAAUGGGGGAUGUUUAAAACAAAAGAGUUUUAUUUAAAGAGGGUCCGGGUCGGGUCGUCUUUUCAACCUAGGUUGGAUCGACAAAAUUCCGUCGACAGUCCGUUGUUCAAUCAACGGUCCGUCGAUGGGUUCCGUGGUUCUCCUUGACACUUAGUUAAUUUAAUAAAACAUACCUAGGGUCUACAGAUGCCAUUCACGGUCCGUCGUUUACCAGUGCACCUGUGACUUUUUUCCAGAUUCUGCUCCUACACACGUAGCAAACGUUAGGCCUUCCUUUUUACAUUUCUGGACGCUAAUUGGACACAGACCCUAAUCUAUCCUCAUUUAACGAACACUAAGACUCAAACUAAAAAAAUUCUAUCUAAACUACUAAAAUUUAGAAAAACUUAACUAUGUAGAAAAGAAAGCUCCUAACGUUGGCUAGAUUGUACAUCUUGGGUUGCCUCCCAAGUAACGCCUGAUUUAACAUCGCGGCACGACGCAUACCCUUUGAUUAAUCAGACUUCAUCAUGCCCCCAUAUCUCUAUCACUUCAUUGACACUCUCAGAUUUCCCCAAGUAGAUCUUUAUCCGCUGACCAUUCACCUCGUUCCUUCCUUGUUUUCGAGUUCAACCGCUCCAUGUGGAAAUACUUGAGUUACUUUUAAUGGCCCGGUCCACUUGGACUUGAGUUUGCUAGGAAACAAGCUGAACCUUGAGUUAAAUAAUAGCACCAGAUCAUCGGGAGCAAAUUCACGCUUGUCGAUCUUUUGAUCAUGGUACCUCUUCCUCUUCUCCUUGUACAAGGCUGAACUUUCAUAUGCUUUUAGGUGAAACUCAUCGAGCUCAUUCAUCUCAUUCAGUCUUUGACUUGAUGCGGCGCCCCAAUCCUAAUUCAGCUUCUUGAGUGACCACAUCGCUUUGUGCUCUAGCUCUACAAGCAAAUGACAAGACUUCCCAUAUACAAGUUGGUUAGGGGACAUACCUAUGGGAGUUUUGAAUGUAGUGCGAUAGGCCCAUCAUCAACCCUUCUUGCCCAAUCAGUUCUGUUGGCAUUCAAAGUCUUCGCAAGGAUUUGCUUUAUCUCUCGAUUUGACACUUUAACUUCCCCACUCGACUGCAGAUGGUAAGGGGUUUCUACGCUCUAACGAACACCAUACUUCUCAAGUAACACCUUGAACAACUUAUUACAAAAGUGAGAACCUCCAUCGCUGAUAAUUUCCCUUGGUAUACCGAAUCUAGAGAAGAUAUUCUUUUCCAGGAAUGCGGUGACACUACUUCCCUCAUUGUUUGAAAGCGCAACUGCUUCCACCCAUUUAGAUACAUAGUCAACCACUACAAGAAUAUACUUAAUCCCAUUCGAACUCACAAACGGACCCACGAAGUCAAGACCCCAAACACCAAACAACUCAAUCACCAAUAUCGGGUUCAUUGGUAGUUCUUGCUUCCUUGAAACCCCUCAUUCUCGUUGGCAACGAUUGAAAGACUUGGAGAAAUCAUGAGUGUCACGCCCUGAGCUACCCUCGAGACGAGGACACGGGACCUAGGACCACAAUUGAUCCCAAGCUAACCCUGCUGGCAUGAUCAUGAGCAUACUAAAUAUAAUCUGAAUAAUAGAACUGUGCGGAAGCUAAAUUAUAAAUAAGAUGAAAAGAUGGGGAAUACCCAUAUACUAUAACUGAGAUAAAUGAAAACGGAUGAGUUUAAUACAAGGAAGAUAUUAACUCAANNNNNNNNNNNNNNNNNNNNNNNNNNNNNNNNNNNNNNNNNNNNNNNNNNNNNNNNNNNNNNNNNNNNNNNNNNNNNNNNNNNNNNNNNNNNNNNNNNNNNNNNNNNNNNNNNNNNNNNNNNNNNNNNNNNNNNNNNNNNNNNNNNNNNNNNNNNNNNNNNNNNNNNNNNNNNNNNNNNNNNNNNNNNNNNNNNNNNNNNNNNNNNNNNNNNNNNNNNNNNNNNNNNNNNNNNNNNNNNNNNNNNNNNNNNNNNNNNNNNNNNNNNNNNNNNNNNNNNNNNNNNNNNNNNNNNNNNNNNNNNNNNNNNNNNNNNNNNNNNNNNNNNNNNNGCAAUGACCAAAUUUAUAACAUGCUGAGACUGAAUACUGACUGUAUUGAAAUAUGGUCAAUGCAAUAGAGUCUGACUGAAUUAUGGGAGCUACUAAUAACCGACAAAAAACCACAUGAGCUAAAUGUGGAGUGCGAUGUAUACGCCCCUUCGAGAGGACCCAAUAAACCCGGCCAGAGGUAUAGAGGCAUGCUGGCGUGAUCACUAAACUGAUGUUACCCACAGAGGGGACUUACACCUACGUGGCUCGUAGUUCUAGNNNNNNNNNNNNNNNNNNNNNNNNNNNNNNNNNNNNNNNNNNNNNNNNNNNNNNNNNNNNNNNNNNNNNNNNNNNNNNNNNNNNNNNNNNNNNNNNNNNNNNNNNNNNNNNNNNNNNNNNNNNNNNNNNNNNNNNNNNNNNNNNNNNNNNNNNNNNNNNNNNNNNNNNNNNNNNNNNNNNNNNNNNNNNNNNNNNNNNNNNNNNNNNNNNNNNNNNNNNNNNNNNNNNNNNNNNNNNNNNNNNNNNNNNNNNNNNNNNNNNNNNNNNNNNNNNNNNNNNNNNNNNNNNNNNNNNNNNNNNNNNNNNNNNNNNNNNNNNNNNNNNNNNNNNNNNNNNNNNNNNNNNNNNNNNNNNNNNNNNNNNNNNNNNNNNNNNNNNNNNNNNNNNNNNNNNNNNNNNNNNNNNNNNNNNNNNNNNNNNNNNNNNNNNNNNNNNNNNNNNNNNNNNNNNNNNNNNNNNNNNNNNNNNNNNNNNNNNNNNNNNNNNNNNNNNNNNNNNNNNNNNNNNNNNNNNNNNNNNNNNNNNNNNNNNNNNNNNNNNNNNNNNNNNNNNNNNNNNNNNNNNNNNNNNNNNNNNNNNNNNNNNNNNNNNNNNNNNNNNNNNNNNNNNNNNNNNNNNNNNNNNNNNNNNNNNNNNNNNNNNNNNNNNNNNNNNNNNNNNNNNNNNNNNNNNNNNNNNNNNNNNNNNNNNNNNNNNNNNNNNNNNNNNNNNNNNNNNNNNNNNNNNNNNNNNNNNNNNNNNNNNNNNNNNNNNNNNNNNNNNNNNNNNNNNNNNNNNNNNNNNNNNNNNNNNNNNNNNNNNNNNNNNNNNNNNNNNNNNNNNNNNNNNNNNNNNNNNNNNNNNNNNNNNNNNNNNNNNNNNNNNNNNNNNNNNNNNNNNNNNNNNNNNNNNNNNNNNNNNNNNNNNNNNNNNNNNNNNNNNNNNNNNNNNNNNNNNNNNNNNNNNNNNNNNNNNNNNNNNNNNNNNNNNNNNNNNNNNNNNNNNNNNNNNNNNNNNNNNNNNNNNNNNNNNNNNNNNNNNNNNNNNNNNNNNNNNNNNNNNNNNNNNNNNNNNNNNNNNNNNNNNNNNNNNNNNNNNNNNNNNNNNNNNNNNNNNNNNNNNNNNNNNNNNNNNNNNNNNNNNNNNNNNNNNNNNNNNNNNNNNNNNNNNNNNNNNNNNNNNNNNNNNNNNNNNNNNNNNNNNNNNNNNNNNNNNNNNNNNNNNNNNNNNNNNNNNNNNNNNNNNNNNNNNNNNNNNNNNNNNNNNNNNNNNNNNNNNNNNNNNNNNNNNNNNNNNNNNNNNNNNNNNNNNNNNNNNNNNNNNNNNNNNNNNNNNNNNNNNNNNNNNNNNNNNNNNNNNNNNNNNNNNNNNNNNNNNNNNNNNNNNNNNNNNNNNNNNNNNNNNNNNNNNNNNNNNNNNNNNNNNNNNNNNNNNNNNNNNNNNNNNNNNNNNNNNNNNNNNNNNNNNNNNNNNNNNNGGACGGGACUGACGGGCCGUAGGUCAAUCGACGGUCCGUCGAUUGGAGUCGUCGGUCGAGUCUGCCCGACAGGGCUUCACUAAAACGAGCAUAAAUUUUUACUCGGAGGUCAGAUUUUAGCAAACUUGGUGGCGUUGGAAAGAGGAUUCAAUUAUCUAUCAUAUCAUAGGUAAUGGGACACAUAAUUCCUUUUGUGCUAAAAGUUCUGACCAUCUGAAGUUGACUUCUUCGAACUGGCUGCUACCCUUACCUACGGUCAGACCUACGGACCGCGCAUCGAAUGACGAUCCGUGUUGGUCAACGGUCAAUUGGGACUGAAGCUGGGUUUAGGGGCAUCGAUCCAUGGUCACGAACCACGGUCCAUGACCUGACCUACGGACCGUAGGUCCGGCCGUGGGUUAACACUUAAUUGAAUUUCUGGCUGAGUUCUGGGGGAGUUUUUGCUGACACAAACCACGAACCUGCAGGACGGACCGUGGGUCCUCCUACAGUCCGUGGAUGGGGCCGUGAGUGGCACCUACAACACCAAAAAUCUACAAUCUGCUCUAUUUUCGGAUACGGGGUGUUACAUUAUCUCUGUCUUGGGACCAUUCGUCCUCGAAUGAAGACUAAAAUAGCUGAGAUGGAGGAAGAGGGCUGCAAUCCCUACCACUAAACACUGAAAACUGAAUUUAUGACUUAACUGAGUUCCAAGGACAUGGAAAUACGCUGAAAAUGCAAGUACAAACUGAAGGAAGAUGAUUCUAAGACUGAAUUUGUGCAUGAAUGACUGAAAAAUUGAUGAGGAACUAUUACCUCAAGAUGGAAUGGAAUCGAAAGGAAAGAGGUGAAGAUAGUUGGACUUCAUGGCUUCUUCUGCUUCCCAAGUAGCUGCCUCUACGGACUGACUCCUCCACAAAACCUUGACUGAAGCGACUUCUUUAUUUCUCAACCUUCUAACCCGAUGAUCGAGAAUCUCAACUAGUACAUCCUCAUAUGAGAGACUAUCUUUCACGGCCACACUCUCUAAUGGCACUAUGGAUGCUGGAUCACCCCCACACUUCUUCAAAAGAGAAAUGUGAAAGACUAGAUGCACUGNNNNNNNNNNNNNNNNNNNNNNNNNNNNNNNNNNNNNNNNNNNNNNNNNNNNNNNNNNNNGCUUCCCUUUCUUGCCAAAUCUCAUCACCCCCUUCAUAGCUGACACAUUCAGGAAGACCCAAUAUUUGAUUUCAAACUCUAAGUCGUUACUCCUCACAUUUGCAUAGCACUUCUAAUGAGUCAGAGUUGUCUUUAGUCUAUCUCUGAUUAGCUAAACUUUUACCAUACCUUCAUGAACCAAAUUGGGCCCUAUUAAGGCUCCUUCAGCAACUUCAAACAAACUAAUCGAGGAGCUGCAUCUAUGCCCAUAUAGUGCCUCAUACGGUGGGAUCUCAUUACUGGAAUAAAAGUUAUUAUUAUAGGCAAACUCUAUGAGAGGUAGGUAAUCAUCCCAACUACCUUUAAAAUUGAUCACCUAAUCUCUCAACAUAUCCUCUAAGGUCUUAAUGGUACGUUCUGCCUGACCAUCCGUCGAGGGAUGAAAUGUUGUGCUGAGAUUUACCUGGGUACCAAGACCUUUUUCGAAAUGAUUUCUAGAAAUGAGAGGUAAAGUGAUGACCUCUAUUUGAGAUGAUAGACAAGGGAACCUCAUAUAACCUGACUAUCUCAUGGAUGUAGAGUUUGGCGUAGUCCUCCGCCGAAUUUUAAGUCUUAACAGCCAAAAAACGCACAGACUUAGUAACUCUAUCAACUAUCACAGAAAUGAAGUCAUGCUGUCUGCGAGUACGAGGUAAACCUGUGAUGAAGUCCAUGUUGAUCACUUCCCACUUCCAAGUAGGAAUGUCAAUCUCUUGAGUCAUACCUCCUGGUUUCUGAUGUUCUACCUUGACUUGCUGGCAAUUGAAUCACUUAGCCACAAAGUCUGCUAUAUCUCUUUUCAUACCAUUCCACCAAUAGACUUCCCGCAGAUCGCGGUACAUCUUAGUGGCACUUGGAUGAAUAGAAUAUCUCUAAUUAUGGGCUUCUACAAGAAUAUAUUGUCUCAACUCGCCCACAUUAGGAACACAUAAUCGACCCUGGUAGCGAAGCACACCAUUUCCCCCUUGGGAGAAAACCUCAACUCUCUGUUGAUGGACUGCACCCUUGAGUUCAAGCAAGAUUGGAUCACUGUCUUGCUUUUCCUUAACCUCUACUACCAAAGAAGAUUCUGCCCCAUUCUAAACCGUUACACCACCAUCUGAUUUGCUCAUAAGACGAACUCCUAGGCGAGCAAGUCUGUGAACAUCCUUUGCAAGCUUUUUUUCUUUCUUCCUCAACAUGUGCUACACUACCCAUAAAUAAUCUUCUAAGAGCAUCUGCUACUACAUUAGCCUUACCCGGAUGGUAAUGCACGCUCAUAUCAUAAUCUUUGAGGAACUCAAGCAACCUUCUCUGGCGAAGAUUCAACUCUUUCUGGGUGAAUAUAUACUAGGGGAUCUUAUGGUCUGUGAACACAUCUACAUGAACACCAUACAAGUAGUGUCUCUAAAUCUUGAGUGCAAACACCACUGCUGCAAGCUCGAGGUCAUGAGUCGGAUAAUUCUUCUCAUGUACCUUAAGCUGUCUAGAAGAAUAAGCUAUAAUCUUACCUCGCUACAUCAACAAACAACCUAGGCCUACCCUGGAUGCGUCAUAAUAGAUCACAUAACCAUCUGAACCCUCUGGUAGAGUCAAGACAAGAGCUGUAGUCAACCUAGUUUUCAAUUAUGCGAAGCUUUUCUCACAAUUAUCUGACCAUCGAAACUUAACCAUCUUCUGAGUUAACCUAGUCAAUGGUGAGGCUAUGAAUGAAAAUCCUUCCACGAACCGUCUGUAAUAGCCCGCUAGACCCAAGAAACUUCUGAUAUCUGUAGCAGAGGUAGGUCUGGGCCAUUGUUUCACUGCUUCUAUUUUCUGGGAAUCUACUCGAAUUCCUUCACUAGACACAAUAUGGCCAAGGAUAGCAACUGAUUGUAACCAAAACUCACACUUGUUAAAUUUUGCAAAUAACUGGCAAUCUUUGAGAGUUUGCAGAACAACUCUCAAAUUACUCGCAUGUUCUUCCUUAUUCCUAUAGUAAAUGAGGAUACCAUCAAUAAAGACGAUAACGAACAAGUCCAAGUACUGCUUGAACACUUUGUUCAUCCAAUCCAUGAAAGUUGCGGGAGCAUUGGUUAGUCCAAAUGACAUAACUACAAAUUCGUAAUGACCAUACCAAGUUCUGAAGGCUAUCUUAGAAAUGUCACUAUCUAUGACUCUAAGCUGAUGAUAACCUGAUCUGAGGUCUAUCUUUGAGAAAUGACUAGCACCCUAAAAUUGGUCAAACAAGUCAUCAAUCCUGGGGAUGGGAUACUUAUUCUUGAUUAUGACUUUGUUCAACUGCCUAUAGUCAAUGCACAUUCUGAGAGAACCAUCUUUCUUCUUUACGAACAACACUGGUGCACCCUAUGGUUAAAUACUAGGUCUGAUGAAACCCUUAUCUAGAAGGUCUUUCAACUGCUCUUUCAAUUCCUUAAGCUCAGCUGGAUCCAUUCUGUAAAGAGGAAUAGAGAUAGGCUGGGUAUCUGGAAGGAGAUCAAUUCCAAAGUCGAUUUCCCUUUCCGGAGGAACUCCGGGAAGAUCAUCUGGAAAUACUUCUGGAAACUCACUGACUAUAGGAACUGACUUAAGAUUGGGGAUUCGGAACUAGAAUCCUUAACCCGAACUAGAUGAUAGAGAUAACCCUUAGAGAUCAUCUUUCUAGCCUUAAUGUAAGAAAUGAAUCGACCCAUAGACGCUAAUCUACUACCCUUCCAUUCUAAGAUUGGUUCAUCUAGAAACUGAAAACGAACAAUCCUAGUUCUACAAUCGACUGAGGCAUAACAGGAAUGUAACCAAUCCAUGCCUAGAAUGACAUCGAAGUCUACCAUUUCUAACUCUACAAGAUUUGCUGAGGUGACUUUCUGGGAAACUAUGACGGGGCAAUUUCUGUAUACCCGUCUAGCUAUAACUGGGUCACCGACUGGAGUAGAGACUGAGAAGGGUUCUGAAAGGGUUUCUGGUUUAACACUGCAUUGGGCUGCUAUGUAAAGAGUUACAAAAGACAAAGUAGCCCCUGAAUCUAACAAUGCAUAAACACCAAGAUCAAAGACUCGUAACGUACCAAUGACUAUAUCAGGAGAAUCUUCCUGAUCUUGACGAGCCUGAAGAGCAUAGAGCCUAUUUUGGCGCUGGCUGCCACCUGUACCAGAUGAGUUACCCUGCUGAGUCGGGCGACCUACUGGUGCUGCUGAAGUUGUAGACUGAGCUCUACCAUUAUUUCCUCCUUGACCCCGUCUAGAAGGACAAUCCUUUAAUCUAUGACCAGACUGACCACACCCAAAACAUCUUUCCUUACCUGCAAGGCACUUGCCCGGAUGGUUCUUACUACAUUUCGGGCAAGUUGGGUAAGUUUUGGUGCCUGAAACACUACCUUGAGACUUAGAGCCUGACGCCCUACCUUUCUGAUCAUUACGGAACAUGGGGGAUGGAACACUAGCUGAUGAAGGUGCUGGAGUCAAAAAUUUCUGCUGACCUUGCGAGCGAUUUCCACCACCCGAAUUCUGUUGGAAAUACUCGUAGUUGCCUGUUCUUGCUUUCUUAGCCUCAUUAGCAUAUUCCAUAAGCUUAUCACCCUUUACCUGUUGAGCAUGAGUCAUGAGCCUAGAGAUGUUCAUGUCUCCCAACAACAUAGCAUUCCUGCACUCUGUUUUCACUAAGUCUGACACUCCAUACAGAAACUUAUUCAUCUGAGCCCUGGAAUCAGCAACCAUGUGAGGAACAUACCUGGAGAGUUGGUUAAACUUGUGCCCAUACUCUUGGACAGUCAUGUUACCCUGCCUUAAGUUCAUAAAUUCCUGGGCCCUUGCUUCUCUCAACUCUAUGGGGAAAAAUCUGUCCGGAAAGGUUUCGCUGAAACAAUCCCAAGUAAGAGGAGCUGCAUCUGUACCCCUGUUCUCCUUCCACUGAGUAUACCAGAUAUGAGCUACAUCUUUCAGUUGGUAAGAUGCUAACUUAACCCGAUCAUUCUCAGUGACCUGCAUCAUCUCAAAAAUCUUCUUGAUCUCAUCCCAAAAAUUCUGGGGAUCUUCACCAGUCUGCGAUCCUGAGAACUCAGGCGGAUUCAUCCUAACAAAGUCACAGACCCUUGCUGCUGCUGAUUCACCAUUUGCAUUCACAGGAGCUUGAACCCGCUGAUUGUUCUGGUUAGCGACACUCUGAGCCAACAUCUAAAUGGCGUUCUUGAACUCUUUAUUCGACACUUCUUGAUCAGGGACAGGAGGAGUUGCGUUUGCGGUCUUGGAACUCACAUUCCUAGCGUUAGCUCUACGAGGAGGCAUGAUCACUGAAAUGUAGAACGUCGAGUUAAAAUGGAAUUUAGAUCAUACCUUACGCAUGAUAAGAGUAAUAAGAAGAUGAAGAUUUCCUAAAAACACUUUGUAGCCUCCCCCUCAUUAGAUGUGGUGCGCACUACACAUCUAUGAAAAGGACUCUACCUCAUGCGGCUUUACAGACAUCCUAGGAUACUUAAACCUAAGGCUUUAAUACCAAGUUUGUCACGCCCUGAGCUACCCCCGAGACGCGGACAUGGGACCUAGGACCACAAGUGAUCCCAAGCUACCCUGCUGGCAUGAUCAUGAGCAUACUAAAUAUAAUCUGAAUAAUAGAAACUGUGCGGAAUCUAAAUCAUAAAUAAGAUGAAAAGAUGGGGAAUACCCAUAUACUAUAACUGAGAUAAAUGAAAACUGACGAGUUUAAUACAAGGAAGAUAUUAACUCAAUACUAAGCUGAAUCUAUCUAUGUCUGAAAUAAGACUCUAAACUGACUAGAAAUGUUGGGACAUGCCCCAACUAGGUCUAGUAAAAUUGAAACUAAAGACUAAAAGCAAUAAAGAUAAACAUGUCACUAGUCCUCGAAGAAUGAGGACUCACCACUGAUGUUGCUGAACUAAAGAUCGAGAAUCAAUCUAAGCGUGAUCUGCAUGCUGAGAACCUGAACCUACAUCAUGAGAAGAUGUAGCGCACGUAUGCGUCAGUACUUGAAAGGUACUAAGCAUGCAAGAUAGAGUAAAACUGAAAGAACAUAUAACUGAACAAAGCAAUAAAGCAAUGAAAUAAUCUGAACAUGAUAUAGAUACUGAAUACUGAGCUAACUGAAUGCAAUGACCAAUUUAUAACAUGCUGACUGAAUACUGAAUGAACUGUAAAUGUGGUCAAUGCAAUAGAGUCUGACUGAACUGUGGGAGCUACUAAUAACCGACAUAAAACCACAUGAGCUAAAUAUGGAGUGCGAUGUAUACGCCCCAUCGAGAGGACCAAAUAUACCAAGCCAGAGGUAUAGAGGCAUGCUGGCGUGAUCACUAAACUGAUGUUGCCCACAGAGGGGACUUACACCUACGUGGCUCGUAGUUCUGGGACUAUAUGGGUACGCUGAAACCCUAGUCCAACUCGGUAUUAUGCUACUCCCAAUGAAUUAAGUAGUUAACUGGUUAUGACUGAAUUUCUGUAAAAUACUGGAUAGCUCAAAACUGAACAUGCAAAACUGAGAAUGCAACAAUUAAGCUGAUAAUGAUGCAUUAAUAACUGAAGCAUGUAUAACUGAAUAACUGAGAUAUAUGACCUAGCAUGUGUAAUUCAAGAACUAAAGAAAUACAUAGCUAGGGUUUUGAAAUUCAUGCAAUAAACUGAGAAAUAAUAGGAUAAUCUGAUUUGGAACAUUUAAAUAACUAAUUCAUGAUAAUNNNNNNNNNNNNNNNNNNNNNNNNNNNNNNNNNNNNNNNNNNNNNNNNNNNNNNNNNNNNNNNNNNNNNNNNNNNNNNNNNNNNNNNNNNNNNNNNNNNNNNNNNNNNNNNNNNNNNNNNNNNNNNNNNNNNNNNNNNNNNNNNNNNNNNNNNNNNNNNNNNNNNNNNNNNNNNNNNNNNNNNNNNNNNNNNNNNNNNNNNNNNNNNNNNNNNNNNNNNNNNNNNNNNNNNNNNNNNNNNNNNNNNNNNNNNNNNNNNNNNNNNNNNNNNNNNNNNNNNNNNNNNNNNNNNNNNNNNNNNNNNNNNNNNNNNNNNNNNNNNNNNUCUGACUUAGGUAAGUUCUAGUUAUGUUUCUAGGCUAAAAUUAAUCAAAACCACGUAGUUUAGUGUUAAAACGACGUAGUUUAGGGGUUAAACGAAAUAGAAAAGACCAAAAGACCCCCGACUUAACUAAUGUCGGAGUGACCGACGGACGGGACUGACGGGCCGUAGGUCAAUCGACGGUCCGUCGAUUGGAGUCGUCGGUCGAGUCUGCCCGGCAGGGCUUCACUAAAACGAGCAUAAAUUUUUACUCGGAGGUCAGAUUUUAGCAAACUCGGUGGCGUUGGAAAGAGGAUUCAAUUAUCUAUCAUAUCAUAGGUAAUGGGACACUAAUUCCUUUUGUGCUAAAAGUUAUGACCAUCUGAAGUUGACCCGAUCACAAUUUUCUUCUAACUGUCUGCUCCCCUUUCCUACGGUCAGACCUACGGACCAUGCAUCGAAUGACGGUCCGUGCUGGUCAACCAUCAAUCGGGACUGAAGCUGGGUUUAGGGGCAUCGAUCCACGGUUACGAACCACGGUCCAUGACCUGACCUACAGACCGUAGGUCCGGCUGUGGGUUAACAGUUAGCUGAAUUUUUGGCUGAGUUCUGGGGGAGUUUGCUGACACGAACCACAGACCUGCUGGACGGACCGUGGGACCUCCUACGGUCCGUGGUUGGUUCCGUGAGUGCUACCUUCAACAUAAAAAAUCUGCAAUCUGGUCUAUUUUCGGGUACAAGGUGUUACAAUGAGCAUCUUUAUGGAUGGUAGGAUAGUAAUACCCACGCUGCAGAAUUUUAUGAGCAAUUUGAAUACCACUAUGAUGCCCACCGACAGGUGAUGAAUGACAUGCCUGUAGUAUACUCAUCACCUCAACCUCGGGUACACAACGACAAAUAAUCUCAUCAGCACAGAUACAGAACAAGUAAGGCUCUUCCCAAAAGAAUUUCUUCAUAUCAGUCAUGAACUUUCUCCUUUGGUGGAAUGACAAAUCUUAAGGCACCAACUCGCUUGCCAAAUAAUUUGCAAAGUCAGCUAACCAAAGAAUAAGUUCAGUAGAAGCAGCCAAUACAUGUUCAUCAUGGAAUGCAUCAUUAAUCUCAAUGCCAUCAUCAAGCUUGAUCAUAGCUUCUUCCUCUAAUCUGGAUAAGUGAUCGGCAACCUGAUUUUUUGUUCCUUUCUUAUCUUACACCUCAAAGUUGAACUCUUGCAACAAUAGUACCCAUCUAAUCAAUCUCAGUUUUGCAUCCUUCUUAGCCAUAAUACACCUCAAUGUAGAAUGGCCAGUAUGCACAAUAACUUUAGUGCCAAGCAAAUAGGAUCUAAACUUCUCAAAUGCGAAAACCAGAACAAACAUUCAUGUUCAGUCAUAAUAUAGUUCUUUUGAGCAAUAUUCAAAGCUUAGCUCGCAUAGUAAAUAGAAUGAAGAUUUUUCUCUCGCCUUUGUCCUAAUACUACGCCAAGUGCUACCACACUUGCAUUGCACAUCACUUCAAACGGUUGUCCCCAAUCCGGUGAAAUAAUGACAGGUUCAAAAAUCAAUUUGUUUUUCAAUUCCCCAAAUGCUCUCAGACAAGCAUCAUCAAACUCAAAAUUACACUCCUUCUCAAGUAGCUUGCAUAAUGGGUGUGCAAUUUUAGAGAAAUUCUUGAUGAACCUUCGGUAGAAAACUUCUAACACCUUUUACAAAGAUGGGUGGUGGGAGUUUUUCUAUUACCUCAACUUUAGCUCUAUCAACUUCAAUACGUUUCUACGAAAUCCGAUGACCCAGGACUAUACCCUCUUUCACCAUAAAGUGGCAUUUUUCCCAAUUGAGCACAAUAUUGCACUUUUCACACUGUUUUAGCACCUCAGCCAAAUGAGUCAAACAGUCAUCAAACGAAUCACCAACAAAAGAGAAAUCAUCCAUAAAUACCUCUAAUGUGUCCUCCACCAUAUCUGAAAAUAUAGACAUCAUGCAACGCUGGAAUGUAGCCGGAGAAUUACAUAACCAAAACGACAUUCUCUUGAACACAAAAGUCCCAUAAGGACAAGCGAAAGUGGUAUUUUCUUGAUCCUCCGUAGCUAUGGAGAUUUGAUUGUAGACCGAAUACCCAUCUAGACAACAAUACCAACCAUUUCCAGCAAGACGAUCUAGCAUUUGGUCCAUGAACGACAUUGGGAAAUGGUCUUUCUCGGUCCAUGCAUUCAACUUGCAAUAAUCCAUACACACUCUCCAAAUAGUUACCGGCCUCAUUGGAACAAGCUCAUUCUUAGCAUUGGGAACCACAAUGAUUCCUCUUUUCUUUGGCACACACUGAACUGUGCAGACCCAACUACUGUCAGCAAUAGGAUAUAUGAAUCCAACAUCUAACCACUUGAUGAUCUCCCUUUCACAACCUCUUGCAUCGGGGAAUUCAACCUCCGUUGAUGCUCAAUACUUGGCUUGUUGUUCGACAUGAGUUGAAUUAUGUGAGAACAAAUGUCUGGUGGAAUCCCAAUAAUGUCCGCAAUACUCCAUCUUAUAGCCCUUUUAAAUCGCUUCAAUACCGAUAUAAAAGCCUCUAUUUUCCCUUCACUCAAGUCAGCCGCAAUAAUGACAGGCAAAGUGUUGUUCUAGCCCAAAAAUACAUACCACGAGUGAGAUGGAAUAACCUUAAGUUCCAACUUCAGAGGCUCAUCCACGGAUGGUUUUGCUGGAGGAGUGUCACGAUUCUUCAUGUCUAAUUGCAAUCGCUUUGGCUUGAAACGAAACUGAACCCCCUCAAGUGCAGCAACUAGCUCAUCAUAGUCAUAAAUACCAUCACUUUCAAAAUUCAUUAUCACAGUUGCUAGUGCCUCAACACCUAACGUCUCUUCGGUAGACAUUUCGGGUUCUUGCUCAACAGUAUGAGUUAAUACCGAUAAGAUUCUUGAGAUCACUUUCAUGCUUCAUAGACUGACAAAUAUUAAAAGUUACCUCUUCAUUGUUCAGUCGAAACUUCAUCUGCCCUCUCUCCAUAUCAACCAACGCAUGCCCAGUAGCAAGAAAUGGUCUCCCUAAGAUGUUGGGGACCUCAAAAUCAACCUCGCAAUCCAGUAUCACAACAUCCGUCGAAAAGAUGAAUGACUCAACUUUCACAAGGACAUUUUGUAAUACUCCAAUAUGUCUGUUCACAGUUCUAUCAGCCAUAAGUAUACGUAUUGUAGUCGGCUUUGGAGCUCCUAAACCCAACUUUUUAUAGAUCUACAAUGGCAUCAAAUUAAUGAUAGCUGCCAAAUCACACAGGGCCUUCGCAAAGUGCAGUAUACCAAUAGUACAAGGAAUAGUGAAAGCUCCAGGAUCCUCUUUCUUCUGCACAAGUGACCUAGUAGCAAUGGCACUACAAUGUUGAAACUUUUCUUCAUUCUUAAAACUGACAACCCUCUUUUUGCUCACCGAGUCUUGCAUGAACUUCGCAUACCCAGGCAUUUGUUCCAAAGCUUCUAUCAACGGGACAUUUAUGGAUAGUUGCUUCAACAUAGCUAUGAACCUGCGAUAUUUUCCCUCUUCAGUCUUUUUCACCAACCUUAGUGGGAAGGGAGUUGGAGAUCUAGGCAUUGUAAUAACUUUUUGGGUUGCCUCAACUUCCUUUUCUGCAUCCACUUUCGGCUCCUCAGUAACCUCAACUUCAUACUCACCUUUUUCUGUCACACUUUCCACCUCAGUCGGCACGGGGGGAUCUAUAUUCUACUUUUCACCUCGAGUAGUGACUGCCAUGCAAUGACCAUCAGUUUUUGGAUUUUGAAUUGUAUUGCUAGGAAGUGUUCCUAGUUGACGUAGGUUCAUCGUCGCGGACAACAGACUAACCUACUGCUCAAGUUGCUUAAUUGAUACUGCAUGGGCGUCAACUUUCUGACCAAUUCCAGAUAGAUCAUUACACAUCUCCUUCAUAUUGUCAUCAGUUGCAUCAAAUCUCUUCAUUAUCUUCUGCAUCAUAUCUUCAAUGCUAGUCAUACUUGACCCAGCCUCUCUAUUACCAGGUGGAACAUAAGGUCCACUAUUCUCAUUCCUGUUGCCAUAGCCAUUUUGAUUAUAGUUGUUAUCACAUUUGAAGUUCCCAUCACGGACAUAGUUCCCUUCACGGUUGUAGUUACCAUAGUUCCGACCUUGGCGCCAAUUAUUUGAAUUAGAACCUUGGGAGUUGGUUCAAAAACCCCCCGUCUGAUCAUUCACUUGAUGCACAUCUUUCUCAUAAAAGUACUCAUCGACUAGCGGUGCUCUGGGUUGGUAGCUCACAACAUUCACUUUCUCUGCACUCUCACUCAUAUGUUUUAAUACCAAGCCAAUUUUUUUCCUCAUUUGGGCCAUCUCCUCUCGAAUAUCAUCAUUUGAUUGACUUGUUGCAGUUUGGACCACAAACGUGCUUCUACCUGUAUUUGCCUUUCUAGUGCUCCAUGCCUUAUUGUUCUUGGAGAUCCUCUCAAGUUUCUCAGCAAUCUCCUUAAAGGUGCAUUCCCCAUAAGAACCUCCCGCAAUAGUAUCUAGCACAGCCUUGCCAUCGUCAUUCUGUCCUCUGUAGAAGUACUCUUUCAGUGACUCAUCAUCAAUGCGGUGGUUCGGCACACUCCUCAUGAACCCAGUGAAUCUAUCCCAUGAACUACUUAUCGACUCUCAAGGUCGUGCCAUGAAGUUAUUUAGUUUAUCCUUGAGAUUCAACUUCUUGGACACCGAAAAGUACAUUGCCAUGAACACCUUGUACAACUGGUCCCAUGUAUAGAUUGAAUUGUAUGGCAGCUCCGAAAGCAACAUCACCUAUCAACGAGAGUGGGAAUACUCUCAAACCUAUUACAUCCAUGUCCAAGUCUGGUCGUCCCACACUACUCAUACAUAAACUUUUCAAUUUAGUCAUGUUAGCAUAUGGAUCUUCCGAAGGUAACCCAGCAAACAACCCUCUUGAUGUAAGCAUUUGCAUGAGACUACUGGUCACCACAAAAGAAUGUCCAUGUGGUAGUGGAGGUAGAACAAUAGCACCGGUUGACUCCACCGAGUCAUAAUCAACCCUGUAGUUAUCACGAACUCUCGGUGCUGACUGGUUUUGCACCCUUUCUGUAAUUUUUAUUAGAUGACCACCCUGAACCUGGCAGGCACAUUCAUAACUCCAAGAGGUCAAAAACCAACUCCAUCCCCCUGACCCUCUCCAAUGGGAUCAUUGUGUACCUCGAGAUUUAUGCCUCUUCCAACCAUUCUUCUCAAAUUUCUCCUCAAUUCUGGAUCGUAGGGCGUCAGGGGACUUCCUUGGAUCCAUGUACUUUGUGAUGUGAGGACAAAAUACAUAUUUUUAAUCAUUAUUUACCUCACAUUUAUUAUUUAUAUUUUUAUUUUUUUUAGUAGAAAUUUUAUGGAUUGUACUAAAUAGUGUAUUUUAUUUAAAGGAUUAAAUUGGUGGGAAAACGAAGAAGUUUGAAGCUUAAACGAAUUAAAAAUGGAAGAUUGAAGAAGGAAAUCAAGCAAGCAGUUUAAUGAAUUAAAUUUAUUAAAAUAAUAUAUAUUCCUAUAUAUGGUGCAAAGUUGAACGGCAAUUCAAUUUGAAUUAGGCUUGCUGCUGCCACGUGUCAGCCGACCGGCGCCCCUCUGCCGCCAACAAUUUGGAGAAAUCACGCUUACUGUGCAAACCCAAUUUAAUUGGGUUUUGUUUUCCUAAUUUGUCUUAAACUCAAUUAUUUUAUUUUGGGUUUUUCUAUCUAUAAAUAGGGGAUGCAAAAUUAAUUUUUAAGGGGGGCAACAAUCAAGAAACAAUACACAAUAUAAAUUUUCCUCUAGCUUAGAAACUUUGGAAGAGCCGCCAUGGAGGCCAGAGAAUUGUGGUUUAUUCUUUCUUCUCUUUUAUUAUUUAUUUGUAUUCGUGAUUAAUAAAAGAUAGUUUAGCUAUUGUUCUUAACUUUUUAUGAUUAACACAAACAUAUUUAUUUUAAUAAAUUUUGAUUGUGUUUUUGAGAUAAUGAGUACCUAAAUUUCAUAACUAGGGUUGUGGGAAUCAUGAUCGAUUAACAAAGUAUAAAUAGUAACUAAGUAAUUCUUGAAUAAUGUUAUUUCAUGCAUUGAUAUUUUUUCGUUUAGAAGUCUUUUUAACAGUGGCCAACGUUAGAACUUGCCUCGUUACUACUUGUCGGACUAAUGAGGUAAUUAAUGAGAAAAGAAAAAUCAACAUAGAUUUAGCGUGAUACUAUCUAAUAGUCUAAUUUCGAUUGGUGCGAGGGUGAAAACUAAGACAUACAUCGAUGUGAUGUCUAAUAUGAGGUAAAGGUAAGAGUUAGUAAAUUAUACACACGUAGCGGGAUCAAGGCGCGCUAGGUGAAAUUCUCUAGAUGCCGGACCAAGAAUUUAGAGAUACCUAACUUAUAACUUUGUAUGUAAUACACUAGGAAAGGAUUGCUAUUAUUAGGAUUACCGCGUUAUGAGCUUAUGGGGAACACAUUCCUAGUUACUUUUAAUAAUCUGAACAUAAAUAAAAUAUUUAGUUCAAAGCUAUUUUUAUUAUUUUUAUUUUAUUUCAAUUUAAAUCCCCCCAUUUUUAUAUAACGACUAUUGAGUUACAUAUUUGCUAUUGACAGUAUUCUUCCAUAUUCUCUAUGGGAUCGACCCCGACUCAUAGUUGGGUAAAUAUAUUGCAUACAAUCGUUUAUAUUUCUUUUCAAGAGGUAUAUUUGAAUGAUAUCAAUCACACAAGGCAUCGAUACUUCAGUCAAACAAGAAUAGACACGUUCGCUAGUGUGCAACGGUCCUCACAAGACAAUCAAUUCGAUAAAUGGCUAGUCACAACGAGAUGCAAAGAGUGCACAUAUUGUCUAUGUAACUUCAUUUGGCCUCGUAGUAGUCGUGCAUUCGUGUUUGUUCAAUUGGGAGCACUAUUCAAGUCAUCGGUACUGAUCGAAAUCGAGACUAAAAUUUUUUUGCAAAAGAAUGGCCACUUUCAACACAAGAGGUGGCAAUUUUUUUUUUGGAAGGAUCAAAAUUGUUUUCAAUUAGAACAACAGGAGCCAUGAGCUCAAACAUCCACAGAAAAUUAGUAUUUCAAACACAAAUUAAAGUAGACAACAAAACAUGAAUGUCAACACAAAAGGCGUGAGCCUCACCCCACCACAAAUAAAAGCAGUUGUCCUCAAAUGCGAAUAAACAAAAAUAUAUCGACAAGUAAGAUAGGAAAAAUAAUAACGAAUCCGAAAGGUGGAGUAAAGAAAUACAAAGAGGGAGUUAAAGAGGGGAUCCUGGCUACUUGAUCGACUCAUAAAUAUUAAUCGAGUCAUCUAAGCCUAUAGAAGAGUGUAUGGAGGAGGAAUAAUGUGUCUAUAUUCUUGAAUUUAUUGUUUCAAUAUGAGAUAAUUACAUUCCUCACUUAGGAUCCAAGAGGUGAAUAAUGCGAUAUCUAUUGCUUGGGACCUUUAUUUUUGUACCACCACCCCUUGAGCGUGAUAGAAAAAUUGAUUCAAAAUUGGGGGUGCAAUUCAUAUCCUCAAAGUGGAAGGAAAAAUAGUAAAAUUGAUGGUAUCGUGCCGCGACGUUAAAUUAAGCACUUAUUGGGAGGCAACCCAAUUAGUAGUGUAACUUCUUAUUUUUAUUUUAUUAGUAUCACUUUUUUUCUUUUCUUGUUUUUGCAGAUUAGGGAAAGUCUGAGUACUCAAAAAAAAAAUUGAAGCGAAGGAGCAUGUUUGAGCUUAAGUGUGGGGUGAUGAAAAUUAAGAGAACAUGCUACUAGUUAGGCCUAAAGGCCUCACGGAGUUUUCCUAACCCUUGUUUUAAAUUUUAUUUAAUGCUUUGGGGACAUAUCAUCUUUUUAAGUGUGGGGUGGAGGAAUAAAUUCCUAGUUUUUACUGUUUUAUUGAGUUUUUUUUAGGAUGGGUUCCUUGGUUUUUAUUUUUGGUUUUUUCCUGAGGAUAGUCCCUUUGAACCGAGUGUCUUUUAUUUUUUGUAGGAAUAAAUUUUACUUUUAAAUCUUAUUUUUAUUUUUAUUUUUUUUGGAGAGAAAAGAAAAAACCAUUUUGAGUUAUGUGAUACUUACUAUUUGGGCCUAAAUUUGAGUAGUACUUUCUUGUGAAUGCUUGAUUGCUAGUGAAAUUGCAAACUUUUUGACAUCUAGGUUCAUGGUUGUGACUUUGUAUAUAACUUAUUUUAUUUUGUAGUUUGUUAUGAUCCUGUCUCUCUUAGAAGUGGAACUGAUCCAUCUUGAUUGAUACUUGUGCCAUGUGUGGUGAGAUUUUGUUUAUUCCAUGUUUUGCAUCUUAGUCUAGAACUUGUCUUGCAUGUUAUUGAAGCGAAAUAAAAAGUGAUGCUUUGUUUAUGAGAUGAUAAUAGACUUUCUUUGAUUUGUAUGAUAAAUUUUAGCCUUUUCAGAUAUUUUAUCACUAGUUAGCCCUUUUGAGCCUGUAGCCUUUUGUUGGUAGUCAUAUUUUGCCCUUGACAAUUUUGUUGAAUCCCUAGUUUUUGCAUCUUGCUUCCUUGAGCAUUAUAGCAUAGACUUAUUCUAAUUAUCAAUUCUGAGAAAAAAAGAUGGUUGAGUGGAAAAGUAAUCAAUGAUAGCUACAAGGUGCUUAAAAACCCUCAAUAAAAAGAUGUGACAUGAAAAAAAAAGAACAAAAGAAUGUGACAUGAAAAAAAGAAAGAAAAAGUUACCUUGAUGAUGGCCUUGGUCCUUCCAAGGACACUGUGCACCUUAAUGCUUGUAAAAUACGUAAGUUGAGGGUGACUAUUAUGAAGGAAAACUUUUUAAAAAAUUAAUUAACAAAAAUAGAUUGAAACAUUCUUGAGAUUACGAGAAUUACUUGUGAAAUAAUUGUUGAAGAGAGAGCUGAAAAUAAAGAGAAGAAAAUAAUGGGUGAUGAAGUCUAAAAUUGCAAAGUGCUUAAGGAAGUGUAAGUCACUAUUAUAUAGUUUUCCUACCCGUUCCUUAGCCUACAUUACAACCCAUUAAAGUCAUAUUUGAUUUUAUUCAAGCAUGCUUAAUUAGUGGAGAUGUACAUAAUGUGCAAGCAUAUGGUUCUUUGUACAUACAUGUGAAUUUUCAUUGUGAGUGUGAGAGUGUUCUUUGAUGCUAAGUCCUUAAUUUAUAUUCAAUCUUUUGAUUUGAGUGUGUGGACUAUUUCUUCUUGUGAGGGCACUUGUUUCAUGAUAGAUAGGUGAUUUUAUUAACUUUCUUUGAUGAGAGUAGGUGAGCAAGCUUAAAUUUGAUGAGUUCAAAGUCCUUCCUUGAGGUUAGGAGAUUAGAGGUUUGUUGUUUAUUUGGUAGUCUUGCAUAAUGAUCUGCUUGAUGUUUUGAAAUUGUUAUAUGACCUAAUUGUUUGUAUUAACCAAAGUAAUGACAUUGCUAGUAUGAUUUUUUUGGGAUGAGCUUUAAUGUUUGCUCGAGGACGAACAAAAGUUUAAGUGUGGGGUGUUGAUGUGAGGACAAAAUGCAUAUUUUUAAUCAUUAUUUGCCUCACAUUUAUUAUUUAUAUUUUUCUUUUUUUGAGCAGAAAUUUUAUGGAUUGUACUAAAUAGUGUAUUUUAUUUGUAGGAUUAAUUUGGUGGGAAAACGAAGAAAUUUAAAGCUAAAACGAAUUAAAAAUAGAAGAUUGAAGAAGGAAAUCAAGCAAGCAGCUUAAUGUGUUAAAUUUAUUAAAAUAAUAUAUUCCUAUAUAUGGUGCAAAGUUGAACGCCAAUUCAAUUUGAAUUAGGCUUGCUGCUGCCACGUGUCAGCCGACCGGCGCCCCUCUGCCGCCAACAAUUUGAUGAAAUCACCCGUACAGUGCAAACCCAAUUUAAUUGGGUUUUGUUUUCCUAAUUUGUCUUGAAUUCAAUUAUUUUAUAUAGGGUUUCUCUAUCUAUAAAUAGAGGAUGAAAAAUUAUUCUUUAAGGGGGGCAACAAUCAAAAAAUAAUAUAUAGUAUAAAUUUUCUUCUAGCUUAGAAACUUUGGAAGAGCCGCCGUAGAGGCCGGAGAAUUGUGGUUUAUUAUUUCUUCUCCUUUAUUAUUUAUUUGUAUUCGUGAUUAAUAAAAGAUAGUUUAGCUAUUGUUCUUAACUUUUUAUGAUUAACACAAGCAUAUUUAUUUUAAUAAAUUUUGAUUGUGUUUUUGAGAUAAUGAGUAGCUAAAUUUCAUAACUAGGGUUGUGGGAACCAUGAAUGAUUAACAAAGUAUGAAUAGUAACUAAGUAAUUCUUGAAUAGUGUUAUUGCAUGCAUUUAUCAGACCAAUGAGGCAAUUAACGAGAAAAGAAUUAUCAACAUAGAUUUAGUGUGAUACUAUCUAAUAGUCUAAUGUCGAUUGGUGCGAGGGUGAAAACUAAGCCAUACAUCGAUGUGAUGUCUAAUAUGAGGUAAAGGUAAGGGUUAGUAAAUUAUACACACGUAGCCAGACCAAGGUGUGGGGUGAAAUUCUCUAGAUGCCGGACAAAGGAAUUAGAGAUACCAAACUUAUAACUUUGCAUGUAAUACACUAGGAAAUGAUUGCUAUUAUUAGGAUUACCGCGUUAUGAGCUUAUGGGGAACACAUUCCUAGUUACUUUUAAUAAUCUGAAUAUAAAUAAAUAUUUAGUUCAAAGUUAUUUUUAUUGUUUUUAUUUUAUUUCAAUUUAAAUCCCCCCAUUUUUAUUUAACGACUAUCGAGUUAAAUAUUUAUUAUUGACAAUAUUCUUCCAUAUUCUCUAUGGGAUCGACCCUGACUCAUAGUUGGGUAAAUAUAUUGCAUACGAUCGUUUAUAUUUCUUUUCAAGAAGUAUAUUUGAACGUUAUCACUUGGCAUACACUUGAGGUAAGCCAUGUAUAAAAUAAAAACAAAACAAAAAUGUAAAAUCAGGAAAUACUUGACUAAAGUUCAAUAAUGAAUUUAGUCUAAUCUAAAAGUCGUAUUCCUUAGCAGCGGUGCCAAAAUUUGAUACGCCCAAAUUACACCUCCCGAAAGAAGUAGAAGCGGUCGUUGCCUAAUAAAGAACCUAACUUUCAGGUUAGGGUCGAUCCCACGAGGAAUAUGGUUUAGACUUAAACUAACUUACGAUUAUCUAUGUUUAGUCAAACUAUUUUCGAGAAAAGUAACAAGGGGGGGGGGGGAUUUGUAAAUAAAAUGACAGUUUUGCUAAUUUGUAUCACUAAGUAACAAGUAAGCAGGAUUUGCAGUUUGAGAUAUCAAUAUAAGAUGAAAACUAGGGCAUAAGUGCUCCCCACAAGCUCUUAGCGCAAUAUUCCUAAUAAUAGUAACUCGAUCCUAGUGUUCACAUGCAAGGUUGAUAAGUUAGAUAUCCCUAAGUGAUUGGUCAUCUAAAUAAGGAAUUUCACCACGCAACUUGGUCCGUCUACGAUUGUAUGCUUUACUAACCCUUACCUUUAACCCAGAUUAGCCCUCGCAUCACAAUGAUUAAGGUCAGGCUAUUAGAUAGCAGCUAAACUUAACUAAAUCUUUGUUGAUAAAUGCCUUUCUCAUUCAUUACCUCCUUCGUCUGGCAAGUAGGAAUGAGACGAGUUCUAACGUUGUGCACCGCUAGAAAGCAUUCUAAACUAAGGGAUUAACAAUACAUGCUUACACUAUUCUCAAAUUACUUAUUUAUUAUUCAUAUAUUGUUAAUUGAUCAUGGUUCUCACAAGCCUAGUUGUAGAUUUAGCUACUCAUGUUUGAGAAUUCACAAUUCAUAUUAGGGUUAAUAAGAGAAAUCAUGAACUUACAAUUAGAAUAGAUGAAUACCGAAAUCUUGAAUUGAAAAUCAAAAGCAAAUUUCAUAAACGAGCUUGAAGAAUUAAAUUGCUAAAGCUUUUGCAAAAUAAUUCCAAAAGAUAAGAACAAUAGUCUCCAAAAGGUCAAACCCCUAAAAACGAAAAGGAAAUAAGGAAAUAUUGGUUCAGACGUUGUUUCGAUCGACGACACGAGCUACGGACCGUGGAUCAACCUACGGUCCGUGGGUCAGCAAUUGGCCAAAAAUUUAGGAUCUUCAAACGACGCUUGCCACCUAUGAUCCGUGGAUUUGACUACAGUCUGUCAUGUUCCUCCGUAGUUCAAGUACUGAAACUUAACUCUCUGAUCAAAACGACGACCAUUAAUCGACGGCCCAUCACUCAAGCUACGGGGCAUUGUUUGACUCCGUGGUUCCACACAUUGUCAGACUUCCUUGAAUUCACAUCUAUGCCUCCCCACCUCUAGCCCAUCAACUCAACGACGGUCCGUGGUUGGGCUCCGUCAACUGCUACUUCUGCCAUUUUAGCUCUUUUCUCACUCAACUGCUCCAAACCUAUUUCCUGCAAAAUUUACAUAAAAACACCAUUAUAUCUAAUAACAAAAUGCCCAAGACUCACACAACUUCAAGUGAUAUGCAUCAAAAAUACCGUAAACUCACGGUAUAUCAAUCACCUACCUCUCAUAAAGUUCACCUAUAAUAAUAGCUACCAUUACAGUAUUCAGAUGGCCCCGUAUGAGGUACUAUAUGGGCGUAGAUGUAGGUCUCUAAUUGGUUGGUUUGAAGUAGGUGAAGCAGCCUUGAUUGGGCCAGAUUCGGUUCAUGAGGCUAUGAAAAAAGUUCAUCUCAUCAGAGAUAGAAUAAAGACAACCUAGAGUCAUCAAAAGUCCUAUGCAUAUGUGAGGAGAAGGGACUUAGAGUUUGAAAUCGAUGAUUGGGUUUUCCUGAAGGUGUCACCUAUGAAGGGGUGAUGAGAUUUGACAAGAAAGGGAAGCUCAAUCCUAGAUAUGUAGGUCCUUACAGAAUCCUUAAAAGGGUUGGUAAUAUGGGUUAUGAGUUAGAGUUGCUAGCAGAACUGGCAGUGGUUCAUCCGAUCUUUCACAUUUCCUUGUUGAAGAAGUGUGUGGGUGAUCCGGCAUCAAUAGUACCAUUAGAGAGUGUGGCGAUGAAGGAUAGUCUCAGUUAUGCAGAGGUGCCAGUUGAAAUUCUUGACCGUCAAGUUCGUAGGUUGAGAAAUAAGGAAGUCUCUUCAGUGAAGGUUUGUGGAGGAGUCAGUCCGUAGAGAGAGAUACUUGGGAAGUAGAUGCAACUAUGAUGGCCAAGUAUCGUCACCUCUUUCCUUCCGAUUCCAUUUUAGCUUGAGGUAAUAGUUCCUCUCCAGUCUCUCAGUUUACUCUUGUGUAAUUCAGUCUCAGUAUCUUGUUCCCUCAGUUAUUCCUGCAUUUCAACAUAUUUGCAUGUUCUUGGAACUCAAUUCAGUUAGAUAUCAGUUUCUACUACUUAGUGGUAGGGAUUGAAGCCCCUUCCCUCUAUACUCAGCUCAUUUAGACUUCAUUCGAGGACGAAUGUUCCCAAGGGGGAGAUAAUGUAACACAUCGGGUCUCAAAAUGAAGAAAAUCCUAGUUUUCAAAAAACUGGUGCCAGUACCAACAGAACCACCCAUGGACCAUAGGCAGAACCACAGACCGUAGGUGGGGUUUCGUCGUUAAAGUCCAAAUUUUGAUGGUUUCUGAUCCCACCCAUGGUCGACCAGUACGGUCUGUGGUUGGACCUACAGACCGUAGGUGAGGGUCAACAGCUAAUUGGAGGAAAAUGGUUGUUAGGUCAACUUCAAACGGACAUAUCUUUUAGCACAAAAUGAAUUAGGUGGCCCAUGACCUAUCAAAUUAAAGAUAAUUUAAUCCUCUUUCCAACUCCACUGAGUUUGGUAAAAUCCAAGCUUGGAGUAAAUAGUUAUGUUCAUUUUAGUGAAGCCUAGUCGGGCAAAACAUGAACGACGACCCCAAACAAUGGUUGGUAGUUCAAACGAUGGCCCGUCAGUCCUAUAGUAGAUGGCAUUCAUAAGCUUUUAAGUUAGGGUCGUUUUAGUCUUUUCCCUAUGCGUUGGGGCCCUUAAACUACAUCGUUUGAUGCCUACACUACGUCGUUUUACUAAGUCUAAGCCUAAUAACCUAGUCAUAACCUACCCAAAACCUUUAUUCUCCAAAAAUUAGCCAAAUUAGAGCAAAAAGAAGAGGAAAGUUGACCAGCCCUCUUAAGAACAAACAUGAGGUUUUCUUCAAGUUCAACCCCGAAAUCCAAAGGAUUUCUCCAUAGUUAUCGUCACCAGGUAUGUGGAAUUUCACUAGUGGAUUCCUUUCAUCCACUAGGUCCCUAGAAUUCAGUCUGUUCCUUGAUUCUCCAUAUCCUGUUUAGACCUAGAGUUUAUAAAACCUUGGAGAUUUGUUGUGAUUUUGUUGUUGUAGUAUCCUUAAUCGAAAUAAGAUGUUUCUUGGAAUGUUUUCAUAAUUCCUUGUAUAAAACUCACAACCCUAGUUUUUUGUAAAUUCUCUUAGUUCAUGAAUUAUACUUGCUAGGUCAGUUAAACAGUAAAUCAUGCUCCAGAUUACGAAUGUCACAUUCCUAGUUUAUAAAUGUUGCAUUCUCAGUUAGCAUGCCAAUAUUUUGAGUGAUUCAGUACUUAGUGCAAAUUAUCUUCACAUGUAUUCAGUUGGGAGUAGACUUAGCAUCGAGUUGGACUACGGUUCAUCGUACCCUCAUAGUCCAAGAACUAUGUGCCCGCAUAGGAUUAUAAGUCCCCUCUGUUGAGCAUCAGAUUUAGUGAUCACACCAGUUAUGCCUUUAUACCCUGGCAAGGUAUAUUGGGUCCUCUCGAUGGGGCAUAUACAUUGGACUCCGCAUUUAGCUCACGUAGUUUAUGUCGGUAAAUAGUAGCUCCCACAGUCAGACAAUUAGUUAUUUUACCAGGUUUUCAACAUUUAUAUAAGUGUACAGUUCAACAUGUUAUCUUCAUGAUUAACACUUGGUCAUUGCAUUCAACUUAGUUUUUCAGUUAUGUUUCAGUAUUUAUGUUCUUGUUCACAUUACGUCAUUGCUCAGUUAUGCUUUAUUCAACUCAUAUAUAUUUGUUCAACUUAAUAUCUAUAUCAUGCAUGCUUAGUACAUUCCAAGUACUGACGCAUACUCUGCGCUACAUCCUUUUUAUGAUGUAGGUUCAGGUACUCAGCAUCCAGAUCACGCUUAGAUCGAUUAUCGGUCCACAUUCAAUAGCUUUAUUGGUGAGUCCUCAUAUUCCGAGGACAAUAGACAUGCUUUCAUUUUAGUCAUUAUUUUUAGUUUCAAUUUUGUUAGAGUAAGCUGGGGCAUGUCCCAACAACUCAACUAAGUUAGAGGCUUUUUAGACAUAGUAGUAGAUACAUCUUGAGUUGUUAAGUGGUGUUUCAGUCAUCACUAGACUUUCAUUAUAUUUUAUAUAUUCAUACUAGUAUGGUUUUUCCACACUUUCAGUUAUCCAUUAUUUUAGCUUCCGCAUAGUACAUGUCUUAUUUAGUUAUUCUCAGUAUGGUUGAUAUAUGCUAGACACAUGGUUAGCUUGGGGUCACUCAUGAUUCUAGGUCCCGUGUUAUGUCAAGGGGGUAGCCUCGAGGCAUGAUAGCAGGUUUGUUAAUUUUGAUUUUCAUAAUAUUAGACGGGUUUCACCCAUAAUUUUUCCAAAUACCCGACCCACUCCCCAUUUAAUCCUAAUCUUCACCCAAAUUCACCAUUAUUAUCCCCAUUAACCCACAAAUUUACCCUCUUUUUCUCCUUUCACGAAUCUUCAAGUCCGAAUAUGUAACACAAAGUUGAUUUUACCCUCUUCUCUCUCAAGUCGCUCCCUCUGUAACACCUCGGAUUCGAAAAGAUUAAUUUUUUUUGUAGAUUUCUUGGAUCUGGUACCAGUACUAACGGAGCCACCAACGGCCUGUAGUCUGACACACGAUAUGUAAGUAGGCCUGUGUGUGGCAAGUUCAAACUUUCUAAAAAUGUCAAAGUUUCAGUAUUUUCAUACAGUUCACUAGGACGGUUUGUUGUCCUAUGCACGAGUUGUAGGUAUGUCUCGUAGGUGAGUCCCAGACUUAGAGAAGUUUUACAAUCAAAAGUUGAGAUCUACAAUUGAGGUGUAGAGUCCGUAGGUUGACCCACAGACCGUACAUGGGUCCCGUCGAUGAUGGGUCAAAGUUGGUGGUCUCUGAACCCACCAACGACCAACUAGGACGGUCUUUGGUGUGACCAAUGGACCGUAGAUCUGGCUGUUGGUGAAGUCGGAAGUUAUUUUAAGAAGGGAAUUUUGGGUCUUUUCCUAAUUAUUCUAACCCAAUACUAUGCCAUUUUACCUUUUAUUAGAGUCCCUAAAUAAACAUUUUUACCCCCAAAAUUCCCCAAUUGAACUGAUUCUACCAAAUUCUCAAAGUUGAUCAAAGUUCUUCCCCAAAUAUUCUCUUUCUAAAAGCUUGAAGAAGAAGACUAGGGUUUCAAGGUUAAGUCUCCAAAAUUCACCACUGAUUAUAAUCUCUUGGCAUCAAGGUAUGAUAGUCUUAACCUAUAGAGCUCUUUCGUCUAUAGAGUUCCUAAAUUCUCCAAUUGUGCAAAGUAGAAUCUCUAAUGGAAGUUAGGGUUUUUACUCAAUCUAAUGUGUUCUUUCCAAUUAUGAUCUAAUUGAUUGUUUAUUGUCUUUUUAUGCAUCAAUUGAAGUAAUUGCAUGUUUCUAAGUUGAAUUCUCAUGAACCCAUGUGAAAUUAGUGUUUUCUAGAUUUGAUCAUAUAAUGAAGCUUUUGAAUCAUGAAAGAUGAGUUUAUGAAGAUAUGCAUGUUCUUAUGAAAUCGAUGAAAAUGAUUUAAGGAUUCUUUGAGGGUAAAGUAUCAAUGUUGUUAUUAUUGUGAACAGAUUUCUCACCUAUUACUAAAUACAUGAAUUUGAAAGGGUUUUAUCACAUAAGGAUUCUUAGGGUUGAAAGGUUUUUUCAAAUAAACUUUGAAUCAAGUUAAGGAGUUAUUCUAAUGAUGAGGAAAGUGGUGAUUAACCAUGUCCUCUAAUGAUAAGACAAGCGGUGAAUACCCAUGUCUCAUGAAUGUUAAGAUAAGUUAAGACUAAUGACUAUUCCGUGGGAUUUAUGCACCAAGUGGACAAGUGGCGAUUACCCAUGUCCCAUAAGCUAUGUGCCACCAUAAGUUUAUCUAAAUAGACAUUAGCUAGUGGAUCCAUGUAAGGUAGAAGUUCAUGGUUCUUACCUUGGCAAGUGAGAACACCUAUUUUUGGUGUGGGGUAGACACCGGAUUCCAUGUUAUAGCUCACAUGGUCUCUUUGUCGGUUAAGGCUACUUCCCACAAUAAUGAACUAAGGUUACUUCAAGAAGUAUCUCACAUGUGUUUUAAGACGAUUUCUACCUGCAUUGACCAUGAUCACGAUUAUGUUUUCUAACCUCUUACCUUAUGUUUUAAUUUGGUCUUUGCAUGUAACGAAAAGUCCCUUUUAGCAUGGUUUUAUAUCUUAUAUGCAUUGCUAUCGUACUUGGUACAUUCUUUGUACUAAUGCAUAUUCUUGCCUACAUUUUUUUCAAAUGUAAGGUCCGAAGCUCCAUUUUCGCAUCUCCAUGGCUAGGGAUCACUUAGUAGAUAUCGAAGAUUGGUGAGUCCUCAUGUUUCGAGGACCAAGCCUUUAUUUCUAAUUGUCUUAACUUUCAAUACUGUAUGUGAUGUACGGUUUACGUCCAUCACUCUUGAUGUACUAGAUGACUUUGGGACUAUGUUAGACUUUCGCUGCAUUUUAUCAACUCUUAUAUUUUGAAAUUCUCUUUUAAAAUCUCUAAAUUUUCUAUUAUCUUGUAUAAUGUAUGCUCAGUGGAUUGUGUAGGGCCUCUCGGGGUCCUAUACGCCAUGUUGCGCCUAGGGUAUGGCUUGGGUCGUGACACCUUCUCACACGUAAUAGGUAUGUGUUCUUUAAUAUUUCUCAUGAAAUUGGUGCAGGCUACGUACUUCGAUCAAGACCUUUGGGGAUAGGUUUGGGUGAAUUAUGAAUGUCAUCACAAAACCUUUAGUGGAAUUUGUGUAUGAUUGUCAUUAUAUUAGUUUCGAAAUCUUGAGUACGAAUAGUAUGGUGGUAAUGUAUUGAGUACGAAAUUGUGUUGAGCAAGUUGAUGAUGGGGUGAUUUGUGAGUUGUUCUUUUUUUAUGUGGUUGAUUAUUAUUGUAUGUUAAAUGUGCAUUUAGUUGUGUAAGUGUGAAGUCUUGAGUAGCACUUUUUGAUUGAAUACGUGUGGGUACGGAUGAUAGAAGUCUAAUUGAUGAGUUUGUGCUACCCGCUAAGUGUUUUGAAUAACGUUAGGGAAAUCUGAGUACCUAAUGGUUCGGCGUGGGUAGUGCACACGAGUAAGAGUGGGGUGGUCCUAUCCCCACCCAUGCUCCGUGACUUUUGGGUACUUGUGUGAACUUAUGUGGGUUGAAUUAGUUUUGUAUGAUGUUGGAGUACUUUGCAGGUGAUCAUGUAAGGUACUCUAAGACACAGAGGAGGUGGACCCACCAUAGGCUAUAGAGGAGGCCGAGGAGGAGACGCCAUGAAGGAUUGAUGAGGGAGUGAUUCACCUUACCUCUAUACUUGAAUUUUUGAUAUUUUGUAGCACUAGGGACAGUGCUUGUGUUUACAAUGUGGGGUGGGGUGUGAAUUCACUCUGAAGUAUAUAUUAGUUUGAACAAUGGUAGUUUUGAUUUCUUUAUUUUUAUUUUGGGUUCCUUGGAGCUUGUUUUCAAAUCUUUGGCCAAGGAUAGUCCCUUUGAACCGUACAAAAUACAAAAAGAUUUUUCUUUUUAGAAUUGAGUUAGUCGUCGUAGUUGAGUUGCAAUGCCCUAUGAUAGAUGGGUGACGACCGUCUUAAGGGUAAUUUUCAUCAUUGAGUCGUAUGUAUGGUGUUUGUGUUGAAGCUUAAAUUCUGAAAGUGAAAUUGUAUGAAAGCAUGUGGGUAAUAUAGGUCGAUGUCUUUGAAUUCUUGUAUUUGAUUCUAAAUACUGCAACUUAAGCUUAAAUGGAACUGUUGCAUGAGCUAAGUGUUUUGCCUGAUGAUAAAGCCGACUUGACUUGAACUUGUGCAAUGUGUGGUGAGGUGUUGUGUUUUCCAUAUAUAGCAUCUUAGUCUGGAACUUUCUCGGCAUGUUAUUAAAGCAAAAUCGAAGUGUUGUUUUGUUUAGGAAAUGAUAAUAGGUCUCCUUUAAUAUCUUCAGAAAGUGUAGUCUUUUCAUAUAUUAUCACUAGUUACCCCUUUGAACCUUUAGCCUUUUGUUGGUAACAACAUUUUCACCAGAACAAUUUUAUUGAAUCCUUAGUUGUUUGCACCCUGCUUGCCUAAGCAUUGCAGUAUAGACUGUUUGUAAGUAGUAGAAUUGAAAGUCAACAGGCGACCAAUGAUAGUUACAAAGUGAUGAAAAAUCCCUCAUUUAAAGAAUGAUUCCCCAAUAUAUAGAAGAAGAAUAUAGAAGAAGAAGAAGAAGAAGAAGAAGAAGAAGAAGAACAGGAAGAAGAGGAAGAAGAAGAAGGAGUAGGAGGAGGAGGAGGAGAAGGAGAAUAAGAAGGAGACGAAGAAGGAGAAGAAGAAGGAUAAGAAGGAGAAGAAGGAGGAGAAAAAAAAGAAUAAGAAGAAGGAGAAGAAGAGGGAGAAGGAGGAGGAGAAGGAGGAGAAGAGGGAGGAUAAGAAGAAGAAGGAGAAGCAGAAGAAGGAGCAGAAUAAGGAGAAGAGAAAGGAGAAGAAGGAGAAGAAGGAGAAGAGGGAGGAGAAGAAGAAGGAGAAAAAAGAGAAGGACAAGGAUAAGGAGGAGAAGAAGGAAAAGAAAAAGGAAAUGGAGAAGAAGAAGAAGAAGAAGAAGAAGAAGAAGAAGAGGAAGAAGAAGAAGGAGUAGGAGGAGGAGGAGGAGAAGGAGAAUAAGAAGGAGAGAGGAAGAGGAAGAGGAAGAAGAAGAGAAAAAAUUGGUCUACGGAAUAAAGAUUUGAGGGAAAUUCAUGAAAUGAUGUGAACUACUUGUGAUAGCAUUGUAAAGAGAGAGCUGAAAAAUGAAGAAAAAGGUGAUGAUGUCUGAAAUGUACAUAGUGCUUAGGGGAGUGUGAGUCACUAUUAUAUAACUUUCCUACCCGUCCCUUAGCCUCAUUUACAACAUGUGAAAGUCCUAUUUGAUUCUUUGUAAAACGUUCUUAAUUAGUGGAGAUGUACAUAAUGGGAAAGCCUAUGGUUCUUUGUGCAUACAUUUGAAUUUUAUUUGUGAGUGUGAGGUUUGAAUUGUGAUGUUAAGUCCACAUGUUAUAAUUAAUCUUGUGAGUGAAGUGUGGACUACUUUCUUUGCGUGAGGGGCACUUGUUUUAUGAAAUAUAAGUGAUAUUUGAUGGCUGGCAUGAAGUGUAAUGUUUAGGUUGCUUAAAGUUGUCGAGUGAAUACUUGAGAUGGUAUCUGCAAGUGGCCAAGGCCAAGUGUGAAUUAAAACAUACAUAUUUUGAUUUGAUAAAAGAUUCCUAAAAGUAAGUUGUGGAAGCACAAAUGCCAGUAUGAGUGAGUCUAGGUAUAAGAUUAGCAUGGUGAAUUGUUCAAGGAUGAACAAAGCUCUAAGUGUGGGGUGGUGAUCUUGGGCAUAUUUUUAUGCCAAGAAACCAAAUAACACCCAUGUUUUGGUCAAGUUUGAGAAUAAAUUCGCUAGUUUUUAGUAGUGUCAAGUUGUGUUAAUUCAUUCGGACUAACCAAUAUGAUUAGUUGUGUAGGUGGUGAUAAAAAGGAAACGAGCACAAAAGUGGAAAUUGGGAAGCAAGAGUGGAUCCAAGCAAAAGGAAGUUAAAACAAGCUUCGUAUCCUCUACGAGUCGCGGAGAGUGAAAUUAUUAUUUGCUCGUUGUGUAAUGAAUUUUGAGUCAGAAGACUCUGUAACCUUUCCACAUCGCGGAGAACAUGUGUUCGAUUAAAGUUAGCAUUUCCGAGCAUCUCUGCAUCGCGGACCUAGGCUCCAAUUUUCUAUAUUUUUUCCUAAAUUAUAAAUAGAAUUGGAUUUUAUUUUAUUAAUUAUUAUUUUUCUUGGUUUUGAAAAAUGACGACUUUGGGAGCUGUUUCAUCUGUUUUUAGAGUUUAUUCCUAAACUUUACUCCAUUUGAUCUCUUUUAUGUUAAUUGAACUAUGCAAAAUUGAGAAUCAUAUUAUGAGUAGCUAAUUUCCUUAGUUCUAGGGAUGUGGCUACAAAAUGAUUGUAUUUUAUUGAUUUUAAUGGAAUGAUGUUGAUUAUAAUAUGAAUCUCUCUUUUGUUCUUGCUUUAGUAUUUCGUGACUGGCCACCAUUGAAAUAAAUGUCUUGUACGAUACUCGGUUCUUAAAAAGAGCUACUUUAAUACUUGCACGACCACAUACACUUGUGUGUGCGUUUGGGCGCAACACAUAUUGCUAAUAAAUGUCCCAAUAUGAUCUCUUUAACAAUAGAUUCUUGUUCAAUUAGUUCUUGCAAUAGAGUCAAUGAUUUGGGUCUUCAAGUUAUUUGUAAAUCUUUCCCAAGUCUGAAGUUGUUUCAAGUCUGGAAAAAGUGGCAUCCUGUCAGAUCAUGUAUUGGUUUCUUGUGUCAAAGCUUCAGUCUCGCUUCAGAACCUUCAGUUAAAGGAAUGCCACCUGAUUACCCUGGCUAGAUUUUUUUUGUAUAGUUUUGAAUUGUGGUAAGAAACUGAAGACUCUUUCCUUGGUGAACUGCAUUGGUGUGAAUGACUCAAUCAAUAAUUUUCGUUUAGUGGAUCCUUGUUAUAAGUCACUGGUAUCAUUAAAUAUUUGCAACUAUCCUGGAGUAGGUAAUGCUACCAUUACUUUAGUAGGUAGACUGUGUCACAAACUAACUCAUAUAGAGUUGAGUGGGCUUUUUUGUAUAAUUAACGAGGGGCUCUUCCCUCUAGUUAAGAAUUGUGCAGCUAAUUUAGUGGCGGUGAAUUUAAGUGGGUGUGUCAACAUUAUAGAUAUAUCAGUUUUAGACAUAGUUAAGCUGAAUGGGGGAUCUCUCAAGUCUUUGCUUGUAGUUAGUUGUUGACAUGUUACUAAUCCAACAUUAGUAAAAAUUUCGAACUCUUGCUUGGUGCUUAAUAUACACGGUGAUUUUCAACCUCGGGCGAUUUUAAAAUGUUUCACUGGUGGUUAAGGUAUGGUUACAUAUAUAUACCCAAUAUCUCACAUAUGUUUUACCGAUGUUGACUUCUUAUCUUAAGAUGGGGCUUCACAAACACCCCCUUUAUGUCUCAACGUCCUUGCUAAGGUUUGCACUAUAGUAUGGGAUUUGUCUAGACUUAGCACUCAAAAUUUCCUCACCUUAUUAGAAUUUUCCUAAACUCAGUUGAACUCAGGCCCACAUUCACAAGGCUGAUACAAGAGUGUCCUUUGAUACCAUUGUCUAAUGGCCCAACCCGCUUUUGAUAUUGUCUGGUCUGGUCUAUGACGCGCACGACUUUACAAGACGUCACUGGUGGGUAAAGUUUGCUUACUAUAUACCAAACAUCUCUCCUGUGUAUUGCCGAUGUGAGACUUUUUGUCUUAAAACUAGGACAUCACAUAAAGUUUGUCACGAUCCCAGUCUACACCCCAACUAAGAUGGUACUCAAAACCACGAGUGGUCCCAAGCUAACCCUUGGCAUAACAUAUCAAAGCUUAUCAUAUGAAACUAAUGCGGAAUCUUAAACAAGUCCUUAAUAAGUCUUCAUAAGAAAAUUAAUAAAUCCAUGAUGACUGAACCACUAAUGUCUAAAAUAAGCCUCUAAUAUUUAGACUGAAGGAAAUAAGUUUACUGGAACAUGAACCCUAGUUGCCUCGAUCCAAAUAAAUAAAUAAACUACUAAAUUCUGACUAACAACUAAUCAGGACUUACCCGACCGAUGAGGACUCGCAAAAUACUGGUUGGAACUGCUGCAACCUCACUAACCACAAGUAUAAGUACGAGCAUCGGAAUUUACAUCAUGAAAUGAUGUUACAUAAAGAAAAGUAUGUGUCAAUACGUGAAAUGUAUUGAGUAAGUAAUGGGCACUAGCAUAAUCGUAAAUUGGCAUAAAGAGGACAGUGAAAUAAGAUUUCCAAAAUCAUAAACAUAGUGAAAGAACUUAGAGAAAACUAUUGGAGUUCAUGUCUAAAUACCAUUCACAAUCUUUUUUCAAAAGCAUAUAUAGAGAUGACUUUAUUUCUAUAGCAUUGUAUAAUCAUAGUUGUAAAUUAUGUUGCAAAGUAUAUGUGUUGGAUAAUUAAAUAUAUGUAACUAGUAUGUAUAUGUACCAAUGAAUACAAUUUGUAUCAUCGAAUACAAUUAUAUCAAUGUUGUAUCAAGUUCAACAUUUGUAUUUGUAUAAUUGAUUGUUAUCAUUUGUAUCAAUGUUGUAUCAAUUGUAUCAAGGGAUAAGGAACAAGUACCCCCUAGGCCAUGACCAAAAUCCCAGAGACACACCUUAACUAAACUAAGGUCUUAUUACCGCCUGAACCCAUUUUUUUUGUAAUUUUGUACACCUUUUUGACUUCUGUGACAUUCAAACAUCUUCCACGUGCCUCAAAUAUAUGGAGUCACGGAGUAUGCUAUAUAAGCCAAAAGGUGUAAAAAAUUACCAAUAAAUGAGUUUGGGGGGGGGGGGAAUAGGACCUUAGUUUAGUUAAGUUGUGUCUCUAGAUUUUCGGUCAUAGUCUUGUGGGUACUUGUGUGUUAUCCCUCGUAUUAACGAAUAAUACAAUUUGUAUAUGUAUACAAUUGUAUGAAUGUUGUAUCAAAUUCAAUUUUUGUAUUUGUAUAAUUAAUUAUUACCAUUUGUAUGAAUGACGUAUGAGUGUUGUAUUAGUGAAUACAUGUGUAUUUUUAUUUUGUAUCACUGAAGAGGAACUGUAUAGUUGACACUUAUCAUUUGAAUUUUUAUAAUUGGUUGUUAACAUUGUUAAUUGUAUAAUAAAUUGCUAUCAUUUGUAUUUGUAUUGAGGGGGGGGGUAGAGAAAGGCGAGAGAGAGAGGAAUAAGGGAGAGGAAAGAGGCAAGCAAGCGUGCAGAGAGAGACAGGAGAGAGGUGAGUGAGAAUGUUGAGAGAGAAAUAGAGGCGAGCAAGACUUCAAAGAGAGAGAGGAGAGAGAAAAUAACAACAACACCAUAGGUACAUAUUGUAAUUCUUUUAAACUAUAAUGAUAUAUUGUAAAUAAAUAUUCCAUGUUUACCUAAUUACAUAUAUUUCCAUAUUUGAUAGAUAUAUAGCUCAGUUAUAUAUAACGUUGGUUUUGUUAUGAAAUUAUGCGCAAACUUGAAAGUGGAUUAUACCGUGGUAAGCUUUGGAAGAUGCAUUGAAGUUGUUGAGACAUUUUUAUUAGGGGGCAACUCCGACUAGCUGAAUUAAGAAUUUUUGUAAACUCGAACUUUGUUGCAUUUUUUUUAACUCAAUGAAAUAUGAAAUUUGAGAAUCAAGUAAAAAUUAGGGAAGAGGGGUUCUAUUUAUAGACCCCAAAUAGCUAGGGUUCAAAAGUCAAAAUUGGUUGGAAUGAUUUCAAAUUUGGAUUUUAAAUUGAAUUUUGAGUUCCAGAAUGGUACACAAAUUAUAGUCUUGGUUCAUGUGAUUUGAAUGUAAAAAUAAAUAAGGCAUAAAGUCAAAGAGAAAGAUGUUACCUUUCAAACAAAACUUGACAAAAUCCAUUCCUUUGCUUAAAUAGGCUAGUUAGCAAGGAAUAAGAACGAACGAAACCUGCAAGUUUCUUUAUCCAACAGGUAUAAACUUUUGGGUGAACUUGUUUGUCAAAGAAGACAAACUCCAUCAAUAUAUUACUCUCAAAAGAGCAAGAAACAUCUGGAGACGAAGAAAAAGGACUAAGAAAAGAGCGAACAACAUCAAACAUUAAUAUGAAUUGGAUCUUCUGUUUCUUGAGGAACUCAAAAUGUUGAGGAAAAUGUAUGCAAACUAUUAAAGAAGGUUGAGAACCUGUGGAGGAGUUUAAUGUAGUGCAUAAAUUUUAAAAACCUAUCAAAUUCAACUAAACUUGAAAUGUUGGUGUAGAUAGAGGAUCGUUUUUAAUGAAAUAACACAUGAAUUAGAGUGUGAGUACAGUUUUGAAAGCAUAAGUUAUUUUACUAUGUUGGAGGAUUCAUAGAAAGUUGUCUUUACCUAUAACAUGCUUUCUCAUAGAGGUGCAUUAAGAAAAAAAAUGAGGAGUUCAUAUAAAGCGUCAUCAAGCGUCUCAGCAGUGUAUAGAAUAUAAAUGUGAAACUUUAAAUGAUCAGCAUAUGCUAAAAAUGGCAAGGUACAAAAAACAAGAUAUAGAUGUGCUCCUUUUUAUUUACUCAGAAAGAUCCUUGGGAAAUUUUUUCCUCAAAUGUGAUUAGAAUUUUCAAUGAAAUGUUGUUACAUAUAUGAUUGAAACAAAAUAAAUAGAGUUUGAUGAAUAACUUUAGUCUGUGCGAACUUUAUUGGCAUAACUCCCACUAUGCAAUAUGAACACUUAAGGAAUAAGAAAAAUUUAAAUAGGAAUUAUCCUCUUUCCCCCCUUAAAACACACAACCUCGCAUGGUAUGGCGUUGUCCCUUGAGUGCUUAUCUGGGAAAGACAAAAAUGAAUAUGAUGAAAGUUGAAAUAGAGAAGCCAACUUAGCGUUUUAUCUUUAUUCCCCAAUAAUAAGAAACAAUGAUGUCCAUUAACUCUUCUACUAAUUUAGCAAAUGCAAAUUAACAUGUAUGCUUGAAAAGCAAAGUAAACAUUGAAAAACUAUGUACUUUCCUGUUGCGGAAGCUGAAAAGUAUAGAUAAAACCCGAUUACAAGAGUCUCUCCCAUCCAGAGAAUUUGCUUGGGAAAGGAUAUCACAACCUGGGUUUAUCUCUACAAGUGUAUCAAUAGUUCUAGAGUUGAUUCCAGGACAAUGUUGUACAUUAAAGACCUGAAGGUUCUGAACCAAAUCCAGCAAGAAGGGUAAGCUAUUUUCCGACACCAAAUGGCAACCAAACAAUGAGAGGAUCCGCAAAUGAAGGUUUAUAGCACUGUCCAAAGUUCUAAUCCCUGAAUCAGUGAUUCCACACUUAGAAACAUCGAGUACAUUAAACAUCCAACAAAAAUGUUCCAAAUUUCUAUUAAUGUUGCAUCAGUAAGAUGUCUGCAACUAUCUAUGAGCAGAGACUUCAGAGAUUCCCCAUUGAACUUAACUAUGGCUGAAACUGAUAUGUUCGUCAUAUUGAUAUAUUUGCUUAAAUUCACUUCCACAAAAUUAGCUGCACAAUUAUGAACAAGAGGGAUGAAACCCUCGUUAGUUAUUUUAAGAAGCCUACUAAACUCUAUAUGAGUCAGUUUGUUACACCGUCCACCUACUACAACAAUGGUAGCAUUGCCUACUCCAGUACAAUUGUGAAUAGUUAAAGAUACCAGUGAGUUGAAACAAGGAGCCACCACAGGCAAUGGAUAGUCUAUGUCUUCUACACUAAUGCAGCUCACCAAGGAAAGAGUCUCUAGUUUCUUAAAACAGUAAAAAAGUAUACGACAAAUUCCAUCUUGGGUAAUCAUGUGGCAUAACUAUAAUUGAAGUUUGUGAAGUGAGACUGCAGUUCCAUGACGUGAAAAAUUACCUAUAGAGAUGUCGUUGAUGCAUAGUGCUGGAGCCUUACAUCUGUUAAAACAUGACCGGAUGAAUAAAAGAUAUCUGCAGUUCCUUGAUCCCUAAUGAGUGGACAUUUUUUUAAUACAACAGGCUUCAGGUUCGGACAGUAUUGACCCACAACUUCUAGACUUAUUCCCAAUGUUUGAACAAGAAUGUAUUGUUAAAGAGAUUAUAUUGGGAUAGUUCUUGGCAAUGUUUGUCACAACCCAAGGGUACCCCCUAGAUGUAACACGGCGUAUAGAACCCCGAAGGACUCCAUACAAGCCACUUGGUCCUCAUAACAUAAAGUAGUAGAACAAUAAAGAGUAAAACAACAUUUGAGUCCAAAACAUAUUUAUAGAAAAACGGAAGUCUAACUCAUGUCUCAACAUAGCUAUCUAUUACAAUCGAAUGAAAGUGGGUCUAGCCCAUAUAUCAUGUUCAAAAAGGAAAUAAAAAAGUGAAACUACAAUAAGGAAAAUCCUGUCCUCGAACCAUGAGGACUCACCAACCUUGCAAAGAGAUCAAAGUCCAAGCUCUAGCCACUAGAAUAGAAACUCUGCCUGUCAGACCCUACAUUUGGGAGAAUGUAGGCAAGAGUAUGUGUUAGUACAAAAAUGCACCAAAUAUGAUAUCUAUGCAUAAAAACAUUUAAAACAUGCUAAAAAAAACAUUUCAUUUCAUGAUAUGCAAUUUACCAAGUUUAAACAUCAUAGUAGAAAUAGUUGGAAAACAUAGGUCAUAACAUCAUAGUCAAUGCAAGCUAGAUCAUCUUUAAGUCUUUGAACACAUAUGAGAUACUUCUUUAAGUAACCUUAGUUCAUUAGUCAUCUUGUUGUGGGAGAAUUAUCCUUAACUGACAUAGAGACCAUGUGAGCUAAACAUGAUCACUCAGUGUCUCCCACACCGAAAAGGUUGUUCUACUUGCCUAAGGUAGAGCCAUAAACUUCUAGCUUAAGUGGAUCCACUAGCUAAUCAACGUAUGGGGCACAUAGUUAUGGGAUAAGGAGAUUGCUACUAGAAACCCGAUCUCUACUCACGAGAGAGCUUCCAUCUUAUGAGGAUUCUUCUAGAAACUCGGCCUCUACUAACGGCAGAGCUUCCAUCUCAAUGUCAAUAUCAACUCGGUGCUAAGCAUAAUUCCCAUGGAAUAGUAUUUUCUUACUUAUUCUCAUUAUCAAUGGAAAGGCAUGUCGUUUUGCCUAUCCAACUAGUUCUUUAGGAUAGCUCUUAUUCAUUGAUUCAAUUAGGUGAGAAUAGUCUUUCAACCUAAGAAUCCUUUCUAUGUGAGAAAACCCUUCACAUCAUGGUUGUAAGUGUUUUAUGAGAAUAUCCUUUCAACAACACAACAAGAACAUUUGGUCAACAACAACCAGAUUUCCAUAAAUCACCCAAAUGGUAAUCAUUAGAGAGGGUGAUUUCUGGGGUCUCGAACCACAGACCGUGGUCUGAUCUACGGUCCAUAGGUCAUGUCAUGGAGUUGAGCCCUUAGACCUUACCGAGUUGGCCAAACACGGACCACACCUACGGUCUGUGGUCCACUCCACGGGCCGUGAGUGGCCGACAUGGUCUGUCACCUGCAACUUUCUGGAAAUCUAGUGUUUUGGUCUUUUUGAAUACGGGGUGUUACAAUAUCUCCCUUUUGGUUCCAUUCGUCCUUGAAGGAGAUUUAAACUUUUUCUAAAAGAGUAGGAGAGGAGCUAACAACCCAACCUACGAUGCAAUGCAUACAAACAAAGAGGAAUUAUCAACUCCAAGCUAGGACGUUCUCAAAAUAUCAAAAGAGGGGUUAAUUAACUCUAUCAACCCAUUAUGCAUGCAAUACACCUAAAUAAGGAGAAAACAUCAUCUCUAAACUCGUCAUACUCACAUGCAUAAAAAAGGAACUAGUAACUACAUCUAGCAACCCAAUAUGCAUGAAAUUCAAACUUUCUCAUGUCUAAGGAGGAACUUCCUUCUCCAAACUAAAAGCAUGCUCAACACAAUCUGAUGGAGCCUUUAUAACUUCCUUCUCCAAACUAAAAGCAUGCUAAACACAAUCUCAUGGAGCCUUUAUGCAAUUCAUUCUCAAAGAGCAUAACAAAUGCAUGUUCAACAAUCAUCUCAUGAAGUCUAUAGGAAACUCAUACUCAAUGCACAACAACAUGAGGAAAAUAAAUCAUACAAGUCAUUUCUUUCAAAACUUAAACCUUUUACAUGAACAUGCAUAAUCAUAAGGAAAUCAUGGAAACACAUAAUCACACAUGAAUCCCAACAUAUAAAAUAAUCUAAGAGGAACUCAUUAGCUCAAGCUCGAGUAGGAGUAGAAGGAAAGAGAUGAGGCUAUCGGGACUUCAUAUCGGCCUUGGCCUUCCAAGUAGUACCCUCAACUAAGUGAUUCCUCCAUAACACCUUCAUGAAGGCAACUUCCUUGUUUCUCAACUUUUUGACUUGCCGGUCUAAAAUCUCAUUCGAUAUAUCUUCAUAAGCAAGAUUCUCUUUAACCUCCAAACCCUCUAAGGAAACUAUGGAUGUUGGAUCCCCAACACAUUUCUUCAACAUAGAGACAUGGAAAACCGGAUGCACCGAUGCCAACUCAUUUGGCAAAUCUAGCUCAUAUGCAACUUUGCCAACACACCUCAAAAUCUCAUAUGGGCCUACAAAAUGGGGACUAAGCUUCUCUUUCUUCCCAAACCUCAUAACACCCUUCAAGGGGUUAUAUUUUCAAAAAGCCUCAAUCAUGAACCUCAAAUUCAAGAUCCCUCAUCCUAACAUCGGCAUAAGACUUUUUCCAACUUUGGGCCGUUCUCAACCUCUCUCUAAUAAGCCGAAUCUUCUCUAUGGACUCAUGCACCUAUUCCGGACCUAUGAGAGCACCUUCACCCACCUCAAACCAUCCUACAUGAGAUCUACACCUCCUACCAUAGAGAGCCUCAAAUGGAGCCAUAUCAAUACUCGAGUGAUAACUAUUAUUAUAAGCAAACUCAAUUAACGGCAAAUGGUCAUCCCAAUUACCUUUAAAAUCUAUGACACAAGCCCUCAACAUGUCUUCUAAAGUUGGAAUAGUAAGCUCCGCUUGCCCAUCGGUUUAGGGGUGAAAAGUUAUGAUGAGCUUAACUUUGGUACCAAGACCCUUUUGGAAUGACUUCCAAAAUUGUGAAGUAAAUUGGGUACCUCGAUCGAAAAUUAUGGACAAGGUACUCCAUGUAACCUUACCAUCUCUCUCAAAUAAAACUUAGCAUAAUCUUUCGCCGAAUAGGAAACCUUGACGGGAAUGAAAUGAGCAGAUUUAGUCAUCCGAUCCACUAUUACCCAAAUUGAGUCAUGUUGUCGCCGAGUACGUGGAAACCCUACAAUAAAAUCCAUAUUCACAUCUUCCCACUUCCGGGUAGGAAUACCAAUGUCUUGGGAUAAAGCUCCCGAUUUCUGAUGCUCAACCUUCACUUGUUGUCAAUUAGGACACUUAGCAACAAAUCCCGCAAUAUCCUUCUUCAUCCCAUUCCACCAAUAGAUCUCCCGCAAAUCACAGUACAUCUUGGUGGCUCCCGGGUGAAUAGAUUAUCGAGAACUAUGAGCUUCUGUCAAAAUAUGUUCUCUCAAGUCAUCAACAUUCGAAACACAUAACUGACCUUGGUAUCUAAGUACCCCAUCUCCCCUCGGGAGAAAACCUCAAUGGACUUCUUAAACAUUUCUUCUUUCAAUUCAACCGAAAUAGGAUCAAGACCUUGCUUAGCCUUCACAUCCAUCACAAAAGACGAUUCGAACCCAUUAUGAACCAUAACACCACCCUUGGUGGAAUCCACUAGUUGAACACCUAGUCGGGCCAACCUAUGAACAUCACGGACCAACUCUUUCUUUUCUUCAUCUACAUGAGCCACACUACCCAUUGACAAUCUACUAAGAGCAUCCGCUACCACAUUAGCUUUACUGAGGUGAUAAAGGACACUCAUGUCAUAAUCCUUCAAGAGUUCUAGCCACUUUGUUUAGCGAAGAUUCAAGUCCUUUUGAAUAACACAUAUUGCAAGAUCUUAUGAUCGGUGAAAACAUCAAGAUGAACUCCAUACAAAUAGUGCCUCAAUAUCUUUAGAGAAAAAACAACCGCCGCUAACUCAAGGUCAUGGGUAGGAUAAUUCUUCUCAUGGAUCUUAAGUUGCCUUGAAGCAUAGGCAAUCACCUUACCAUUUUGCAUAAGCACACAUCCCAACCCAACUCUAGAGACAUCACAAUACACCACAAAGUCAUCUGUACCUUUCUGUAAGGUUAACACCGGAGCGGACGUAAGUCUAUCUUUCAACUCUCAGAAACUUUUCUCACAAGUGUCCGACCAUAUUAAUUUAGCCUUUUUUUGAGUCAAAGCCGUCAAAGGAGAAGAAAUGGAGGAAAAUCCCUCAACAAACCUUCUAUAGUAACCGGCCAAACCCAAAAAUCUUCUAAUAUCGGAAGGAGUUAGAGGACUAAGACAACUCUUGACCGCAUCCGUCUUGAUAGGAUCCACCUCAAUACCUUUACUUGACAUAAUAUGCCCAAGAAAAUCUACGGACCUUAGCCAAAAUUUACAUUUUCUAAACUAUGCAAAAAGUUGUUGGUUCUUAAAAAUUUGCAACACAAUCCUCAAAUGAUCAAUAUGCUCUUCCUCACUUCUCGAAUAGAUCAAAAUAUCAUCGAUAAACACAAUUAUGAACAUAUCAAGGUAUUGUCUAAACACUUUAUUCAUCAAAUCCAUAAACGCCGCCGGAGCAUUAGUCAACCCAAAUGACAUCACCAAAAAUUCAUAAUGACCAUACCGAAUUUGGAAAGUCAUCUUCGGAAUGUCAUCAUCUUUCACCCUCAAUUGGCGAUAACCCGAUCGGAGAUCGAUCUUUGAGAAAUAACUAGCUCCCUGGAGUUUGGUCAAACAAGUCAUCAAUCUUUGGAAAAGGAUAUUUGUUCUUGACAAUCACCUUGUUCAACUAUCUAUAGUCGAUACACAUACGAAGGGAACCAUUUUUCUUCCUUACAAACAAAACCAGAGCACCCCAUGGAGAGAUACUCGGUCGGAUGAAGCCCUUAUCUAACAAAUCCUUUAAUUUAUCUUUCAACUCCUUAACUUCUGCCGGAGCCAUUCUAUAAGGAGGAAUAAAGAUAGGUUGCGUAUCUGGAAAUAGGUCAAUACUGAAGUUUAUUUUCCACUUGGGAGGAAUACCAGGCAAAUCAUCGAGGAAAACUUCUGAAAAGUCAUUAACUACGGGGACCAACUCAAGAGUAGGGGUUUCGGAAUCUACAUCCCUCACCCUAACUAGAUGAUAAAAACACCCUUUCGAAAUCAUCUUUCUAGCAUUUAUAAAAGACACAAAUUGCCCUCUAGGCAUGGAAUUCCCCCCCUUUCACUCAAGCAUAGGCUCAUUUGGAAAUUGAAAGUCUGACCACUCGAGUCGUACAAUCUAUGGAAGCAUAACAAGAAUGCAACCAAUCCAUCCCAAAAAUGACAUCAAAGUCUAGCAUGUCAAGUUCUACCAAGUAUGCAAGGGUAACUCUAUAGGAUAAGGAAAUGGGACACUUUCUAUAAACCCUCAUAGCCACCACAGAAUCACCACUAGGAGUAGAGACAGAAAAAGGUUCUAACAAUAUUUCGAGGAUCAUAUCAAACUUCAUGGCCACAUAAGGUAUUACAAAGGACAAAGUAGAACCGAGAUCAAGCAAGGCAUAUACAUCAUGUUGAAAUUUUUUUAACAUACCGGUCACUACAUCCGGAGAGCUCUCUUGGUCACCUCGGGCUUGAAGAACAUAGAAGUGGUUUUGCUUUGGAGCAUUGGAAUUUGAACUGAUAGGAGGAGCUUGCUUUCCUUCCCUUCAUUUUGCCGCAAUCAUGGGAAAUCUCUCAUUUUGUGUCCAGUAUUCCCGCAACUAAAGCAUCCAUCGGUGCCGGCUAGGCACUUACCAUCAUGUUUCUUCCCAUAUUUAGCACAUGUAGACCUAUCCAAAGAAGAGCCACCUCCAUUAAAUCCUUGAUGUUUAGGGUUAGACCCCCUAUCCUUGUUAAACUUAGGUGGAACAUUGGAGGAACCUUCACCGGCGAACCUUUGUCUAAACCUAGUCUGACCUUGUCCAUUAGACCUUGCAUGUGAGAAAUUACCAUCACUGGUCUUAGCCCUCCUUACCUCCUUAUUCUUUUCCUUGAGUUUUGAUUCCUCAAUUUGUUGGGUGUACACCAUAAGACGUGAGAUAUUCAUAUCAUGGAUGAGCAUUUUCGUAUGGCAUUCUUUUUCUACCAUGUCGGACUUGCCCGUCACAAACUUACUCAUCUUAUCCCUCGAAUCCGCCACAAAAGUUGGAGUGUACUUGGACAGUUGGGUGAACUUUAGAGCAUACUCCAUCACACUCAUACUUCUUUGAUGAAGGUUAAUGAACUCUUGCACCUUUGCUUCCCUCAACUCGAGGGGAAAGAACCUACGAAGAAACACCGAUUUAAACAAUUCCCAUUUUACGGUACCCUCUCUUACUGGUCUCUCUCCCUUCCAUUGAUCAUACCACAAUUGAGCAACAUCUUUCCAUUGGUAAGAGGUUGACUCUGCCUUCUCCACCGGAGUCACCCCCAUAAUAGAAAUUACCUUAUAAACCUCAUUGAUAAACCUUUGAGGAUCCUUCUCCACUUUGGAGCCAUAAAAUUUCUGAGGGUUCAUGCUUGAAAAAUCCCUCACUCUUGAAGCUGCCAAAUUCACAUUAGGAUUCACCGGAGCUACAACCUCUCUAUUGUCUUGAGUCUCCAAAGCUUGAGCCAACAUUUGAAAAACCGACCUCACAUUUGCAUUUGUCAUAUCCGCAGCCAAAGGAUCAAUCAGAGCUUGAUGAGCUUGAGGAUGAGCUCUUUGUUCUGCAUUCUCCCUCAUAUUCCUUCUAGUAUAAACCCUUUGAGAAGACGUAUCCUGAAGAACAUAAGGUAAGGAAUAGAAGAGAGACUUUAUAGAGUUAAACUCUAUGGCACAACUUAAGAGUAAUGAAAGAAGUGGAGUUUCAUAAUCUUCUUGUAGCCUCUUAUUCAUAAAUGUGGCACACUUCACACUCAUGAACAAGACUCUACUAGACGUGGCUUAUGAGACAUAGGACCAUUCUAAACCUUGUGCUCUGAUUACCAAGUUUGUCAUGACCCAGGGGUACCCCCUAAUUGUAACAUGGCGUAUAGAACCCCGAAGGACUCCAUAAAAGACACUUAGUCCUCAUAACAUAAAGUAGUAGAACAAUAAAGAGUAAAACAACAUUUAAGUCCAAAACAUCUUUACAGAAAAGCGAAAGUCUAACUCAUGUCUCAACAUAACCAUCUAUUACAAUUGAAUGAAAGUAGGCCUAGCCCAUACAUCAUGUUCAAAAAGGAAAUACGACAAUGAAACUACAAUAAGGAAAAUCCCAUCCUCGAACCAUGAGAACUCACCAAGCUCGGAAAGAGAUCAAAGUCCAAGCUCUAGCCACUAGAAUGGAAACCCUGCCUGUCGGACCCUACAUUUUGGAGAAUGUAGGCAAGAGUAUGUGUUAGUACAAAAAUGCACUAAGUAUGAUAGUUAUGCAUAAAAACAUUUAAAACAUGCUAAAAAGGACAUUUUAUUUCAUGAUAUGCAAUUACCAAGUUUAAACAUCAUAGUAGAAAUAGUUGGAAAACAUAGGUCAUAACAUCAUAGUCAAUGCAAGCUAAAUCAUCUUUAAGUCUUUGAACAUAUAUGAGAUACUUCUUUAAGUAACCUUAGUUCAUUAGUCAUCUUGUUGUGGGAGAAUUAGCCUUAACCGACAUAGAGACCAUGUGAGCUAAAACAUGAUCACCUGGUGUCUCCCACAUCGAAAAGGGUUGUUUUACUUGCCUAAGGUAGAACCAUGAACUUCUAGCUUAAGUGGAUCCACUAGCUAAUUAACCUAUGGGGGCACAUAGUUAUGGGAUAAGGAGAUUGCUAUUAGAAACCCGACCUCAACUCACUGGAGAGCUUCCAUCUCAUGAGACUUCUUCUAGAAACCCGGCUUCUACUAACGGGAGAGCUUCCAUCUCAAUGUCAAUAUCCACUCGGUGCUAAGAAUAAUUCCCAUUGAAUAGUAUUUUCUUACUUAUUCUCAUUAUCCAUGGAAAGACAUGUCAUUUUGCCAAUCCAACUAGUUCAUUAGGAUAACUUUUAUUCAUUGAUUCAAUUGGGUGAGAAUAGCCUUUCAACCUAAGAAUCCUUUCUAUGUGAGGAAACCUUUCACAUCAUGGUUGUAAGUGUUUUAUGAGAAUGUCCUUUCAACAACAACAACAAUAUUGGCACUUUACUCUCAAAGCACUAAAGCAUUUACAUAGGUUUCAUAAGAUCAUGCAUAAACUCAUACUUUGCCCUUUCAAUCACCAAAUCUAGAAUUCUAGCAUUAGAUAGGGAUUUUAUCAUAAAUUUAAGUAAUUCUAUUACUUCAUGCUUUAGAUCAUAAAACUCAUCUUUCAUAAUCAACAACCCAACUCUAUGAGAUUACAAUUUGGAAAACAUGGGGGGUUUGUAUGGGGUUCAUAGGGGAAACGUCAUAAAAGCAUUGUAAAUCAUCAAUUCAUGCAUAUUUAAACAUAAUUCAAUCAUUAAGAUCAAUAAUCAAAAGAAUUCAUGAUGUUUGAGGAAAACUCUAGCUAAUUGGGGAAUCCUACCAUUUGAAAUAGAGGAAUUUGAGGACUCCAUGGGUGGAAGGAACCCAUGGAUGAAAGAUACCAUACCUCAAGUCCAAUUGCCUAUCUUUAAUGGAGAAUUUGGAUCCUUAACUUCAAACCCUACUUGAAUCUUCUUCUUCUUCUUCUUCUUCAAGUUCUAAAGAGAGAAUAUUUAAAAGGAAUUGGUUUUCUUUUGGGAUUUAGGAAGAAUGAAUUAAAUGGGGUGAAUUUGGGGUAGAAAGACUUAUAUAGGGGUUCUAAAUAUAGGCAAAAUGACAUAGUAUAGGAAUUAAUUAAUUAGAAAAAGACCCAACUGACCCUGAAAUUAACUGCUAGGUGACCAUCCACGGACCCCAGUCGAUGGACCAUGGUCUGACCCACGGACCGUCUUGGUGGACCGUUGGUCAUCAUUAGAGAGGGUUAUUUAUGGGGUCUCAAACCACGCUCACCUGACCGCAGACCAUGGUCUGACCUACGGUCCGUAGGUUGUGUCGUGGCCUUGAGCCCUCAGACUUUACCAGGUAGGCCAACCACAGACCACACCUACGGUCCGUGGUCUACUCCACGGGACGUGGGUGGCCGGUGUGGUUUGGCACCUGUAACUUUCUGGAAAUCUGCUAUUUUGGUCUUUUUCAAUACGGGGUGUUACAAUGUCUAACAAAGACUUAUCACUAAUUGUUGGGCAUUGGAAAAGAUCAAGCUUCUCUAAUAGAUAACACCUAUGAGCAAUCUCAGAUAAGCCUUCAUCACCAACAAAAGAUAAAUUCGACAAGGAAAGGUCUCUCAGAGUAGGGCAACAUCAAGCAAUGGCCUUGAGACCAGCAUCAAUCACACCACAAAAAGGAUUGUUUCCUUAAAUAGAUAGAUUUUCUAAUCCUCCACGAUUUACAGUUCUAACGGCCAUAGCAAAAAAUCCGACAUAUGUUGCUUCCCUACCAAAAAGGGACCUGAAAAGAUAUCCCUCACCUUCUAUACCAUUAGAUUUUGUAAUCUCAUCCUUGCGAAUGCUACUUAAAGCAUAAGCCAACGCUUGGAAAUACAAGCACAAACACUUCUCUCUUGUCCACUAGAAAGACAUUUAAAUACGUCAACAAGGCAUUGAUCACGAAGGAUAUCAACGGAUGGAUGAUUCCUCUGCUCAAAGUUUUCAAAAGCAAGAGUGACACAAAUCCUCUUCCUAUUUCACCCACGUGAUUAAAGAAGAGAUGAUUGUCUUGAAAUUGGAUAUGAAGCUUGGAAAGAAGCACCAUUUUCUGAAAAUUUAAAGAUUAAAAAAACGUCAAACAAAUAUCAUAAUAGAGAAUAAAAAAAUUCUAGAGAACAUACACCACAACCAUACAUGAUAUACUCAAAACAAAUAGUCAAGAUAUACCCAUCAUGUUUUCUAAUCACCAUCCUAUAUAAUCUAUCAUUUUGUCACGACCCGAAGCUAUCCCCAGGACGUGGACACGGGACCUAGGAUCACGAGUGACCCCAAGCUAACCCUGUUGGCAUAUCAUAAGCAUACUAAAUAAACUGAGGGAAGAAAAUAUUGUGCGGAAGGUAAAUCAUAAGAUAUACUGAAAUGAUGGGAAAUACCCAUUCUACGUCUGAAUAUAUAUAAAAAUGAGAACAGUUUAAGCUACUGAAAUAAAACUCAAAUGCUAAAAUUGAAUCUAACUAUGUCUGAAAUAAGCCUCUAACUGACUAGAAGUACUGGGACAUGCCCCAGCUAAAUCUAGCAAAAACUGAAACAAAAGACUGAAAGUAGAAAGAUAAUCAUGUCAAUCGUCUUCGAAGAAUGAGGACUCACCACUGGUGUUGCUGAACUGGAGAUCGGGAACCGAUCUAUGCAUGAUCUGAAUGCUGAUGACCGAACCUACAUCACGAGAAGAUGUAGCACAGAGUAUGCAUCAGUACUUAAAAGGUACUAAGCAUGCAGGAUAGAGUAAAGCUGAACAAUAAACAUAACUGAACAAAGCAUAUAACUGAGCAAUGGUAUGAGAUAAGCAUGAUACUAUACUGAGAAUACUGAACAUGAACUAACUAAAUGCAAUGACCAAGUUGAUAAAAUGCUAAAACUGAAAUCUGAACUGUAGUUAAUAACAUGGUCAAUGCAAUAAAAUCUGACUGUGGGAGCUACUAAUGACCGACAUAAAACUACAUGAGCUAAAUGUGGAGUCAGAUGUAUACGCAUCAUCGAGAGGACCCAACAUACCCUUCCAGAGGUAUAGAGGCAUGACAAGUAAUUUGGGACAACUGCUUUUAUUAAUGUUAACAACUACUAUGAGUCAAUGGUCUCUCUACCUCCACGAGAUAGUAGUACCAUCUGGGUACGCUCUAUCCUUCUUAGACCUCACCGCACCGCCCCAACCCACACCUCCCCAUUACCAUUCCUACUAAUAAAGGAUAAAAAAAAAAAAAAUUAAAAUAAUAUUUUUUUCAUAUAAAUUAUUUACCGUUUCCAUUAACUUAAAGUACAAUAUAUAUUGGUUUUUAGCACUGUUAAUACUAUUAAUUUUUUUUCUUCAUGAGAUUAUUUUCUUUGUUAUUAUAUUUGUUAAUUUUAUAUAACAGUUGUUGUAUUUUUAUAUAUAAAAAAAUUGUUGUAUUUGUUAUUUUAAAAGAAGCAAAAAUUAUUAUACAAAUAAGAGAUGAUAACUAUAAAAGUAUAACAUCAAUUUUCACCUAAAAAAACUCUCCAGUCUCCAUCCGCUUUCCCAUUUAGAUCCAAAAAGUUCUCCCCCCAAAAAUAAAAAAUUUCAAAAGAUUAAAAAUCUUAAAACCCAAUUAACAAAAAAUUAGAUAUCCUUGCCCUCUUCCCAUAUCCUUCUUGUCCGCUCCUCCCUUCAUCUUUUUUUUAUCCCUGUUUUUUGUUCAAUUUUUUUAUUUCUAAUGUUUUCUUAAUUUUUCUUUUGUAGGUUUUACACAACAUUCUCCAAGUAGAUGAGAUAGGUUUUUACAAUAUGAGUUUUUUAUUUUGUUUCACUCAAUCAUAUGCUUUAAACUUUCUAUUAUGUAUAGGUUCAAGAAGAGAUUGAACCACAAAUAAUUUAUCAUACACAAUUAUAUUCUUUUUUUUUGCAAGAGAUUGUUGUCAUAGCUUGAAUCGAUGGCUAUUACAAUGGCUUAUAUAUUUUUAUUAAUGUAAAAGAAAUUUUUUGACUAGGCAUGAGUUUUAUACUUGACACUAAAAUUUGAGAUCUAUAUCUACAUGUUUUAAGAAGUUUUAAAAGUUACAGGUUUUCUUACUUCUUUGCUUAUUUUGUAUUUUUUUUUAUUUACUAAACAUAUUUGUAAAAAAUUUAUCGUAGACAUCCUUGAAAUUCUAAAUCAUUAUUAUGUUAGUGCUAAAUAUUUCCUAUUAUUGAUAGGCAUAUUUAUGAAAUAAAAGCAUAUAAACGACAAACUGGGACCGAUGUUUAUCAAGCUAAGGUGCAAUUGAAGAUUGUGGAAGGAGACAUAGGAAAGAGUAUGCCGCUUCGGACUUAAACAAGAUGAUAUCUUAAAAAUUGUAUAUUGUGACUAUUCUCAAAAUUGUAAAAUGCAAUUAUGUGUAACUUGAAAAUUAUUUUGGAAUAUGAGAAAUGUAUUCAUGGUUACAUUAUGUAACUUUUUUUUACUAACAAAGCGUGUGGAAAAUCCUUUCGUUUGUUGUAAUAAAAUUGUUGAAUUUAUUUUUUAGCUACAUUAUAAGUUCUUGUGAUUAAUAAUGCUUAUGGUAGUAUUCUUCAAUUUGUAGCAAUGAUUUUUUGUAGUUAUGACUAAAUCUAUAUGUAAUUAUUAAAAAUAGGGCAAUACAUUUUCACUUUUCAUAGAAAAAUUAAAAUUAUUAGCUACAAUUUAUGAAUGUCAUGGCAAAAAGUUUGAAUUCUUAGCUUUGUGAAAAAAUAUUUGUGGCAAAUACUUUAAUUUUAUAGAUAUAAUUUUUUAAAUUUGUAGCUAAAUACAAGUAUCAUUGCCAUAAGAUUAAAAAUAUAAAAUAGCCACAAAUUUUAAAUUUUCAUAGAAAAUAAAUCAAGUCAUUUGCCACAAUAGAACAUAUUGUGUCUACAAUAUAAAAAUUACUAUAGUUUAAAUUUGUUGUGGCAAAAGGGUAAGAAUAUUUGCUACAAGUAUAUAUUUCAUAGCAAGAAUAUUUUACUAUUAUAGAUACAACACAAUUUUUUUAGUAGCUAUAAGUAUUAGUCUUUAACCACGAACCAUGUAAAGUCUGUAGCUGACUUUUAGCCACCCUACAUCUUGCCACGAAUGCUACGAAAAAAUAUUUUAUGGCUAAAGCAUUUAGCUACGGAAAAUUUCAUAUUUAGCUAUAAUGUGUUUAGUAGCUUAAGUGCAUUUUCUUGUAGUGCACAGAGUUGAAGAGUUCUAGGGAGUCUAUGAAGCCGAGUCUAUAGAGUCCUAGUUAUCGGUGUGAAGCGCGACACAUCCAUGAUUAGGAGGUUGCAACAUUUAGGGACUAUCUCACUUCUUUCAUACUCAUUUCUUGCAUUAGAGUUUUAUCUAUAAAAAGUUUCUUUCCAAUUCAUGCUUGCACGUGUCUUUUAGAUCAUGCCUCCAUGAAGAGCUAUUAGAGGUCGUUCCGCUAGGAGGAAUGUUGAGCCACAAGAACAAGGGUUAACCAAUGCACCAGAUGUGCAACCCCAAAGAGGGGUCACUAAUGAUGUGACCAAUCAAGUUGGACAUGAAGAGCAUGAUGAGUAUAUUCAUUGCUGGGUUGUCUCACCUAUCAAGCAAGGAAGGCAAGGUAGCUAUGUUGAUAGGGGAUAUGGACAUAGAAAGGCUAAUGAUCCAUAUGCAACAAGUUGAGGAGGACAAACUGAGGAAUAGAGAAAAGUUUAAGAAUAAGAAGGCUAAGACAUCAGGGAAUGAGUCUGGGCAGCAAAAGAGUAAUGUGAACUGGUCUUCCUUCCAACAGAGACAAAAGGGACCUGCUCCAUCAUCUGCUAGUGCACCUGCACAAAAGAACAAAAGUGAGUACAAUAGUCAAAAUUCAAAGCAUUUCAGAGCUAGACCUGCCCAAUCUCAGGGUAGUGUGGCACAAGGAGGUAACUGGACCCCUACAUGUGCUAAGUGUGUUAGAACCCACCCGGGUAAAUGUCGCGAUGGCUCCACAUGUUGUUUCAAGUGUGGACAAGAAAGCCACUUCAUGAAAGAGUGUCCUAAGAAUCGGCAAGGUAAUGGGAAUCAGGGCAAUAGAGACCAAUUUUCAUCAGUUGCUCUGCAAGAUAGAGCUGCAUAUAGAGGAGCUACUUCAGGGGCAAACGGAGGAGGAAACCGUCUAUAUGCGAUCACUAGUCAUCAAGAGCAAGAGAACUCUCCAGAUGUUGUCACUGGUAUGAUCAAAGUCUUUACUCUUAAUGUGUAUGCCUUGCUAGAUCCAUGAGCGAGUUUAUCUUUUGUAACUCCUUAUGUUGCGAUGAAUUUUGAUGACAUUCCUGAGAAACUUAGUGAGUCGUUUAGUGUUUCUACACCUGUUGGUGAGUCUAUUCUAGCAGAAGAGUCUAUCGUGAUUGUACUAUUUUCGUCAAUCACAAGAGUACCAUGGCUGAUUCAAUUGAGUUAGACAUGGUAGAUUUUGAUGUCAUUCUGGGUAUGGACUGGCUUCAUGCCUGUUAUGCGUCAAUAGAUUGUCAAACUCGAGUAGUCAAGUUCUAGUUUCCUAAUAAGCCAGUCUUAGAGUGGAAAAGUAGUUCAGCAGUGCCCAAGGGCCAUUUUAUUUCAUACCUUAAGUCAAGAAGGUUAGUUUCCUAGGGGUGUGUCUAUCACUUAGUACGAGUUAAUGACUCUAGUGUUGAGAUACCUCCUACUCAGUCAGUUGUAGUAGAAAAAGAGUUUCCAGAAGUCUUUCUUGAUGAUCUUCCUAGAGUCCCACCUGAGAGAGAAAUAGACUUCGGUAUAGAUAUUCUUACAGAUACUCAUCCUAUAUCUAUUCCUCCAUAUAGAAUGGCACCAACAGAGUUGAAAGAGCUUAAAAAAUAGUUGAAAAAUCUCCUUGAUAAGGGCUUUACUCGACUAAGUGUCUCACCUUAUUUGUGAGGAACAAAGAUGGUUCCCUUAGGAUGUGUAUUGAUUACAACCAGUUGAACAAGGUUACCAUCAAGAACAAGUAUCCUCUUCCAAGAAAGAUGAUCUUUUCGAUCAGCUUCAGGGUGCUACUUGUUUCUCUAAGAUAGAACUCAGAUCUAGCUACCAUCAGUUGAGAGUAAGGGAAUAUGAUAUCCCGAAGAUAGCAUUCAGAACCCGUUAUGGUCAUUAUGAGUUCUUAGUUAUGUCCUUUGGUUUGACCAAUGCGCCUGCAACAUUCAUGGACCUUAUGAAUAGAGUAUUCAAGCCUUAUUUAGAUAUGUUUGUUAUCCUCUUCAUUAAUUACAUACUAAUCUAUUCGAGGAAUGAAGAAGAUCAUGCUAGUCAUCUUAGAAUAGUGACUUCAAAACUCUAAAUGAUAGAGAGUUGUAUGCCAAGUUCUCUAAGUGUGAGUUUUAGCUUGAGUCUGUGGCAUUUUUAGGCCACAUUGUGUCUGGAAAGGGAUUAAAGUUGAUACUCAAAAAAUAGAGGCAGUAUAGAAUUGGCCUAGACCCACAUCUCCAACUGACAUUAGGAGUUUCUUGGGUUUGGAUGGCUAUUAUAGAAGGUUCAAGAGGCGUUCUCAUCUAUUUCAUCCCUUUUGACCAAGUUAACUCAGAAGACAUUGAAAUUUCAAUGGUCUGAAGCUUGUGAGAAAAACUUUCAGGAAUUGAAAAAGCGGCUGACUACUGCCCCAGUAUUGACCUUGCCAGAAGGUACUCAACGUUUUGUUAUGUAUUGUGAUGCGUCUAGAGUUGGUUUGGGUUGUGUGUUGAUGCAUAAUGGCAAUGUUAUAGCUUAUGCCUCCAGACAGUUGAACGUUCAUGAGAAGAAUUACCCAACCCAUGACUUAGAGUUGGCUAUUUUAGUAUUUGCUUUGAAGAUAUGGAGUCAUUAUUUGUAUGGUGUUCAUGUAGAUGUAUUCACUGAUCACAAGAGUCGUCAGUAUGUAUUUACUCAGAAAGAGCUUAAUCUCAGACAGAGGAGGUGGUUAGAAUUACUCAAAGAUUAUGAUAUGAGUAUUCUCUAUCACCUAGGUAAUGCUAAUGUUGUUGUUGAUGCCUUGAGCAGGAUGUCUAUGGGUAGUACCACCUAUGUUGAGGAAGACAAGAGAGAGUUAGCAAAAUAUGUGCACAUACUUGCACGCUUAGGAGUUCGACUAAUGGAUUCCACAAAAAGAGGAGUAGUGGUUAUGAAUGGGGUUGAAUCUUCAUUAGUGUCAGUAGUGAAAGAAAAGCAAGACCAAGAUCCCAUUUUGCUUGAAUUGAAGGCAAAUGUUCAUAAGAAAAAAGUAAUGGCUUUUGAACAUGGGGGAGAUGUUGUACUGAGGUAUCUAGGUAGGUUGUGUGUACCAAGGGUGGAUGAACUCCAAGAGAGGAUCAUGGAAAAAGCACAUAGCUCCAGAUAUUCCAUUCAUCCAGGUUUCACAAAGUUGUAUCGCGAUUUGAAAGAAGUGCAUUGGUGGAGCAGUAUGAAGAAGGGCAUUGCAGAAUUUGUUGCCAAGUGUCCAAAUUGCCAUAAAGUACAGGUAGAGCAUCAAAGGCCUGGUGGUUUGGCUCAAAAUAUAGAGAUUCCAGAAUGGAAGUGGGAGAUGAUCAAUAUGGACUUCAUCACAGGUUUGCCAAGGUCUCACAGACAUCAUGAUUCUAUUUGGGUGAUUGUCGAUAGAAUGACAAAAUUAGCUCACUUUUUUCCGGUAAAGACUACCCAAUCAGCAGAAGAUUAUGCUAAGCUAUAUAUUCAAGAGGUGGUUAGACUUCAUGGGUUUCCGGUCUCCAUAAUUUCAGACAGAGGUGCGCAAUUUACUACACAGGUUUGGAAGUCAUUCUAAAAAGACUUGGGUUCAAAGGUGAAUUUAAGUACUGCCUUUCAUCCUCAGACAGAUGGGCAAGCAGAGCGCACUAUUCAAACCUUAAAGGACAUGUUGAGGGCUUGUGUGAUUGACUUCAAAGGUAAUUGGGAUGAUCACCUACCUCUCAUUGAGUUCGCUUACAAUAAUAGUUACCACUCUAGCAUCCAAAUAGUUCCUUAUGAAGCUUUUUAUGGGAGAAGAUGCAGAUUUCCUAUUGGAUGGUUUGAAGUUGGUGAAGCAGGGUUGAUAGGACCAGACUUAGUUCAUUAAGUUAUGGAGAAGGUGAAGGCUAUUCAAGAGAGAUUGAAAACAAUGUUAGGAGGAGGGAGUCAGAGUUUGAAGUAGAUGAUUAGGUAUACUUGAAAGUUUCACCCGUGAAGGGUGUUAUGAGAUUUGGUAAGAAGGGGAAGCUUAGUCCCUGGUAUAUUGGCCCUUACACAAUAUCCAAAAGGAUUGGUAAUGUAACUUAUGAGUUAGAGCUACCGCAAGAGUUGGCAGCGGUUCAUACGGUAUUUAACAUUUCCAUGUUGAAGAAGUGCAUGAGAGAUCCUUCACUUAUCAUACCAACUUAAGAUAUUGGCAUCAAGGAUAUCUUAUCUUAUGAGGAUAUUCCGGUUUAGAUUCUAGAUCCCCAAGUUCGCAAGUUGAGAACAAAAGAGGUAGCAUCAGUCAAAGUUCUUUGGAGGAACCAAUUUGUUGAGAGAGAUACUUGGGAAGAUGAGGAAGAUAUGAAGGAGAGAUACCCACAUCUCUUUGAAACUGGAGAAAUUCGAGACCAAGGCACUAAUUCUCUUCUUAGUACUCUUUAAUUUAUGAGUAGGCAUGUUGUAUUGCAUUGUUUGUUGGGUGUUUGAUCUGAAUGUUAGAUGCUACACCCUUAGCCAAGUAAGAGUAAUCUCAUUCGAGGACGAAUGUUCCCAAGGGGGAGAUAUGGUAACAUCUCGCUAAUUGAAGGAACAAGAAAGAAGUUAAAAUUUGGAAAUAGUCAAUUUUGGAAAGAAUAUAAAAAUCUGGAAAAUUUGUUAUGUUAAGUUGAGUUUUUGGUCAACUUCAAACGAACAUAACUCCUAGAUCAGGAUGAGUUAGGUGUGUUUCUAGAUAUCGUAGGAAAUAUCUUGGAAUAAUCUUUCCAAUGCCGCCAAGUUUACGCGAUUCCGAGUUUGUAUGAGUGAGAUAUUCCCACUUGAAGUUGGGCUGUUCAAAUAAGGAUAGUCUAAACCGGAUUUUGGAAGGGUAUUUUGGUCUUUACCAUACCCAAUUUAUUUAAUUCGUUUUUGGUAAUAAAUUAGGGGUCUAAACUGAACUUGGUCAGUUUACGCUUUUGAAAAUUAAGUUAGAGUUUUGAGAGAAGAGAAAAGAAUAGGAGAAAAGAGGAGAAGAAGCAAGAUUCGUGAAGAUUGUUCAAGUUUGAUUGUGGAUUUCGUCAAGGAUUUGAUCCUACAAGGUAUGUGAGUCUUUCAUAGCGUUGGGAUCGUUCACCCAUGUUCCAAUCAUGUUUAUUUCAGCGAAAUUCGUUCUAGAAAGUUAAAGUUGAUGAAUCUUGAAUGGUGUUCUUGAAAUUGGCCUUCGUUCUUGAGUUAGGUUGAGAUUGAGGAGUUCCUUGAGGUUAUAAUGUUGUUUACUUAAUUUGUUUGAUUUAGAUUCUUGUGUAUACAUACUAGGUAUCUGAAUCUAAAGAGAAUUUGGAAAAAAAGAAGCGAGUUUAGGCGAAUUUGGGCUGGAAAAAUGAAGAAGGAAAAAGUCGGGCAAAUCUGGUGCCCUAGGCCGCGUCGCGAACCAGCCCCCCUAGUUUCGCAAAAUUAUUCUUCCUUGCAUCGCGGAGCGGUCACGGACCAUUCUGCCUCUAAAAUUAUUUUCGCGACCAAAAAUUUAAAUACAUCUCUGCGUCGCAGACUAGUUUUGAGACAGUGAUUUCUUGAUCUUUUCUCAUGUUUAACUAUCUAAAAACACUCCUAAACAUCAUGAGAUCGUUCCUAUCACAAAUCACAAUCCUUGAAUCCAUAAUUCAAUUCAAGGAAAGCUAAGAGUAAAGUUAAGAGAAAUUCAUAGAGUCUUCCAAAAGUCUUUUACAAAUGUUUUAACUUUGUUUUAAGACUUGAGCAUUGAGUUGAGUAAAGAGUAAAGUUUGAAGUUCAUUUUCUUCAAAAGAGUAUAUCGGGACUAUGUAUUCCCAAAGAGUAAAAUGUUUUCACAUUUGAAGAAGAAAGGAAACCUUGAUUUCCAAAAGAGCCUUUGAGCUAGUUUUCAGUUAAGGGUAAAUGUUUUCACAUUUGAGCAAGAAAGGGAACAUCGAUUCCAAGAGAGCUUUUAAGCUAAGUUUUGAGUAAUUAUCUCAAACCAAAGAAAGAAGUUAUGUGUUUUUUAAAACAUAUGAGUUGAGUAUUUUUGGGAGUAGUAUUGAGCACCGAUAUGGGGACGAGUUUGAGUUUAGAUAACUCACGUCUCCAUAAACCAUGUAGCCAUCAUAGGUUGAAAGGAUCAUACUUUUUAGAUAAUUCCUUAAGUGCUUUUUAUCAUAGACUAGUGGAUCCACUUAGUUAAGGUGUUCUAUAUGACGGCAAAGUAUAGGACUGUUCUGGGAGUGUGGGCAAGACGAUGUAUCACCACUUAGGCUCAUAGUGGUGGUUGUUGGUUAGAGAAACUCCCACAGAAAAUAUAUUACUUUAUGAUAUGAGUAAAGUUGAGUUUGUUAUUGCAUUUUAUUUAACGAACCAAGUUAUUUUCUACUGUUUAAAGGCUUUCUAUAUAUUGCAUGUGUUUUAUUGCUUUAUAUUGAGUUAAGUUGUUCAUGAGUUGAGUAAAGUCAAGGUAAGUGUUUCUUUCAGAUUAUUUUCAAGCUUAUGUUAUGUUUAGUAUUCCCCUCGCAUACUCGUACAUUCAAUGUACUGAUGCCAUUUGGCCUGCAUCAUUUUAUGAGGCAGACACAGGUAACCAAGAUCAGCAUCCAAUGCAUCGUUGAUCCAGUUGAGCACUCAGAGUCUGGUGGUGAGCCUCCUUGCUUUCCAGAGGAUCCUUUUUAUUGCUUUCAGUAUUUUAGUUCAUUGGGAUUUUGUGGGUCUUGUCCUGACAUCCAUCUCAGUUUUAGAGGCUUCAUAGAUAGACAGUCAGUUAGUUCAUUUGUCUUACCUUGUUAUUGGCUUAUGUUCAUAUUUGAGUUGCCACUUUGGCUAAGUUAAAUGUUUAUUUAUAAAAAAAUAUGAGUUUAGUUUGAGACAGUUGAGUUAUCUUGCAUUUGAGUUCUUUUCUUAAUGCUUAAAGUCUUCCGCUGAGUAAGUAAGUCAGGCUAAGGGAUCGCUUGGGGCCAGCAAUGGUUCUUGAGUGCCAUCCCGCCCAGGGUGUAGUCUCGGGGCAUGACACUUCUGAUAAGAUCUGUUCCCUUAGGUCAUCAACAUUCGGAACACACAAACGACCUUGGUACCUUAGGACACCAUCUCCCCAUUGGGAAAAAGCCUCAAUGGAAUUUUUAAGUUCCGCUUCUUUCAAUUCUACCAAAGUCGGAUCAUGAUAUUGCUUUGCCUUAACAUUGGCUACAAAAGAUGAUACAGACCCAUUAUGGACCAUAAUACCACCCUUGGUGGAAUCCACUAGUCUAACUCCCAAUCGGGCCAACCUAUGAACAUCUUGAACCAACUCUUUUCUCUCAUCAUCAAUAUGUGCAACACUACCCAUGGAUAACCGACUAAGGGCAUCCGCUACCACAUUUGCUUUACCGAGGUGAUAGAGAACACUUACAUCAUAAUCUUUCAAUAAUUCAAGCCACUUCCUUUGGCGAAGAUUUAGAUCUUUUUGGGUAAACAUAUAUUGCAAACUUUUGUGGUCGGUGAAAACAUCCACAUGCACACCAUACAAAUAAUGCCUCCAAAUCUUUAAGUCAAAUACCACCUCCGUUAAUUCAAGGUCGUGGGUAGGAUAGUUCUUCUCAUGAACCUUUAGUUGCCUUUAAGCAUAGGCAAUCGCCUUACCAUUUUGCAUAAGAACACAUCCCAAUCCAACUCUAAAGGCGUCACAAUAUACUACAAAGCCAUUCGUACCUUCCGGUAAGGUCAACACCGGAGCGGAAGUAAGUCUAUCUUUCAACUCUUGGAAAUUUUUAUCACUAGUUUUGGACCAUAUAAACUUGGCAUUCUUUUGAGUCAAAGCCGUCAAUGGAGAAGUAAUGAAGGAAAACCCCUCAACAAAUCUUCUAUAGUAACCAGUCAAACCCAAGAAACUUCUAAUGUAUGUCGGUGAUAGAGGUCUAGGGCAACUCUUGACUGCAUCCAUCUUAAUAGGAUCUACCUUAAUACCCUUACUUGAAAUGUUGUGGCCUAGGAAAGCCACAGACCUUAGCCAAAACUCACAUUUGCUAAACUUAGCAAAAAGUUGUCUUUCCUUAAGGAUUUGCAAUAGAAACCUCAAAUGAUCAAUAUGGUCAUUCUCACUUCUCGAAUAGAUUAAAAUAUCAUCUAUGAACAGAAUUACAAACAUAUCCGGGUAUUGUCUAAACACCUUAUUCAUCAAAUCCAUAAACGUCGCCGGGGUAUUAGUCAAAUGUAUAAAAUAUAUAAUAUGAAAUAUCAUUAUUAUUUAUUAAAUAUUAAAUAAUUACAUAUUAUUGCAUUAUGAUGGGACGAUGCACUCUUAUUACGUUGUUGAAUAUUUUGUAAUACAUAGAGGUCUUAAAUUGAACAGACACAUCUGUUCAUGAAAAAAACAUGAUUGUUAUGAAAAGUCAUUUGUUCAUGAAAGAACAUGACUCAUAUGAAAAGUCGUUUGAUCAUGAAAGAACAUGAAUCUUAUUAAAAGUCAUCUCUUAACUUCUAUAAAUAUAAAUAUUUUCUAGAAAUAGUCUAAGAAAAAUCUGUAUGUAUAAACAUAUGGCUUUGUUGUAUUCUGAAGGGAUUUGUUUGUAUUUUCCCAAUAUGUAUACAUGCAAUAUCUCUUUAAAGAAAGUGAUUACACGCCUCAAAGUCUUCUUCUUCAAUUUAUAUUUCCUAUUAUUUUUUUCUAACAAUUACGCUAUUGCUCCAAGACAUCAAUAUUUGCUAAACACCUCAAAAAUUUCUAUGUUAAGAUCCUUAUAAUUCUUCGUAGGUGUAUUGAUUUAUACUGGUGAUUUUGUCACGAUCUAAAAAUUGGAUGUGAUGACACUUGUCUAUCCUUACUAAGACAAAUUAGCCUCAACCUAGAAGAAUCGAAAAAAAUGUAGAAAAAUAAAGCAAGAACAAGAUAAAAACAGAAAACUUAUUCAUUUUAUUAACACCCCGAAACCUGGUUGUUACGUGUACAAACCACUAAUACAUAAAUUGCAGAAUUAAGAAAUAAGUACAAGUCUCAAGUAUUUAUUUCUCAAUUAGAACAAAGCAUAAAAACAAGAAAUGAAGGGGUCCGCCAGGAUGAAAAGAAACUACCUCUCAACAGGUCCUUGACAAGCCUCGGAAAUGGGAGAGAAAGAGCAAUCAUGCUAUACUGGGCUCGGAACUUGAACUAGUAUAGAAGCAAGGAGUGAGUACCAACAACACGGUACCCAACAAGAAAUCUAAUAAAAAACAAGCUAGAAAUCGAGUACUCAUUUCAUCCCAACCGAACCUCCUCAAACUACAAUAUGCAUAGAAAUCAGCCCAACCUAACAGUUCUACAAUACACGACUCACAAGGCUCAAUAAUAACAGUUCAACAGUCACAAUUCAACAAUCAACAGGUAUCAAGUAUAUUAAUCUCAAUAUCAACUAGAUCGAUCAUAAGUAACAAGUGCAUCAAUCACAAUUAACAAAUAUGUCAAACAUAAGCAUCAAAUCAUAAUAAUCAAACUCUUGCCGAAAUUAUUUCCCUUCAAAAAAAUAUCAUUAAUCAGAACCAUUUUCCAUCGAAUUUAUAACAUAUCAAUAGUUGAAACCACUUUUCAUCGCCUUUAUAUCAUAUCAUUAGCUGGAACCAUUUCCCGUUGGCGUUGUAUCACUAGUCAGAAACAUUUCUCAUAGGUUUUGUACCACUAGCCAGAACAAUUUCUCUUCAGCUUUGUAUCACUAGCCAGAACCAUUUUUUAUUUAUUUAUAUCAUAUCACUAGCCGAAACUAUUUUCCAUCAGCUCUAUAUCAUGUGACUAGUCGAAAUCAUAUUUCAUCGACUUUAUAUUGUAAGAGUUAGUGUUUCAAUUAAUUUAGAAAUAAAUUCAUCCGUUAAAAGUUUUGAAAUAACAAAAUACAUGAAUAUGAGUUGUAACAUUCAUUUUUAUUUUAAUUAUACGUUAUAGAUGUUUUGCAAGACACUUUUAAAAUUCUACGUUAUGGAUUGUUUGAAAGAUACGUUUUAUUUUUAAUUCAUGAACCUAUAAUAAAUACUAUUUAAUUAAAAGUUUUUUUCUUGCAAAACUUUUGUCCUAUAAAUUAAGUUCUUUUGGUUGAAAAUAUAAGCACUCAAAAAAACCUACUUUCCCUUGAAAAACACUUGUGGGACAUUAAUCAAAAGGUGAAAUCACCAAUUCAAGAAUAGAAGAGCAACAUUCCUGAAUGCUACUUGUUUUGUGGCUUAGUUGAAUCCCGAAAAUAGAGUUGUUAUUUAUUCUUCCGAUUGCUCGCGGGAGAGACUCCAACUCUAUUCCAGAAAUGUGUUAACGUGCCUCUAAGCCAAGCAAGUUUUGUUUUGAAUUCCUUAUAUUUUUAUCAUUCUUGUUCAGUUGUUCUAACAAUUUGAAGAUAGUUGUCUCUAUGACAUCCACAUCAAUAACAAACAGUGUUCCAAAUUUUCCCAAUCCUAAUUUUGAAAUAUUUGAUGGAAAAGACUUUCCUAGAUGGCGUGGAAAGAUGGAAUUCUUUUUAAGACGAUUAAAGUUGGCAUAUGUUCUUGAGAAACCUUGUCCUGACGCUCCUGGUUCUGAGGUAGCAACAAACGAGGCUACUAUGAUUAAAGAACAAAUUGCCAAAUGGCAAGAUGAUGAUUACUUAUGCAAGAAUUAUAUUCUUGGAGAAAUGUCCAAUACAUAUUAUGAUCAAUAUUAUAUUAAGUGCAAACUUGCUAAGGAGAUUUGGGAUACUCUUAAAGCUAUCCAUUUAGCAGAAGAGGCGAGUUCAAAGAAAUUUCUUGUUUCAAAUUAUAUGGAGUUCAAAAUGGUUGAUGACAAGUGAAUCACUGAACAAGUACAAAAAUUUCAACUUAUAGCUAAUAAAAUUGCUAUAUCUGGAAUUGCUCUUGAUGAAAACUUUGAUGUUGGUGUUAUUGGAUCAAAACUUCCUCCAUCUUGGAAGGAGUACAGAAGCAAACUCUUGCAAAAGAAGGAAGAUUUGACUCUUGAACAAUUAUUGCAGCACUUGCAAAUUGAACAAGAGACACGAUAUCAUGACAAUAACAUCUUGAAGGAGCCCAUCAUGAAAGCCCAUGUUGUUGAAGAAAAAUCGAUCAAGAAGGAACCUGCCAAUAAUAAAUUUUUGAAGGCAAAGAAGAGUAAAAUUUUUAAGCGUUCUAAUUCCAAUUCUAAGUCGAAUGAAUGUUUUCAUUGUCAUAAAAUUGGUCACUAUGCACGUGAUUGUAAAAUUCUUAAAGCUGAAAAGAAGAAAGAAAAAGGCAAAUAACAAUACAAAAAAUGAACUAGUGGCAAUGGUCACAGAAGCAUAUGUAGCGGGAGAUCAAGUGGAAUGGUGGAUAGACACUGGUGCAACUCGUCCUAUAUAAGGUAAUCAAAAUUCUUUCACGACCUAUGAAUUAGUGGGGGGCGAUAAAGUUUUGGAUAUGGGAAACUCAUCCUCUGCUAAGGUUGUGGGAAAAGGAACUGUUGAACUAAAAUUCACUUCCAAAAAGAUGGUCACAUUGUUAGACGUAUUGCAUGUUCCUGAUAUUCUAAAGAACUUGGUGUCAAGUACGCUUCUUUCGAAGCAUGGUUUUAAAAUGAUUUUUGAGGCAGAUAAAUUUAUUUUGUCUAAACUAGGCAUGUUUGUUGGAAAAGGUUAUACUACAAAUGGCAUGUUCAAACUCAAUAUAUAUUGAAAAUGAAUUUAUUUUUUUCUUAUGUUGUGGAGUCUUUAGAAUUAUGGCAUGAACGUCUUGGUCACGUGAAUUUUAGAUCCAUUCAACUUAUGGUUAAAAAUGGAUUAAGUAAAGACUGUGGAAAGGAUCAUGUUGCUAAGUGUAUUACUUGUAGUAAAUGUAAAAUAACAAAGAAACCUUUUAAGUCUAUUGAAAGGAUAUCCACACUUUUGGAGUUAAUCCACACUGAUAUUUGUGAGAUGGAUUGUUUAUCACGUCAUGGAAAGAGAUAUUUUAUCGCUUUCACUGACGAUUACUCAAGGUAUAUAUAUGUCUUUCCAUUAAAAACAAAAGAUGAGGCAUUUGAGACUUUUAAAACAUAUAAAGCAGAAGUUGAAAAUAAAUUGAGUUUGAAGAUUAAAUCAAUUAGAUAUGACAGAGGUGGAGAGUUUUUAAAAUCAGAUUUUAUUGAUUUUUGUGAAAAAGAAAGCAUUGAGAAAUAAUUGACUAUGUCUUAUACACCACAACAAAAUGGUGUAGCAGAAAGAAAAAUAGAUCUUUCAUUUGAAAUGGUUAACUCUAUGCUUUAUGGAUCUGGUAUCACUAAAAAUUUGUGGACAGAAGCCUUAUUUUCUGCAUGUCAUAUUUUGAAUCGAAUUCCUUCCAAGAAACAUGAUUCAUCUCCAUAUGAACUUUGGAAGAAUCGAAAGCCAAAUAUAAAUUAUUUUAAAGUAUGUGGUUGUUUGGCUCAUGUUAGAUUACCACAUCAACAUUUGACUAAGAUUGGCUAUAGAGGAGUAGAUUGUGUAUUUAUUGGUUAUUCACAAACCUGUAAGGCUUAUAGAUUUUUGAAUCUUGAGAUCCCAAGCCCUCACACAAUUAUUGAAUCGUUGCAUGCUAACUUUUUUGAGCAUAUAUUACCUAAGAAAAACGAAUCUUUGGAACAAGAUACAAGUUCUUCUAUAUCUCCUCUUAAAAGGAAAAUAGUAAAGAAACGAGAGCAAAGAUGGGAAAAUUGUAUAUAUCUUAUUAUUGACCAUAUGGCUACUAUAUAAAGAAUCUAUACAAGACCUAGAAAAGAUAAAGACUAUUAAAAAGAUUCAUAAGGAUCAGGAAGUACGAAAAUAGAAUUCUACAAAGGUAAGGAGUCUCAUCCGUUAUUACUACCCCGCAAGUUGGUGGUGUCAACAACACCCAACUUGGAGAAAUGCUUGACACAAUAAGCUCUUGGAAGUGGUUUGGUAAGUAUAUCUUCCACUUGAUCAGCCGAGUGAAGGUGUUGAACUGCGAUAUGCUUGUUUUGAACUUGUUCACGAACAAAGUGAAAAUCAAUAGCAAUAUGUUUCACCCAACUAUGGAACACUAGGUUGGCGCAAAUGUAUGUGGUGCUGACAUUGUCAUAAAAUAUCUGAGGAGUGGUGGAAAUAUGAAACCGAAGUUCAUGGAGUAAACUUGUUAGCCAAUUUGUUUCAGAAACAGUAGCUGCAAUAGCCCGAUAUUCUGCUUUUGUGGAGGAUCGGGAGACAGAUCUUUGCUUUUUAGAGGACCAGGAUACCGGAGAACUGCCAAGGUAAACAACAUAACCUGUUGUAGAGGUUCGAUCGAGAAGAUCUCCAGCCCAAUUAGAAUCUGAGUAGGCUAAAAGACGGUGAUCAUGUUCUUUGGCAAUUCGAAGGCCAAAUGAAGAUGUCUGGUGAAGAUAUCGAAGGGGACGCUUCAUGGCUGUCCAAUGUGAUAAUAAAGGAUGGUGCAUGGACUGUGAGAGUUUGCUAACUGCAAAUGCUAUGUCCGAACGUGUAAAAGAAAGGUAAUGAAGUUUACCAAUUAUCCUCAUAUAAAGAGAGCCAUCAACUAGAGAAUAUUCAGCAGACUCUGGGAAAGCAACAGUAGAAGCCAUUGGUGUUGGAACACCCUUGAAAUUGUGCAUAUUAACUUCCUGCAACAGAUCUGUGAUGUAUCUCUGUUGACACAACAAAAGACCACCAGGAUAACGUUAGACUUCAACACCAAGGAAAUAAUGAAGUGGACCAAGAUCCUUCAAAGAGAACCGAGUUACAAGAUUAUCAAUGAUGUUGUGAACACCACGAAUCUGAUUACCCAUGACAAUUAUGUUAUCAACGUAUACCAGAAUAUAAACAGUAAAUAGUGUACCAGCCCCUCGGAGCCUGUUUGAGGCCAUAUAUAGACUUGUGCAGCCUGCAAACAUGUGUCGGAUGCGCAUAAGCUUCAAAACUAGGUGGUUCGCGCAUAUAGACUUCUUCAUCAAGACGACCUUGCAGGAAGGAAUUAUUGAUAUCAAGUUGCUGAAUGGGCCAGCUUUGUUGUGUUGCAAUCGCAAGAACGAGUUGAACAGUUGCAGGCUUUACCACAGAACUAAAAGUACAUUGAAAAUCAAGUCCAGGUCUUUGUGUGAACUCUUUAGCAACCAGACGAGCUUUCUACCAGUCAACAGAACCAUUAGAAUUAUAUUUAAUCUGGAAAAGCCACUUACAAUCCACCACAUUUUUGGAAGGAUCACAUGGUACCAACUCCCAUGUUCGGUUCCGAACUAAGGCAUCAAAUUCAUUUAUCAUAGCUUCACGCCAGUGUGGGACUUGUUGAGCUUGUUUAAUGGUUCUAGGUAGGUAGGAAGUGGUUUGAACAACUGUGUGUAAUUGUUUAGGCUUAAGGCUAUUGGUCUUAGACUGAGUAAUCAUGUGAUGACUGGGCAUCACUGUAAAGGUAGAGUCUACAAGAGAAGGUUUUUUGGCCAUGGGAGGUGGGACAAGUGAUGAGGAAGAGGGUUGUACUAAAGGCUUCUGGAUGAAAGGACCAGUGGGCUUAUUUCGGCGUUGGUAAGUGAUAAUUGUGGAUUGUGGCUAAGCAUUUAACUGGGGAGAAGUAUGAACUGGUGAGGUUGAAACAGUUGGUUGUGGUGAUUUGUGGCUGUAAAUAGGAUUUUGGAUGGCGCGGGUAUGGGGCAACGGAGGCAUUGGAGAAGGAGAAGAAGUAUCAUAUAAGGGAGAAAUAGAAGUACCUGAGAUGGUGGCACCUGUUGAGGCAGAGGAGAUGGGUGAAUGUGUGUCCACGGGCUGCUGCACAAUCUGUGAAGUAAGCUCACAAAAAUCAUAUGAGUUUCGAGUAUUAUCCUGUGGUUGUUGGCCAGAUGAACAAAUUUCCCAAGAGACAUUUUUAUUUUGUGUUCUUUUUAAAUGAGAAAAAAUAUUGUUAAAUGGGAACUGAUUUUCCAAAAAUAAGACGUCACGUGAUAGAUAUAUUUUGGAAGUUGAAGGAUCAAAACAUUGAUGAUUGUAAUAUUUAUUCGAAAAGCCUAAAUAAACAUAUGGUGUCGAACGGGGCUCUAAUUUGUUUUUGGCAUAUGAUUUGAGCCAUGGAUAAUGGAGGCAACCAAAUACUUUAAUGGAGUCAUACUUUGGCAUCUUUUGAAAUAAAAUUUCAAAUGGACUUUUGUGCUGAAGAUUGGGUGUAGUUAGCCUGUUAAUAAGACAGACAGCUUGUUGACAGGCAAAACUCCAGAAGUGUGAUGGUAAAGAUGCCUGAUGCAGCAAGGUUCUAACAGUUUCAAUAACAUGACGAUGUCGUCUUUCAACUAGAGCAACUCGUUGUGGAGUAUAUGGGGGUGACACUAAGUGUUCUAUGCCAAGUGUUUUGAGAUAGGACUGUAAACUUUGAAAUUCGCCACCACCAUCCGUGUAAAAAGAUUGAAUUUUGGUGUUAAACCUCCGUUCAAGCAAUGGAUGCAAAUUUUGAAAAACUUCCAGAGUUUCAUUUUUUGAUUUUAAAGUAAACAGCCACAUGUAUUUUGAAAAUUGAUCAACAGAUAACACAUAACAUCUUUUUUUAUCAAUUGACAAAACCGGAGAUGGACCCCAUAAAUCGCCAAAAAGGAUUUGUAGGGGCUUAUUACUUUGCAGUGAAUUUUCUGAGAAAGUCAACAUGUGCAUCUUAUUAGAAUAACAAGAAUUACAAGUGGAACUAGCUUUAGGAUCUAAAACAGGAAAGGAAAAAUUAUUCAAGAUAGUAUCCAAAACGUGACGAUUUGGAUGACCUAAACGCCGAUGCCACAGGUGAAUUGGAACAGCCACAUUGCACUAAGGAGAACAUGUGUACAAACCGUUGGCCACUCAUACAACCCAUCUUUGUUCUGCCCGCGAACUAGAGACGCCCCCAUAUUCAGAUCCUUCACAAGAUAAUGGAAAGGAAAAAACUCAAUAGAGGAAUGAUUAUCAUGACAAAACUGAGAAACAGAAGUAAGAUUAGUCUUUAUGAGAGGGGAGCAUAAGGUAUUGAGAAGUUUGAAAUGAUGAUUUGAUGCACUUAUGUUAGCGUUACCGGUUUGGGAUAUUGGAAUGGUUUGACCAUUGCCCAUAGUGAUAUCUUCGGUGCCGUGGUAGUCAUGUACAGUGUCUAGGCUUUGAGCAUCAGACGCAAUAUGAUGAGUGGCUCCACUAUCCACGAUCCAAGGGGUCUGUUGAGGAGGGAAACAACCAGCAAAGUUUGCCCAAGCUUGCAGAUGGUUAUGGGAUUGAGAUCUGCAGCCCCCAGCAGAAUGACCUACGCGAUCACAUAGUUAACAACGAAGAUUCUUGUCAAAGGGCUGUUGUUGGUUGUUUCUUUGUGGGUGACAUGGUUGUGCCUGCCAUUGCUGAUUGUUGGGAGGAGUGUUCGCACUUGGACGGCGACUGAGGGAUUAAUUAUUGUUACCAUGGCAAUGAGGAGUUGAGCUGGUCUUUUGUGCUAUAGCAGUGGUGAUAUUAGUUGAUAACGGCUUCUUGUCGUCCUCAUACUUUGGAAAAAGCUCGUGGUCCAGAAGCUUUUUGCAAAGCUCUUCAUAGGAAAUUGUUGAAUCUCGAGCACGAAUAGCAGUAGAGAAUUCUCGGAAUUCAGAUCCGAGUCCACUGAGAAUUUUAACAACGAGUUCUGAAUUUGAUACAGGCGCACCAACAGUUAGAAGUUCAUCACAAAGUGAUCGAAUCUGACGGAGAUAAUCUGCGACUGGACGAGAGUCAUUAGUGAGGCGAGCCAGUCUGUCUCGCAAGUUGAAAAAUCUUGUUUGAGAUUUGUUAGCAUACGCAGUAUGCAGAGCAUCCCAGGCAGCUUUGGCAGAGAUAGCAACAUCAACAAUGGGGGUAAGUGUAGCAUCAAUGGAGGCCCAUAUAGCAUUUUGAAUUAACUGAUCUUGUCGGUACCAAAGAGCGAACUCAGGGUUAGCAACAUCUUGAUUGUUUUGCGAGAUGGUGCGAGUGGGGGAAGGGAUAGAGCCAUCGAGAUGCCCAUAGAGAUUGUGACCAUGCAUAAGCAUUGAAACUUGAGCUUUCCACGGGGAGAAAUUUUGACUGCCAGUUAAUUUUAUGGGCAGUUAGGUCAUAGGAUUGAAUUGGAAAAUAGUGAUGGCGUUAUUGACUCCAUCAGCAUUGGUCACAAAAGUAUUGGGGUCCAUUUCGACGACUUAACAGGGAAAAAAAAACAAAAAGAAAAAAAAGAAUCAACUCGUGGGAGUUUAGAAGCGCCCUAAUACCAUAAAGAAACGAGAUCAAAGAUAGGAAACUUAUAUAUCUUAUUAUUGACCAUAUGGCUGCUAUAUAAAGAAUAUAUACAAGACCUAGAAAAGAUAAAGACAAUUAAACAGAUUCCUGAGGAUUAGGAAGUACGAAAAUAGAAUUCUACAAAAGUAAGGAGUCUCAUCUGUUAUUAAAUAGUUGAGCCUUUGGAAGAAAGUCAACCAAGAGUAGUGAAAGAUCAGCCUAACCAAGAGACUUUGGACCUAAGUUUCAAGUCUAUUUAGUUGAAAAGGAUCCUGAAAGUUAUGCUGAAGCAAUGUCUUCAAAUGAUGCUCUUUUCUGGCAUGAAGCUAUUGAUGAUGAAAUGCACUCUAUUAUGUCAAAUAAUACGUGGAUUUAUCAGAGCUCCCUCCUGGAUGUAAGUCUGUUUGUUGUAGAUGGAUCUUUAGAAAGAAAUUGAAAUUUGAUGGUACCUUAGAUAAGUACAAAGCUCGUUUGGUAGCAAAAGGCUUUACUCAAUUGAAAGAUAUUGAUUAUUUUUAUACAUUUGCAUCUGUAGCUCGAAUGACUUCUAUUUGACUUUUGAUUGCUUCAGCCGCAAUUCAUAGUCUGGUAAUUCAUCAAAUGGAUGUGAAGACUGCAUUUCUGAAUAGAGUUCUAGAUGAAGAAGUUUACAUGAAACAACCAAAAGGAUUUGUCGUUCCUGGUCAAGAACACAAAGUUUGUAAGCUUCUUAAAUCUCUUUAUGGAUUAAAACAAGCUCCAAAAAAUGCAAUGAGAAAUUUAGAAGAGUAAUGAUUUCUAAUGGCUACGAAAUCAAUGGUGGUGAUAUUUGCAUAUUUAGCAAAUUUCAAGAAAAAUCUGGUGUUAUAAUAUGUCUCUAUGUAGAUGAUAUGUUGAUCUUUGGAACUAAUAUUGAAAGGGUCAAAGAAACAAAAUCGUUUCUAGCUUCUCGAUUUGAAAUGAAAGAUCUUGGAGAAGCUGAUGUAAUUUUGGGCAUUAGAAUCAUGAGAUCAGCGAAUGGCUUGACUCUUACUCAAUCAAGUUAUAUUGAGAAAGUUCUAAAAAGGUUUGGUCACUUUGAUGACAAACCCGCUCCUACACCAUUUGAUCCUAGCAUCAAACUAAUGCGGAACUCUAGUGAUGUUCUCGAUCAGCUGACAUAUUCUCAGAUUGUUGGGAAUCUUAUGUAUGCCAUGCAUUGUACCAGGCCGGAUAUUGGUUACGCAGUAGGAACUUUGAGCAAGUUUACUAGUAAUCCUGGAAUUGAACAUUGGAAUGCCUUAAUUCAUGUUUUAAGAUACCUGAAGGGUACAAUUAAUGUUGCCCUACAUUAUUCUACAUUUCCAGCUAUUCUUGAAGGCUAUAGAGAUGCUACUUGGAAUUCUGAUCCAAAUGACUCUAAAUCUAUUACUGCUUGGAUUUUCACUUUGGCUGGAGUAGCGAUCUCUUGGAAAUCAAAGAAGCAGACAUGUAUUACUCACUCAACCAUGGAGUCAGAAUUUAUAGCUAUGUCUUCUGCUGGAGAAGAAGCUGAUUGGCUGCAAUCUAUGCUGAUAGAUGUUCCUUUGUGGAGUAAGCCAGUACCACCUUUAACUAUAUAUUGUGAUAAUCAAGCUACUAUAUUUCGGGCUUCAAGUGAUUGCUACAAUGGCAAAUCGAGACAAGUUCGUCUCAAACACAAUCAUGUGAGAAGAUUAUUGGAGGAAGGCGUGAUAUCGCUUCAAUAUGUGAAAUCCAGAUUUAAUCUAGCGGAUCCUUUGUCUAAUGGGUUAGGCAAAUAGUUAGUGGUGGAAACUUGUAAUGGGAUAGGAAUAAAGCCUGUUGUAAAUUAAUUGUACUUUAUGGUAACCCUACCAAUGAUGUAAUCUUGGGUUCAAAGGGAAAAACAAGUAAAGUUACAACUAUGAAGCACAUCAAUAAUAUUCCCAUUUUCAAAAUAAAAUGAAAUAAGAAGAUGUGCAUGAUUGAGAUUUUUUUUCUCUUAAUAAAUUUAUAAGACCGAUCUCGGUUGGAGUUAGUAAGAAAACUCUUGAUAAAUUUUUUUGAUAUUCCUACUAAAGAGAAGGAUGAGAUUAGAUUCCCUUAAUAAGUCUAUAAAUCGAUUUUGAUUGGAGUGUGUAGGAAUACUCUUGAUAGAUUUACCGAUACUUUGAUGUAAAGGAGGAUGAGAUUAAUUUUUCUUAAUGAAGUUCAUAGACUAUUUGGUCGGAGUAUGCAAAGUUACUCUUGAUGAAUUCACCGCACUAAGUGCGAAGUGGAGGCCGCUUCAAUAAGAUUUUAACAGGGAAAUCUUAAAGCACUUGGCUAAAAGGAUUCAGGACACAUGGUCGUAAGGUGUCAAACAAUUUCGAUUUCACCAGAACAUAGUGAUAUGCUUGAAGUAUUUCUCUAUUUCAUUCAAUGAGCCACUUAGUUCAAGAUUCGUUCACUAAGUAGUCAAUGAUUUAGAAUGCCUUCACUAGCUAAUGGUUCAAGUCCAAAAACACCAUUAUUGAUGCAUGUUGCUAGAUUAAUGUCUCAAAAUAUUUUUUGGAUUUUUCAAAGAUAAAAACUUCUUGAAACAAGUGGGGGAUUGUAAGAGUUAGUGUUUCAAUUAAUUUUGAAACAAAUUCAUCCGUUAAAUUUUUUGAAAUAACAAAAUACAUGAAUGUGAGUUGUAACAUUCAUUUUUGUUUUAAUUCUACAUUAUAGAUGUUUUGCAAAACACUUUUAAAAUUCUACGUUAUGCAUUUUUUGAAAGAUAAGUUUUAUUUUCAAUUCAUGAACCUAUAAUAAAUACUAUUUAAUUAAAAGUCUUUUUCUUGCAAAACUUGUCCUAUAAAUUGAGUUCUUUUGGUUGAAAAGAUAAGCACUCAAAAAAAACUCUUUCCCUUGAAAAAUACUUGUGAGACAUUAAUCAAAAGGUGAAAUCACCAAUUCAAGAAUAGAAGAGCAACAUUCAUGAAUGCUACUUGUUUUGUGGCUUAGUUGAAUCUCGAAGAUAGAGUUGUUAUUUAUUCUUCUGAUUGCUCGUGGGAAAGACUCCAACUAUCUUCAAGAAACGUAUUAAUGUGCCUCUAAGCCAAGCAAGUUUUGUUUUGGAUUCCAUAUAUUUUUAUCAUUCUUGUUCAGUUGUUUUAACAUAUAUCACACGCCUCAUCACGGUGUACAACAAUCAAUGCACAUAAGUAAAUUCACACCAUAAGAAAGAGACAACAAUUCAAACAAUUCAAGUUCACAUUCAUGCCAUCAAAGCAUUUCAUUAAUCAAUCAAAUAGGGGUCACAACAAGGCAAUUCACAAAACAUUAUGAUCAACACAUAGCCUUUUAUUUAAUCCCAUUUUUAUUCAUUAAGUUCAAUCAAGGGUAACAAUGAACCCUUUACCUCACCCCCAUUACUCCCACCACACAAUAAAGGAAAAAUACAUGAAUCCUACUAGAAUACAAGGUUUGGGAGAUCACUUACCUUAAUUCAACUAACUAGUCACUCCAAGACUUGAGUCUUUCCCUACCGGUCAACGAACAAGGUACAAUUUCACAUUUCUCAAGAUACACAAUUAUAUCAAAUCAUUGGUCCUCUCGUGGAACCCAAACUGUUAGCAUACCAGAACGUGGUACCUGAUCUAAUGUUUAUGUCAGAACGUGGCAACCGAUCCCAUAAUUAUGCCAGAAUGUGGCAACCGAUCCAAGUUAGUGUGUCAGAACGCAACACCCGAUCCAAUCAACAAGCCACAAUCACAAUAACAAAGUACAUUCUCAUAAUCAUACAAUCAAGUCAUGAAUCAUGGCAUUCAUCAUUCAUCUAUCUUCAUUUACAACAAGUGUGAUCAAUAAUGCAACAUUCGCAUACAUACAUGUAUCAUAAUGAAGAAAAGACAAACAUACAUCACACAAUCAUAUAAUCACAACCAUCACCUACCUCGAAACAAGUUUGAAAACCCCUAAGAAAACUUGAUCCUUCCUUUCCAGAUUCUUCCGCUUGUUCUUGGUCUACAAACAAUCAAUAUAAUACGGGAAUCAAUAAACAAUCACUAAUUACCCGGAUUACUAACAAUUCUAACAACCCUAGAUCAUACCCAUGAUCCCCAAGUAUUCAAAUUAGGGUUGUUUCCACCAUAAUUUCCAGAUCAAAUCUCUUCCCCAUCGAUAAUUACCCAUUAGAUUACGUUCUACGGAUUGAAAAACGGAUUCGAGGAGCUAAAAUCUUACCUUUAGCCUUAAGAAUGGUGGAAAACUGUCAAGAAUCUCCUGGGGUUCAGUCCUUAGCUCUAAAAACUGAAAAGUGCAGUAUAAAGAUGUUUUGGGGUUUAUUUACGACUUUAAGUCGCAUCGGGCCCGCCACAGCGGUCCUCACCCCACUACAGCGGCCCCACCAGAGCGACAAAAAUCAUCGCCAAAGCGUCUUGCACGAAACAGUGAGCUAUUUUAAUAAUUCCAAGACCCCCAUUUCACAACACACCUUCAACCAACGACACUCAAAAAAUAUCGUUAACUCUAAGAUCAAUUUCAGGAGUUCUACUCGCCCGAAUUCAAUUUCGUAAAGUCGUACAAAUUUCUUAACCACUUAUCUAUCUACUCAUGUAAUAAAAAUCAUAAUUAGAUCACUUAAUUGCUACCAUAUUUCCCUAGACUUUGAUGACUCUAAUUUCUUCCAAUUCUGGACUAGGUUGGAAAAUCUCAAGAUACUACGAAAAAGUUUCCCGACCCAAAAAUUUUCCCCGUUGGCUUUCCUUUAAUGACGGAACCUGGUCGUUACAGGUAGACUCUGGGGAUACUCAGCACAUUUUUGUGAAUAGAAAAGCAUUUGCCUCCUAUACAUCAAUAGGGGAUGACAAUGAAGUAGUCUACCUUGGAGACUCAAGAACUAGUAAAGUCUUGGGUAAGGGUAAAGUGCUCCUGAAACUUACUUCAGGAAAAACUUUAGCCCUUAUGGAUGUGCGACAUGUUCCUACAAUGCGUGCAAACCUGAUUUUUGUAGCCUUGCUUAAUAAAGCUGGAGUGAAAGUGUCAUUUGAAUUUGAAAAGAUCAUACUGAGAAAAAAUAAUGUGUUUGUGGGAAAAAGGUCUAUUGUAACCAGGGACUUUUUGUACUUAAUGUUUGUGAUGUUGUGAAAGCAUCUACUUCUACUUGCAUGAUUGAAUCUAGUUCUUUAUGGCAUGCUAGAUUAGGACAUGCUAAUUUCUCUUAUAUAAAAAAUAUGCAAUCACUUGGUUUGAUAUCUGACUUAGAUUCAAAUAAUAUUAAUAAAUGUGAAGUAUGUGUUGAAGCUAAAACUACUAAGAAGUCAUGUUAUUCAAUAAAUAGAGAAACUGAAUUAUUGUCUUUAAUUCACAUUGAUUUAGUUGAUUUAAAACAAACAAUGACUAGCGGUGGUAAAAGAUAUUAUGUGACUUUUAUUGAUGAUUUUUCUAGAUUUACUAAGUUAUAUUUACUUAGAAAUAAAGAUGAUGCUUUUAAUGCAUUUAUUUCUUAUAAAACUGAAGUUUAAAAUCAACUUAGUAGGAAAAUCAAGAGAAUUAGAUCUCAUAGAGGUGGAGAAUAUUUGUCCUUAAAUGCCUUUUGUGAAAAAGAAGGAAUUAUUCAUGAAGUAACUCGACCUUACUCUCCCGAAUCUAAUGAAGUAGCUAAAAGGAAAAAUAGAACAUUAAAGGAAAUGAUGAACUCUAUGUUAAUAAGUUCUAAUGCACCUAAUAAUUAAUUUAUGGGGUGGAGCUAUAUUAUUUGCAUGUCACUUACAAAAUAAAAUUCCUCAUAAAAGAACUGGCAAAUCACCAUAUGAAUUGUGGAAAGGUUAUAAACCAAAUUUGAAAUAUUUAAAAGUGUGGGGGUGUCUUGCAAAAGUUCUCUCGCUUGAACCUAAGAAGAGGAAAAUAGGUUCUAAAACAGCCGAUUGCAUGCUUAUUGGAUAUGCUGAACAUAGUGAUGCAUAUAUAUUUCUUGUUUUAAAGAGCGAUGUGCUUGAUUGCAAUACUAUUAUUGAGACAAAAAUGUUGAAUUCUUUUAACAUAAUUUUCCACUAUGUGAUAAAAUUUCUCAUGUACCUGCUGAAAGAAAUAGUGAGUCUAUUUCUAAUACUGAAGAACUAAGAAGGAGUAAAAGGCCUAGGAAAGAAUAUUUUUCUUAUGAAAAUGAUUUUCAAAACUUUCUUGUUAACACUGAACCAUUAAAUUAUUCUGAAGCUAUAUCUUCUUCUAAUGCUAAAUUUUGGAAAGAGGCAAUAAAAAUUGAAAUUGAUUCAAUUAUGAAAAAUAAUACAUUGAUUUUAACUGAUCUACCUCCUAGUGCAAAACCUAUUGGCUGUAAAUGAAUUUUCAAAAGGAAACUUAAUCCUGAUGGAUCUAUAGAUAAAUAUAAGGCUCGGUUAGUAGCAAAAGGGGUUUCUCAAAAAGAAAAUAUUGAUUAUCUUGAUACAUUUGCACCAGUGACAAGAAUUUCUUCUAUUCGGAUUUUAAUUGCCUAAGCAGCAAUUCAUAAGCUUUUUAUCCAUCAAAUGGAUGUCAAAACAACUUUUUUAAAUGGUGAUUUAGAAAAAGAAAUUUAUAUGGUUCAACCUGAAGGAUGUAUUAUUUCUGGACAAGAAAAUAAAGUUUGUAAAUUAAUUAAAUUUUUUUAUGGCCUUAAACAAGCUCCUAAGCAGUGGCAUGAAAAAUUUGAUCAAGUCUUGGUGAGAGACGGUUUUUCUUCUAUUGAAGUGGAUAAAUGUGUUUAUACUAAAAUGGUAGACAAUGACUAUGUCAUAAUAUGUUUAUAUGUUGAUGAUAUGCUUAUAUUUGGUGCAAGUUUAAAUAUUGUGCAGAGUACCAAAUUAUUUUGGUCUACUAAUUUUGAUAUGAAAGAUCUGGGUGAAGUAAAUAUGAUAUUGGGAGUUAAAGUUAUAAGGAGUGAAGAUGGUAUAAUGUUGUCACAUGAACAUUAUGUGGAAAGACUUCUUAAGAAGUUUGAAUGUUUUGAGGUGACACAUGUGGCUACUCCUUAUGAUGCUAACUCUCAAUUGAAAAAGAAUAAAGGUGACCUAGUUGCUCAGUCUAAGUAUGCUCAGAUUAUAGGGAGUCUGAUGCAUUUAAUAAAUUUUACUAGGCCUGAUAUAGCCUAUACUGUGUGUAGACUUAGUAGAUAUACUCAUAAUCUCAAUAAAGAGCAUUGGUCUACAUUGAACAGACUACUGAAAUAUUUGAGAGGAACCAUGAAUUAUGGUAUUAUGUAUAGUGGAUUUCCUUCUACAUUAGAAGGGUAUUGUGAUGCAAACUGGAUCUUUGAUUCAGAUGAGACAAAAUCCACUAGCGGAUAUGUGUUCACCUUAGGUGGUGGUGCAAUAUCGUGGAAAUCAGCUAAACAGACGAUCAUUGCGAGAUUGACUAUAGAGUCAGAGUUUGUAGCUCUGGAGCUGGCUGGUUCUGAGGCUGAAUGGCUAAGAAAUUUCUUAGUGAAUAUCCAUUUAAUAUAGGAUGAAUUGCCUCUUAUGUUUAUACACUGUGAUUGUCAAGCCACAAUUGCUAUUGCGAAGAAUAAAUUUUACAAUUAUAAGAGUAGACACAUGAAGUUGAGACAUGAUGUCGUUAAGCAGCUGCUGAGAGAUGGAGUAAUUUCCAUUGAAUAUGUGAAGUCAAAACUUAAUUCGGCCGAUUCACUGACUGAACCUGUGGGAAGAAAACUAAUUCUUCAAUCCUCGAAAGAGAUAGGGUUAAGGCCAAUAUGAUUGUCAAUAGAGAUGGUAACCCAACCUAUGUGAUUGGAGAUCCCAUGAAGUAGGUUCAUAUGGGUAAUAACAAGUCGUUAUUGACACUGAACACUAAUAGAGAGUGUUUGAACUCCUACUAAUUAUGAGGGAUGGGUUAUUAACUCUUAAUGAAUCUAUAGUCCUUAUGGAUGGUGUAUUUAAAGCAAUAUACACUUGAUGAAUUCACCUAUAUGACAAGUGGAGUAAAGCCGCUCCUAUGAGAUUUUGGCCUAGUCUCUAGAGCUCUCAUGAAUAACCCGACACGCGCAUGGCCUAUUGGCCAAAAACAGUGUUGAACAACAAAAUAUGAGGAUUAAAAUGUGAUUGGUAGAAUCACUAACUUACAUAAGAAUAAUUGGUUCAUAGAAGUUUUAUAUUUCACCAAUAAUUCUGUAAUUUAAAUUUUAUCGGUCUAAGUUUGGCUCAUAGUCCGAAAGAAACCAAACCUAUAACAUUUUAACCAUACAAAAUAAAGCAAGUCGAGUUCUUCUAUUUCAAAAUUAUUUUAAAAUGUAUGGGGGAUUGUUGGAUAUUUUAAAUUAAUUUGAGACAUAUUAGUUUAUGACAUAAGCACUUAUGUCAUUAAGUUGAUGACUAAUGUGCAUAUGUCAUAAACUUAAUCACCAAGUAUUAAUUUCCUUUGCCUCCAAGUAUUAAUUCCCUUUGUCUCCAAGUAAUGUUCUCCUCUUCUCCAAGUUUCAAGGCCUAAAAUCUCCUAUAUAUAAGUCGAUGAAGUUUUGAGGAAAUAUAACCAAGUGAAGUAGUAAGACUUACCCAAUUUUCAAACAUUCUCUUUCGACUUGCUUAUUUUGUAGUAUUUAUAUUUUGUUGAUUCUUGUAUCCUCUAAUUAAUUUAGAGAAGGCUUGUUUGAUCCUGGGGAAAUAUUUCACACUGCUGAAAUAGUUUGUUAGGGCAGUGCCUAGCACGACUCAAGUAUUAUAUAUAUAUAUAUAUAUAUAUAUAUUACUUAAGAAUAUUAUUGUAGUAGUAUUUACAGUAAUUCUUGUAUUAUUAUUUUGAUAUAAUAUUUUCCCCAUCUAUUAUAUAUUUUGGGAGUAGUAUUGAGCAUCGAUUUAGAUGAGAGUUCAGAUAACUCCUAACUCCAUAAACCACGUAGCUAGCGUGGGAGAUGAUCACACUGACAUUUGGGCAAAUCCUCUCUGCCUCUUGGGAAAGCUUUUAUAUGGAUCCAUGAGAUGAGUUUUGGUCUAUACUUCGGUACGGUAUAUGAUAGUUUCGGCAACGUGGGUGAGACGUUGUAUCAUCACGAGGCUCAUUAUGAUGGUUGUCGGUUAGAGAAACUCCAUAGUAAAGUAAAGUAAAGAGUAAUUAUAUAUGUAUAUUUCAGUUCAGUCCAGUAUCUAAUAUUAUUGCAUUUUAUUUGUGAAGCUUAAAUGAUUUCAUCUCAUGAUUCUGCUUUACUCAGUUAAGUUAUAUUUCAGCUUUACCUUUCACAUUCAUACAUUCAUAAUUAAGAAAUUCAUGUGGGAAGUAUCUUUUCCUCAACAAUAACAUCAACUACCAACAAUUCAUAUCAUAAGCUUUACUCUCAAAGCCCUAGAUCUCAUGAUCAUCAUCUAAGCUUCAUUAUAAACCAAUUCUAAUCAUAAUUCCUCAAUCCUAUAAGGACAAGCCUAAACCCACAAAGUUUUCCUUCAUGACAUCAACCCAAUUAUAUCAAUUUUAGGUUAGAAUCAUGGAAUAGGAAUGGGUACAUGUAAUUUAACUCUAAAAACAUGUAAUUCUACUAAUUCUAUCAUAAACAAUCAUAAUACACUCAAUUGGAUCAACAAUCAUCAUACCCCCACAACAUUUAAAGAAACCCUAACUAGAAUUGGGGAAUUCUUCAUUAAAUUGGGGAAAUUCUAGGGGACUCCAUGGAUGGAAGAAUCCAUGGAUGAAAAGCCAUCAUCCCUUGAUUACAAUGCCCUCAAAAGCUUGAAGAUUGGGAGACUUGAUCUUAAACUAGAUCUGAUUUCUUCCUUCUUCUUCCAACUUCUAGAGAGAGAAUUUUUUAGAGGAGUUUUGGGUUUUCUUUUGAGAUUUGAAGAAAUGACUUGAAUGAGGGGUUUUUGGGGUUAAAGAUACUUAUAUAGGUGGUCUAGACUUAGGCAAAAUGGCAACACAUUGAUUUAAUUGAAAUCGGAAAAGACCCAUAAGUUUCUAAUUUAACUAUCCAGGCCUGAUACACGAGACUCCGACUGACGGACCUUCCUGGUCAAGAGUCGUUCGUGGUUAGAGAGUUCUGAGCCAUCCAUGAUUCCCCCAACCAUGAGCCAUGGACCCAUCCACGGGGGUGGGUCCUGGCGUGAUUCACUAUUUUUGUGCAAUUUCUUUGGUGCUUCCCCAUUGACCCAUGGUUGGUCCUUGUGGGGUGGCACCUUGAAGUUAUAAUAUGAUAUCCUCUAAUUUGAAUCCGAGAUGUUACAUGAGCCUUAGAGGCAGAUUUUCUUGAAAGCUUGUGGAUUACAUGAGUAAAAAGAUGUUAAUUGGUGUUAAGAUGAAGAAUUAUGAAAUUCCAUGGUCAAAUAUUACUUUAGAUAAUGAAUGAACCUUGGAGGAAGUUAGUUUCUUAAACACUUCUCUUUCUAGAGUAAAUUUAUGAACUAAGGUGGUGAACUAUAUCUUUGGGGGGUUAUUAAAAGACUUCAGAUGCAUGCACCCAUGCGUAAAAACAUCUCAGGCACGCAGACAACCACGUAAGAAGGCAAUAGAUGUUGCCUCGGUGCGCUAGCUCGGGGAAAUUGCCUUAGUCACACGGGAAGAUAGUGUCCAGUAAAGUGGGCAUAACCUUUUAAUCCAAACUCCUAUUAAUGCAAACUUGGUGGCAUUGGAAAGAAGACUCAUAAACCUUUAAUUUGAUAGAUUAUAUAUGAUCCACAUAGUUUUUUAUAUGCAUAAAUAUAUGGUCAUUUGAAGUUGACCCUUGCAUGAACUAAUGCAAAAAUCUUAGCCGGUAGAAAAGUUCUGAACUUGACUUAGUUAGAGGUCUCUUAUAACCCUAAAUCACUAAUGAUACCCUGGAUGCACUUGCUAAAGGACAUUAAAACACAUGAGCAAGUAAUACAUCACCCAGUUCAAGCUAUAAAGGAUACAUCAUAUUUUUAAUGAUGUCAAAAGGAGAUAAAUAAGGGGCGUGAAAUUUAUAACCCAUUGCCUAACUUGUUUCAUCUUAGUAGUGGUAUGCUUAGUUUCUACAGGUAAAUAUGGAUGUAACAUUGUUUGUCAUUAGGGUCGUCUUAACCACUAGGCCACUAAAGCCAUCGGUUGGGGUCCCAUAUUUUUGGGGGGCCCCAAUUUUUAAAAAAAAUACUAUACAUAUUACUUAAAAUUAUAUGUAUUUUAAAAUUGAAAAAAACAUGUAAGAAGUAUAAAAAAAACAAAAUAACCGUUAGUUUUUCCCACUUUUCUAAGGGAAUGAAACAUUUUUUGAAAAUAAUUUCCUUAAGUGGGAAAUUUGUUUCCAUAUUUAUCUCCUAAAAAUUUGACCUUAUAUUAUUAUUUACCUUAUACUCAUCUUUUUUGUUCUCUAUUUUAUUAUUUUUAUCCUCAAUAUUGAACUCUCUCCUAAAAAAAAUGAUUAACUGUUGCUUACAAGUUAAAAAAAGAACAAAAUUUGCUUUUGAGUGUCUUCUUCAAAAUCUUAAGAAGUGCAACAAGCAAUCAUUAUAUUGAAGGAACACAACACUAUUUCAAUAUUGUUUUAUCAACUUAUCAAAUUCGUGAGCCAGGUUUUAUUAUUCUAACUUUAUUUUAUAAUUUUUCCUGAACUUUCGUUAUUGUUGAUAGUCUUAGUUAGUAAGUAUAUAUAUUCUCGUUUUAGUUAUUAUUAAGAGAAAUAAUACAAGUAGACGAUAAUGAUUUAAUGGAAAUACUCAAUUAAAUAAAAAGACUUGAUUCUUUUCCUGAUGCAUAUAUAGCCUAUAGAAUAAUGCUAACAAUUCCUGUAACUAUUGUCUCGGCCGAAAGAAGUUUUUCGAAACUAAAAUUGAUAAAAUCUUAUCUAAGAUCAAAUUGUGAGAUUGAAUGCAUUAGCUAUAUUAUCAAUUGAAAAUGAAUUACUAAAACAAAUUAUUAGAAAACAGUAAUCAAUGACUUCAUAUCUAAAAAGGCUAGAAAAAUAGAUUUCAAAUAGAUAUAUACAUGAUUAUUAUUUUUUUGAAACAAAAAGAAUUAAAAAAAAUAUUAGGUCCCCUCUUUAAGGUUUGGCUUUAGGCCCCCAAUAUUGUUGAGUCGGCCAUGUUUGUCAUCAUCCAAAAGAGGGAAUUUGUUGGGUUUAUGAAGUUUUGAUGAAUUACAAAGAUUGAAGAAACAAGUCAGUCAGUAUUGUUCAAAGGUGCAUUAUCACAAGAAGUUGAAUUCUACACAUGUAUGCAAAAUAAGUUUGGACAUAAAUGCAAGAAUAAAGAAAUGGAUCAAGGAUGAUUUUGACAAAAUCAAGAAAACAAGUAAAAAGCGAGAAGAAGAGUUAUAGUUCAACAGCAACACUGACAAAAAAAUAAGUAUGAUGAAAGGAGGAGUCUGACUCAAAGUAUAACUCGGAGAUAGAAGAGACUGUGAGAUAUAAGAACUUAAUUCUUCUGAAAAGUCUGAUACAAGAAAAAGUGGUUUUUAGUGUAUUUUGGAGUGUCAAGUGUCAGAAUAUAAUUAUGUCAAUUUCAUCAGUCCCGAAAUGUAGAAUAUGGUCUGUGAGAGUCGUCGGUUUCAAAUACGAAGUCUUUUUGAGGAUUUAAGAUCCUAAGUUGGAAAUUGUUGAGAAAUUAGCCUUUGGAAUGACUUUGGUCAACAUUCAGGGUUCGGACGCUUGGAUUAAAAUUUGGAAAAUUUUAUUGAAUUCGGUGGAUGAUUUUAGGCAUAGGAGAGGUCUUUGUUCAUUUUUGAGAGGUUUCAAAUUUGUUUUGGUCUUUUAAGGCGUAUGUUAGUUUCUCGUGGUUUCACGGAUGUUGGAGUAAGGAGACCUCAUAUUCAUUUUUUUGACAGUUUAAUUGAGUUUGAAACGUCAAGUAAUCGAUUUGCUUAUAUAAUUUGUGUGUAUGAGGAUCCAAACAAAUCCCGAGGAUCCUUUGAUGUUUUCAGAGUUGGAUGAUUUUCUGGUGCCUAGAAUCUGUUCUAUUUCGCGUUUGAAAAGGAAUGGCCUCUUUCGCGAUCUUCAUGAAAGCGAAGGUCUAAUCGCGAAAGAGAAGGGUCAGGUGGCUUGACCAUAACGAUCGCGAAGGGUUGGUCGGUUUUGCGACCUUCGUGAAAGCGAAGACCCUGACUUUCAAGGGGUUCAAUUUUGCAAAACCAGAGGCAUUUUUGUGAUAUCAGAGGGGGGCUUUUGACCUGAUAUUAUUGGGGCUUAAGUCCUAUUUUUUUAUUUUUGAGCUUGGUAAACUCUUGAAGGUGAUUUUGAAGAGAUUUCUUGUGCUAGAUCUUUUGGGUAAAAUUUUUUAUCCUAAAACUUCAUUUCUCUUUGAUUAUUUGUGGAUUUUAAUAUCAAAAUUUGGGAUUCUUGUUGGUAAAUGACAAGAUUUUCAAGAACUCGAGUUCUAAACUAAAAUGGAGAUUGCGAACUGAUUUUAAGUCCCUUUCUGAAAUGGUUUUCACCAGUGUAUUCCAAAUGCCAUGGGUAAUGAUUUCAAGUAAAGAAUUUCAUAUUCAAACUUCAUUUUUGGAAUCAGGUUUUGAGUUGAUUGACCUGUUUUCCAAAGUAUAUGAUGUGGGUAUUAUUAUUUUCAAAAAAUUAUGGUGAAUAUUUGUUUGUUAUAAAUUGUGUGGCUUUAGACAUUGAGCGGGAGGGAAAGACUCAAGUCUUGUAGUGACUAGUUAGUUGAAUUAAGGUACGUGAUCUCCCAAACCCUGUAUUUUAGUAGGAUUCAUGUAUUUUUCCUUUAUUGUGUGUUGGGAGUAAUGAGGAUGACAUAAAGAGUUCAUUGUUCCCCUUGAUUGAACUUAAUGAAUAAAUAGGGGAUUAAAUAAAAGGCUAUGUGUUGAUCAUACUGUUUUGUGAAUUGCCUUGUUGUGACCCCUAUUUGAUUGAUUAAUGAUAUGCUUUGAUGGCAUGAAUGUGAACUUGAAUUGUUUGAACUAUUGUCUCUUUCUUAUGGUGUGAAUUUGUCAUGGCCCAACCCACCGGACCAUGCGGGCACCUAAAUACUACCACCUAAGUAGAAGAACCCUCUCAUCCUAAUAGCUACAAUAUGCGUAAAUUAAAUAAAACGGAAGUAAAAUGUGCUAACGAAAUUUUAUAAAUAAGAACUAUUAAAAUAAAAUUAGUUUUAAGGCUUGUAAGUAAUUAACACCCUCAAGGAUCUAGUCUAAACAGGUACAAGAGCUACUAAGAGUACAACUAGACAUGAUAAUAAAAUACACAGCUCCCACCAUGCAGAAGGAAGCUAGAAGCUGCUGCAGAAUUUAUUCGUCUUUACCUAAUGAAACAUCACCAACAUGUAUCCAGACUAUGUCAAAAGACAUAGCAACAGUAGUAUCAGUACAAAACACGCGUACUGGUAGGCAUCAUGGGUCAACCCGAUGCCCACAGCAUAAAAUAAGAAAUCAACUAGCAGAAACAUACAAUAAACCACUCGCUUCUCCACCCUUACCCUCUCUUGAAUACCUCAGAAUUACACUAGCACCCUUACUAUAACUACUAACCACCUUCUCGAUCAACCUACUACUAGGUUCUUGAUCAUAGCCUAACUGUUCUAACACAUUGAGAAGUCCACCAAAUACACUAUAAGCAUUCCCACUAACCGCUCACGUCAUACCUUUACUUCCUCUUCAUAUCGCCCACCAAGGCCACAUAGCACAUUACGUCAAGCUUUCUAACCACUAACACAAAUCCCUUUCUUCAAGGUGAAAUUUGUCUAAGCAUUUUCAUGACGUACGCUACCCCACUUCCUUGCCAUUACAACACACAACCCCCUUUUCUCGGAUAUUAACCAUUCUUGAAACAUUGACUUCCCUCCUACCGUAUCUCCUCCCGGUUGGGUAUGCUCUUUUCGGUUCACUUUUCAUCAAGGUACAUAUCAAGUUUACUCACAUAGAAUAACAAUCAACAUAAGCCUUCAUAACCAUACAACAACUCCGGCAAAUACAACAUCAAUUAUCAUUACGAACAAGGUACAGUUUCACAAACCUCAAGCAUUACAAUUACAUCAAAUCAUUGGACCCAAACUCAAACAGUUAACAUACCGAAACGUGGUACCCCAUCCAAGAAUUAUGUCGAAACGUGGUAACCUAUCCCAUAAUUAUGCCGAAAUGUGGCAACCGAUCCAAGUUAGUUAUGCCGGAACGUGGCAACCGAACCAAGUUAGUUAUGCUAGAACGUGGCAACCGAUCCAGCCAACACACCAUAAUCACAAUCACAACUAUAUUUUCAAGUUCAUACAAAUUAGUCAUGAUUCAUGACAUUCAUCAUUCAUCUAUCUUAUUUACAACAAGUGUGAUCAAUAAUGCAACAUUAAUAUACGUACAUGUAUCAUAAUGAAGCAAGAACAAACAUACAUCACACAAUUAUAGAAUCACAACCAUCACCUAACCCUAGAUCAUCAUCUAAGGCUUUUUUCUAGGAUCUAACCACAAUUCUUUCGGUGAACGAAGGCCUACGCAUGAAUCCUACCAUUGAUUUACACAUAUUACGCAAUGAACACAAAUUUUAACUACUCAAUUCAUAAAACCUAGCCUACCUGGGCGCCAAGCAGCCGCACAGAGUUUUAGUCUUUGAUUCUUGUUUCCAGGGUUUGUGACAGUGAUCGUGAUCGGAAAUUCGCAAUCCAUCGAAAUCUUCACGCUAGGAAUCUCUCUCUUCCUUCUUCCCAGGCUUGCAGAAGCUUUUUUGGGGGUUUCUAGGGUGUUUUUACGACUAAAUUAGGUAUUUUAGGAAGAAGGAGAAAAUAGGAUUUCACGUUAUUUGCAUUUUGUCUCGCCUAUCCUGCUCUGGCGCCAACUUAUCCCGCCCUAGCGUCGCCGCCCUAAAGGCAUAUGGUCCGCCCUAGCGGGACGAUGGCACAGACUUUUCCCAAAUUUUUGUUUUCCUAAAUAACGACGGCUCGGGUCGCUACAGAAUUUUCUUAUGUGCAUUGAUUGUUGUACACCAUGAUGAGGUGUUUGAUAUAAAGUCGAUGGAAUAUGAUUUCGACUAGUCACAUGAUAUAGAGCCGAUGGGAAAUGAUUUCGGCUAGUGAUAUGAUAUAAAUCAAUGAAAAAUGGUUCUGGCUAGUGAUACAAAGCUGAAGAGAAAUUGUUUUGGCUAGUGGUACAAAACCAAUGAGAAAUGGUUCCAACUAGUGAUACAACGCCAAUGGAAAAUGGUUCCAGCUAAUGAUAUGAUAUAAAGACAAUGAAAAAUGGUUUCGGCUAGUGAUAGGUUAUAAAGCCGAUGGAAAAUGGUUCUGAUUAAUGAUAUUAUUUCGAAGGGAAAUGAUUCCGGCAAGAGUUUGAUUAUUAUGAUUUGAUGCUUAUGUUUGACAUAUUUGUUAACUGUGAUUGAUGCACUAGUUACUUGUGAUCGAUCUACUUGAUAUUGAGAUUAAUGUACUUGAUACGUGUUGAUUGUUGAAUUGUGACUAUUGAACUGUGAUUAUUGAGCCUUGUGAGCUGUGUAUUGUAGAACUUUUAGGUUGGGCUGAUUUCUAUGCAUAUUUUAGUUUGAGGAGGUUCGAUUGGUAUGAAAGGAGUACUCAAUUUCUAACUUGUUUUUUAUUAGAUUUCCUGUUGGGUACCGUGUUGUUGGUACUCACUCAUUGCUUCUACACUUGUUCAGGUUUCGAGCCCAGUAUAGCAUGUUUGUUCUUUCUCUCCUAUUUCAAAGGCUUGUCAAGGACCUGUUGAGAGGUAGUUGCUUGUCAUCCCGGUGGACCCUCCAUUUCUUCUUUUAAUGCUUUGUUCUAAUUGAGAAAUAAAGACUUGAGACUUUUACUUAUUUCUUAAUUUUGCACUUUAUGUAUUAGUGGUUUGUACGCGUAACAACCAGGUUUUGGGGUGUUAAUAAAAUGAAUAAGUUUUCUGCUUUUAUCUUGUUCUUGCUUUAUCUUUCUACAUUUUUUCGAUUCUUUUGGGUUGAGGCUAAUUUGUCUUAGUAAGGAUAGACAAGUGUCAUCACAUCCCUUUUUUAGAUUGUGACAAAAUCACCUAGUAUAAAUCUAUACACCUACGAAGAAUUAUAAGGAUCUUGAUAUAGAAAUUUUUUAGGUGUUUAGCAAAUAUUGAUGUCUUGGAGCAAUAACGUAAUUGUUAGAAAAAAAUUAAUAGGAAAUAAAAUUGAAGAAGAAGAAGACUUUGAGGCGUGUAAUAACUUUCUUUAAAGAGAUAUUGCAUGUAUACAUAUUGGGAAAAAUACAAACAAAUCCCUUCAGAAUACAACAAAGCCCUAUGUUUAUACAUGCAAAUUUUUCUUAGGCUAUUUCUAGAGAAUAUUUAUAUUUAUAGAAGUUAAGAGAUGACUUUUCAUAAGAUUCAUGUUCUUUCAUGAUAAAAUAACUUUUCAUAUGAGUCGUGUUCUUUCAUGAACAAAUGACUUUUCACAACAAUCAUGUUUUCUUCAUGAAAAAAUAACAGUGCAUCGUCCCAUCAUAAUGCAAUAAUAUGUAAUUAUUUAAUAUUUAAUAAAUAGUAAUGAUAUUCCAUAUUAUAUAUUAUAUACAAGUUCGAGUGUCUACUUGUGCACAGUCAAAGUUGGAGGACAUAAAUAUAAAAUAAAGUUAAUUAAAAGGGCAUAUUUAUGUAUUAUGUCAAUUGGUCAAACAUCUUUAUCAUUAUCUUUUGGUAAGUGAGUAGGAAACAACUCAAAGUUGACUCAUUUCUCCUUCCAAUCUAGAGAAAACUUGUAGUAUACAUAGCUACUACUAAUCAUAUUUUUUAGACCAUUCUAAAAUUGCUUCACUAAGUUAAUCAAGUAGUUGUAUUCUUGAGUCUUCCCAUUGAUUUCUUCAAGUACUAAGCAAGACAUGUUGUCAUUCUAUGUAAGUAAUUUAUAUGCUAAUUAAUUCUUCAUUUCUUUUCUACCUUUUUUGUUCCUAUUUUACAAGAUUUUUGUAAAUUCAUUAAAUUAAUUACCCCAUAUAUACCUUGUAUGUAUGCAUUCUAAACAUCAGCAUUUAAUGAUCUCCAAGUCUAAUGCUUUUUAUUCUUUGGAGAGUUAACAAGGUUGUUUUUUGUUGGUUUAUAGAUCUUAUAAGUUAUCAAUGUAACUUUUGUGAUAUAUGGAAUAUUUUUGGGGAACAUCUUAUAAAAUAAUAAAUAGUUCAACAUGAGUUUAAGAUGAGAAAAUAAAGAGUUUUUUCGAGAUCUUUGAAAUUCUUUUUCAUCUUUAGUCAAAGAUAUUUGAAAUUUCUUUAGGGACAGGAUGAAAUAUAAAUUGAAAUAUAUGGGGUUUCAAAUUUUAGGUUUCAUGAAAAAAGAAUAUUUUGAUAAAAAGUGUUUUCUGUUUUUAAAAUAUCAUUUGGUGUGAAUUUAGAAUAGAUUUUUCUACCAUCCUUUUCUUGAAAAUUUGUCAUUUACAAUUUAUUUUAUCACUCUUUUCUCUCUCCUUUUUGUUAUCCAUAGGCCUCAACUGAAUUUGUCUCUUGUGGACUAACAAUAAUAACAACUAUGUGUUAACCCUAGAUAAAUUUGAAUUGACUACAUGAAUAUUCACUAAUUUUGCUAUUUGGUAUAAGCUCAACAUAGAUAAUUAACUAAUACGAUAUAAAAAAAAUUCUAUAUUUUACAUCGCAUUAGAUGUUUUAGAUAUGACUUAAUACACUCCUAAAAAGCAUAAGACCUAACUUAAAUUUGUUAUAAUGACAGAUGUGGAUAGGUCAAUUGAGUUUGAUUUGUAUUUUUAAAAUAAUUUUUGAAGUUUUCAUUGGUAAAAAAUAUAUAGUAAUGGAAAUGGAGUUAUUCUAUAGAUUCGUAAUUACUAACUACUACCACAUUUCACUAUAACUAGACGCUUCAUUUAUGUUACUACAUGAGUUUAACUCUUUCUGAAUAUAUAUUGCUUCAAUAAAAUAUUUUUUUCACUUCGUUAUGCAAUUAUUUGGAACCAAAUAAUUCUCUUGUUCUAGUAUCUUGAUAUGUUGUUUCUUUUCAUUUGCAACUAUUUGGAACCAAAUAAUUUUUGAAUUUUGGUAUUAUAUGAUCACAUAUGCAUGAUAUUGAGUUGAACUGAUACAAUCUUAAAUUUGUUCAGAAAUAAAAGAUGGAAGGUCAUAGUGACAUGAAUGAGAGAAGAGAAAGUUUGAUUAAUGUUGUGAUAGGAGGAUCUGGAGAGGAAGAAAUAGAGAGAAGUUCUAUCGGUGACAACAUAAUUGGUGGUGCAUCUGUAGAUGAACGUUGUGAAUCAUCAUCGAAGAGAAAGAAACCCAUUAGGCAUAAUUCCGAUCAGAUUCAAGCGCUUGGAUCGUAAGUAUAAUUCUAAUUUAUUUUGUACUUGUAUAUUUGCUUAUGUUAAUUUUGAUUUUUUGAUCAUUGUUUAUACCAUUGGGAAUAGGUUUUUCAAAAAGAAUUCACUUCCUAACAAAAAAGUACAACUAGAACUUGCAACAAAAUUAUCCAUGGACAUCAACCAGGUGCAAAAUUGGUUCCAGAAUAAAAGAACCCAAAUGAAGGUGAUGCAUGUCACAUUUCUUUCCCUUAAUUUAUAUUUUUCUUACUUGAAAUUUGUAUAAUUGAUUAUAAAAAUGAAUUGUUUUAUUCUAUCAGUCGCAAUUGAAAUUGUACGAAAAUAAGACUCUGAAGCAAGAAAAUGACAAGUUUCGCAUUGAGCAUAUUGUAAUGAAGGAAGCCCUGGAAAAUUCAAUUCGUUACAAUUGUAAAGAAAAAAUAGAUGAGAAUCAAAGAAAGAUUGAGCAUGACCAAUUGGAAGAUGAAGUUAAAAGGCUUACCGCCCAAGCGUACAAAUUAAGCUUAUUUAAUAAAGAUGUAGUGCAUGAUAAGAUGGUGUUAUUGAAUCUUGCUAUGGAUGCCUUGAAUGAGCUUUUUAGGCUGUAUGAGAAUGAUAAACCUCUUUGGGUAAGCAGUUUGGAUGGAGGUGGAGAAACGUUAAAUAUUGAGGAAUAUGCUCGAUUGUUUACCCCAUUAAUUGGCACGAAACCUGAGCAUUUCACAACGGAAGCCACAAAGGCAUCAGGUAUAGUGGCUGACACUAGUUUGGCAUUGGUGAAUACACUGAUGGAUAAGGUACGUAGGCUCUUCAUUUUAAAUUCAAUGUUUUCUUCUAUCUCAUUUUAAAGAACUAUCAUCUCCUUACCACCUACCCCUUAUUUGACGUGAAUAAUUAGUUCUUUUUAUUUUUAUUCUUUUUAAUUAGUUGUACUCUUACUUUUACUAUAUUUGACAUAUCUUUUUAUUGGUUUUUUUUAGUGGUGCUUCAAUUAGUUGUUGCAAAUUAUAUAAUCAAUCAAAUUUAACUUCAAGUGAUGAAGACAGGUAUGUAUUGACAUGUUAUAUUUUUAUUUUUUGCUAUGUACUGUAUUGUAUAUAUGCAGAGGCAGUGGGUAGAGAUGUUUCCAUGCAUUGUUGGAAAAACAUAUACUACUGAUGUGAUUUCCACUGGCAUAGGUGGAAAUAAGAGUGGUUCUCUGUUAUUGGUAUUUCUAUUUACUUAUUAUUUUGAUGAAAAUUACAUAUCUUAUUUAUUUUAUUAUUUCAUGCACUAACAACUUGAAAGUAGUGAUUUGCAGAUUAAAACUGAAUUGCAAAUCAUUUCUGUCCUAGUUUCUGUUCGUGAAGUACAAUUUCUUCGCUUCUGUAAGAAACAUGUUGAAGGUGUAUGGGCUAUCGUCGAUGUGUCUGUUGACACAAUGAAAGCACCAGAUUGCUAUAGACUAGAUUAUUCUUAAUAUGUUUCUCUGUCACUACUAACAUCGUACUUUCAAAGAUAUUCUUCCUAACAGCGCCUCGACUUCGUCUACUUCCCUCACGGCUUCUCUGCCUAUGGUUUCGACAUUAGGAUGGCAUAGUCUGGAAGUUUUCUCUUUUUUCCUCAUGUUAGCAAACUAGAAAACAUACUAACAAUAAUUCUAGUAAAUAACAACUAAUAUAAAUUUAUUCUAUCAUGUUAUGAUAUUCAGGAAUUAAUAACUCUAGCUAUACAUAGUCAUGAAGAUGUGUACCUUUGUAUCUGCAUUUUGAUCCAUAGCUUUAACUGAAAAGGCAGUGGGUAGAGAUGUUUCCAUGCAUUGUUGGAAAAACAUAUACUACUGAUGUGAUUUCCACUGGCAUAGGUGGAAAUAAGAGCGGUUCUCUGUUAUUGGUAUUUCUAUUUACUUAUUAUUUUGAUGAAAAUUACAUAUCUUAUUUAUUUUAUUAUUCCAUGCACUAACAACUUGAAAAUAAUGAUAUGCAGAUUAAAACCGAAUUGCAAAUCAUUUCUGACCUAGUUUAUGUUCGCGAAGUACAAUUUCUUCGCUUCUGUAAGAAACAUGCUGAAGGUGUCUGGGCUAUCGUCGAUGUGUCUGUUGACACAAUUCAAGAAGGUUCACAACAGAGCGAAAUUGAAAAUUGUCGGAGGCUCCCAUCUGGCUGUAUUUUACAAGAUAUGCCAAAUGGUUAUUGCCAGGUAAUUCAAAAUAAAUUGUCUUUUUAUUUUGCAUUUCAUAGGCCUUUAUAUUUUUUGAAAUUCAAUGCGCUAGAUCGCUCAUAUUUUAUUAAUUUUAUUCUUGUUGAUUUAUUUUUAUUAAUUUUUUUUAUAAUACGAUCUAUGUAUUCAUUGUAGUGCUUUGUUCUCUAUCAAAAUUAUUUUUUAUUUAUUUGGAAUGAGAAAGAUCAACUUUUUUCUAGCUCUGAGUAAUGCAACUAUUUAGUAAUUGUUUAAAACAUGCUAUAUUCUUUCUUGAUAAAGAAUUUCUUUUUAUUAUUCUUCACCUUGUAACCAUGCAAUAAAAUUCUAAUUGUCUAAUUUUUUUAUGCUCACUUUCAAAUUAAUAUAUUUAGAUACAUUAAUUUUUCUGCAAUUUUUUGUUUCCUUGUAUCCUCACAUCAUACCAAAUGCAAGACCUAAAUAUUUUGCACACUCCCUCCUUCCAUAUUUAUUGGCAAGACCACUAGAAAUCAUUUUUGAGGAUACAUUCCUUGUGAUUGACUCUUUUAUUUAAUGGUUGAAUUUUCUAAGUUGUCUCCAAUAAUGGCCAUUUUAUUUUAAUUAAUAAUUAAGUUAAUUUUCAUGCAAGCUCAUAUUUUUCUCUCUAGUGAUUUUGUAAUAUUGAUGAAAUAUUUUCAGGUUACUUGGAUUGAGCACAUGGAAUAUAAUGAAAAUCUUGUCCACGAUUGGUAUCGCCCUGUGAUAAAGACUGGUCUGGGAUUUGGUGCUCAAAGGUGGAUGGCUACUUUGCAAAGACAAUAUUAGUUCUUGAAAGUGAUGAAGUCAAUUAUUGAUCCAAUAGGUAAUCAUGCAUAGAGGUUUAAUUAUUGUGCCAUUUAUUUUUUUUAUAGUUUUGAAUAUUAAAAAUAAUUGAUUCUUAUGUAACUUUAUUUGUGGCAGUUGAUUUAAGUGGUGAGAGAGGUAUAAGGAUGUUGGCUCAACGUAUGACGCAUAAUUUUUGUGCGGGGGUUUGUGCAACCGCUCACUAUUGGGAAAUAAUUCAACUAGCAAAUAAAGAAAAUUCCAAAUUAAUGAUGAGGACGAAUAUUAGUGACCUUGGUGAAUCGACUGGUAUGGUGUUAAGUGCUACAAAGACAAUCUGGUUACCAGUGAAACACAAGCGUUUGUUCAAAUUCCUCACUAAUGAACAAAUAAGGAGCCAGUGGGAUGUCUUGUCCAAUACUUGUCCCCAUGAAACGAAUGAUCAAUAUUUCUAAGGGUUCAAACUGUCGACAGUAACAUUUCUCUCUUUUUUCCUCAUGUGAGUGGUUAAUUGUUGUGUUUUUUUUUGGAUACAUGAUUGAAUUAGUUUUUUUUUGAUUAAUUGUUAAUUUAUAAAUAAUCUUUUCUUUUGAUUCAGACAUGUAGGGGGAUGAUUCUGGUGCUAAUCGAGUGAUCUUGCAAGAUACUUGCAUGGAUGCAACUGGAUCUCUUUUGGUUUAUGCUACAAUUGAUUCACAAGAAAUUAAUACCGUGAUGAAAGGAGGGGACUCUUCUUGUGUGACUCUCUUCUCAAAUGGAAUAACAAUAGUCCCAGAUUAUUUUCAAGAUUUCUCUACAACUAAUAACUAUAAUGUUAUUUCUGGGGAGAUGAAUAAUGGGUUCGGUGGUGGAUCGUUGGUGACUAUCAGCUUUCAAAUGGUGGGGAACAUCUUUCCAGCUACAACUCUUUCUAUGGAGUUGGUCAAAGAAGCAAAUGCACUCAUCUCACACACAAUUCACAAGAUCAAGAGUGCUCUUAAAUGCAAGUGAUAUUUCAAGGCUAUCUACCAUCCAUUGAUUUGUUAUGUGCUUUGAGUCUCUUCUGUCUUUCUUGAUUUGGAUCAUAAUAUUAUUAGAUUGUACUAUUUUGAGUUUAUCUUAAAAAAAUCAUAUUGAUAUUUGAUUCUCUAUUGCUUGUUUGAUUUUGUUUUACAUUAAUGUUCUUGAUCUCAAGCCAACUUUAUAAUAAUCUGAGCGAAAAUUAACAAUUUUUUUGAAAUUAACCAAAUUUUGAAUCUCACAUUUGUUAUUAAAUACUAUCAUUUUGCAUUUAACAAACACAUUCACCUAAUAAAUAUAAUUUAACUUAUCGGGAAGAAAAAUGAUUGUAUCAUAUAUAAAACUUUGAAGUGACAAAUUUGAUUAUUGGCUAAGUGUUGAGAAGUAACGUUUAACUAUUUGAGAUUUAUAGAAAAUUUGAAGUGGAAGCAUCCUGAGGAAUAUGUUUGAUAAAUUCAUUAUCAUCAUAGAUUACUAGUAAUAAUAAAAUGUAAAUAUUGGCUAUAAUUUCAACAUAAAUAAAUAAUUAUUAUGUUUUACUUUCAAAUAAAUAAAAGCGAAAAUGCAUGAUUACACCCCAACCUGAACUAUAUAAAAAUAUUCAAGCACACACACUUUAUAUUUGUGGGAGUUUUAUAACCCCUUGAACUUUUUAAAAGUUGAAUAAAUACUAUCCUAACUACUGACUUGGAACAAAUUCUACUAUAUUAGAAGAGUGAGUUCAAAAUGAGUAUCAACAUACUUGCUUCCUGUCAUUCAAUUCAUAUUUGAGGGAAAUUGUGACUAUUCAACUCUCUCUAAUUUAUGCCUGCAAAUUUACAUGUCACUUGGAGUAGUAAUUGCAGUCUUUCCAGUUUCUUACCUUGGGACACAUAUUGAUAUGACUUCAACAUCUCUUCUAUUUUCCAUUCUUUAGCGCAAGUGGGAGAAAUUGCCGUGUUCUUUUAUUUAUUUUUUGCCAUUCUCUCUCACUUGCAUCUUCCAUUCAUCUCUAUUGUAAUUGUCAAGUACUCUUUUUGUUAUUAUUUUUUUUAUGUUGCUCUCCUAUAUAUUUUUUUUAAGAUAUUCUUCCUUUGUUUGAGUGAGUUUCUAUUUAGGCAUCUAAUGUAUUUGGUUAUGUGUCUUAAUAACUUUUUAUUUUUCUCUCAUUGAUAGUUAUCUUACCUGUUUUGGAUCUUCAUCUUGCAAUUUAAUAAAUUAAGAUAAUUUAUCACUUUAGUUUCUAAUGUAUUCUUGCUAUUAGUCAUUUUUCAAGAUAUUUUUUCAAAGCAAAAUUAUCAUCUAUGUAUUAUUUGUGUGUCAAGUUAAUAAUCGACAACUAAAAAUAUACUAAGGAGUCAUCAUUUUUAUUUGGUGUUUUUUCUCUUUCUUUAUAGUUAAAGAUUAAACUGGAUAGUCAACUUCAUAAUUUGAACUUUGACUUGUGCGUCAAUUGUGGACUCUGAGUUAUUAAGUUGUCCCUUGGGAGAACAUAUGGUGUUUCCUUUUGUACUUCUUUUUAUAAGGUUAAAUAAAAUGCUUCCACAAAUAUUUUGAAGUCUAAAAUUGUUAUGGAAUUUGAUAUUGUAAGUGUCACACCCCGAAGCUACCCCCAGGACGUGGACACGGAACCUAGGAUCACGAGUGACCCCAAGCUAACCCUACUGGCAUAUCAUAAGCAUACUAAAGUAAAUUGAAGUAAAAAAAUAUUGUACAGAAGCUAAGUCAUCAUUUAAGCUGAAAUGAUGGGGACUACCCAUAUACUAUCUGAAUAUAUAUAAAAACUGAGAGUUUAACAAAUGCUGAAAGGUCAAACUCAAGUGCUAAAGAUGAAACUAACUAUGUCUGAAAAUAGCCUCUAACUGACUAGAAGUGCUGGGACAUGCCCCAGCUAAAUCUAGCAAAAACUAAAAUUAAGACUAAAAGCAAAGGAAACAUGUAUGUCGUCCUCGGAGAAUGACGACUCACCACUGAUGUUGUUGAGCUGAAGAUCAGGAACCGAUCUAUGCAUGAUCUAGAAGUUGAGAACCUGAACCUAUAUCGCGAGAAGAUGUAACGCAGAGUAUGUGUCAGUACUUGAAAGGUAUUGAGCAUGUAAGAUAGAAUAAAGCUGAACAACAUACAUAACUGAACAAAGCAUAUAACUUACUCACAUGAAUGAUUCUAGGUUGAAAGGAUUGCUCACCUAAAAUGAAUCUAGACUAAAAGCUUAUGUAAUUGAUGAGGAUAGAGGCAAUUACCCUUGACCUCCAUAAGUAAGGAUAUGAGGUGAUUCCAAUACUCCUUAGAAUUGAACAAGAUGUGAGUCCCCACGUUCUUACUAUGAUGAAUGUACAUGGAGGCGAGUACCCAUGCUCCCUAUGAAAUGAUGUAGAAGCGAGUACCCGUGUCAUAUGAUGAGAUUGUGGAGGCGAGUACCCGCGAUUUCAAAGUAAGUAAGGUAAGAGACGAAUACCCAUUAGCCUUUGUAAGUUAGUCAAAGAGGUGAAUCCCUAUGUCUUUAAAAGUAAGUAUGAACGAUAUGAUUAUGUUGUGAAGAAUGAUUAGCUUGGAUUGUUGUGUGCUUGAUAUGCCUUCCAUGAGGUAAGUUGACUAGAGGCGGAUGACCCAAGUCUUGACUAAGGCAAUGUAAGGUUAUUUGAGAAGUACUCCUUUCUUAUUAUUGUAUUGAUUUAUAUACAUUGGUUAUGCUUAUGGUUUGUAUUGACUAGCCAUGAUGUUUAUGUUGUUUAUGCUAGCUAUCAUAUUUAGUACAUUCUUGUACUAACUCAUACUCUUGCCUACAUUCUUAUCAAAUGUAGGGUCCGACGUUCCCGAUUAACACAUUUGUGGCUAGGUUCUUAGUUGAUCAAGGAAGUGAAGCUUUGAUGAGUCCUCAUUGUAUGCGAGAAUUGGGUCACCCCUUUAUCUCUUUUAUGUCUUUAUUUUCAUGUUGGACUAUUGUAUGGGCUGCGUUCAAAGAUUUUUAUCUUUUAUGUUAGAUGAUUUAAGACAAUGAUGUUUGACUUCCACUCGUUUUAUAAAAGACUUUGAUUGUGUUGAAAAGUUUUAAAUUUCCGCACCUUUUCUAUUACUUUAUGUUAUGGUAAGCUAAGUGUCUUGUAUGAGGCCUCUCAGGGUCUUAUACGCCUUGUUGCAUCUAGGGGUACUCCUGGGUCAUGACAAACUUGGUAAUCAGAGCACAAGGUUUAGAAUGGUUCUAGGAUGUCUCAAACCACGUCUAGUAGAGUCUUGUUCAUAAGUGUGAAGUGCGUCACAUUUAUGAAUGAGAGGCUAUUAAAUGUUUAGGAAACUUUACUUCUUCACUUCUCUAAGUCGUGCCAUGGAGUUUAACUCUAUAAUUUUUUCUCCUAAUCCGUGCUCGAUGGUUUUCAGGAUUUGACUAAUAGAAGGGCUACAAAAAGGAUAGAGGGGGACAAUGUCGAUCAAGAGGUUCCUCCUCAAGUUCCUCCCCAAGCUCAUCCUCAAGCUCCGAUUACCAAAGUUUAGGAAGACCCUCAAGAGUUUAUCGAUGAGGUCUACAAGGUACUUGCUAUUAUGGGUGUGACUCCGGUAGAAAAGGCGGAACUAGUCGCUCACCACCUCAUAGGGGUUUCUCAUAUUUGGUUCAAUCAGUGGAAAGAGGCAAGGCCACUAGAAGCGGGUCCUAUAGAAUGGGAAAGGUUCAAAAGUGCUUUUCUUGACAGAUUCUCCCCUCUAGAUAUGAGAGAGGCUAAGGUACUUGAGUUCAUCAACCUUAGGCAAGGAAAUAUGAGUAUAAAGGAAUACGCCUUGAGGUUCACUCAACUAUCCAAGUAUGAUCCUUCCAUUGUGGUGGAUUGUAAGGCCAAGAUGAGUAAGUUUGUGUCGGAAGUGUCCAACAUGGUAGUCAAAGAGUGCCUCACUUCUAUGCUUGUCCAUGACACGAACAUUUCUCGCCUUAUGGUGCAUGUCCAAUAAAUUGAGGAAGAAAAGCUCAAGGAAAGAUCCAGAGAGGCAAAGAGAGAAAGAGUGGAUGAUGGUAACUAUUCAUAUUCUAGGUCCGGUGGACGGGGUCGUUCACCAUUUCGGCAAAAGUUCUCUGGGCAAGGUUCUACUAGUGCUCCUUCAAGGCCUAAUAAUGAGAGGGUAUCUAACCCAAAACCUCAAGGAGAUGGUAAUAGGUCUUCAAUUCCUACUUGUGCUAAAUGUGGGAGAAAUCAUGAAUGGAAGUGCUUAGCGGGGUCCAAUGCUUGCUUUGGUUGUGGGAAGACGGAUUACAAAAUAAGAAAUUGUCAUUCGUUUGCUAAGAAUGAUGGAGAUGUUCAUCAUAGGGCUCAACCCUACCCUUCAUCCAGUCCAAGUGGUUCGGGUGCAAGUGCUCCUAAGAAAAACUGUUUAUGUGCUCUCCAAACUAGAGUUGAUCAAGAAAGUUCCCCGGAUGUGGUGACUGGUAUGUUAAAAAAUUUCCAUAUAGAUGUGUAUACUUUACUUGAUCUGGAUGCUACUUUCUCCGUUAUGACCCCUUAUGAAGCUAGAAGAGUUGUCUGAGGUCGUCCUGCUAGGAGAAAUGUCGAGGAACAAGGGGUACCUAAUGCACCAGAAAUGCAACCCCAAGGAGAGGUCACCAAGGCUGAAUUCUGUGAAGCUAUCCAAAUGUUAAGUCAAGUUGUGACCCAUCAAGUUGGACAGAGAGACAAUCGACAUGAAGUGGUUGAUACUUCAAGGAUCCGUGAGUUUUUAAGGAUGAACCCACCAAGCUUCACAGGUUCAAGUGUCAUAGAGGAUCCGGAAAACUUUAUUGAAGAGCUUCAAAAAAAAUUCGAGAUUAUGCAUGUUGUUGAUGUUGAUAGGGUAGAACUAGUUGCAUACCAAAUGAAGGGUGUCGCUAGAAUCUGGUUCGACCAAUGGAAAAAGAAUAGGGCUGAUGAUCCACCAAUAGUGAGUUGGGCUGUAUUUGAGAGUGCUCUUAUGGGGCAUUUCUUUCCCCAUGAGUUGCGAGAGGCAAAGAUAAGAGAGUUUCUCACCCUUAAUCCGGAGUUUAUGAGUGUUCAUGAGUACAGUCUGAAGUUCACACAACUUUCCUGCUAUGCUCCGAAGAUGGUUGCUGACAUGAGGAGCAGGAUGAGUUUAUUCGUUGUGGGGUUGACUCGUCUGUCAAGUAAGGAAAGUAAGGCAGCCAUGCUAAUAAGUGACAUGGGCAUAGCAAGACUAAUGAUCUAUGUGUAACAAGUUAAGGAGGACAAGCUAAAGGAUAGAGAAGAGUUUAAGAACAAGAAAGCUAAGUCAUCAAGGAAUGAGUCCGGGCAGCAAAAGAGUAAUGUGAACCGGUCUUCUUUCCAACAUAAGCAGAAAGCACUUGCUUCACCAUCUGCUAGUGUACCUGCACCAAGGAACAAAUGUGAGUACAAUAGUAAGAAUUCUCAAAACUUCAGAGCUAGACCUGCGCAUUCGCAAGGUGGUAAGGCACAAUGGGGUACUAAGACUCAUGCAUGUGCUAAGUGUGGUAGGAGCCACUCAGUGGUGUGUCGUGAUGGCUCCACUAGUUACUUCAAGUGUGGCUAGAACUGUCAUUUUAUGAGAAAGUGUCCUAAGAGCAGACAGAGUAAUGGUAAUGGGGGCAAUAGAACCCAAUCUUCAUCAGUUCCUCCACCGGAUAGAGCUUUAUCUAGAUGAACUACUUUAAGGGCAGGCGGAGAAGGAAACCAUCUUUAUGCUAUCGCUAGUCGCCGAGAGCAAGAGGAUUCACCAGAUGUUGUCACUGAUAUGAUCCAAGUCUUUGAAUUUACUGUUAAUGCUUUGCUAGACCCAGGGGUGAAUUUAUCUUUUGUAACUCCUUAUGGUGCUAUGAAUUUUGAUGUUAUUCCUCAGCAACUUAGUGAACCAUUCAGUGUUUCUACACCUGUUGGUGAUUCUAUUCUAGCAGAAAAAGUCUAUCGUGAUUGUCCCGUUUCCGUCAAUCACAAGAGUACCACGGCUGACUUAGUUGAGUUAGACAUGGUAGAGUUUGAUGUCAUUCUAGGUAUGGACUGGCUUCAUGCCUGUUAUGCAUCAAUAAAUUGUAGAACUCGAGUAGUCAAGUUCCAGUUUCCAGUGAACCAGUUAUAGAGUUGAAAAGCAGUCCAGCAGUGCCUAAGGGAUUUUUUAUUUCGUACCUUAAGGCGAGAGAGUUAGUUUCCAAGGGGUGUGUUUAUCACUUAGUCCGAGUUAAUGACUCUAGUGUUGAGAUACUUCUUAUUCAGUCAGUUGCAGUAGUAAAAGAGUUUCGAGAAGUCUUUCCUGAUGAUUUUCCCGGAGUCCCUCCUGAGAGAGAAAUAGACUUCGGUAUAGAUAUUCUUCCAUAUGCUCGUCCUAGGUCUAUUCUUCCAUAUAGCAUGGCACCAACAGAGUUGAAAGAGUUAAAAAAAACAGUUAAAAGAUCUUUUGGAAAAAGGUUUCAUUCGACCAAGUAUCUCACCUUGGGGAGCUCCGGUCCCAUUUGUGAGGAAGAAAGAUUGUUCCCUUAGGAUGUGUAUAGAUUAUCGUCAGUUGAACAAGGUUACCAUCAAAAAUAGUAUCCUCUUCUGAGAAUUGAUGAUCUUUUCUAUCAGCUUCAGGGUGCUUCGUAUUUCUCAAAGAUAGACCUCGAAUCAGGCUACCAUCAGUUGAGGGUAAGGGAAUGUGAUAUUCCAAAGACAGCAUUCAGGACCCGUUGUGGUCAUUAUGAGUUUCUGGUCAUGUCCUUUGGUUUGACCAAUUCGCCUGCAUCAUUCAUGGACCUUAUGAAUAGAGUUUUCGAACCUUAUUUAGAUAUGUUUGUUAUCGUCUUCAUUGAUGACAUUCUAAUCUAUUCGAGGAAUGAGGAAGAUCAUGUGAGUCAUCUCAGAAUAGUUCUCCAGAUUUUAAAAGAUAAAGAGUUAUAUGCCAAGUUCUCUAAGUGUGAGUUUUGGCUUGAGUCUGUGACAUUGUUGGGCCACAUAGUUUCCGGUGAUGGAAUUAAAGUUUAUACUCAGAAAAUAGAAGCAGUGCAGAAUUGGCCUAGACCCACAUCUCCAACUGACAUUAGGAAUUUCUUGGGAUGGCUGGAUAUUAUAUAAGGUUAGUCGAGGGAUUUUCAUCUAUUUCAUCCCCUUUGACCCAGUUGACUCAGAAAAUAGUGAAGUUUCAAUGGUCUGAAUCUUGAGAGAAAAGCUUUCAGGAAUUGAAAAAAAAAGGUUGACUACUGCCACGGUGUUGACCUUACCCGAAGGUAUGUAAGGCUUUGUUGUAUAUUGACAUGCAAACUCUGAGAAUGCAACAAUUAUAAUUGAUAAUGUGACAUUUGUAAACUGAAGUGUGUAUAUAUAUUUUAGACUGACCUAGCAUGUGUAAUUCAUGAACUAAACGAAUCUACAAAACUAGGGUUCUGAAUAUCAUACAAGAAAUUAAGCAACAAUAUGAUAAUCUGGUUUGGAUCAUUCUAACAGCUAAAACCCAAUAAUUUCUAACAUUUAAGAAAUGCUAGGUCUAGAUAAUAUAAAGGGAAUCAAGAUUAUGAUUGAAAUCUAGGGACCUAAUGGGUGAAAGGAAGUGAAAUUACACAUACCUGGUGACAAAAUUCACGAAGAACUCUUUCGAUUUCGGGGAUGGAACUGAAAAAGACGUGUUGCAUUCUUGGAAGGGUUUGGGUCACCUCUUUUCUCCUCUUUUGUUCUAAGUUUGAUGAUUUUUUAGUGAAUAAAGGUUUUGGUUAUAUCCUGACUAGGUUACUAGGCUUAAUCUAAGUAAAACGACGUAGUUUAGGUUAAACGACAUAGUUUAGAGGGCCAACGCAUAAGGGAAAGGACCAAAACAACCCUAACUUAAUUCUGACGAAGCACAUCCACGGAGGGACCUACGGUCCAUCGUUUGACCUACCGGUCGUCGUUUCGGUUCGUCGGUCAAGUCUUCCCAACAAGGCUUCGCAAAAAUGAGCAUAACUUUUUACUCCGAGAUUAAAUUUUAGCAAACUUAGUGGCGUUGGAAAGAGGAUUCAAUUAUCUAUCAUUAGGUAGGUCAUGUUCCACCUAAUUCCUUUUUUUCUAAGGGUUAUUACCCUUUUAAGUUGACCCAACAACAAUAUCUCUCUAACUAGUUGCUGACCCUCACCUAUGGUCAGACCUACAGUCCAUAGGUCCAACCAUGGACCGUACUAGUCAACCGUGGAUGGGAUCAGAGACCAUAAAUAUUUGGUGCUCAAUGAAGGACCCCACCUACUGACCGUGUGUCAAACCACGGACAGUCGGUGGCUUCCAUGGUUCUUGCACCAGGUCUGGAAAGCUGUAAUUUUUUUAUUUUAUUUUCUCAAUUCCAAGGUGUUACAAUAUCUCCCCCUUGGGAACAUUCAUCCUCAAAUGAAGUCUAAGCAAGCUGAGUAUGGAGGCAAGAAGCUGCAACCCCUACCAUUAAGUACUAGAAACUGAUAUCUAACUGAACUGAGUUCCAAGAACAUGCAAAUAUCUUGAAAAUGCAAGAACAACUGAAGGAACAAUAUACUAAGACUAAAUUUACGCAAGAGUAAACUGAGAGACUGGAGAGGAAACUAUUAUCUCAAGUUGAAAUGGAAUCGGAAAAAAAAAGAUGAGAAUACUUGGCCUUCAUGGCUGCUUCAACUACUCAUCCAUCUUAGGAACACAUAAGCGACCAUCUCCCCCUUGGGAGAAAACCUCUAUUUUUUGUUGUUGAACUGCACCUUCUGACUGAAAUAAUAUAGGAUCAUUGUCCUGUUUUCCCUUAGCCUCGCUACCAAUGAAGGUUCUGAUCUAUUUUGGACUAUCACACCACCAUCUGAUGUGUCCGUACGACUAACUCCUAAGCGAGCAAGCCGAUGAACAUCUUUUGCUAAUUCCUUCCUUUUUUUCUCAGCAUGUGCUACACCACCCUCUAUAUCACCUUUCUGGCCUUAAGGUAAGAGAUAAUUCGACCUACAGACACUGAGCUACUAUCCUUUCAUUCUAAGACUGGCUUGUUCGAAACUGAAACAAAACGAUCCUAGUUCUACAAUCGACUGAGGCAUAACAGGAAUGUAACCAAUAUGUGCCUAGAAUGACAUCAAAAUCUACAAUUUCUAACUCUACAAGAUCUGCUAAAAUGACUUUCUAAGAGACUGUGACAGGGCAAUUUCUAUAUGCCUAUCUAGCUAUAACUAGGUCACCAACUGGAGUAAAGACUGAGAAGGGUUUCUGAAAGAGUUUCUAGACUAACACCUAAGAUUACUGCUAUAAAGAGAGUUACAAGGGUAAGAGUAACCCCUGGGUCUAACCAUGCAUAAACAUCUAAGGAAAGACUCGAAACGUACAAGUGACCACAUCAGGCAAAUCUUCCUGAUCCUAGUGCGCCUGAAGAGCAUAAAACCUGCCUUGGCGCUGACCGCCACUUGUACUAGAUGACACACCCUGCUGAGUUGGGCGACCUUCUGGUGUUGUUGGGAUUGUAGACUAAGCCCUAUUAUUGUUACCUCUUUGACCCUGCCUGGAAGAAUGGCAAUCCUUCACCCUAUGACCAAACUAACCACAUCCAAAACAUCCUUCAUUGCCUGUAAGACACUCGCCCGGAUGGUUCUUACCACACUUUGGACAAGUUGGGUAGGUCAUAUUUCCUGAAACACUUCCUUGACACUUAGAGCCCGGUGCCCUACUAUUCUAAUCUUGUCAAAACUGUGAGUGAUCUCCACUACUCGAUUUCUGAUGAGAGUACUCAUGGUUCACUAUUCUAGCUUUCUUGUUGACCUUAGCUAUUUCCCUAAGCUUAUCUUCCUCAACUUGUUGAGAAUGAGUCAUGAGCCUAGAGAUGUUCAUAUUCUCCAGCAACAUAGCAUUUUGACACUCUAUUUUUACCAAGUCGGAUACCCCAUACAGAAUCUUGUUCAUUUGAGCCUUGGAAUUGGCAACUAUGUGAGGAGCAUACCUGGAGAAUUGGGUGAACUUGAGUUUGUACUCUUGGACUGUCAUGCUACCUUAACUUAAAUUUAUGAACUUUUGAGCUCUUACCUCCCUCAACUCUCUUGGGAAGAACCUGUCCAGAAAAGUCUCACUAAAACACUCCCAUGUGAUAGGAGCCGCAUCCGUACCCCUGUUUUCUUUCCAUUGAGUAAACCAGAUGUGAGCUACAUCCUUAAGCUGGUAGAAUGCCAACUUUACCCUAUCAUUUCCAGUCAGUUUCAUCACUCCAAAGAUCUUCUUGACCUCAUCUAUGAAGUUUUGGGGAUCCUCACCAACUUGCGACCCUAGAAACUCAGGCGGAUUCAUCCUUAUAAAAUCACAAACCCUGGUUGCCACUGAUCCACCACUAGCAUUUGCAGGAACUGGAACCUACUGGUUGUUCUGGUUAGUCACACUCUAAGCCAAAAGCUAAAUGGCAUUCCGUAACUCAGCAUUCGCAACUUCCUGAUAUGGGGUUGGAGGAGUUGCGUUAGCGUUGCAUGCAUUCGCAUUCCUUCUGUAAGCUCUACGAGGAGGCAUGAUCUAACAGCACAUAAUGAUGGAUUAGACAGAGAGCAUACCUUACGCACGAUAAGAAUAUCAAGAAAGUGAAGUUUUCCUAAAACACUUUGUAGCCUCCCACUCAUUAGAUGUGAUGCACUUCACACCCAUGAAAAGGACUCUACUUAGCACAGCCUUUCAGACAUCCUAAGACACUUAAACCUAGUGCUCUGAUACCAAGUUUGUCGCGACCCAAAGCUACCCCCAGGAUGCGGACACGGGACCUAGGAUCACGAGUGACCCCAAGCUAACCCUACUGGCAUAUCAUAAGCCUACUAAAUAAACUAAAGUAAGUAAAUAUUGUGCGGAAGCUAAAUAAUAAGAUAAACUGAAAUGAUGGGGAAUACACAUUCUACGCCUGAAAAUAUAUAUAGAACUGAGAAGAGUUUAAGAUACUCAAAUAAAACUCAAAUGCUAAAACUGAAUCUUACUAUGUCUGAAAUAAGCCUCUAACUGACAAGAAGUGCUAGGACAUGCCCCAACUAAAUCUAGCAAAAACUGAAACUAAAAACUAAAAGUAGAAAGAUAAUCAUGUCAAUCGUCCUCGAAGAAUGAGGACUCACCACUGAUGUUGUUGAACUGGAGAUCGGAAACCGAUCUAUGCGUGAUCUGAAUGUUGAGGACCUGAACCUACAUCAUGAGAAGAUGUAGUGCAGAGUAUGCAUCAGUACUUGAAAGGCACUGAGCAUGCAGAAUAGAGUUAACCUAAACAAUAAACAUAACUGAACAAAGCAUAUAACUGAGCAAUGAUAUUAGAAAAGCAUGAUACUAUACUGGGAAUACUGAACAUGAACUAGCUGAAUGUAAUGACCAAGUUUAUAAUAUGCUGAAACUGAAAUCUAAACUGUAUUUAAUAACAUGGUCAAUGCAAUAAAAUCUGACUGUGGGAGCAACUAAUAACCGACAUAAAACCACAUGAGCUAAAUGUGGAGUUCGAUGUAUAUGCCCCAUCGAGAGGACCCAAUAUACCCUGCCAGAGGUAUAGAGGCAAGACUGGCUUGAUCACUAAAAUGUAAUGCCCACAGAGAGGACUUAUAAACCUACUGGGGCACGUAUUUCUGGGACUAUUCGGGUACGCUGAACCCUAGUCCACUCGGUCUAAGCCUACUCCCAAUUAGAAUGUAUAUAUGACUAAAAUGUUGAAGUACUGGAUAGCUCAAUUACUGACAUGCAAACUCUGAUAAUACAAUAAUUAUAACUGAUAAUGUGACAUUCGUAAACUGAAGCAUGUAUAUCUAUUUUAGACUAACCUAGCAUGUGUAAUUCAUGAACUAAACGAAUCUACACAACUAGGGUUCUGAAUAUCAUACAAGAAACUAAGCAACAAUAUGAUAAUCUAAUUUGGAUCAUUCUAACAACUAAAACCCAACAAUUUCUAACAUUUAAGAAACUCUUGGUCUAUAUAAUAUUAAGGGAAUCAAGAUUCUGACUGAAAUCUAGGGACCUAAUAGGGGAAAGGACCAAAACAACCCUAUCUUAAUUCUGAUGAAGCCCAUCUACGGAGGGACCUAUGGUUCGUCGUUUGACCUACCGGCCGUCAUUUCGGUUCGUCGGUCAAGUCUGCCCGACAAGGCUUCACUAAAACCAGCAUAACCUUUUACUCUGAGAUCGGAUUUUAGCAAACUCGGUGGCGUUGGAAAGAGGAUUCAAUUAUCUAUCAUUAGGUAGGUCAUGGUCCACCUAAUUUCUUUUGUGUUAAGGGUUAUGACCCUUUGAAGUUGACCCAAUAAUAAUUUCCCUUUAAUUAGUUGCUUACCCUCACCUACGGUCCGUAGGUCUAACCAUAGACCGUACUGGUCGACCGUGGGUGGGAUUAGAGACCAUAAAUAUUUGGUGCUCAAUGAAAAACCCCACUUACGGACCGUUUGUUAGACCACGGACCGUCGGUGGCUUCCGUGGUUCUUGCACCAGGUCUGGAAAGCUGCAAUUUUUUUAUUUUAUUUUCUCAAUUCCGAGGUGUUACACAUUUGAAUAGAUAUUUUUCCUCAACAAAUAUAGUCACAAAAUAUGUUCUUCUUGGACUAAACAUCAUAUAGAUUUAGCAAGAAUAACAAGUAAAAGGUCUAAAUAUUCUAAUCCAUCAACCAAACAGGCUAGCUAGUCACAAUUAAAUAUUUUGGAAAAUGUUCUUUAAAUCAACUUAUUUUCCAUUUGGUUUAAGGAAAAUGACUUAACUAAAAGAAAUAAGAAAACAUUUUCCAAAACUCUUUUUCAACCUCAGACCAUCCUAAGUCAAAUCUCGGGAACCGAUUCUCGAUACCUAUUCAGAAUAUGACUCAUGAUUCUCUAUUAAGGACCCGACUCUCGACCUUGAUAUGAGACCCAACUCUCGAGUCCUGAAUCAGCUCAAGAUCAAAUCUUGAUUUAGGUGUCGGGUCCUAGUAAGCAUUCGAUGUUGAAUUCUAGGUUAGGUGUUAAGGUAGUGAUCUGAGUCGGGUUUUGGGUUAAGAGUUAGGUUUUGGGUCGAUAGUUGAGAUCAGAUCCAUGUUCACGUGUCAAGUUUGUGUCCUAAAUUGAUCGUCGAGGUCGGGUAUCAGUGUCGAAUCCCAAUUUAGAAACUAGUUUUUGGAUUGAGUGAUAGGGUCGGGUCCAACAUCAUUGUUGGAUAGGGUCCUGGUUAAAAACUUGGGUCCAACUUAGAUGUCGGGUCUCGAUUUCAGGUCUUAGGUUAGAGUGGCAGAGUCAGAUUCCAAGUCGCAUGUUGGGGUUUUUAGGUAUUUUCCUUUAUUUCUUACCAUAAAUGGAUUUUUCUUUUCCUAAAAGAAAAACAUAAAGUUUCCAUAUUUGGCUAGUUAUUUUCUUGUAGGAAAAGUUUUAGGACUCUAUAAAUAGAGGUUCGUUCCUUCAAACAUAGCAACAUUCACAAUGUAGUCCUAGGAGCUUUGAGAGUUUUUUCCCGGGGAGAAUUUGUGGGACACUUAUGUUAACCUCUUUGUAUUCCGAGUGAAUUGGGUGAGGUUAUUUCUCUCUAUAUUUUGUACUCUCAUAUUUAUAUAGUUCAUUGCUCAUCUCUUGUGGACGUAGGUCGAUUGACCGAACAACGUUAAGUCUUUGGUAUAUUUCUCAUUUGUCUUCUUAUUCUUGGUCUUUUGAUGUUUACUUUGUUAGCUUCCGCAUGACACCUAAUUAUUUCAGUCAUAACAAGUGGUAUCAGAUCCAGGUUCAAUGGUUCCAUGAUGGAGCCAUGUCACAAAUGCGUGUUCAUCUUGAUGGGUGUAGUUCUAGUCGCAACCUAUUUGACAGUAAUGAAGAUUUUCAUUUGAGAAAUUUUUCCAGAGAAGAUCUUUGUGUUGAGACAUAAAUUUUGCAGAGGAAAUUAUGAAUAGGAGAUGCAAGCUGUUGAAUAUUUUGUGAAGAAGGUGGAGCAAAUUUAUUUUGUCAGAAAUUCAGGCCAAGAGGGAGACUUGUUGCGUAUUUGCCCUGAUUUCUUACCAAAACUCCAUAUAUGGCUAGUCCUUUUCUUGUAGGAAAAGGUUGUCUCUAAAAAUAGAGGCUCGUUCCUUCUAACACAUGAGUAUUCACAAUGUAGUCCUAGGGGGUUUGAGAGUUAUGUCUAGGGAGAAUUUGUGGGACACAAGUGAUACAUUAUCACUUGUUUGAAACUCUUUGUAUUCCAAGUGAAUUCGUUGAGGUUAUUUCUCUCUAUAUAUUGUACUCUCAUAUUUAUAUAGUGGAUUGCUCAUCUCUUGUGGACGUAGACCAAUUGAUCGAACCACAUCAAGUCUUUAUGUCUUUUGGUAUAUUUCUCGUUUGUCUUCUUACUCAAGGUAUUUUAAGGUUCACUGUGUUAGCUUCCACAUGACACAUAAUUACUUUAUUCAUAACAAUUGUUGGGUCCUGAUUCAUUAGUUGGUGUUAGAUCUCAGAUAGGUCAUAGGGGUUGGGGUCGUAUUCCAAUUUAAAAAUUAGGUUAUGAGUCGGGUGUUAAUGUUAGGUCUCAAUUUGAAACAGGUUUCAGGUCAAGAGUUACGGUUGGGUCUCAAUUUAAAUGUCAGGUCCCAAGUCAAGUGUCGGGUUUGAGUCCAGAUUUGGGAAUCAGGUGUCGGAUCGGGAGUUGGGAUCAAGUUUUGACUUGGAAGUCGAGUCCUAGGUCGGGAUCCAGGAGACAGAAUCAGGUCCUACUUUGAAAUAUAGGUCUUUCAUUGGGUGUCAAGUCUUAGUUCAGAUGUCAGGUCUCGAGUUAGGGUAUAAGGGUUGGACCCCAGGUCAGGUAUUGGGGUAGUUUCCCAAUUCAAAAGUUAGGUCUCGAUUCAGGAGUUGGAUUGGAGCUUGAAUCAAUUAUUGGGGUCGGGUGUCGAGGUUAGGUUCCACUUCAAAAGCAAAGACCUACAUCGGGUGUCAAGGUCGGGUCAUGUCUUGGUUCAUAAGUUGGGUCCUAGUUGAGAUGUUGGGUCUCAGGUUAGGGUGUCGAGGUCAAAUCCUAGGUUAGGUGUUAGGGUAGGGUCGUGAUUCAGAAGUUAUGUCCUAAUUCGGGAGUUGGGAUUGGAUCUUGAAUUAGACAUUCGAGUAGAGUGUCGGUGUCAUAUUCUGAUUCUAAAGUUGGGUCUUGACCGGGUAGUAUUUUGGUUUGAAAAUCGGGUCCAAAGUCAGAAGUCAAGGUUGGUCCCAAUUUGGAAGUUGGGUUUCUAGUUGAGAGUCAGGGUCGGAUCUAAUAUACCGUGAGUUUAUGAUAUUUUUUAUGCAUUUCACUUAAAUUUUGUGUGUGUCUAGGGCUAUAUUGUAUUAGAAAUAAUGUUUUGUAUAUUAUCUUUGCAGGAAAUAGGCUUGGAGGCAGUUGAUGAAUACUUUGAGAUGAAGAGUGCAGAAGUGGCCACCAACGGAGCAACCCACAGAUCGUAGGUCCAACGAUGGGCCGUGGGUGCUCAAUCGUAAGUCCUGGUCUGGGAGUUGAGUUUUAGUUUUCAAUCCACGGAGUGCCAGAACGGACCGUAAACCAGUCCACGGACCGUGGGUGAGGCAUCGUAUAUGGAACAUCAAGAAAGUCUGACAAGUGGACCCAUAGAGCAAGACGACAGACCAUAGGUCGACCCACGGUCCGUCCUGCACGUCCGUCAUUAAUGAUCUGAAAGUUGAAGGUUCCAGUACCUGAUGAAAGUUUAUAAGUGUUGAACCACGGAGGGUGACCUACAGACCGUAGGUUAACCUACGGACUGUAGGUUGUGUCGUCGAUAGAAGUUGCGUUCCAGCGGUUUAUUUCCUUACUUUGUUUCCUGUUAAUAUAGGACUUGUUUUCUAUAAAUAGGAGUUAUAAAACUCGAUUUCGAAGGUCAGACAUUAUUGUAAACUCUUAGUUUUUGGUGUUUUGGGAAUUAACUUGCAAACUUUAGCAAUUUGAUGUCCGGAAUUCGUUCAAUAAAAUUUUCACUUUGAAUUUCAAUUGAAGAUUUCGGGUUUCAUCAAUUCUACUUGUAAGUUCAUGAAUUCUUCUUAUCUAAUUCUGAAUUGUGAAUUCUCAAGCAAGAGUAGCUAAAUCCACAACUAGGGUUGUGGGAACCAUGAGCAAUUAACAACGUAUGAAUAAUAAUUAAGUAAUUCUUGAAUAGUGUUUAUGCAUGUAUUGUUAAUUCAUUCGCUUAGAAGUCUUUUUAACGGUGCGCAAUGUUAGAACUCGCAUCGUUGCUACUUGACGGACUAAGGAGGUAGUUAAUGAGAAAAGAAUUAACAACAUAGAUUUUGUGGAUGCUAUCUAAUAGUCUAAUGUCAAUUGGACUGAGGGUAAAAACUAAGUCAUACAUUGAUGUGAUGUCUAAUCUGGGGUAAAGGUAAGGGUUAGUAAAGCACACACCUGUAGCCGGACCAAGGUGCGAAGUGAAAUUCCCUACUUGGAGGACCAAUCACUUAGGAAUACCUAACUUACCAACUUUGCAUGUAAAACACUAGGAAAGGAUUACUAUUAUUAGGGUUACUACAUUAAGAGCUUGUGGGGAACACAUAUACUCUAGUUUCUCUCUCAUAUUGAUAACUCAAAGUUGAAUCUUCUUUUUUUGUUACUUAAUGAACAAUAUGUUACUUGCUUACAACCCCUCCCCCCUUCGGUUACUUGUCUAGGAAAUAGUUUGACUAAACAGAUAUAAUAGUGAGUUAAGUUUAAGUCUAAACCAUAUUCCUCGUGGGAUAGACCCCAACCUACAAGUUAGGUUCUUUAUUUGACAACAAUCGCUUAUACUUCUUUAGGGAGGUGUAAUUUGAGCGUAUCAAAUUUUGGCGUUGCUGCCAGGGAAUACGGCUUUUAAAUUAAGUUUAAAUACAUUAUUGAAAUUUAGUCAAGUAUUUCCUAAUUUUACGUUUUCUUUUGUUUUUGUUUUCUACAGGCUUCUACUCUAGUGUAUGCUAAGUACACGGAGUCGAGGCGAACCAUUGACCCCCUACGAUCCAGAGUUGAGCAAAACUUUGAGAAAAAUGAAUAAUCAAGGGGUUCACAACAAUCCAAUUGAAGAGAAUCUUGGUGAUGGAGUCGAAUUGCAGCCUCCUGGGGUUGUAAAUGUGCACGCUCAGGUUCAUGGUGGUAAUCUAAUCAGAGAUGCAGAAAGGGUGCAGAAUCCGCCAGCACCGAGGUUGCGUGAUAACUACAAGGUUGACUUCAAUACGGUUGAAUUAGAAAGGCCCAUUAUUCUUCCUCCUCUACCUCUAGGGCAUACAUUUGUGGUAACCAAUAGUCUGAUGCAAAUACUUAUAGCACGAUGGUUGUUUUCUGGUCCAGCGUCGGAAGAUCCACAUGGUCAUAUGGCUAAAUUAAGAAGUGUCUGUAUGAGUUGUGUGGGAUGAACGGAAUUGGAUAUAAAUGUCAUAGGUCUGAGAGUCUUCCCUCUGUCAUUAACCGGUGAUGUUGCGGUUUGGUUUGCUAAGCUUCCAUAUAACUCAAUUCAUACAUGGGACCAAUUGCAUCGAGUGUUCAUGGUAAAGUAUUUCCCAAUGUUUAAGAAGCUAAAUCACAAGGAUAAGCUGAAUAAUUUUGUAGCACUACCUGGAGAGUCUAUGAGCAGUUCAUGGGAUAGGCUCAUUGCGUUCAUCGGAAGUGUUCUGAAUCACCGCAUAGAUGAUGAGUCAUUGAAUGAGUAUUUAUACAAAGGGCAAGACGAUAAUGGAAAGAUUGUGCUAGAUACUAUUGCUAGAGCAUCAUAUGGUGAGUGCACUUUUGAAGAGAUCGCUGAAAAAUUAGAGAAGAUUUCCUGGAAUAAUAUGGCAUGGAGCACUAGAAAAGCUAAUACUGGAAUAAGCACAUUUUCUAUUCAAGUUGCACCAGAUCAAUCAAAUGAUGACAUUCGUGAGGAGAUGGCUCAGAUGAGGACAGAACUGGGCUUGGUAUCGAAGCAUGUGAGUGUAAAUGUAGAAAAGGUGAAUGCGGUAAACUACCUAAUUAGAACUCCACCACCACCAGUUGAGGAAUGCUACUAUGAAGAGGAUGUGUAUUUGGUAAAUGAUCAUACGGGGGGUUUCCGAACCAACGCCCAAGGUUCCAACUCGGAUAAUUGGUGCCAAGGUCAAGGAAACCAAGGUUGAAACUAUGAAAACUACAAUCGAGAGGAAAACUAUGUCCGGGAUGGGAACUACAAUCGUAAUAACAACUACAACCAGAAAAAUUAUGGCAACAUAAAUGAUAGAGUUGGGCCCUAUCUUCCACCUGGGAAUAGGUAAUAUGGCAUUAGAGAGGCUAGGGGUAAUAUGUCACGCAUUUAUGAUAUGAUGCAAAAGAUGAUGAAUAGGUUUGAUGCAACUGAUGAGAAUGUGAAAGAGAUGCAAAAUGACUUGUCUGGAAUCGUUCAAAAAAUUGAUGCCCAUGCAAUGUUGAUCAAGCAACUUGAGCAGCAGUUUAGUCAGUUGUCCACUACUGUGAACCCACGUCAAUCUGGCACACUUCCUAGCAACACCAUCCAGAAUCCAAAGAAUGAUGGGCAUUGUAUGGCAGUCACUACUCGAGGAGGUAAACAGGCCAUAGAUCCCCUUAUGUCGUCUAAGGUUGAAAUUGUGGUAGAAAAAGAUGCAGAUGAGGUUGAGGUCACUAGAGAGUCGAAUAAUGCUAUAGAGAAGGAAGCGGAGGUGACCCAAAAAGUAGGUCCCAUGCCUAGACCUCCACCUCAAUUCCCACAGAGAUGGGUGAAAAAGAUAGAAGAAGGAAAAUACUAUAGAUUCAUAACUAUGUUAAAACAGCUUUCCAUCAAUGUUUCGUUGAUAGAAGCUUUGGAGCAAAUGCAUGGGUAUGCGAAAUUUAUAAAAGAUUUGGUGACCAAGAAGAGGGCCACCAAUUUUAAGAAUGAUGAGAGGUUGCAACAUUGCAGUGCUAUUGCUACUAGGUCACUUGUCCAAAAGAAAGAGGAUCCUGCAGCUUUCACUAUUCCUUGUACCAUCGGGAUUUUGCACUUUGCGAAAGCUUUGUGUGAUUUGGGUGCUAGCAUCAACUUGAUGUCAUUGUCCAUUUAUAAGAAGUUGGGUUUAGGGGAUCAAAAAACCAAUUGUGAUGCGUCUACUCAUUGCCAAUAGAACUGUGAAGAAGCCUAUUGGUGUUCUCCAAGAUGUCCUUGUGAAAGUGAAGUCAUUCAUUUUUCUAGCGGAUUUUGUGAAACUUGAUUAUGAGGUUGAUUUUGAGGUUCCCAUCAUCUUAGGGAGACCAUUCCUUGCUACUGGGCGUGCCUUAGUCGAUAUGGAGAGAGGGAAAUUAAAGUUCCGACUGAAUAAUAAGGAGGUAACUUUUAAUAUUUGUAUGUCUUAGAAGCAGGAAAGCGAUAUCAAGUCGGUAUCAGUGGUGAAUCAUAUUGUGGAGCGAGGUUCUAAAGUGUCUAUUGAAGAGAGGUUGGGUGUGGAUGCACUGACGGCAGUAAUGAUGAAUUAUGAUGGUGAUGGUAUUGAAGACUAUGACGAAUUAGUUAUCACACUUGAUAGGUUCGAAUUUUGUUCCAAACCAAAAAGAUUGGAGUUAGAUAUGAAGAAUCGCAACUCUCUACCUGCAACACCGUCAGUGGAAGAGCCUCCAAAAUAGGAGCUCAAGACUCUACCAUCUCCUUUGAGGUAUGUAUUCUUGGGGAAAUAUGGAACAUUACCUGUAAUCAUUGUUGUUGAUUUGAGUGGGGAACAAGUAGAGGCAUUGGUUUCGGUGUUGAAGAGGUUCAAGCAGGAUAUUGGAUGGACUAUUGCGGACAUUAUUGGGAUUCCUCCUGACAUUUGUUCUCAUAAAAUCCAACUCAUGUCAGAUAGCAAGCCAAGUAUUGAGCACCAAAGGAGACUUAAUCUACCUAUGCAAGAGGUAGUGAAAAAAGGAAAUCAUCAAAUAGUUGGAUGCUGGAGUCAUAUACCCAAUUGCAGAUAGUAGUUGGGUCUGUCAUGUUCAGUGUGUACCUAAGAAAGGUGGGAUUAUUGUGGUUCCUAAUGCAAAAAAUGAGUUGGUCCCAAUAAGGCCAGUGACUGGAUGGAGAGUAUGCAUGGACUACCGCAAGCUAAAUGCUUGGACAGAAAAAGAUCACUUCUUGAUGUCGUUCAUGGACCAAAUGCUGGAUCGUCUUGCUGGUAAGGGUUGGUAUUGCUUUCUAUAUAGGUAUUCGGGCAACAAUCAAAUCUCCAUAACUCCAGAAGAUCAAGAUAAAACCACCUUCACAUGCUCAUAUGGGUUCACCUUCAAUAGGAUGUCAUUUGGGUUGUGUAAUGCUCCAGCGACUUUCCAUAGGUGUAUGAUGUCAAUAUUUUUAGAUAUGGUGAAGGACACGAUAGAGGUAUUUAUGGAUGAUUUAUAUAUGGUAGGUGACUCAUUAAAUGGUUGAUUGAUGCAUCUGUCCGAGGUAAUGAAACGAUGUGAAGAGUACAAUCUUGUGCUCAAUUGGGAAAAGUGCCACUUCAUGGUGAAAGAGGGUAUAGUUCUGGGUCAUCGGACUUCUGAGAAAGGUAUUAAGGUUGAUAGAGUUAAAGUUGAGGUAAUAGAAAGCUUCCACCACCUAUCUCUGUUAAAGGUGUUAGAAGUUUUCUUGGGCAUGUAGGUUUUUACCGGAGGUUUAUCAAAGAUUUCUCUAAAAUUGCACACCCAUUAUGCAAGCUAAUCAAAAAGGAGUGUAAGUUUGAUUUUGAUGAUGCUUGUUUUAGAGCAUUUGGAGAGUUGAAAUCAAGGUUAGUAUCAGAACCUAUCAUUAUUUCACCAGGGCAACUGUUUGAAGUGAUGUGUGAUGCAAGUGGGGUGGCGCUUGGUGUGGUAUUAGGACAGAGGCGAGAGAAGAUUCUUCAUCCGAUUUACUAUGCCAACAAAGCUUUGAAUGUGGCUCAAAAGAACUAUAUUGUGACUGAACAGGAACUCCUUGUUGUGGUUUUCGCAUUCGAGAAAUUUCGAUCCUACUUGCUUGGUAAUAAGGUCAUAGUGUAUAUUGACCAUUAUGCAUUGAGGUAUCUGAUGGCUAAAAAAGAUGCAAAACAUAGGUUGAUUAGAUGGGUAUUGUUGCUCCAAGAGUUUGAUUUUGAGGUGAAGGAUAGAAUGGUAACACAAAAUCAAGUUGCCAACCAUUUGUCCAGAUUAGAGGAGGAAGUUAUGCUAAUAGGAGAUGGGGCUGAGAUUAAUGAUGCAUUCCCAGAUGAACAGUUAUUGGCUGUUUCUUAUGAUAUUAUCCCUUGGUUCGCAUAUUUUGCUAACUACUUGGCAAGCAAUUUGGUUCCAUCGGAUUUGUCAUUUAACCAAAGGAAAAAGUUUAUGUAUGAUGUGAAGAAAUUAUUUUGGGAUGAGCCUUACUUGUUUCAUAUUUGUGCUGAUGGGAUUAUUCGUCGUUGUGUGCCCGAGGUUGAGAUGAUGAGUAUACUAAAGGUGUUUCAUUCAUCGCCUAUUGGUGGGCACCAUAGUGGUAUUCGGACUGCUCAUAAAAUCUUGCAGUGUGGGUAUUACUGGCCUACCAUCCACCAAGAUGCUCAUGAUUUUGCCAAGUCUUGUGAUCGUUGCCAAAGAGAAGGAGGAAUUUCAAAGAAGCAAGAACUACCUAUGAACUCGAUAUUGGUGAUUGAGCUAUUUGAUGUCUGGGGUCUUGACUUCAUGGGUCCGUUUGUGAGUUCACAUGGGAUGAAGUAUAUUCUUAUUGCGGUUGACUAUGUAUCGAAAUUGGUGGAAGCAAUUGCGCUUUCAAACAAAGAGGGAAAGAGUGUCACUGCAUUCCUAAAAAAAAAUAUCUUCUCCAGAUUUGGUACACCUAGGGAGAUUAUGGAGGUUCUCACUUUUGUAACAAGUUGUUCAAGGCGUUGCUAGAGAAAUAUGAGGUUCGUCACAAUGUCGCCACUCCUUAUCAUCCACAGUCUAGUGGGCAAGUUGAGGUGUCAAACAGAGAGAUGAAGAAAAUCAUUGCAAAGACUGAAUGCCAACAGAACUGAUUGGUCAAGAAGGCUUGAUGUUUCUCUAUGGGCCUAUCGCACCGCAUUCAAGACUCCCAUAGGUAUGUCCCCCUACCAACUUGUAUAUGGGAAGUCAUGCCAUUUGCCCGUAGAGCUAGAGCAUAAAGCAACGUGGGCGUUGAAGAAGUUGAAUUUGGAUUGGGGCGCCUCAUCGAGUCAAAGACUGAAUGAUAUGAAUGAGCUUGAUGAGUUUCGCCUAAAAGCAUAUGAAAGUUCAGCCUUGUACAAGGAUAAGAUGAAGAAGUAUCAUGAUCAAAAGAUUGAAAAGCGUGAAUUUGGUGUGGGUGAUCUGGUGCUUUUAUUCAACUCAAGGUUGCGCUUAUUUCCUGGCAAGCUCAAGUCCAAGUGGACCGGGCCAUUCAGAGUCACGCAAGUAUUUCCACAUGGAGCGGUCCAACUUAAGAAAAAGGAGGGAACGAGGUUCAAAGUGAACGGGCAGAGGAUUAAGGUCUACAUGGGGAAAUCAGAGAGUGUGCAUGUAACGACCCUAAAACGAACUAGUGAAACUAGAGCCUCACAUGUGAGUUUUGGAGUUGAGAACUUGAUGAAAUUAUGAGAAAUGGCUUUUGAAGUUUAGUUUAAAGAGAUUUGAAGUCAAACGUCAAGAAAUGACUGUGACGUCCGGAAACUAGUCACUUGAACUAGUGAGUUGUAAGGGUCAACUUUAAAUGGUCAUAUUUUUUAGCUCAAAACGAAUUAGGUUGGCCAUUACCUAUCCUAUGAAAGGUCUUUGUGUCCUCUUUCCAACGCCACCGAGUUUGCCCAAUUCCGACCUUGGAUUAAAAAGUUAUGCCCGAAAUAUGAAACACUGUCAGGCUGCAGCAAAGGGCGAACUAAGACGGGAAGGGGCAAAAAUUUUAAAUCAAGACUUUAUGGGUCCUUAGUCCUUUUCCAAAAUUGAACCUAUGCUAUUCUUUUCCUUUCCUAGCAACUAUAAGACCUUUUUAUGACCCAAUUCCUUUCAUUUAAGUCACUCCUCUUAGAUUAAAAGAACCCACCUCUUCUCAAAUAUUCCUCUCUCUACUAUCCUCCAUUGAAGAAGGUCAAGAACUUGGAGCUAGGGGCUUGGAUUGAAGGUAGUUUCUUCAUCAAAUUUCUUGGGGAAUCUUAGCAAAGGUAUGGGGACUCUUUAUCUUUGAUUCAUUUUCAAUCAAAGAGCCAAUUCAAAGUAUUAUCAAAGUUCUUCAAAAAUCCUAAAGUCCUAAUUUCGAUUCUAGCAUGGGUUCUUGCAUAAAAAAGGUUUUAAAUGAUGAUUUAUAUAGUUAUUAAUGAUUAUUAAUGGUUUUUAGAAAGAAAUCUCCAUGAACCCAUGUUUUCUCAAAUUCUCUAAAUUUCACCAUAAAGUGGGUGUAUUGAUUAUGAGUAGAUGAUUAUAAAAAUUGUGUUUAGUAUGGUAUGGGCUGUUCAUAUAUGGUAUUAUAUAUGUUGAAUUGUGAAGAAUUGAUGUUGAAUUGAAGGAUAUGAGAUUUGAGCCUUGAAUGGGCAAAUAGUGAAUCGGUCAUUAUGUUNNNNNNNNNNNNNNNNNNNNNNNNNNNNNNNNNNNNNNNNNNNNNNNNNNNNNNNNNNNNNNNNNNNNNNNNNNNNNNNNNNNNNNNNNNNNNNNNNNNNNNNNNNNNNNNNNNNNNNNNNNNNNNNNNNNNNNNNNNNNNNNNNNNNNNNNNNNNNNNNNNNNNNNNNNNNNNNNNNNNNNNNNNNNNNNNNNNNNNNNNNNNNNNNNNNNNNNNNNNNNNNNNNNNNNNNNNNNNNNNNNNNNNNNNNNNNNNNNNNNNNNNNNNNNNNNNNNNNNNNNNNNNNNNNNNNNNNNNNNNNNNNNNNNNNNNNNNNNNNNNNNNNNNNNNNNNNNNNNNNNNNNNNNNNNNNNNNNNNNNNNNNNNNNNNNNNNNNNNNNNNNNNNNNNNNNNNNNNNNNNNNNNNNNNNNNNNNNNNNNNNNNNNNNNNNNNNNNNNNNNNNNNNNNNNNNNNNNNNNNNNNNNNNNNNNNNNNNNNNNNNNNNNNNNNNNNNNNNNNNNNNNNNNNNNNNNNNNNNNNNNNNNNNNNNNNNNNNNNNNNNNNNNNNNNNNNNNNNNNNNNNNNNNNNNNNNNNNNNNNNNNNNNNNNNNNNNNNNNNNNNNNNNNNNNNNNNNNNNNNNNNNNNNNNNNNNNNNNNNNNNNNNNNNNNNNNNNNNNNNNNNNNNNNNNNNNNNNNNNNNNNNNNNNNNNNNNNNNNNNNNNNNNNNNNNNNNNNNNNNNNNNNNNNNNNNNNNNNNNNNNNNNNNNNNNNNNNNNNNNNNNNNNNNNNNNNNNNNNNNNNNNNNNNNNNNNNNNNNNNNNNNNNNNNNNNNNNNNNNNNNNNNNNNNNNNNNNNNNNNNNNNNNNNNNNNNNNNNNNNNNNNNNNNNNNNNNNNNNNNNNNNNNNNNNNNNNNNNNNNNNNNNNNNNNNNNNNNNNNNNNNNNNNNNNNNNNNNNNNNNNNNNNNNNNNNNNNNNNNNNNNNNNNNNNNNNNNNNNNNNNNNNNNNNNNNNNNNNNNNNNNNNNNNNNNNNNNNNNNNNNNNNNNNNNNNNNNNNNNNNNNNNNNNNNNNNNNNNNNNNNNNNNNNNNNNNNNNNNNNNNNNNNNNNNNNNNNNNNNNNNNNNNNNNNNNNNNNNNNNNNNNNNNNNNNNNNNNNNNNNNNNNNNNNNNNNNNNNNNNNNNNNNNNNNNNNNNNNNNNNNNNNNNNNNNNNNNNNNNNNNNNNNNNNNNNNNNNNNNNNNNNNNNNNNNNNNNNNNNNNNNNNNNNNNNNNNNNNNNNNNNNNNNNNNNNNNNNNNNNNNNNNNNNNNNNNNNNNNNNNNNNNNNNNNNNNNNNNNNNNNNNNNNNNNNNNNNNNNNNNNNNNNNNNNNNNNNNNNNNNNNNNNNNNNNNNNNNNNNNNNNNNNUAUAUUAGGUAGAGGUCUUAUGGUAAUGAAAUGACAUGUGUCCUUUUAAAGUUAAGCAUGGGUUGUAUAUGGACAUAUGUUGAGUAUAUGUAUGGUUGGCUAUGGUCUUAUAUGUUAAUGUUGACUUGUAUUAUGUCUCUUAUACUUGUAAAGGAAAGGUUUUAUCAAAUGAUAUGAAAGCAUUACUUCCUUGAAAAUGUCCUUUUUGGCAUGUUUUUGCAUGGUCUCCAUACUUAGUACUUAAUUGUGCUAACCCCUUUCUUUCCCUUUUUAACUGAAGUGUAGGGAUUUAGAGAUGGUGACAUGUCAUGGUUACUUGAUAGGUUUCUAAGCGUUGGAGAUGAAGACUUGGUGAGUCCUCAUAGAUUCGAGGACAAUACCCAAUAUGUUCUUUUAUGUCUUUUAGUAUUGUUUAAGUUGUGUACGGGAUUAGUCCCGAAUUUUGUACUCUAAAGUAUUAGAUGGUUUUGAGACAUCAUGUAUAAAGUCUAGAAAGUCUUCCGCUUGCUAAUUUUUUUUUAUGCAAUGUUUUCUUGGUAAAGAAAGUUUUAAAUUCCUUAUAGUUUUAGUGUCUAUGCGAUGAAUGAAUGCUAAGAGGCUUGUAUUAGACCUCUUCGAGGUCGAGUACGCCGGUUACGACUAGGGGGUGCUCCCGGGUCGUGACAGUGCAAGAAGUGAUUGAGGCCUAUUAUCUUGAUAAAGUCUGAGUAAUCAAGGUGUCUGCGUCAUGCCGCGAUGUUAAAUCAAGCGUUGCUUGGGAGGCAACCCAAUAUGUACAAUCUAGCCAACUAUAGGUUUUUCUUGUCGAUAUAGGAGUUUUUUUUUAGUUUUUUUUUGUAGCUCUUUAAAUUGAUCUUUAUUUUUUUUAAUUAGUGUUGGCUAGAUAUAGAUUAGGGUCCGUGUCUAAAAAGUAUCCAGAAUAUGUAAAAAGAAAGUGCUAAUGGUUGCUACGUGUGCAGGGACGAAAAGCAAAAUCUGCAGAAAAUAGUUAUGUAGUGGUCUACAGACCCCAUCGACAGUCCGUUGGUCAAUACACGGACCAUGGAUGGCAUCCGUUGAUCCCAGGUAAGUUUUCUAAUUUUUCUAAGUGUCAGAGUGACCUACGAACCAAACCCACGGUCCAUAGGUCGACCCACGGACCUUCGACUGGGUCUCGUAGGUCCAACCUAGGGUUUUUGUUUGACCCAAACCGGACCUCUUUUUAUUAAAACCCUUCAUUUUUAAAACAUUUCCUCCUACAAUAUUAUCUCCCCAACCGUUACAAUCGAUACUUUACCCCAUAAUCCUCCAUUAAUAACUCUCUAAUCACUCCCAAAAACUUAUCUUAAUCAAUCCCACAUCCCAUACCUUCCCUCAUCUCUCCCAAAUUAUUCCAAUUUCUCCAUUGUGCUUCCCCACCACUAUCAUUGUCCGGGUUCGGUGUCAAAGGCUAGCAAAGACGUUUAAGGAGUUCAUUGCACUAACACACUCACCCACUUCGAUUACUUGUAAGGUAAACGAUUUCACCCUAACUUUGAAUUCGAUGUUCAUUGUUUAAACCAUGAAAUCACGAAGUUGAAACUUGACCUUGGGUUGUUAAUCUCCUAUUUGAAUGUUGAAUUGUAGUUAGAAACACCCUUGGAAUGAUAAUAUGUGAGUGUGUUAUAAAUUAAAACCACAUAAAUUGGUUAAUAAGUCUAAAUUGGAAGUUUUGACUUAGGGUUAUUCCAUGGUUUUGUGUAAAUGUGAAUAAAAUUGACUGAUCGCAACCCUAAGGAUGACGAACUACCAAAAUAUAUGUUGAAAUGCAUGUGUAGGCCUAGUUUGAUUGUAUUUGUUGAAAUAUGGCAUUAAGUGUGAGUUGAAAAUCUGAAACCUGGCAAAGAACUGACCCACGACUUCAACCCACGGAUCGUAGGUCACCCUACGGACCGUAGGUCAAAGUCCGUGGACCAGUGGCACACACAAAAUUACUCAAGUGUAGAACCACGGUGUGGACUACGGUCCGUCGUUUAAUCGAUGGACUGUUCUGGACAUCCGUGGUUCCACCAUCUGAGACCCAAAAAUGAGAACUCUGACCUACGGAGGGGACCCACAGACAGUCGUUCCAUCGACGAACCGUAGGUACCUACCGUGGGUCAACAGUUCAGCUACAGUCCAGAAUUUUUUUUAGUUUUGUUUGGGUCCGAUUCUUGUUCUAAAAUUAUUCCAUGAGUCUUAUUGUCUUGUUUUAGUACUAACAAGUCUUCCACAGUUACCAUGACCCCUAAACAAGUUUCAACCUACGCACCAAAGGACAAGUCAAAAUCCAUCGCUCCUUCCUGACGUCUGCUUGAUAAGGAUAUUGACACCGAUUAUAUUCCACCUACCACCAGGAUAUCCCCCACUACACCCCGCACUACUAGGAAUAGAGCCCAGCAGGUUAGCUCCGACGAGGCCACUGCCCCCAGUCUGAGGAGGGGGCCAUACAGAUCGGAGCACAUGAUGGCUUAGAGUCGCAGUCCGGCUUUAGUCCUAGCGGCAAUACCACUUCUUCAUCAGAUACCGAUAACUCAGGCGAUAGCCCGGUACCUACCAGAUUUGAGCCUCCCCGCAAGGCCGAUGAGCUGAACAGAUAGUAUGUCUCUGGUCAGCAAAAGAUAUAUGAGAAUGGAACGAUGUUUAAUAACCACCAGCAGAUGGCCAAGAUCGUGACUGAGGAGCACAGGGUCCUUACAGGUAGCCUCCACACUGCACCAGCUAUUGAGGAGCUCUUCCGGAGACACCGAUGUGAGUGGAUGGCACGGAACCCUGAGAAAUACAGCGAGGAGAUGACUAGAGAGUUCUAUGCUUCUAAUGCUGAUAGCGUCAAAAACUCCAUCUCUAAACGGGACAAACCCGCAGCUCAGCCUCCACUUCAGUCCACAUUGGUGCGGGGCUUCUCGGUCAACAUCUCAAAGGUCACCAUUCGCAGGUUCUUAUAUGGCCCAACCCAUACUCUGCCUAUCAAUACAGCAGAGUAUGAUUACCGGAUGGGAAUCAUUCAGAGUGGGAAGUUUCAGAGGGAUGCCGAGCAGAGGGAGACAUUGUUGAUGUAGUUGGCUCGUCAUAUUGCUAAGGAUGGGGAGCGCAUUGAGUGGGUUCGAACUCUUAGCCUGGGUAUUAGGAAGGCUAGACUAAGCUUCGUUGCGAAGCUCUUUUGGUUGUUGGUUCGGAAUAGACUAUCCCCAACUUAGGCGGACAAUGUGAUUACAUGGGACCGGACCGUGAUGAUUGCAACCAUUCUAGCAAGUUUGGAGAUCGACUUUGCCUGCAUCUUGAUAGAAGACAACCAUGAGAGGGCUUUCAAUACCACCACCACCCUGCCCUUCCUAUAUCUCAUUUUCCAGCUCUAUAGGGAUGCUUCUAUUCUUGUUUGGCAUUGUGAGCGGUUGCUGGAUGCGACCAAGACUCUGGACAUCGCCCUCAUUCGGGAUGAUGCCAGACUAGCUGCACCACGGAAAGAGCCAUAGGUUGUUGUACCGCCCUUGGGUGAUGACCUAACUACGGAUGUAGAGCAUAUGUAGGCCGAUGACACUACCAUUCCGGCCCCUACAACAAAUGCUCAGGCUCUACCGUCUCCGGCCACUAGUCAGGCCCCUAGCUCAUCCCAAGCCACUCCCUCUUCAGGGUCCACUCUUGUUCCUCUAGAAACAGUUCAGAAGCUGGAGAAACAGAUGGCCAUGUUGCUGCAGCAUAUGAAGUCGUGGAUGCAGCGCUCUAUUACGGAGUCUGAGGCGAGGAUGGAGCAGAUGAUGGAUCAGAAGAUUCAGGUCGUUCAUCAGCGCCUAGAUGUUUUCGAGUUGAGAGUUUUGGAGAGGCCAGCCCCGACCAUAGAUGUGACCACCUUCCAGCAUGAGUUGGCUAGCCUCUUUGCGAUGUUGCUGCACUCCUAGCCCCCACUGAGACUGAUGCAGAGUCUGCCCCUGCAGUACCGGAGGAUGAGGUGGUGAUAACUGCUCUAUUCGGUGAUACUAUGCCGCCACUAGAUUCUUCAUGUGAUGAUGGCAAUCCCCCCCCCCUUCGACUACACUUCUGAUGCUGAUGAGGAUCGAAGACUGAAGAAGAAGGAGCGCCAACAGUUGGAGAAGGCCCACAAGACGUCUAUACUUGAUGAGGAGACAGCAGCGGGCCCGUGAGGUGGAUAUUGGCCAAUCUGGCAGUUUAAGCACUACUAAGGGUGCUACGUUAGUUGAUGAGGGCGCUAUUGAUGGCGUUCCUAGUGUUUAUCUAGCAUGCUCUAGGAAACCGGACCCAUCCACUUCUUGAGAGGUCUUUAGUGCAUAUGCGCCACAGGUUUGCUUCAUCCUAUGUUUUACUUUUGAUUUUUGUGCAAUGAGGCUAAUUGCACCUUAUUUUGUUAGGGUGGGGUAAAUGGAGUGUGAGUGAUAAGGUGAAUUUAGAGUAACCCAACUCAUAAUCCUUCUUUGGGGUUUUCUUGACUCUGUUCUUUCCCCCCCCCCCCAAAGGACUGUUUACUUUUAUGUUGAACCGCCAUGUUUAGGAAUGUAUGUGUAGGAGUAAGUAGAAGAAUGAAAGCAUGAUGGCAUAAAGAGCAGAAAAUUGAUACCCAUCCAAAAGUUUUGGAAUGUGCUAGAUCUAUAGGCUUGAUGAGUUGAAUGUGUUGGAUCUCAAUAUGACAUGAUAAGGAACCGGUUUGACCUCAUGACUUAAGCUAAAACUUGAACUAGGUAAUCUAAUAAUUUGAUAAUGAAACAAUGUGCCAAGUGUGUGAGAAAAGUUUGAAUGUUCAUAUAGUAUGUGCCAAUCUAAAACUUACCUAGUUGGUCCUGCUACGAUAAUCUAGGCUAGAAGCUGGGAAAUGAUCAUAGGCCUUUGUUCAAAUAAGUUAACUCAAGCCUAAAAUGAUCCAACCAAAUGAAAUAAUAUUCCCUUUGAUCCAAAUGUUUGAGCCUAAUAUAGACCACUUCUUUCAAUACACCUAACUCACCUUCCCUAAAAUAAUUGUUUUGGCCCUGGUCCCUCAUUGGACAUGUGCAUCUUGACUUAGGCCAAAAGCCUAAGUUGAGGGUGGCUAAUUCAAAAAGUUACAUUGAUCUUGGCCCCGAUCCGAUAUCGGAUAUUCUGCACCUCAACUCAUGCAAAAUACAUAUGUUGAGGGUGGCUAAGAAAAAUGAAACCGAAAGAAAAAGUGUAUGAAAAGAGUUUUGUGUUGAAGAGAGAAAAAGAAAAGAAAAGAUAAAAAAAAUAUGUGACUUUAUUCAAAAGAAGCUAAAAAGAUGAAUGACAAAAGUGAUGAAAGAAACAAAGAAAAAAUGAAGUAAAAGAAAAAGAAGAAAAGUGAAAAAUUUGAGCUAUAAAGUCAAAAGUCACAUCUGUUUUGAGGAGAGUCAAGGGAAAGAAAAGAAAAUUAAAGGAUGUCAAGAAUUGGUUGAGAAAAGAGGUAAAAGCCAAUGUAAUGUCAAGGAGGGCAGAAAGUCACUAAAAAGUACCCAAAUGUACCAUACAUGACCCUGAGCCUACGUUACAAGCCAAAAAAAGUCAUAUAGUGAUCCUAGUGACUAGUUUGGAGAGUCUAUGUAGUGAAAAUAAGGGCAAACCUAUGGUAUUGAGCACUAACUGUACUUGAAGUCACUUCUGAGAGUGAGUAUUGAAUGAAUCCUUAAACUUGAAAUUCAUAUCUACGGUAUGAAAAAGGGAUUUCUUUUGAAGUGAGGGCACUAGUUACAUUGUUGGAGAAUUGGUACCUUGGUGAUUGUGAAAAAAUGUAUGUUGUGGUGUCUAUUGGUCAAUCUAUGUCAUGUUUUGAUCCGCAUGAGUUAACCUGUUGAGUCUAAAUGAAAAGAUUUGCACUAAUGUGAUGGAAUAGAUUGAAAAAGCCAUGUGAUUGCUUGAGUUUGUAUAUCUGCUUCUACAUAAGUGUCGUUUAGAGUUUUAGUGUGUCGCUUGAGGACAAACAACAAGUUUAAGUUAAGGGUGUUGACAUACCGUGAGUUAUGGUAUUUUUGAUGCAUUUCACUUAAAGUUUGUGUGUGUCUAGGGCUAUGUUGUAAUAGAAAUAAUGUUUUGUGUAUUAUGUUUGCAGGAAAUAGGCUUGGAGGCGGUUGAUGAAAAUUUUGAGCUGAAGAGUGUAGAAGUGGCCACCAACGGAGCCACCCACAGACCGUAGGUCCAACGACAGGCCGUGGGUUGUCAGUCGUAAGUCCUAGUCUGGGAGUUGAGUUUCAGUACUCAAUCGAUGGAGUGCCAGGACGGACAAUAGACCAGUCCACGGACCGUGGGUAAGGCAUCGUAGGUGGAAUAUCAGGGAAGUCUGAAAAAUGUGGAACCACGGAGCAAGACGAUGGACCGUAGGUCGACCCACGGUCCAUCCUGCACAUCCAUCAUUGAUGAUCUGAGAGUUGAAGGUUCCAGUACCUGAUGAAAGUUUCCAAGUGUUGAACCACGGAGGGUGACCUACGGACCGUAGGUCGACCCACGGUAUGUAGGUUGUGCUGUCGACAGGAGCCGCGUUCCAGCAGUUUAUUACCUUAUUUUGUUUCCUAUUAAUUUAGGACUUGUUUUCUAUAAAUAGGAGUUAUAAACCUCAUUUUUGGAGGUCAGACAUUAUUGUAAACUCUUAGUUUUGGUGUUUUGGGAAUUAACUUGCAAACUUUAGCAAUUUGAUUUCCGAAAUUUGUUUAAUACAAUUUUCACUUUGAAUUUCAAUUGAAGAUUUCGGGUUUCAUCAAUUCUACUUGUAAGUUCAUGAAUUCUUCUUAUCUAAUUAGGAAUAGUGAAUUAUCAAGCAUGAGUAGCUAAAUCUACAACUAGGGUUGUGGGAACCAUGAGUAAUUAACAAAGUAAGAAUAGUAAUUAAGUAAUUCUUGAAUAGUGUUUAUGCAUGUAUUGUUAAUUCUUUCGCUUAGAAGUAUUUUAAACGCUGUGCAAUGUUAGAACUCGUCUCGUUGCUACUUGCCGGACCAAGGAGGUAGUUAAUGAGAAAAGAAUUAACAACAUAGAAUUAGUGGAUUCUAUCUAAUAGUCUAAUGUCAAUUGGAGCGAGGGUGAAAACUAUGUCAUACAUUGAUGUGAUGUCUAAUCUGGGGUAAAGGUAAGGGUUAGUAAAGCAUACACCCGUAGCCGGACCAAGGUGUGAGGUGAAAUUCACUACUUGGAGGACCAAUCACUUAGGGAUACCUAACUUACCAACUUUGCAUGUAAAACACUAGGAAAGGAUUACUAUUAGUAGGAUUACUGCUUUAAGAGCUUGUGGGGAAUACAUAUACCCUAGUUUCUCUCUCAUAUUGAUAACUCAAAGUAGAAUCUUGCUUACUUGUUACUUAAUCAACAAUUUGUUACUUACUUACAACAACAGCCCCUCCUUUCGGUUACUUGUCUCGAAAAUAGUUUGACUAAACGGAUAUAAUAGUGAGUUAAGUUUAAGUCUGAACCAUAUUCCUCGUGGGAUCGACCCCAACCUACAAGUUGGGUUCUUUAUUUGACAACGAUAACUUAUACUUCUUUAGGGAAGUGUAAUUUGAGCGUAUCAGGAUCCCGAUGCAAAAGUUGGGUCCCAGAUCAAGAGUUAGGACCAUUUUUCGGUGCGGAACUGGUAGUUGUGGAAUUCAUGGAAGUGGUAGUGUGGUAGGUGAGUAAUUUAUUUUAAAGAUUUUUAUUAGAUAUCUUAUUAUUUUUUUUGGGGGUUGCGGAAUUCAUGGUAAAAUGUAAUAAUAUUUAUUGUAAUAUUCUUCCGAUAGUUGUUUUAAUCUGAAUAUUUCUUUAAUAUUAUUUAUGAUAUAUUCUAGAUAUAACAUAUCUUAGGUUCUUUGGUACAUAUAUAAAUUUUCCUCCAUUAAUUGUUCUAAUAGUUUUAUAUCUUCCAUAGAUUCUAUCCAAUAUUGUAAAUAUUCGUAGUUCAUUUUAAUCUGAAUUUAUUUCUAAAUCAUACCAUUCUAUUCUUUCGGAGUCUAAAUCAUGUAGGUCUAUUUCAUAUCAUUCUUGAUUUAAUAUAUCUUCUGAUUCGUCAUUAAAAAAAAAUUCCCAUAUUAUUCUUCUUAAUUCAAUUAUUUCUAUACCUUUAAGUAUAUAUAAGAUUAAAGUUUCAUAGUUUUUUAUUAUUUCAUCAUGCAUGUAUGUAGUCAUGUUCUUUAUCAUGCAGGUUUUUAUUUUCAAUUAUUCCUUCCUGUGAUAUUCAUAAUUGAUUAAAUUCAUAUUAGAUCAUUAUGAACUAGAUUAUUUUUAUCAUGUUUUCCUGUCACUACUAGCAUCGUACUUUAGCGGAUACUUAGUUCUUAUCAGCGCCUCAACUUUGUUUACUCCCCUAAACGGCUUUCCUCGCCUACCGGUUUCAACAUUAGGAUGGCAUAGUAUAGAAGUUUUCUCCCUGUUUCCAGUGUGCUAAUAAACUAGAAAUCAUGAUUCAAAUAAUUCUAAUACAUAAUAACUAACAUAAAUUUAUUCAAUCAUAUAUAUGAUAUUCAGGAAUAUAUGAAAUUAGUUCUGCAUAUUUUUUUAACAAUAUCCCUUUGCUUCCUGCUUAUUCAUGCUAUCUGAAAUAUCUGAUUGGAUUUCAGAUUGUUGUUCCAUUUAUCCAAAUACUAAUUUUUUAGUUGAGAGAGUUUUUGAAAAGAAAGUUUUAUAUAACAGGCAUUGCCUUCUUUUCAUAUUACAUAUAUCUUCCUUUAUAUAGAAAGGAAUUAGUGCAUAAUAAUGCACGUACUACACACUUACUUUACAAUCCUACCCACUACUUUUACACUUGUCUACUCAAUAAUACACACUACCUACCAUAAUUUACACUUGUCAACACUACUUUAGUAGUGCACAUGCAUAUGUUGACUAAUUUACUCCACUAACUUGUACAUACUUAUCUACUUUAUGACAUAAUGACACACUUUAUGACUUUUUGUCAUAUGUCUUCUUUUUCUUCAUCUUUAUCUUCUCAUCAUCUUCUUAUCUUAUCUUUUAGGCUUCCAUCUUUAUCUCUUAUUCCAGCUGGACGUCUGGGAUUAUAUUAUCUUCUCCAUUGCAUUUCGAGCAUAUGUGGUCAGGGUAUUUGUGACCAAUUAGCUUGCAAUAUCUGGUUAAUAAUUCUGUCGAAAUAAAUCCUACUUUUAGUGCUCGUGUUGUAGGUCGUUCUUCUGGCUUAAGUAAUGAUAAAAUCCAUCUCUGGACUUCAUCCAUAUCUGCUUUCCUUAGCUCCCUUGAAUUAGAGUAAAUCAUUAACUGAUCUCUUGCAUAGUAGCUCCAUAUNNNNNNNNNNNNNNNNNNNNNNNNNNNNNNNNNNNNNNNNNNNNNNNNNNNNNNNNNNNNNNNNNNNNNNNNNNNNNNNNNNNNNNNNNNNNNNNNNNNNNNNNNNNNNNNNNNNNNNNNNNNNNNNNNNNNNNNNNNNNNNNNNNNNNNNNNNNNNNNNNNNNNNNNNNNNNNNNNNNNNNNNNNNNNNNNNNNNNNNNNNNNNNNNNNNNNNNNNNNNNNNNNNNNNNNNNNNNNNNNNNNNNNNNNNNNNNNNNNNNNNNNNNNNNNNNNNNNNNNNNNNNNNNNNNNNNNNNNNNNNNNNNNNNNNNNNNNNNNNNNNNNNNNNNNNNNNNNNNNNNNNNNNNNNNNNNNNNNNNNNNNNNNNNNNNNNNNNNNNNNNNNNNNNNNNNNNNNNNNNNNNNNNNNNNNNNNNNNNNNNNNNNNNNNNNNNNNNNNNNNNNNNNNNNNNNNNNNNNNNNNNNNNNNNNNNNNNNNNNNNNNNNNNNNNNNNNNNNNNNNNNNNNNNNNNNNNNNNNNNNNNNNNNNNNNNNNNNNNNNNNNNNNNNNNNNNNNNNNNNNNNNNNNNNNNNNNNNNNNNNNNNNNNNNNNNNNNNNNNNNNNNNNNNNNNNNNNNNNNNNNNNNNNNNNNNNNNNNNNNNNNNNNNNNNNNNNNNNNNNNNNNNNNNNNNNNNNNNNNNNNNNNNNNNNNNNNNNNNNNNNNNNNNNNNNNNNNNNNNNNNNNNNNNNNNNNNNNNNNNNNNNNNNNNNNNNNNNNNNNNNNNNNNNNNNNNNNNNNNNNNNNNNNNNNNNNNNNNNNNNNNNNNNNNNNNNNNNNNNNNNNNNNNNNNNNNNNNNNNNNNNNNNNNNNNNNNNNNNNNNNNNNNNNNNNNNNNNNNNNNNNNNNNNNNNNNNNNNNNNNNNNNNNNNNNNNNNNNNNNNNNNNNNNNNNNNNNNNNNNNNNNNNNNNNNNNNNNNNNNNNNNNNNNNNNNNNNNNNNNNNNNNNNNNNNNNNNNNNNNNNNNNNNNNNNNNNNNNNNNNNNNNNNNNNNNNNNNNNNNNNNNNNNNNNNNNNNNNNNNNNNNNNNNNNNNNNNNNNNNNNNNNNNNNNNNNNNNNNNNNNNNNNNNNNNNNNNNNNNNNNNNNNNNNNNNNNNNNNNNNNNNNNNNNNNNNNNNNNNNNNNNNNNNNNNNNNNNNNNNNNNNNNNNNNNNNNNNNNNNNNNNNNNNNNNNNNNNNNNNNNNNNNNNNNNNNNNNNNNNNNNNNNNNNNNNNNNNNNNNNNNNNNNNNNNNNNNNNNNNNNNNNNNNNNNNNNNNNNNNNNNNNNNNNNNNNNNNNNNNNNNNNNNNNNNNNNNNNNNNNNNNNNNNNNNNNNNNNNNNNNNNNNNNNNNNNNNNNNNNNNNNNNNNNNNNNNNNNNNNNNNNNNNNNNNNNNNNNNNNNNNNNNNNNNNNNNNNNNNNNNNNNNNNNNNNNNNNNNNNNNNNNNNNNNNNNNNNNNNNNNNNNNNNNNNNNNNNNNNNNNNNNNNNNNNNNNNNNNNNNNNNNNNNNNNNNNNNNNNNNNNNNNNNNNNNNNNNNNNNNNNNNNNNNNNNNNNNNNNNNNNNNNNNNNNNNNNNNNNNNNNNNNNNNNNNNNNNNNNNNNNNNNNNNNNNNNNNNNNNNNNNNNNNNNNNNNNNNNNNNNNNNNNNNNNNNNNNNNNNNNNNNNNNNNNNNNNNNNNNNNNNNNNNNNNNNNNNNNNNNNNNNNNNNNNNNNNNNNNNNNNNNNNNNNNNNNNNNNNNNNNNNNNNNNNNNNNNNNNNNNNNNNNNNNNNNNNNNNNNNNNNNNNNNNNNNNNNNNNNNNNNNNNNNNNNNNNNNNNNNNNNNNNNNNNNNNNNNNNNNNNNNNNNNNNNNNNNNNNNNNNNNNNNNNNNNNNNNNNNNNNNNNNNNNNNNNNNNNNNNNNNNNNNNNNNNNNNNNNNNNNNNNNNNNNNNNNNNNNNNNNNNNNNNNNNNNNNNNNNNNNNNNNNNNNNNNNNNNNNNNNNNNNNNNNNNNNNNNNNNNNNNNNNNNNNNNNNNNNNNNNNNNNNNNNNNNNNNNNNNNNNNNNNNNNNNNNNNNNNNNNNNNNNNNNNNNNNNNNNNNNNNNNNNNNNNNNNNNNNNNNNNNNNNNNNNNNNNNNNNNNNNNNNNNNNNNNNNNNNNNNNNNNNNNNNNNNNNNNNNNNNNNNNNNNNNNNNNNNNNNNNNNNNNNNNNNNNNNNNNNNNNNNNNNNNNNNNNNNNNNNNNNNNNNNNNNNNNNNNNNNNNNNNNNNNNNNNNNNNNNNNNNNNNNNNNNNNNNNNNNNNNNNNNNNNNNNNNNNNNNNNNNNNNNNNNNNNNNNNNNNNNNNNNNNNNNNNNNNNNNNNNNNNNNNNNNNNNNNNNNNNNNNNNNNNNNNNNNNNNNNNNNNNNNNNNNNNNNNNNNNNNNNNNNNNNNNNNNNNNNNNNNNNNNNNNNNNNNNNNNNNNNNNNNNNNNNNNNNNNNNNNNNNNNNNNNNNNNNNNNNNNNNNNNNNNNNNNNNNNNNNNNNNNNNNNNNNNNNNNNNNNNNNNNNNNNNNNNNNNNNNNNNNNNNNNNNNNNNNNNNNNNNNNNNNNNNNNNNNNNNNNNNNNNNNNNNNNNNNNNNNNNNNNNNNNNNNNNNNNNNNNNNNNNNNNNNNNNNNNNNNNNNNNNNNNNNNNNNNNNNNNNNNNNNNNNNNNNNNNNNNNNNNNNNNNNNNNNNNNNNNNNNNNNNNNNNNNNNNNNNNNNNNNNNNNNNNNNNNNNNNNNNNNNNNNNNNNNNNNNNNNNNNNNNNNNNNNNNNNNNNNNNNNNNNNNNNNNNNNNNNNNNNNNNNNNNNNNNNNNNNNNNNNNNNNNNNNNNNNNNNNNNNNNNNNNNNNNNNNNNNNNNNNNNNNNNNNNNNNNNNNNNNNNNNNNNNNNNNNNNNNNNNNNNNNNNNNNNNNNNNNNNNNNNNNNNNNNNNNNNNNNNNNNNNNNNNNNNNNNNNNNNNNNNNNNNNNNNNNNNNNNNNNNNNNNNNNNNNNNNNNNNNNNNNNNNNNNNNNNNNNNNNNNNNNNNNNNNNNNNNNNNNNNNNNNNNNNNNNNNNNNNNNNNNNNNNNNNNNNNNNNNNNNNNNNNNNNNNNNNNNNNNNNNNNNNNNNNNNNNNNNNNNNNNNNNNNNNNNNNNNNNNNNNNNNNNNNNNNNNNNNNNNNNNNNNNNNNNNNNNNNNNNNNNNNNNNNNNNNNNNNNNNNNNNNNNNNNNNNNNNNNNNNNNNNNNNNNNNNNNNNNNNNNNNNNNNNNNNNNNNNNNNNNNNNNNNNNNNNNNNNNNNNNNNNNNNNNNNNNNNNNNNNNNNNNNNNNNNNNNNNNNNNNNNNNNNNNNNNNNNNNNNNNNNNNNNNNNNNNNNNNNNNNNNNNNNNNNNNNNNNNNNNNNNNNNNNNNNNNNNNNNNNNNNNNNNNNNNNNNNNNNNNNNNNNNNNNNNNNNNNNNNNNNNNNNNNNNNNNNNNNNNNNNNNNNNNNNNNNNNNNNNNNNNNNNNNNNNNNNNNNNNNNNNNNNNNNNNNNNNNNNNNNNNNNNNNNNNNNNNNNNNNNNNNNNNNNNNNNNNNNNNNNNNNNNNNNNNNNNNNNNNNNNNNNNNNNNNNNNNNNNNNNNNNNNNNNNNNNNNNNNNNNNNNNNNNNNNNNNNNNNNNNNNNNNNNNNNNNNNNNNNNNNNNNNNNNNNNNNNNNNNNNNNNNNNNNNNNNNNNNNNNNNNNNNNNNNNNNNNNNNNNNNNNNNNNNNNNNNNNNNNNNNNNNNNNNNNNNNNNNNNNNNNNNNNNNNNNNNNNNNNNNNNNNNNNNNNNNNNNNNNNNNNNNNNNNNNNNNNNNNNNNNNNNNNNNNNNNNNNNNNNNNNNNNNNNNNNNNNNNNNNNNNNNNNNNNNNNNNNNNNNNNNNNNNNNNNNNNNNNNNNNNNNNNNNNNNNNNNNNNNNNNNNNNNNNNNNNNNNNNNNNNNNNNNNNNNNNNNNNNNNNNNNNNNNNNNNNNNNNNNNNNNNNNNNNNNNNNNNNNNNNNNNNNNNNNNNNNNNNNNNNNNNNNNNNNNNNNNNNNNNNNNNNNNNNNNNNNNNNNNNNNNNNNNNNNNNNNNNNNNNNNNNNNNNNNNNNNNNNNNNNNNNNNNNNNNNNNNNNNNNNNNNNNNNNNNNNNNNNNNNNNNNNNNNNNNNNNNNNNNNNNNNNNNNNNNNNNNNNNNNNNNNNNNNNNNNNNNNNNNNNNNNNNNNNNNNNNNNNNNNNNNNNNNNNNNNNNNNNNNNNNNNNNNNNNNNNNNNNNNNNNNNNNNNNNNNNNNNNNNNNNNNNNNNNNNNNNNNNNNNNNNNNNNNNNNNNNNNNNNNNNNNNNNNNNNNNNNNNNNNNNNNNNNNNNNNNNNNNNNNNNNNNNNNNNNNNNNNNNNNNNNNNNNNNNNNNNNNNNNNNNNNNNNNNNNNNNNNNNNNNNNNNNNNNNNNNNNNNNNNNNNNNNNNNNNNNNNNNNNNNNNNNNNNNNNNNNNNNNNNNNNNNNNNNNNNNNNNNNNNNNNNNNNNNNNNNNNNNNNNNNNNNNNNNNNNNNNNNNNNNNNNNNNNNNNNNNNNNNNNNNNNNNNNNNNNNNNNNNNNNNNNNNNNNNNNNNNNNNNNNNNNNNNNNNNNNNNNNNNNNNNNNNNNNNNNNNNNNNNNNNNNNNNNNNNNNNNNNNNNNNNNNNNNNNNNNNNNNNNNNNNNNNNNNNNNNNNNNNNNNNNNNNNNNNNNNNNNNNNNNNNNNNNNNNNNNNNNNNNNNNNNNNNNNNNNNNNNNNNNNNNNNNNNNNNNNNNNNNNNNNNNNNNNNNNNNNNNNNNNNNNNNNNNNNNNNNNNNNNNNNNNNNNNNNNNNNNNNNNNNNNNNNNNNNNNNNNNNNNNNNNNNNNNNNNNNNNNNNNNNNNNNNNNNNNNNNNNNNNNNNNNNNNNNNNNNNNNNNNNNNNNNNNNNNNNNNNNNNNNNNNNNNNNNNNNNNNNNNNNNNNNNNNNNNNNNNNNNNNNNNNNNNNNNNNNNNNNNNNNNNNNNNNNNNNNNNNNNNNNNNNNNNNNNNNNNNNNNNNNNNNNNNNNNNNNNNNNNNNNNNNNNNNNNNNNNNNNNNNNNNNNNNNNNNNNNNNNNNNNNNNNNNNNNNNNNNNNNNNNNNNNNNNNNNNNNNNNNNNNNNNNNNNNNNNNNNNNNNNNNNNNNNNNNNNNNNNNNNNNNNNNNNNNNNNNNNNNNNNNNNNNNNNNNNNNNNNNNNNNNNNNNNNNNNNNNNNNNNNNNNNNNNNNNNNNNNNNNNNNNNNNNNNNNNNNNNNNNNNNNNNNNNNNNNNNNNNNNNNNNNNNNNNNNNNNNNNNNNNNNNNNNNNNNNNNNNNNNNNNNNNNNNNNNNNNNNNNNNNNNNNNNNNNNNNNNNNNNNNNNNNNNNNNNNNNNNNNNNNNNNNNNNNNNNNNNNNNNNNNNNNNNNNNNNNNNNNNNNNNNNNNNNNNNNNNNNNNNNNNNNNNNNNNNNNNNNNNNNNNNNNNNNNNNNNNNNNNNNNNNNNNNNNNNNNNNNNNNNNNNNNNNNNNNNNNNNNNNNNNNNNNNNNNNNNNNNNNNNNNNNNNNNNNNNNNNNNNNNNNNNNNNNNNNNNNNNNNNNNNNNNNNNNNNNNNNNNNNNNNNNNNNNNNNNNNUAAGUAUUGAAUAUAUUUAUAUUCUAUUUUAGAUAUAUUAUCUAUUAAUUGGUCUAAUUUUUCGUUAUCAAUUUUUGUGAUGUUAAGUUGUUUAUAUUUCGGAUAUAGUUUGUUUAAUUUUCUUCUUAAUUUUCUUAACUUUCUACUAGUAUGUUUCUUACUAUGUUUCUUAUUAUCCAUAGCUCUGAUACCGAUUUGAAGUCUUCACAUGAAUUUUCUUGUCUUUUUUAUUCAAAUUAAAGUUUUACAAAUUUGUAUGUCCUCACGUAUUUGAUAAAUUUUAAGAACUUUGAAAGAUUUCUACAAUGCUACCAAAAAUGAUAAUGUCAUGAAAAAGGUAAUAUAGACCCUACAAAGUACAUUCAUUUAUAUAUAUAUAUAUAUAUAUUCGAGUCAUUGUUUUAUGUGAAAAUAUUACUAAACUUGUUUGAAAUAAUAUUUUACCAUAAAAAUUAUUUUAAACAUAAACUUAAUGCAUGUCAGUAUCUUAAACAAGAUAAUUUACAGGAGACGUUAUAAAAACAUACCUGAAGACAUUAUCGCCGAGAAUGAUUUCUACCUCUUUGUUCUAAUCUUAUGAUAUCACAAAUGUCAGUGUCGGAAUAGUGUAAAGAACUAUAUGAUAACUCUAGCAGGGAUGACCAACUUAUAGAAGUGAGAUUUAAUCUUCACCGUCCAUCAAAUAAUCAAUCUAACAUAUGAAAAAAGUUUAUUGGAUAUUAGUUACCAACUUUACAUUAAUUGGGUCACACAUGAAAUAAAUAAACUCAAACAUUUAUUAUAAACAAGCAAAUAAUUAUCCUAACAUUCAAUUUCUAUCUCAAUAAAAAUAGGUUUAGUUAUUGACUUAAAAUAUAUUUUUUAUAAUAUAAUUUAUUGUUUUAUUUAAUAUUAUUUAUAAUUGACAUUUACUAUUUCAAAUUUUAAUUCUUUGAUUGAAUGUAAAGUUUAUUUCUUUUGUUUUCCCUUCUAAUAUUUUGUCUUACAUGCUGACAAAUAUAAGUAUUAAUAAAAAUAUCACUUAGGAUAGGAUUAGAGUUUAAUUUAUUUAUUUUUAAAAAUACAAUUAACUUAUAGCAUUGAUAAAUAGUUGUAAAAGGAGUCAAAAAUGUAGAUGUUGUUCUUCCAUCUCAAUCGAAAAAAUGUGUUUAAAAUAUGAUAGUUAAUUAAUUAAUUUUAUAUGCAUGCACUUUUAACAUAAAAUUUACCUAACAAAUGAUUGUUAAUUAAUUUACAGCCGAGGAUUAUGCUAGGCUCUACAUUUGGGAGUUGGUUAAAUUGCAUGGAUUUCCAUUGUCCAUUAUCUCAUAUAGGGGUACUCAGUUCACCUCUCAGUUUUGGAGAUCAUUUCAAAAAGGUCUUGGUACUCAGGUUAAGUUUAGCACAAUUUUUCAUCCAUAGACAGAUGGUCAGGCUAAAUGGACUAUUCAGUCCUUGGAGGCUAUGUUGAGAGCAUAUGUGAUUGACUUUAAGGGUAUUUGGGACAAUCAUUUGCCUUUGAUUGAGUUUGCUUAUACUAACAGUUAUCACUCUAGUAUUCAGAUGACUCUAUUUGAGGCGCUCUAUAGUAGGAGGUGUAGGUCUCGUAUAGGUUGGUUUGUAGUUGGUGAAGUGGCUUUGAUAGGGCCCGAGUCAGUUCAUGAGGCCAUGGAAAAGUUUGACUUAUUAGAGAUAGGUUGAGAACGGCCUAAAGUAGACAUAAAGCUUAUGUGACUAACAAGGCAAAGGCAAAACGAGCUAAUAAAGGAGAACAAAUAAGAUAGAAUCCAAAAUCGGCAAGAAUACUCACAAGCCAAACAACCAACACAUCCAAAGGCAACUCAUGCAACACCACAAUGUCAAACUCCAAAAUAAGUAUAUAUCAUAAGCCCGGAAGAAACAUCAAACCGCCUUGAAUGAUUCUCAAGCUUAUCCACAAACCAAUAACCUGGAUUUGCUUAUCCAUAGGCCACCCGGUAUGGCACAUCAAGCUUACCCAUAUCUGCAUAUUUGUAUCCACGGGUUGCCCGGUAUGAUGCCUCAAGCUCAUCUGUAAUGUGAAUCAAAGUAAACAGUAGCCCAGCCAAGCUAUUGGGCCACCUGAAAUGCUACCUCGAGCUAAUUAGAGUAUAUGUAGCUAGAAGGUGCGGUAAAAUAAGAAAAAGGGCUUUUUCACCACUUUUAUGCAACACAAGUCUCAAGGACUUCCAACUCAUUAAGAAUAACUUUUUUAUUGCCAAUAAGCCAUUUCUUUCUCAUAACUCAAGCAAAUAGGUAAUCCACAGAAGUAUAAUCACAAUCAACUCAUGGCAUACACACAAAAUCGGCAAGAAUACAUGUCACACCACAAGAGUACUAACCUGGGACUUUUGAUAAUCCAAACUCAUGGGAUAAGGCCCAAUCGUUUAAUAAACAACAACCAAAGAAGCACAACUCAAAGAAUCCAUACAAUCAUCCAAACCAACCAAAACAAUCAAACACCACACAACCCUAAGUUUCACGCAGUAUUCUACUCAUGCAAGGAUCGUCUAAACUAAGACCUUUUCGACUAAAGAUUAAGCUAAACCAACCAACUUAUGGACAUAACUAUCCAUGGAUCAAUAAAUCUCAAUCAACCUAAGGGUUCAACCUAAAUCAUGUGAUACUACCCAAAUAUACUUAAUCUAACUAAGCCAAGUCUAAGAAAAGGAAGUCAUAGCCUACCACAAGGUCGAAACCACACACGAACUACAAUUCCAAUGAUGUUCCCUUUCGGAGAGCCUCGGAUUACUGUCAAGCUAUCAACAACACAAAGAGCAAGUAAAUACGAGUCCAAAAAACAAGCCAGAAAUUAGGCCUAAAAUAGCCCACGAAUCAACGCAACCAAAAUUAUGAAAAAACGGUCAUAUUGUUCUUAUUGGGGUAAGGAUCACAUGCCCGAAAGAUGGGUGCAAAUGGGACUCAAUUCGGACCUUAAAUGGCUAAAUUACCUUACUUUAGAGUUUAGAAGUCAAGGGAUUUGAGGUCGAAAAUGAAAUUGAAUUCGUCAUUGAAGGAAUAAAAGGGUAGAGAAGAAGGAGAGGAAGAAAACUACCUUUGAAGUGCCAAAAAUGUUCAAGAAAUGCCCAAAAUUGCCUAACUCCGAGCUCUCCAAGAGUUGGUUUCUUUUGAAGAAGAAAGAAUGAAAAAUGGGAAUUUAAUCGGAAUGAUUUUCACAAAAGCAGACAUUUGUUCUCUUAAGAGAACCCCACCUAAAGAGGCGCCCUUUGCUUAAGUGACCACUUGGACACUUAAGCGACCUUCGCAAAAUCAAAGAGUGGGUCGUGCCUCCUUGGUGUCCUUCGCUUAAGUGGCCCCUUGGUCGCUUAAGCAGACUUCGCUUAAGCGACCAAAAGUUCGCUUAAGCCGUCGCACCAGAUACCAGCAAAAACAGGAAAAAGGCCUAAGUGUCCAAAUCAUCGAACAAAGCCUCAGAAUUCAUUCGAAGUCCAAACGACGCAAACCAAAAGUGCAAACUAAUUAGAAAUGACAUUCUAGACUCAAAAAAAUCAAUGAAAAAUCCAUCCGAGUUUGUCUCGUUCAAAGUAAACACUUUAACAAAGAAACAACACAAAAACUCCAAAAGGUAAAAACUCACCUCGACACCCUCGAGAAACAAACCAAAGAUCGUUCUAGACCAAACUUGGCAUUUCAAAGCUAAUCGCGUUGAUGGAAUUUGAUUCCGAGCACAUUUACCAAGAAAACUUCCCCAAAUUCCAUUUUGAGCAAAACUCAGAAGCCAAAACUCUUAAUCACGCCAACUCCAAAUGAAAGCCCGAAAACCCAAACCAAUCAUCAAUCUAGACCAAAAUGUCCCUUCCGGAGCUGAUGGAACUAAUGGAAUUCCGAUCCAACAUCAUAAUCUCUGAUUGUUGACGUAAGUCAACUCCUCCAAGCUUAAAGCUUCCAAAAUUCAAAUCUCACACCAAACUCAAUUGAACACCUUGGGGAGUGUGCCACCCAACCCAGAACCACACACAAGCUAUGGAAAUGGGCAAACAAGGAAAGGCAUAGAGAAACACAGAAAUGACCCCGAGAGUCAUUAAUGUUUUGGCCUAUUCUAAGUGAGAUUAAGUGAUUCCUAGUUACUCUAACCUCUCACUCUCUCCUAACUCUUCCAAAUCAAUGUUUUUCCCUCUAAUGUCUUCUCUCAAGCAAGAGUUAGGGUUCCAAGCUUCAAGUCUCCAUUGAAGAAAUCAAGCCAAGGUUUUUACUCCAAGUAUGUAGGAUUUGAUCAAUGGUUAUCCCUUUAUCCAUUGAGUCCCAAGAAAACCCCAAUUCUACAAGUUUAUUAUUUCUACAAAUCUAGGGUUUAUAGGAUCUUUAUGGAUUCUUGAUGACUUUCCCUUCUUCUUCUUCUUCAUGUUUAGCCUUUAAUAUCAUGAUUAUAAGUAUAAUUCCAUGUUCUCAAUUGUAUUUUCAUGAACCCUAAAUAUACAAGUAUUUUCAUGACUCAAAACUUUCGUGAUUUCAGAAUGCAUGCUUCAGAUUAUCAAGUUUUCAUAAUUUUAGAUGCUUUCAAAUAAAGUGUCUUUUUCCAUUAUACUCAGAAUUUAUGCUAUUUCAUAUGCAUAUCUCAGAUUAUCAUAAUGUAGCACCCCAAAAAUUUUUAAGUUAAGACCCAAACCAUUCUUCAUUUGUGAAUAAGAUCGUACAUAUGUGUAAAGGUCAAUUCUUUAGUGUGGAAAUCAUUUUGGAUAUCGAUUGAGAUCACUAGAAUCUCUUGGCACAAAGUUGAAUUGAAAGUUUCCUUACCAAUUAAGUUUUGAUGUAAGAUUCUACUUAGGUCAACUUCAAAUGCCUAUAUUUCUUAGAAUAUAAAGAUUUACAUGUCUCAUAACCUAUCAAAUUAAAGGUAUUUGAAUAUUCUUUCCAACACCACCAAUUUCGCAACAAUCCGAGUUUUGAGUAAAAAGUUAUGACCAUUUUAGUAAUCUGCUACAGUGUAGUGACGAAUUAGCCGACGGGGAAAUAAUAAAAAGGGUCGUUUUUGUCUUUUUACCUCUAAGAAAAUCCUAAACGAAUUUCUUGACUAAUUAAAGGUCCAAAACAAUCAGAUUUAUCAUCCCUUAAUCCCCAUUUCUCUUCUCUCUCAAACACUAAAGCAAAACCCUAAGGAAAAAUCAAAGUAGAAGACUUCAUUCAAGAUUCUUUCAAUCUUUUUCAAGAUAAGUCCUUCUGCAAGAAUUCCAUUCUUUCCAACUCAAAUUCCUCCAUACAAUUAUGAAUCACUAAUGAAAAUUAUAAUUCUUGGCCAUGGAAAUUUCAAGAACUGAUUCAAGACUCUCAAGAAAGGUUUUCUUGAUUGUUCUCUUUCAAGCUAGGAUUUCAAGGCUUCUAAUUAAGUUCUUCUUCAAGAACUUUGUUCUUCCAAGUAUGUAGGGCUAUCAUAGUGUUGGACUAGUUCGUCCUCAUGCCCUACAUCUACUUUCAAAUCAGUAAAAGAGAAGUCUAGGAUUCUACCCCUAGAUUUGAGUAUUCUUGAGAUGAGUUGAUUUUGAGUUCUUGAGUUCCUAUUUCUUUUUGAAAUUCUAUUCCUAAUUAUUGAAUUGCUAUAUGUUUAUGCAUUAAGAUUCUUGAGUUGAUUCGUUCAUGCCCAUAAUUUCGCAUGAACUCUAUGAAUUGAGUAUUCUUUAGAGGAGUAGUGUUGUUGAGUUAUGAGUUCCGAGUUCUUGAGUCAUUGAGUUCUUGAUUUCUUGAGUUUUGAGUACUAAGUUUCCAUAUUGCUAUUAAGAUCCUUGAGUUGAGUCGUUCAUGUCCAUAAUUCCGCAUGAACCCUAUGAAUUGAGUUAUAAAUCUUGAGAAUUUUUUUUAAAAAGCCAACACUUGAGUUUAAACUGAGGUUUUGAGGAAGUAAAGGUGAGUUUUGAGAAAGAGUUUCUAAAACAUGAUUAGUAUGACAAUUGAGUAUGCCAUCAAUGUUUAAGCAGUAUUGUAUCUAGAUAUAGCAUCAAUGUUUAUGCAUUAUGACUUCCCGAGUCAUCAAUGAUCAUAUCACAAUAUGAUUUUCAUAUACUUUUUAGAAAGAGUUUUCAAAUAUGAAUUGAGUAAGAGUAUAAGGGAACUAAGUAUUCCCAAAGGUAUCAGUUUUUACAUUGAUAAAAGAGAAACUUUGAUUUCUAAAUGAGUUACGAGUUCAAAGAUAUUUCAAGAGUAGUUACCUCUUUUAAGAGGAUAAUUUGAGCAAUUAUCUCAAACCAGAGGAAGAGUAUGUUUUUAAACAUUGAGCAUAAUGUUAUAUCACUUAUUUUGGGAGAAGUAUCGAGCACCGAAUUGGGUUAGAGUCUUUUAUGAUUCGGAAGUCUCAUAGAACUACGUAGCCAGCGUAGGAUAGGAUAGCAUUGACUCUUCAUGCGACUCCUCACUGCCUCUGACAAGGCAGUUAGAUGGAUCCAUAGUCACGAUACCAUCUUAUAUACCUCGGCAAAGUAUAGGAUAGCCAUGACAACGUGAGGCGAAAUGUUGUAUCAUUGCCAGGCCCAUGGUAAUGCUUGUCGAUUAAAGAAACUCCCCACAAGUAAAGUAUAUUAUUUUUAUGUUGCUUUCAUUGUAUAUUUUAUUGUAAAGCUUAAAUGGUUUUCACUUCAUGUUCAUGUAUUGAUUUAGUUGAAUAUAUAUCUAUAUCUAUUGUAGUCUUUUCAUUCAGUUAUUUGUUAUUCAGCUAUAUUACAUACUCGUACAUUCAAUAUACUGAUGUCAUUCGACCUGCAUCUUUUAAUGAUGCAGAUACAGGUUCUUAGGAUCCUCAACAAGAGUCUGUUGAGAUCACUUCAUCUGCUCGUCAGUAUUCGUGGGUUUUGUCCUGACACUCGUUUAUAUAUAGUAGAGGCUUCAUAGAUAGACAGUUUUGGAGAGUCUUUCAGUUUUCAUAUGUUUUAUCUAAACUGAUGUUUCAUACUCAGUAUAUUCAACAAAGUUUUGAGAUUCAGUAAACAAUUUUUUAAACGUUUCUUUCAAUUAGAUGCUUAUGUAUGCUUGAGUUAGUCUUCCGCUUGUAGUCAGCCAGGAUGAGGGUUCGCUUGGGAACCAGCAAUGGUUCUUGAGUGCCGACCACGUCAAGGGUGUAGGCUCGGAUCGUAACACAUAAUUUAGAUGCUUUCAGAUAUAGUAUCUCUCAGUAUAUCUUCAGUCAUCAUGAUUUAUCAGCUACUCAGUGUUUAUCAAUUCAAUGUGUAUGACAAAACACUCAUUUUCAUCAGGUUCAUUAAAUUUGCAUGAUAUUUGAUUUCUUUCCUCUUUUUAAUAAUUUUCCCAGAAUUCUUCUUCAUCAUCCCCACUAUAAUUCUCUAAGAGAAUUUGGUUGGUGAGUCUACCUUUGCCUUGAUCCUAGCAUAACUAGAUCGUAUUUGAUUCUUCACAGUCAUGUCAACUUGUGAGUUUUUACCAUCAACAACGACCAUAGAAAAUAAUACUUCCUAUAUAAAAUAGUUAGGAGAGUCAAAUAACAAAUUCACGGAGAAUUAUAGGAUUUUGACCGUCUAAUAUUUAAUUUUAGAGAGUGAUUUCUUCCUUUUGUGCCCUUGAUUCCCUAUCACAAAUUUAAUUAUUACGUUUAAUCAUCAAUUUGGGUGUAAACAAACACCUAAAAAGUGAGGAGAAAGCAUUGGUGUAAGGGGAAAUGAAAAGGAAACUUUCAAAAAUGAUUAUAGUUUAGGCUUAAUUAGAGAACUAUAGUUAUAUUUUGCUUAAUUACGAAUUAUAGCUACAUGUUUGGGGUAGAAGAGGUGAGAGAGACUAGGAGAGUGAGAGAGGCGAGUGAUAUCAGAAAGAGUGAGGAAAGUGACGAGAGAGGUUAAAAUAUACUUGUAGUAUUCGUUGUAUCAGGUCAUAUCACGAACACAAUUGAUACAACUGAUAUAUAUCAAAAUGAAUACAAUUGUAUAAAAAAAAGUAUUGUAUUUAGCUACAUAUUAGGAGACGAGAGGUGAGCGAGAUCGAGGGAGAAUGAAUACAUACAAUUGAUACAUAAUACAAAUACAGUUGAUACAAAUAAAUAGUUGUCUAUAUUUGUUGAAAUAAAAUUGAUAUAGAAUACAGAGGAUGAAUGCAUAUUGUAUUCGUUGUAUCAAGUUUUAUUACAAUUACAACUGAUGUAUUACAUGUGUUUUAUAAAUUGUUCUCUAUAAUAUGUAUUAAAACUAUAUUAUAAAUGUAUUAAAAAUGAUCAAGUGAAAAUAAAAAUGUUAUUAUUAUAAAUGGUAAAUAUUUUCUUAGUAUAGUAUAUUUAUGAUAUGAUUUUUGGGUCGUUCCGAAUUCAAAACCAUGCCCAUAGGAUGGAAAGUAGUAAAGUAGCUCUUUUUAUUGUCCAGCGCGGCAAUAUUCCCAUCUGGAUUUUGGUCCCUCCAAGGGCUCCAACCCUUUGCAUUUGAAUUUGAAACCCGAAAAUAAGAAAAACCAAAACAAAUUUAUUAGUAUUUGUUCAGAGAACUACAUUCCGCUUUCUUCUGUACCUUUACCGGUGAAGUAACGCUACUUAACGGCGCGCUCUUCCUGCAAAUUCAAAUUCUCAUCCCUCCACAUCUAAUUGCUUAUUCAUUUCCCUUUUCCCCCUACCCCCACCCCCCUAACCCCCCAGUUGAAAAAAAACCACUUCUUCUCUCAUGGCUUUGAAACCCUAGACCAACCAAAUUCAAAUUUCAAGAUAUCUACUCGUAGUUACUCUUUCUCUUGGUCUUUGUAUGUUUAAGCAAUUCAGAUUUACAGUUUUGAAUUUGAAUUUUGUGGGUUGUUGAAUUUAGGUGAAAUUCUUCUACCUAAAUUGAAAAAAGUUUUAUUUAGUCAAUUAUGGAAGAAGAUUGUGGGGUUUCUGAUCAGUCUAUUGGGAUAACUGGAUCUGGGACUGGGAUAAUGGUUAGAAAUUUUACCCUUUGGUUUAUGACUUAUUUCAGUUCUUUCUUGGUUUUUGUUUAUUGGGUGUGUAUUAACUCUGAUGUUUCAGGUCAUUGCUGGGGAGAAGAGGGGCCGUGUGGGAGUUGAAGAAAGAACAGGACUUUGUCACAAAAGAGUGAAAAUGAGGGAUCUUGAAUCUGUUCUGCGUACAGAAGGUAGUCUUUUUACUAAUUUUUGGACUUUUAACUUUAAAUUGCAGAUAGGAAUCUUGAAAUUUUGAAUGAUUUAUAGUGGUAGGAACUGAAAGUUGAAAACUUUAAGCACUUCGGAUCUGUAGUUUGACAAAUAUAUAGAGAAUUGUUUACUCAAGAUGCGGUCUUUGAUUUUCUAGUGUAGUUUGAUAAAUAUAUAGAGAAUUGUUUACUCAAGAUGCAGUCCUUGAUUUUCUAGUGCAGUUUGAUAAAUAUAUAGAGAAUUGUUUACUUAAGAUGCAGUCUUUGAUUUUCUAGUGCAGUUUGAUAAGUAUAUAGAGAAUUGUUUACUCAAGAUGUGAUCUUUGAUUUUCUAGUGCAGUUUGAUAAAUAUAUAGAGCAUUGUUUACUCAAGAUGCAGUCUUUAAUUUUCUAGUGCAGUGUUUUUGUUUACUGUCAUUAAGGGGUCGUUUGGUAGGCCGCAUUAAAAGAAACAGUCCAUGUAUUAUGUAUGGUAUUAUUUAGUACUAUGUUUGGUAGGAAUUUGAGCCUAUGUAUAACUAAUCCAUGGAUUAGCUAUACAUCCUAUAUGGUAUUAUAUGAUGUAUUACGAAUACCUUCCAUUUGGAGGUAUUAGUAAUACAUAGGAUAUAAUACCAUGGGAUAAGUCUAUGUAAAGACAAAAAUANNNNNNNNNNNNNNNNNNNNNNNNNNNNNNNNNNNNNNNNNNNNNNNNNNNNNNNNNNNNNNNNNNNNNNNNNNNNNNNNNNNNNNNNNNNNNNNNNNNNNNNNNNNNNNNNNNNNNNNNNNNNNNNNNNNNNNNNNNNNNNNNNNNNNNNNNNNNNNNNNNNNNNNNNNNNNNNNNNNNNNNNNNNNNNNNNNNNNNNNNNNNNNNNNNNNNNNNNNNNNNNNNNNNNNGGUAGUUGAUUUAUCUUUUUUAAAUUGAAAAUUGACAUUUUGUGAGUGAUCAAUUUAUUAAGAUGAAAAUUAUUUAUCCUCAAAUAAUUUAAAUUUGGAAACAUGACAACAAAAUUAUUCUUCUCAUAGCUAGUUAGAAGGCAAUAAAAAAAAAAAAUCCGGCAAUUAUCUACCUUGACCCAAUUACAUAACAAUUCAAGGGUAUAAUUGGAAAGAAGAUUUUAAAAGAGUUUUAAUCCAAACACAAGUUGGGGUUGGAAAUAAUGAACCAAACACUUGAUAAAAACAAACUCUGCAUUACUAAUCCCUACACUACUAAUCCCUACAUUAUUCAUUUUUGUACCAAACGACCCCUAAUAGUAUUUUGUAUUAGGUCUUGAUUUUAUACUAUAGAAGACUUUAUAUAUAGAGUGGAUACAAUAAACCUCAUAAGAUAUGAUUGAUGAUUCAAUUUGUCUCCCAAUAUAAAAGAUAUAUUUGACAUUUUUAAUUGUCAAAGAUUUUGUUGUUUGGUAAGGUUAAGGUUUUUAAUUUAGAUAUGGCAUAAUAUAUUGCUAAUGAUGAUUUUUUUUAUUAAAAAAAAAACAUGUCUGGUUUUCUAGACAACCUCUAGGCAAGACAUUAUUAUAUUACUAGAUAUAGGACCCCGUGUCGGCACGGGGCCCAAUAUAUAUAUAUAUAUUUUUUAUUUUAAUUUAUGUUAUAUUAUUAUUAACCCCUGCAUUAUUCAUUUUUGUACCAAACGACCCCUAAGUUCUCUAUCUAUGAUAUAUUAACAUUUGAAUCUUUGUGAAGGUAACGAAGACAAAAAAAAAUGAUGUAAUAAUAUUUUUCUCUUGUUCCAUCAGAAAAAACUGAAAUGGGCACCGGUAAUCUGGUCACUGAUCCUGCACUUAGAUUGAUUGAUCUGAAUGCAAAUGCUGUUGCUUCUAGCAAUGCGAUUGCAUCACAUGUUGAAGAAACCAACAAACUGGCCUCUAUGGGGAAGAAAGACAAUGGUCAAGAGGGGGACCCUAUGAAGUCAAAAGGGUUUGCUUUAGAUCUGAAUGCAGAAGAUGUUUCUAGCUCUAUUAAUCAUGAAUCUUCAUAUCCGUGCAAGAACUCUGUGUACUUGACAUCAAAGGAUGAUUUUGAGUGUGCAAGUUCGGUUGGUCCAUUGGACGAGAAUGAGUCGAUGAGAAUCUGGAAUGAGAUGAAACAAAAUGGUUUUCUUUCACAUACUCACGGAGGUGCACCCAUGCCAAAGCAGCAAGGGAGGAAAAGUAAAAGUGAUGGGAUGAAGAAAAAGUUAGAGCUUGCGAAGAAAGAACGAGUUGACAGGUUUGCAAAGAUUGCUGCACCGAGUGGGUUGCUCAACGGGUUAAACCCAGGGAUCAUAAACCAUGUCAGGAACAGUAAGCAAGUUCAUUCCAUUAUAGAAGCCCUAGUAAAAUCUGAAAAGCGUGAAAAUGCCCAUGGUAGGAGCAAGGUUCCUUCCAUCCAAACAAAGGGAGGAUUGAAAGACCAUAGUGAAAGAAACAAAGACCAGGAAAAUAUAGAUGGUCCAGGAGUGAGCAGAUUCAACCCUGCUCUUGAAGAUCUGCCAGGAAGCAGGUGUACAAAUGGUUACCUAACAUCACUGAAUAAAUCAAUCUCUUUGAACUCAGUGUUUACAGGAGGAGAUGGAGGUUCAUGCAUGGUUGACACCAGGGUUACUGGAAAGAUGGUUUAUCAUCCAAACCCUAAUAUAGGCACUGAGAAUGAUGCACUUGCACUGAAAUUGUCAUCAUCCACAACCAUUGCAUCAGAUAAUACGAGCUCAUUAUCUAAUGAGGAAUCAGCAAACCUAGCAAGUGUUAAUUCACUUUCUAUCAAAGGUUGGUUUAUAUCUUCCUUCUUUUUGUUGUUUGUUUCUCUUGGAUUACAUGAUGUGCUUAUUAUGACUAGUUAAGUAUUCUUCUGAAAAUUUGUGAGAUGAGCCUUUUAGCAUUUUAGAUUAACAGAUACUUGGAAAUCUAGCUGUACAAGCAGUAAGCUUCAAGGAAUGGUCCGUUUGUCAUCUAAAUCAUGUUUUAUCAACAGUACUCAACUGAUAUAGGUAUUUUUUUUAAAUCUAGCUGCUAACGUAGCUUCACAAUGGUUGGAAUUGCUUCAUCAAGACAUUAAAGGACGUCUUGCAGGUAGAGAAAAAUUCUCUUAAGGUUGCAGUUUAUUUGACUUAAAUCAAAGUUAUAAUGUACUCCUUUCUAUAUUUGCAGCACUGCGGCGUAGUAAAAAAAGAGUCCGGGCUGUAAUUCAAACAGAAUUCCCUUGCUUAUUUUCCAGAGAAUUCUCAUCUAAUCAAGAGAACAGCUCAUAUGGUACACAAAGCUCUUCUGUUGGUCAUUUUGACAAUGCUACUGCUCAUGCACAUCGUGCUAGAUGGACAGCAUUGUUUGAUCAGAUGGAUGGAGCUCUUUCAGAUGAAGAAAGGCAACUGGUGAGUCUGCUAAAAAUCUCAUGUCAUUUGUACGUUGUUUGAGAAAUGAAUGUUGAAAAUUCAUCCAAAAAAGCUACUCUUCCUUCUGUGCUUUGCCUUUUUGCAGAAAGCUUGUCUAAGUCUCGAGGGUAUUCUGUCUGAAUAACAAUGUUUGAUGUAUUUAUACAAAUUAGAGCAUUGCUGAUGAUUGGUCCUAUUUAUGUAACGUCUGUUCAAGUUUGUGUAAAUUGAAGCAUGUUUAUGUAAUUACGUUCUCUUACGAGAAGUAUAAGUGCACCAUUUAAUUCUAUUGGAAGGUACAGUGCAAUAGUUUGCUUGAAAUCUUCUCAUCUUCAUCAUGAUAUAGAUAAAGAUGAUUUGCUUAUAGAAGCAACUGCAAAUAAGCAUAUGAUAGAUAUAUCACUUGUAUGUAUGUCUUUUAUUUCUUCCUUCAAAAUACUAUUUUCUUAUCAGUGUUUUUCUGAGUUUACCUUGUUCCUCCUUUCCUGUCCUUCACCAAAAGAUAUUUAUCGUUUUAGUCUGUUAUAUGUGAAUUUAGGAAAGUUGGCUGAACCAAGUAAGGCAAAUGCAGCUGCAAUGUGAACAGGGUCUUCAGAAAUUUGGUGCACCGCAUGGUUUGCAUCAGUUGGGGCUAUUGCAAAAUGACUGCAGGUAAGUGUUCAUAUGACCUGAAACACUUAUUUGCGUUGUCCAACUUGCAAGUCUUUUGACAUUACUGGUGAAUUGGUACUACUGAUAGAACGUUAAAACUUCAAAUGCAUUUUGCAUGCUCGAGAAGAAAGAAAACUUAAUGUAACAGGUAGAACUUACACCAUUCAAAUUUGAGCAUACUGCUACAGGCAUUACACAUGUUUGUUCUUAUCAAGGCUAUACGGACAAGUAUUUCAGUUGGCAGUACUACAAAUUGAAGUUAACUAUUCAUUGGCCUGAGCAUAUGCUUGUCUUCAUUCAUUAUUCUUCCCAUUGUGCAUUUCCAUGGCAUAAAGUUCUUGAGUUUUUCUUCACGUAAUGAAGCUUAUGCUAUUGUACAUUCACUAUGCAGACUAGAGAAAGCCGAGAGCUCUGAAACGGAUUUAGCUGUCAGGGCUGCUGCUGCUUCCAUUUAUUCAACAUGCAACUUCCUAUCUUCGAUGGAAAACCUACCUUGUUGCUGACAAAACUGUUUGCAACUCCUUGUAUAACUGGAUUAUACUGUACUUUUCACUCUCCUGAUUUGUUUCUACUUAAGUAUUCAAUAUGCAAUGUUGUGGUAUUUGAUGUUGUUAGCUUCAUAACUUAUUUAUAAUUCACUUUGAAUAAAGACCAUAUUCGCAAUGUAGUUAUUUUCUAUUAGAAAUUUGGAUUUUAGUCACCAUUUUAAUGUUGACUUAGCUAAAUGAUGCAGAUUUUGUGGGGUGUAGUAGACUACUUGUGGAGUUUUAAAUAUAAUCUGAAUCAGUAACAUACUGCAGUUCGUUUGGUGACAUAAUUAAGGACUUAGAAAUUGGGCAUACUAGUAAGAUUAGACGUUGUAGAGAUCUUAAUGCAACUAUUCAAGGGAGGAAUAGUUAUUAGUCUCUCUGAUAUUAUUGAAUGUUAUAAUUAAUACUAUUUACUAGACCCAAAAAGAAGCAAAGGGCAUGUUAUGUUUUCAACUCCUUUUUACUAUAAAUAUAAUACUUUAUUUUACUCUGUACUACAAUUCUACGCACAAAAUUUAAAGAGAAGUUGCAUAAAUAAAUGCAAAAAUCACAAUAUUAGAUACUAUGUGUUACAAUAAUACAUUAAGAUAUUUCUUUUCACGACCCAACCUGAUGUGAGAGGCACCCAUUCUAAACCCCCAGUGGAGAAUCAAUUAUCUACUAACACGCAAUCAACUAAACAACUAGAAGUUAACAGUUUUCAGCAAUUAAAACAAGCUUCAUAACUAAAUCCCAUUAUAAUAAAACAUUUGGAGAAAUAAUACCCUUGAACUUGAAAGUCGUGUACCAAAACAUCUAAUAUAAUCUUGAAUAUUGGGACGCAAUCCCAAAACAAAAGAAGUCUAAGUCCAAAAAAUGGACUAGAUGGUAAAGAUGAACUCAUAGCAGCUCACCCUUGAAUUUAGAAAGCACGUGAUUCAUAUUUGAGGGCGUGUAGCAGUCACUAGAAUGUGUCUAGUACUCAAGAGAAGAAGAACAAGUGUAUUAUUAAUACACAAAAUUACCAGUGUACUGGUAGAAUCAUCGGUUAGCUCCAUUUAUACAAAAUAUGCACAGGUAGGCGAAACUUAGUAAAACAAGACAACAUGGUAAUAUAGCCAUAGUCAUUAACAUAAACAUAACUCUUAGUCCUCAUCCCGAUUUAACAAUCACAACAAAUAUGCUCAACAAUCAUUGUAAUAAGACCAACCUAGUUCACUCAUGGAACCAACACACAAACAGUCACCAUGUACGAGGCACUGUACACGAGCCAACUGACAUAGAACAUGUACCAAGCAUGGUACUCGAGCCAACCGAUAGAUAUUCUGUACCAAGCGUAGUAUCCGAGUCAACCAAUAAUAUAGAUCAAGUGUGGUACCCGAACCAACCAAUAGAUAUUUUGUACCAAGAGUAGUAUCCGAGUCAACCAAUAAUAUAUUCCAAGCAUGGUACUCGAGCCAACCAGUAAUAUGUACUAGGCAUGAUACCCGAGUCAACCAAUAAUAUGUACUAGACGUAACAUCUGAGCCAAUCGAGAAUCAUACAUCACAUAAUCACAAUUAACACAAUCGCACUUGUAAAUACAAGCAAAUAGGACUAGUUCAUUGUAUGAGAUUGACAACAAGAUAUCAUUAGUUUCAUUCCUUUCUAACUCUCUACCCAUGUAUUGUACAAGUAAUACUAGUAACAUAGUUAACAUGCACAUAUAACGUAAAGGUGAAAUAAUUCAAACAUCACUUACCUCUAAUCAAGCCUGAUAUGCUCUACUAAAUCUAAGUUUUUAUCUUGUUAUGAAGCCUAGCUUGUUGUUGAUCUAUAAACAAUAAUGCAACAAAAAAUUAGACCAAAAUGGUCUCUCUCUCUCUAUAUAUACGGAUUAUAUCCUAAUCCCAAAUUCCAGAUUAGUCUCAUGAUUAUUCCACCCAAAUCAGAGGUGACGUUUUCCACCAUUCCAUCAAACCAAGCUCUCCCCUACAGUCACCACCACAGAUUCAAAGGCCUAAGAAUUGAAUUACCAAGUUAGGAGAGUAAUUUACUUACUUUUAUGGAUGAUUUUGAUGGAAAAUUGAAGAAAAUCGCCCUAGAUCCCCCCUGCACUUCCUCAAGAUGUUCUUGAAUGAAUAUGGGCCAUUUUAGGGAAGUUUUUGCAUUAUUAUCGACUUACAUCACCAUAGCGGUCCAAUCCCACUAUAGUGACAAUUAAUUCACCCGUCGUAGUGGUGUUUCACCUGUUUUAGUGGCGUGCAUGGGAAUAAAACUCAGAAAUCCUCCCAAAUUAGCCAAUUUUGCAACACACUUUCAAACCUUGACGAUCCAAACCAAUUCAUUCAUGCCAAGUUCAAUAUCGAGAGUUCUACUCACCCGAAUUCAGUUCUGGAAAGUCCCACACACUCCCUAAAGUCUUAGCAACAUGGAAAACAAACUCUACUCAAAUGUUUCACCCAAAUUUUUUUCUAGAUUUCCCUAGACCUCAUCUUGCUCAGAUAUUAUCCUAGCCUAGCCUAGUUCAAAACUUUCAACUCACUAUUCCACAAGUUCUCUCGCCUAAUUUAUUUUACGAUUAGCUCACCCACAAUGAUAGAAAGGGUCGUUAAAGUAAAUACUUACUCAUCGUUCAUCCCUGAACAGUUAAAUAAUAAAAAGGCAAGCUAAAUCAAGAAGGAAAUAGUACCUGGAUUCUCAAACAAGUGAGGGUACUUGUCAUGUAUGUCCCUAUCCUUUUCCUAAGUGGCUUUUCAACUAGACUAUGCUUCCAUUGAACCUUUACCGAUCUGAUUUUCUUUAUCCUUAAUUUCCAAACUUUCCGAUCAAGAAUAGAAAUCGGCUCCUACUGGUAGUGAAGGUCCUUAUUUAGCAAAAUUGAAUCCAAUUUUGUAAUGUACUCUCCAUGCCCAUGGUAUCUCUUUAGCAUGGCUAUGUGAAAACUGGGUGGACCUCGAAAAAAUUGAGUUGCAAUGCUACUUUGUGAGCUACCAGCCCCACACAUUCAAGAAGCUCAAAUGGAUCGAUAUAUCGAGGGUUAAACUUACCUUUCUUGCAAAACUGCAUUACCCUUUCUUUGGUGACACUUUCAAUAGAACCUGCUCACCAACCUGAAAUAAUCCCUAUCUUUGCGGUCUGUAUACUCCUUUUGUCUAUUCUGAGCUGCCAAUAGCUUGGUUUGGAGACCUCUCACCUUUUUCUGAGCUUCCCUCACCAAGUCAUCGCCCAAAGGCUUCACAUCUCCUGUCUCAAACCACCCUAUAGGCGACCUCUCAUAAAGUGCUUUGAAUGGUGUCAUGUCAAUAUUAGUGUGGUAAUUGUUGUUAUAGGAGAAUUCACAAAAUGAUAAGAACUUAUCCCAAUGGCUCUCAAUAUGUCCUUCAACACCUGAAUCGUCCUCUCCGACUUACCAUAGGUUUAAGGAUGAAAAGCUAUGCUAAAUAUGAGUUGGGUUCCCAACGCUUCGUGCAAUUUACCUCACAACUUAGAAGUAAACUAUGUACCUCAGUUUGAAAUGAUGGAAAGGGGCAACCGAUGUAAACUUACUAUUUUCUCAACGUAAAUCUUGGCCAACUAUUGAGAGUUGUAAUCCACUUUGACCGGGAUAAAGUGGGUUGAUUUAGUCAACCUAUUUACAAUGACCCAAAUGGAAUUAUACUUCCCCAAAGUCUUAGGAAGGCCUACCACGAAGUCCAUAACUAUCUUUUCCCACUUCCAUUCAGGAAUGGACAUCCUUUGAAGCAAUCUUAUAGGCAUCUCGUGCCAUAUGUCAUCUACUAACAAUUUUGACACUUAGACACACAUUCAGCUAUUUCCCUCUUCAUUUCAAGCCACCAAUAGAGUUACCUAAGAUCCCGGUAAAUUUUAGUUAACCUAGGAUGAAUCAAGUACCUCGAGCCAUGAGCUUUUGCCAACACAUUUUGAAUCAAGUUUUCAACUCGGGGGACACAAAUUUGAUCUCUAAACCAUAGAAUCCCACAAGCAUCAAGUGUGGAAUUCGAGGCCUCACCCUACACCACCUUGUUCCGGUGCUUGUUUAUUUGCUCAUCAUGAAAUUGUUUGGUUUUGAUUUCCUCCAGGAAUAUGGAUUUAAUUUCGAUAUUGGCCAACACUCUACUCUUUUCUAAAUUUCCCAACUGCAUAAAGUCAUAUGCUAGAGUCUGAAUCUCUCUAAUCAAAGUCACUUAGAUACCCCCAAAUAAUCCAAACUACCCAUAGUAAUCGCUUUCCGUCUCAAUGUGUUUGCCACCACAUUGACCUUGCCCAGAUGGUACUAUUUGGUCACAUCAUAAUCCUUCAAAUACUCCAUCCACCUCUUCUGUCUCGAAUUUAAAUAUUUUCGUGUGAACACAUGAUGUAGGAUGCAAUGAUCAGUGAAUGUUUCGCACUUGACACCAUAGAGAUAAUGUUGCUAGAUCUUGAGUGCAAAUACUACCGCUGCCAAAUCCAAAUCAUUUGUUGGGUAGUUAUUCUCAUGGUGCUUCAAUUACCUUGAGGCAUAGUCUAUCACAUUCUUGUCGUGUAUUAACACUGCACCCAAACCCAAAGUGGGAGGCAUAACAAAACACAACGAAAUCCUUACUCUCAACUGGCAAUGCUAGGAUAUGAGUUGUAGUCAAAAGGAUCUUAAGCUUUUGGAAGCUCUCCUCACACUUGUCAAAUAAUACAAAUAAUACCUCUUUUUGAGUUAAUUUAGUCAAAUGAGUAGCAAUGGAAGCAAAAUUCUUAACAAAUUUGUGGUAUUAGCUAGCAAGGCCCACCAAGCUUCUAAUCUCAGUCACAAAGCUAGGCGGGACCUAAAUCAUAAUUGCCUCAAUCUUUUGAGGGUCCAUCAUCAUCCCUUUUCGCGAAGUCACAUGUCCUUAGAAAGUCACCCAAAAUCCACACUUUGAAAACUUGGCAUAUAAUUUUUGUUUUCUGAGGAUACUCGGAACAAUGCGAAGGUGCUAUGCGAGCUCCUCAUUACUCUUAGAGUAGAUAAAAAAUCAUUUAUAAACACAAUCACAAAAGAAUUUAGAAAUGGCUUGAAGACACCAUUCUCAAACUCAUGAAAGUCACCGACGUAUUGGUUAACCCAAACAACAUCACCAAUAACUCAUAAUGUCCAUACCAACUUACCGAGUCCUGAAUGUUGUCUUAGGUAUAUCCUCAGGCUUAAAUAUCAACUAAUGGUACCAUGAUCUUAAGUCAAUUUUUGAAAACACCAAAGCACUCUGAAACUAGUCAAAUAGGUUAUCUAUGUGAGGUAGCGGAUACUAUUCCUGUUAAUUUCCUUAUUCAGUUGUUUGUAGUCUAUACACAUUCUUAUACUACCGUCCUUUUUUUCAAACAAGAUAGAAGCACCCCAAUGAGAUGCACUGAGACGAACAAAUCCCUUAUCUACUAGAAGUUCUUGAAGCUAAGUCUUGAGUUCCCUCAACUCUAUUGGAGCCAUACAAUAAGAAUAAAUAGAGAUUGGUCGAGUUCACGACUCUAUAUGUAUGCAAAAAUUAAUAUCCCUAUCCAGGGAAAACCAAAAAGAUACGUAGGAAAUACCUCCUGAAAUUCCAAAACUAAUGAGAUUGACUCUAGAGUAGGGGACUCCGCACUAACAUUCUGAAUAUGAGCCAAGUAUGUUAAACAACCCGUCCCCACUAGUCAUCUAACCCGAAUUAAAGAUAUGAUCUUUAUUGGCUUAGGUUUGUACACACCUAAUUUCCUCUCUAGUCUGUUUCUACUCGAAAUCUCUAAAGUUAUUGUCUUAGGUUUACAGUUUGACAUAGCAUGAUAAUGAGACAACCAAGUCAUACCUAAUAUCACAUCAAACCCAACAUAUUCGGUGUAACCAAAUCUACCUAAGUACGAAUACUCGCAAACACCAUAAAGCAUAAAUGAUACACAUGGGUCGCUACUAUAGACUCCCUAACCAGAGUGGAAACAUGAAUUGGAGCAUCAAGAGUAUUACAAAUUGAAAUAAGAUCAAAGGAAAAUUUAAUAGAUUUAUAAGAAUAUGUAGGUCUCGGAUCGAAUAAAAUAGAAGACAUCCGGCACAGACGAGAAUAAUGCAUGUUCUUACUACAUCAGACUCCUCAGCCUCACAUCUAUCCAAGAAGGAGUAAAAUUGAGUUUUAUCCUCAGACCAGGCAACACCUCCAGCUGGUUACACCGCUCCCCUUAAUGCAUUACCAUUAUUUAUGCUCCCACUAUCUCCCUAAUUAUUACUGCACCAACACUAAGGGCAUCUAUUGACAUUACCACAUCCACCCACUGGAACUUGAUGAGUCCGAGAAUUGGACUCAUUUAGGGUUUUGUUUAUAUAGAUUUAGUGUCCUCAAAUGCUUAAUUUGUGCCAAUAACUGAUGUUAAAUCCUUGAUUUUCAAGAAUAUGGAUUGAGGAACAAAGCAAGGACACUAACAGGCAAAAAGGAACAAAAUAAAUUGAAGCAAUGAAGAUGGGCGAGCCUGAGGAUCACCAAGAGCACUUGUCGGGUGGCUUAUCAGACCACUUAAAGUUUCGUGCCAAUCUCUGAAGGAAAGAACCAAGUCGGUGAUGAAAAGAAGCAGUCGGCGGAUUGCCGAGUGAUUCCACAAAGCCAAGAUAGAUCGCCCAAAGUUACAGACCUUGAGGAUGUUGAAUGCCUAGGCAAAAAGGUCGAUGGAAGAGACCAAAGGGCGGCUCACCGAGUGGAUUGGCGAGCCCGACUUACGUUUCCAAAUGGGAUUUUGUAGCUUAUUUUCGGCGACUAUAAAUACGUUUUUGAACAUUUAGUUUAGUAUAUUUUAUCAUUAUUUUUAUGCUAAUGCAAGCUACCCCUAGGAGAGUAUGAAUCUUCAAUCCUAAAGCUACCAUGAUUACUACUAACUCAAACUACCCUUGACAUGCAUCCUACAACGCAAAGUCAAGCUACCCUUACAAGCACACCAAGAUGCUAAUGUAAGCUAUCCUUAGGAGAGUAUGAUUCUCAAUCCCAAGCUACCAUUAGGAGAGUAUAUGUCCUCAAUCCUAAAGCUACCAUGAAAUGGUCUUAGCCAAACCAAGUCAAGCUAUCAUGAAAGCAUUCUACAAUGCUAGUUCAAGCUACCCUUUGGAGAGUAUAUGUCCUCAAUCCAAGGCUACCAUGACUACUACUAAGUCAAGCUACCAUGAAAGCAUCUCACAAUGCUAAUUCAAGCUACUCUCAGGAGAGUAUAAAUCCUCAAUCCUAAGCUACCAUGAAAUGGUCGUCUUACCAAGUCAAGCUACACAUGAAGGGAUCAUAUAUCACAACUUUAAGCUAUUCUAGUCUAACAUGCUUUGAUUCAUUUUAGGUUAUUAAGCCAACCUAGAAUCAUUCUAUGUGAGACAGCCUUGGAUCUCCUAGCAUAUUUAUGCCUAAGUGUGUAAGUGAGAAUAGACUUUCAACAAUACACAACAAGAUCACAUUAUAUUAGCUUUACUCUCAAAGCCCUAACUAUUAUGAUCACAAGCCUUACUCUCAAGUUUUAUUUCUUAAACUCAUCACUAUACCUAGAUUUCAAGGUAUUUUAACCAUAUUCUUCAUUAGUAGGUGAUUCUAGUCAUAAUUGAUCAUAAAGGUUCAAUUUCAUCUUUACAAUUCAUGAUCCUUCAUAUUCAAUAAAGUCUAAUUCAAUUCAUGAUUAUAUGUUCCUAACAUUGAACAACUAUUACACAUGACAUUGAUUUAAGAAGAUCACCUAUGAACGUUCAAUUUCACCUCUAAUGGCAUAAACUCACAAAUAUCACAUUCAUCAAUUUAGACUAGGGUUUACCAUAGAAAUCACAUGAAUUCAUCAUAAUAUCAUAAUUCAAUGCUAAUACAAUCAUAAUUAGGUAUUAUCCACUAGACUGGAAUCAUACAUAAACCCUACCCACAAUGUAAGAAGAACCCUAACUAGAAUUGGGUUUUUGACUUUACAAUUGGGGGAAUUCUAGGGGGCUCUAUGGGUGGAAGAACCCAUAGAUGAAUAAGCUAACAUACCUUAAUUCAAAUCCCUAACCAAGCUUGAAACAAUGGAGUAAAUCUGCCUCUCUUCCUUCUCUUCUUCUUCACUUCCUAGAGAGAGAAAUAUCUGGAGAGAAUUUGGGGUCUUGGAAGAAUAAACUAAUUGACUUAGUUUAGGGGUGUCUAAGGCUUAUAUAGGUGGUUUAAUAACUAACUAACCAACCUCCCUUUACCCCUAACUAUUUACUAAUUAAUUCCCAAACCCCUAACUUAAAAACAAAUCUUUAAAAUCUACUAGAACUCACGACUCCACCACCCACGGACCGUGGGUGGGGUAACGGAGCGUGCUGCACCUCUGUAGGUGCUGGUAAGAGGCUCAAAUUUGUAGGCCACCACAUGCCUUGACCCACAACCCCAACCCACGGGGAGUGGGUCCACCUACGGCCAGUAGAUGGCAAGCAUAGGUGCUGCCAAAUUGACAACUUUUGGGUUGUCUUAAGGGUCCUCCUCAAGAACCCCUUGGGUGGUCCUUGGGUGGUCCUUGGGGGUCGUACCUUGAUUCCCUAACCCUUAAACCCUCAUUCUAAGUAUGGGAAUCAUUUUUGUGAUUUUUAAUCCUCAUACCACACUCCAAAACUCUAACGAAAAGCUCUACAACUCUCUAGUUCAACUUACUAGUUUUCGGGGUAUUACAAGGUUGAUCUGGGUUUAGCUCGAGAGAGUAAAUCCUAAACUCAAUCCCACACAUUUAGCUCGAAAGAGUGAAUGGAUUAAGGUGUGGGAUGCUCUUAAUUUGCAUGUUUGUUGAUGUUCGAGAGAAAUCACUUGAUUCGGGGUAAUUGUUCGAGAGAAAAUUACCUCCCUUAUAGCCUAGUCUACUCACUAAUAUCUAGCUAUUUACUAAUAGUUGCAAUUACCCAUAUGUCUAUAUUUGCCUAUAAUCGAUCACAUCCCAAGAACCCGUCUCAUUAUUGUUAGUUCCUAUUGUUUGUGACUCAUUUUAGUUGAUAACUAAAACCAAAACCCCCCAUUUGACAUUUGUAUCACCCCUUUACUUGAUUAUGUCUUUAAUCGAUAAUUUCUAUUCCUAUAGCUGAUUAGCCUACAUUCAUACUUUCUAAUUGAAUUUGAAACACGUACCGCUCCCUGUAGAAUUCGACCCCAACUCAUUUAGUUGGGUUUUAUACUGAUUUACGAUCGUUGAACCCCUAGAAUUGGAUAAGGUGUGCUUGAAACGUUGAAUCAAAAUAGCGCCGCUGCCGGAGAGUGGUAUUGUUUGAAAUUAUUUUGGCUAAGUUGAAUUGUAUUCUUGUUAGUCAUAGUUGAAUCUACUUAUUUUUAGUUUUGGUUUUUGUGUUGCUUGUUAAAAUAGAGGAGGAAAUGAGUGUCAACGAAAGCAAUGGUAGCCAAGUGGGCCACCAAUAUGACAUCGGAAAUCUCAAUGACCCGAAUGUCAAUGACCCAAAUCUAGUGGGUGGAGUUAGUGUCAUUCGUUUACCUCUGGCCGAAGAAAACGAUGCGUUUCACAUUACAAGCACCAUGUUGCAGCUCUUACAAUUGAAUGGUUUGUUUGGUGGGCUGGCUCAUGAGGAUCCCCGACCAUUCUCCUUUAAGAACAUAUCUCAAGAAUCGGUCCGGCUUAGGUUGUUCCCAUUUUCUCUAAUGGGAGAAGCAUGCAAGUGGUUGGCUGAAUUGCCAAGAGAUUCUAUCACUUUGUGGGACGAGCUUAUUACCGUGUUCCAAGUGCGAAUUUUCCCUCCUUCGAAGAUGAUGACACUUAGGGACAAUAUUCAAAGCUUCAAAUGUUUGGAGGGUGAGUCAAUCCAUGAGACUUGGCUAAGGUUUAAGAAGAUGGUGCUGCAAUGCCCAACUCAUGGAUAGCCCGAUAAUAUACUACUGCAAUACUUCUACAGAAACCUUGAUUCGGUGAACAAGGGAGUGGCUGAUCAACUUUCUCUAGAAAGUUUAAUACAACAACCUUAUGUGAUAGCAGCCCAACUCUUUGAUGGCAUGACCAAGAUUAACCGGGCAUGGUACACCCGUGAAGAUCAAUUAUCUCCUCUUACUUACAAAUUUACAAAGGAACAGAUUGAAAAAGAUCAAGAGAGAGACCAAAACAUGGCAAAGAUGAUGACCCAGCUGGACAUCUUGGCUAAGAACGUUAUGGCUGUUGGUACUAGGAGUGUUAAUGUUGUCGGUGCUGGUGGUGUACACCCCGAAGAGGCCAAAUUUGAAGCGUUGUACAAUGAGGAAAUGAACUUCCUAGCCAACCAAGAAGGAGGUUAUAGUGCAACUACCCAAGGUCAGGUGGUAAUCAAGGUUGGAAUAGAGAUGAGGGCUGGAGAGACCAUGAUAGAGAGUGGCAUGAUCGUAACUCCACUUGGAAGGAAAGAAAAGGGGAGAAGGAUAGGUAUGUUCCUUCCCACGAGCGUCAAAAGCCCAAAGAUUUUGAGGGUGGCCGGACUGAGGAUAUGCUCUCGCGUAUUCUCAACAAGGUUGAAGGGUCCGAUAAAGUUUUGAAGGAAAUGAAGGAAGAUGUAUCGACUCUCAACCAAACGGUGACCUCUCACUCUGUCUCUAUCAAGCAGUUGGAGACCUAAAUGGGUCAGAUUUCUUCGCAUCUUAACCCAAGACAGCAAGGGGGGUUGCCUAGUGAUACUAUGACAAACCCCAAGAAUGAAGUUUGAAUGGGUACUUGCGUCGUGCCACGACGUUAACUAAGGCGCUUCUUGGGAGGCAACCCAAGUUUUUAUUGUUUUAUGUUUGUUAUUGAAAUAACGGGAGUUGAUUGAACAGGUUAAAAUGUGAAAUGUGUUUAAGAAAUGCAGGUUGGCGAGCCAAGAGUCCAGUCGGUGACUCGCCGAAGAGGUCGGCAAGCCCGACUUGGACCGUCGUUGGACUCACCAAAAUUUCAAGUGGGAGUCUGUAAAAAUUGGUGGGCCCAUAAAUGAGUCGGCGAGCCCGACUUUGUCCGCCGAGUGGACCCCCAAAUCAACUGGAGGUCUUGUAAAACUCGGCGAGGUCAGUUACCACUCGGCACAUCACAGAGUGGUUCGGCGAGGAUGACUAAUACCGUCGAAUGGGCCGCGAACUGAAAGGUUUUAAAAGGUCAAAGGUUUAAAAUUUCAAAAUCUUUCAUAUUUCCUCAUUUCUAGCCCCGUACACUUACACCCGCACUUCAUAUUUCCCGUAUUAUUGUCAUUGUACUUGUUUUUGCUCUUGAUCUCGUGCUCGAAUUUGGAUUUCAUUGCUGCCUAGCGUUUCAAACUCUUAUUUUGGCAUAAAGGUUGGUUUUCAAAACCCCGAACUCUUGAUUAGCGGUUGAAUUCUAAUUCACUUGUUUGAAUCUUGUCGUUGUGUGUUGGGCCUAUACUGAAAUCGUAGUGUUGUGCUAGUUUGCCUAUCGUAGUUUCGUAGUUGUGCUUAAUUGCUUAAAUUGUUGAUUUCCUGAGUUUUGUGCUUUAAAAUCAAUCAUAAAUUGUUUGGUUGCGAUAAAUUGUUGUUGGGUCUAGUCAGGUGAAUUAUGAGUAACCCCAAUUGUGCUAAAUGACGUACUUUGCCCAAUGAUGGAGCGUUUGACGUCAUUCUUAAGGGCAAAAGUCGUCAAAUGGCCAAUUUUGACCAAAUUAGGGGAAGUCUGAGUACCCCGGUGGCAUGGGUCUUGUGGGUCUGAUCUUAAUUGAAUAAGUGUAUUUUUUUUAUUUUGUUUUUGUGGGCUACGGGCUUGAAUUUGGGAAACGGGGUUGAAAAUUGGCACGUUGGGUAAUUCGGCGAGCUAGGUCGAGCUCGCCGAACCGUUCGGUGGUUCGCCAACGUCCCUCUUUACCACCCUUAAUUUCAUGUUUUGACUAAGUUAGAGUCUGUAACUUUCGGCGGGAAGCAUGAGCUCGCCGAGUUCACUCGGUGAUAUGGCUGGCAACGGGAUCGGAACCAGGACUACCGGACCGGGAUGGACCGGAACCGGGCACCACGGGCCGGAACCGGGACGGACCGAAACCGGUAAUUCCGGAAAAAAAUCAAUGUACCCAUCCCGGACCGAUAACGGAUCGGUACCGGACCGGACCAGAAACCGGGUCCCAACUGUUAUAAUUUAAAAAAAUUAUUAAAAUUAAAAAAUUAGGAACAUUACUCAAAUAAUAUUAAAACUCUUAUAAUUUUAUUAGAAGCAAAAAAGUUUAUACUUUUAAAGUUUUAAAUAGGGAAAAUGCAUAAGUACCCCCCUAGCCUAUGCCCGAAAUCCCAGAGACACACCUAACCUUUACUAAGGUCCUAUUACCCCCCUGAAGUUAUUUUAUAUAUAAUUUUCAACCCCUUUUUGGCCUACGUGUCACUAUCUUGUGGGCCCAGCACGUGUUGGCAAUUUUUUCAAGGAUAGUGCCACGUAGGCCCAAAAGGGGUAGAAUAUUAUAGAUAAAUUAAGUUCGGGGGGGUAAUAGGACCUUAGUAAAGGUUAGGUGUGUCUCUGGGAUUUCGAGCAUAGGCUAGGGGGGUACUUAUGCAUUUUCCCUAUUUAAAACUUUAAAAGUAUAAACUUUUUUGCUUCUAAUAAAAUUAUAAGAGUUUUAAUAUUAUUUGAGUAAUGUUCCUAAUUUUUUAAUUUUAAUAAUUUUUUUAAAUUAUAACAGUUGGGACCCGGUUUCUGGUCCGGUCCGGUACCGAUCCGUUAUCGGUCCGGGAUGGGUACAUUGAUUUUUUUCCGGAAUUACCGGUUUCGGUCCGUCCCGGUUCCGGCCCGUGGUGCCCGGUUCCGGUCCAUCCCGGUCCGGUAGUCCUGGUUCCGAUCCCGUUGCCAGCCAUAUCACCGAGUGAACUCGGCGAGCUCAUGCUUCCCGCCGAAAGUUACAGACUCUAACUUAGUCAAAACAUGAAAUUAAGGGUGGUAAAGAGGGACGUUGGCGAACCACCGAACGGUUCGGCGAGCUCGACCUAGCUCGCCGAAUUACCCAACGUGCCAAUUUUCAACCCCGUUUCCCAAAUUCAAGCCCGUAGCCCACAAAAACAAAAUAAAAAAAAUACACUUAUUCAAUUAAGAUCAGACCCACAAGACCCAUGCCACCGGGGUACUCAGACUUCCCCUAAUUUGGUCAAAAUUGGCCAUUUGACGACUUUUGAAAAUCUAAUCUGUACAGCCACCUUCUAGGAAGGGUUCUGUUCGAAUUAGACCUCGAAUUAUUAUACUCAUACUAAUAGACAUUUAAAUUUAAUAGUUCAUGCUACCAAGGAAAAAAUUUAAUCAUUUAACAUUUCUCUAGUAACAUGCUCUGGAAUUGGUUGAUUAGCUAGUUCUUCCAUUGCAUCAAUGCCGUCAUCACUAAAAAUUUGCAUUAUUUCAUCAACGUCAUUUUCAAAAUUUGGGUCGGUAAAAGUGGACGACCAUAACUCCUUCUCUCUCCAUUAAUCCAAUCUCUAAAUAGUACGGAUAUCUCCAAGCUAUCUGCUGCUAAUGAAUAUCUAUGCUCUCUAAUUUGAAAUCUUGCUGCACUAAAAGCGACUUCCGAAGCUACUGAAGAUGCUUGAAUAGCCAACACAUCUCGAGCAACCGGUUGAAGUUUUGGAAAUCCCUGGUCGCGAUUGCUCCACCAUUCUAGAAGAUCAAUAGUAGUAGGUUUUGUAUUUUGAUUAAUAUAUGCAUCAAAAUCAUUUCUAUCAUUAUGAGAAAGUUCAAUAAUACAAUCUAUCAUAUCAUCUUCAUUAUUAUAUCUACUCCUAGAACUUUGAGGCUCUUCAUUAUGUACUACAUUUAUUAUAUUAGAAUUAUACAAGUCCUACAAUUUUCUAGCUUCAAUUUUUAUACUAUCUUUAACAUCUUGACAACUAGGUGUUUCAUCAUCUUCACUAUCAAUACCCAAAUUAAAAUAUAUUUUAUCAACCAUUCGUGAUGCACCUUCAUCUUUGUAAUGUGGGUUUAACAAACAAGCAGUUAAAUAAAUUUGAGGAAUAGGAAUAAAAUAUUUUUAAAAUUUAUCAAUCAUUUUCUUAACAAAUUCUUCAAAUCUUGGUUUAUUUUUGAAUUUAUAAAAUUUACUAGAAAUAGCACAAAUAUUAGGUAAAACAGAGCAAAUAGUUGGAUAAUAAAGUGCAG